AUAACAAUCCCAGAUAGCAACUUAUAUGCGCAACCCGAAAUUACAUACAAAGGAUACAUGAUUCAGAUAAUAAGUGCCGUAUCAAAAAUGAAUCUUGAGAUGGAAGUAAACCUGACAAAGCACUACAACUGGACUAAGUCUGGUAAGUUAAAAAUCCUAAUAUGUGCUUAUUGGCUGUUGUUUGUUCUGUUUUCGUAAACAGAACUGCACAGCAGCUAAAAAUAUAUGAAAAUGUUUUUAAGCAUCAUUUCAUAUCACUUUCAGUUACCUUUUCCUAUCCUUCUGAUUUAGUUAUACAGUACAUUACUAAGCUAUGUUUCUCGGACACUCCAAAAUGCUGUCAUGAUCAUGUCGUAUCCUCUAAAACUGCAUAGCUUUUGGAUGAUCCAACACAUACCUGAAAUUCUCCAGAUCCCAAUAUAGUUUAAGUGUGGCAAAGGAAGUUAUCCAGUUUUUACAAUCCCAUUUUAUUGAGACAUACUAGAAGGUUUGUGUUUAGUUAAAAAAUUUCAGAGAGUCAGCAGAAAAUUUGAGUAAAUAAUGAGAUGACCAUUGAUGGCAGUCCUAUUAGUAUAUAGAUUGAAUGGAUGGCUUUGUAAAGAAUCAUAUGGUUGAUAGUUUUCCACAUUUUAGCAUACUUCUCGUAGACGAGGUUUUCCCCCACAAAUACGAACAAGAAAAUGCUUUAUCAAAAUGAGUUUGGAUGAGAGUACUGCGGGUUAGACUAAAGGUAAACAGCACGCUAAGAAGGUAUUGUUUUCUUAGUCUUACUUCACUACAUGAUGUCUUCAAUGAGAAGAUACAAAGAGGCUAAAACCUAUGUUAUUCGGUCUUUUAAAAAAUGUCAACGGGUGCAUGUCAUAUUCUCUAAAAGUAGUGUAUUUUUGGAGAAUUCGACACAGGUGCGGCAUCGAAAGUGAAGAGUCCGCACAACUUAGGCUACAAAUGACCUAUAGCAGGCAAUGCAGUAUAAGGGACUAGGAAAACAGUGCGCAACAGAAUUAGGUUAAUCUUAAUCAAAUUAAACAGAAUACCAAUAACUCGUGAAUAAGAUCAGGGCAGAGUCAAAAAAGUAUUCUACUGGUAGCAUUUUGCCUUGCUUCAAGAAAGUGGAUGCAGAAUAAGAAGAAAAUGUUGAAUUGCUGCAGGACCGUCUAACUCCAGAAACUGCCCUUACUAAUGAGAGACAUAAUCAAAUUAUCAUGUGUUUACAGAUAUUCAAUAAAAGGAAACUCCUUGAGAUUCAUCAAAGCUAUAUAUUGUAUGCAUAUUAUGUUCAUGCUCAUAUGAGAACUAUGUUGCUCAGACUCUCCAAAAGUCUUGCCGCACCCAUGUCAGGUCCUCCAAAACAACACUACUUUUGGAUGAUCCAACACGCAUCCAUCAGCUUCUUUGAAGAGUCCGAGCAACAUAGUAUGAGAAGAUUAUGGCACAAUGAAGUUGAUAAAGGUCAAACAGAUUUCUCAAAGCCAACUACACUUCACAGUAUAAACACAAAAGGGAAAGGGAAACAAUGAAGGAAUUCAAACAGUUACCACUUUCAGAAGAAGGCGUCUCAUUUGAAGUCUCUUAAUGCCAGUGAUCUUCUGAGCCACUAUAUCACUGAUAGCUGACAAAACUGCAGCUGUUAUCGCCUGCAAUUAUAAAUUGCAAAAUUAGAAACUAAAAAAAUAAAAUCACAAUACCAGUCGAGCAAAAAGGCUUUAUACACAAGCUAACCAUCAACUCGAUCAACUACAUCUCAAGAUCAAACUAGUUAAAUUCAACUAUAUAAACCUUCUACAUCAUUCGAUUCAAUUCAAGUCCAUUGAUAUCCCCACAUACAAAUGGAGAUGUGUGAUGAACCUCUUUACUCACUACGCCCGGAUGCCAAUAUAAUGCAGUGAGAUUCAUCAUAGUUGAACUAACAUAAAUCCAAUAAGGAUGGUGUUCAGCCAACUUAGACGCACCUCAACGAUCAACUGCAUGGUUGCUACCUCCCACUGGCAUAAAUACUCUAUAUGUCAAGAUUUAGACAGAUAAAAAGAGAUCACCUAAUUAUUAGCCUCUAUGGUUCACCAUGAACAAUUUCUAACAUCAUUAACCAUUAGCUCACGUCCUUUUAAGUGUCAUGAUGUCAUUAGAGUUAAAAGUAUAAAACUACUAAUCCCUCCAUUUAUUUUGUUUGUCAUACUUCCCUUUAUAGUUCGUUUCUUUUUUUCCUUUUUAGACAACUCUUUAAUUUCAACUUUUCACGUUACAUGUUUGACACCACAAAAUUAAAUGACAUUUUUGUACAGUUUACAUAUCUUUAGUUCAAGAUCACAAAAUUCAAAGUGUUCUUACUUUCAUAAACUCUGUGUUAUACCAAAACCAAAUAAACAAAUUAAAAUUGAUUAGUAUAUUUUUAAGCUAGUCGUUGCUUUGCAACCCAAAAGUUCUUUCUUUUACCAAACCAAAAAUCAACUAUCCUUUGCAAAACUCAUAGAGAACAGAGCUAAAUCUUCCACCUAUUAAAAUAUAAGGAAAAGAAGUAGAGUGAAAGAGUCGAAAUCACACCUAUUCUAAUUUUUUCGAGUUUCAUACCUGCACUAUCACCUACUAUUAAAACACUACCUCGACAGGAUAGAUAUUUCAGGUAGAAAAAAGUAAACAAUUGACGUUAAAGUGUAUUUCGAUAAAUAGUUGGCGAUAGUUUAAUAAUAUUAGUUCGAGUAUGACACUCCAAUAAUCAAGAUAGAGAUCUCAGUUCUAAAAUUGCAACACCCACAUCAUAAAUUGAACUUAACAGCUCAAAAUAACCAAAACCCACUUCACAAGUUAGACAAAAUUGAAAGUAUAGAACCAAAAAAGAAAAAAAAAAGAAAUCAAGAAAGUGAAAAAAAGGUGAGACCUUUGUUCUUAAAGGGUGUUGCUGAAGUUGUAUGAAGUAAUUCUGCAACCCCUUUUUAGCUAUUGACCCCAUUCUUCUUCUUCUUCAGUUUAUCAAAUAUGAAAAAGAAGAAAAAAAUGAUCUUUUUUUUUGUUGACUUCUUGUGAAUCAAUGAUGAAAUUUCAGUCUUGUGUUGUUUGGUUUUCAGCUAAAUAUCUACAAUGUAUAGCAUGUUGGACCCAUUUAGAUUUCAAUUUGGAUUUUCAACAACCUCUUUUGUCCUCAUAUCUCUUUUUGAUUAAUAUUUGCAUUUCGUUCAAAUAAUUGAUAAGUAUUGUUUUAUAAUAUCGUAUUGUAUUAUUUUAAGUACGAAAAAAAAGUUUGAAAUAGGUUUAACUUUUGAUCGAAAUUGCUUUAACAAUUCUCACUCUGGGAAGGAACUUUUACUUUUAUAAUACUAUUUAAUAUUUUCUCCGCUUAAAAAAGAAUGUUCAUAUUUCCUUUUUAAUUUGUUUCAAAAAGAAUGAUUUUAUUUUUUUGUAACAAUUUAACUUUAACUUUUCACGUGGCAUUUAUAAGACCACAAAAUUAAAAGACAUUUUAGUAUAUUUGACAUAAUUUUAAUUUAGAACCAGAAGAUUAAAAAUCUUCAUUUUUUUCUUAAACUCCAUUCCAAGUCAAAUUAGGUCAUUCUUUUUUAAACGGAGGGAAUAGUGUAUUCUAAAGGUAUAUAUGUGCCCACAUAGACAUAAUAUUUCUUAAACUCCAUUCCAAGUCAACAACCUCUUUUGUCCUCAUAUUUCUUUUUUGAUACGCCCAAUAUAUAAACGUGUCUUCUAAUUUAAUUUUGAUUAAUAUUUGCAUUUUGUUUGAAUAAUUGUUAAGUAUUAUUUUAUAAUAUCGUAUUUAUAUUUAUUUAAGUAGGGAAAAAAAUCUGAAAUAGAUUCAACUUUUGAUCGGAAUUGCUUUAACAAUUCUCACUUUGGGAAUGAACUUUUAUUCUUAAGGGUCAUUUGGUACAAAAAUGAAUAAUGUAGGGAUUAGUAAUUUAGGGAUUAGCAAUGCAGCGAUUAUUUUUAUCAAGUGUUUGGUUCAUUGUUUCUUAUCUAAUUUUGUGUGUGGUUUAAAAGUUUAAAAAAAAAAAAAAACUUUCCAACUAUACCUUAUAGUUAUUAUGAGAUUUUGUAUUUCAUGUAAUUGAGUCAAAUUAAAUAAUUAAUGGAGAAUAUUAUUUUUUUAUAAUAUUUUUAACUAGUUAGGAGAAUAAAAUUUUUAUUGUCAUGUUCACUAUUUUCUCAUUUAAAUUAUUUGAGAUUAAAUGAUUGUAAUCUUAAUAAAUUAGAGUUAAUAACUCAAAAGGUCACACAACUAUAAUAAUUAGAGAGAAUAUUUAUUGAACUUUGUUUUGUAUCAAUAAAUUUUAAAAAACUCUUUGUCAUAAAAUAAAAUAAAUAUAAAAAAAUAAAUUAAACUAUUUUUAUACUCGAGAUGUGUGUGUAUAUAUAUAUACACACACACUUGUUUUAGACUACUUGUGUAAUGUUUAAAGAACUUUCAUUAAGAGACAAUAUUUUACUUAUGAAUUGUUCUUAAAUUCAUACAUCAACAUUAACAUAUUAGUCGGAUUAUAAUAUUUUAUAUUAAUAAUAAAUAGAUUAAGUAAUUCAUAUUUUAGAAACAAAAAAUUAAAUCUAAAUAAUAAAAUUUGUAAGCUAAUUUAAUUAAAUAACUUUAUUAGUAUAAAAAUAAAAUAUAAAAUAUAAAUAUAAAAUUAAAAAUAUAAAUAAACUAUUAAAAAGAUUUGAGGGGUAUUUUUGUCUUUCCCUAGAAUAGUCCCAUGGUAUUAGAGCUAAUACCUCCAAAUGGAAGUAUUAGUAAUACAUCACAUAAUACCAUGUAGGAUGUAUUAACUAAUCCAUGGAUUAGUUAUACAUAGGUUCACAUUCCUAUCAAACACAGUAUUAAAUUAUACCACAUCUAAUACAUAGAUUAUUUCUUUUAAUACAGCCUACCAAACGCUUCCUUAUAGUACAAAUUAAUACUUCCUCCGUUUAAAAAAGAAUGUCAUUAUUUCCUUUUUAAUUUGUUUAAAAAAGAAUGAUCCCUUUAUUUUUUUUGUAACACUUUAACUUUAACUUUCCACGUGGCAUGUUUAAGACCACAAGAUUAAAAGACAUUUGGGUACAUUUGACAUAAUUUUAAUUUAAAAUCAAAAGAUUAAAAAUCUUCUUUCUUUUCUUAAACUCGAUUUCAAAUCAAACUAGGUCAUUCUUUUUUAAACGGAGGGAAUAGUGUAUUCUAAAGGUAUAUAUGUGUCCACGUGGACAUUAUAAAUAUUGUAUCAUUAUAAAUAGUAACUUGUCCACAUGAGCACAUAUGUAUCUUUAAAAUACACUAUUAAAUAGUGUAGGGGUAAUAGGUCCUAUUCAAAAUUUGAAAUUGUUACAACAAUUUUUGUCAAAGAUCAGAUAUAUUUCAAACUCUUUUCUCUUUUUAAUAUUAACACUUUAAAUAAUAUAAAUUGGUGAUUACACAAAAUGAGACCUUUUAUUAUUAUUAUAAGAUGAAUUUAAAUAAUAAAAUUAAAUUUAAAUAACAAUCAAAAUAAACAUCGGAUGUGAAUGAUGAAGUCCAGUCUUCUGCUGUUUGGUUUUCAGCUACAUAUCUACACAUUAUAGCACUUGGAAAACAUUUGGAGACCAUGUUAUUUCUAAAAGGAUAUAAAUUAAAUUGAAAUGCAUAUUUAUGUGUAUGUCUUUUUUAAAUUACGAUAACAAAAUGAUGUUAUAAAAAACAUAAAAUUAUAACAUAACAUAAAAAGAAAAAUCAAUAUUGUAGAAUACAUAGUUGAUAUAAUAAAAUGAAUGUUGUUAUAGCUGAUGUUGGUAACAAAGAGAAUUAUGAUUUUUUAGAUAUGACAAUAUUUUAGCUAUCAUUUUUAACUUGUUUCAAUAUUGUUCAUUUGUUUUUUGAAUUUAAAAAAAAUCAAGAUAAUAAUAAUUAAUUUUAUUUAAAAAAUGUUGAAUAAAAAAAUAUUUUUCGUAACUUAAAAAAACAAGCGGGACACAUUUGGACUAUGUGUUAAUUUUGAUUAGGUAAAAAAUGGAUAUUCAAUUUUUGGAAUUAAUGAUUGGAUAAAUACAUCUUUGGAGAGGUUAAGAAUAUGCUUUUUCCCUUAUUGUCCAUUAUGAUUUGUAAUGGAAUUUAUAGUUUUGAAGAAUUCUUUCUAGAGUAUUUUUAAUAAAACGAAGGAGAUGUUUCAAAAAAAUAUAUAGUUGAUCGAUUAUAUAUUCUGAUCAACUUAUGUGAUAUAAUUUGAUUUGAUAUGAAGUUUAAAAAUGAAAAAAAAAAUAUAGGAUCUAAAAUAAGUCAUAGGUGUUUAUAUAACUAUAAAUCAUUAUAUUAAAGGUAAAAUAAACAUUUUACAAUUUUAAUUUUACGUACAAAAUAUAAAAAUGUAUUUAUUUUUUUGUUGAUAAAUGAAAAAAAAAAGUAAUUCAUAGAUGGAGAUAGAGAAAGUAGUUUGAAAAAAAAGAUUCAUUUUUAAGAGCCUCAUUGUAUUAGAAGAUUAAAAGUAGCUAAUGAUUAGUAUUAACUAUCAAAGUAUUUGGAUAGAAGUGGUUGAAAUCGAUAAUGAGUUGUUUGUGUGAUCGAUAAAAUUAUGUUAUCAGGUUAAUUUUUUGUUAAAAUGAUUCAAAAUUUCUUGAAGUAUAUAAGAUAGAGGUGGAUUCUGAAUUUAAAGGUGGCGAAACACUACUAUACAUAAUUAACGUAAAUAUUUAUUCAAAUUCACAUGAUGGAAAGCUCAUUGAAAUUUCUCAUUCCAUCUUAUAUGUGGAAAAUUAGGGAAUUUCUGGUAUUGAUAGUGACAAAUUGUUUUGAGUAAUAUAAUGCAUAAAAAUGUUUUUUUUUUCUUUUGUUUAACAUGAAAAUCAUAAUAGACAUACAAUUAGGAGUCAUUAUCACAUUUUAUUAUAUUUCCUAGACUUAUUUUCACAUAUUUUGAACUUCUUAAUAAAAAAUAUUUGAUUCUAUCGGUCGCCGUAUUUGAAGAGAUGUAAUUAACAUUAAUGACGUCCAAGUGCUCCAUCAUUUACUUCAACUUUUCCACUACCAAUUAACACACUUUGAUCAUUAGCAUUGCCAUUUCCAAAAUUAGUACCAAAACUUGAUCCAACAUGACCAAAACUUAAACCAAAUGGUUUAGGGAGUGGAUAAUAUGGAUACAUUUCAUCACUUGAGUUUGCCACAAAUUUAAUGUUUCUAGCAUUUGUGGAUACAACAAAAAGUGUACUAGCAACAAGGAGGAGGAAAAUAAACUUUGUUGCCAUUUUUUUUAUGAGUUGAAUUAAGACAAAAAUUAGUGUUUUGUUAUUUGUAUUUUGUAGUGUGUGAGAAUUUUGUUUUGGGAUUUGAAAUUAUAUAUAGAUGUUGAGAAUUGUAAUUAUGUUGAAAAUUAGGAAGAUGUUAAGUUCUUGAUCAUGCAUUGCAUGUUAUCAACUAUAUAAGUCCUUAAUUUCAAAGAUUAAUCUCAACUUCAUGAUCAACCUAAUUCUAGUUUAUAUAAACUAGUAACUAAGAUAACCAAGAAUACAAGUGCUCCAUUUUCAAUAGUUCAACGGUAUUUUUUUUUCCGCCCAUUUUGAACGAGGUAAUGUCAAAAAGUAGGGCUAGUGACUAGAGUGAAAUCAUAACGAGGUAGCCUAGCCAAUACAAUGAACAACCAAAAUAUUGAUUUCAAAUAAAUUGAGUCCCUAGAAAUUAAGCUCUCACCAAAGAUGGAUAUACAAAAAGUUUAAGUUAAAAAGGGAAAACAAUGGAGUGGACUAAGAGGACAGUAUAAGUCCAUACAACCUCACAAGUUCUUUUUUUUUUCUUGAUAACACUGUGGUGUCCAAACCAGCUUGCACGCAACUUUUGUAUUGCGGAAUAGCUUCUCAUCAAGAUAUGUAAACACAUUAUAUGUUUUUCAUCUGAGGGCAUUCACAAAAGCUAGCAAGGAGUCGACAUCUCUCUUCUCCGACGGGUACUUAAUGGGCUGUGAAGAUUGUCUAGGGAAGAAGAGUAUUGUAGGGAAGCUACCAAGCUGCAAUUCUUCUUGUGCAAAUGUUUUCUGCUCACCAUCUCCCCUGAAUUUUGCUACUUUCACACCUGAACUCGCCAACUUCUCCGCUAAUUCAACGUAGGAUCCUUCCAUUGCCUGUACAAAAUCAGAAAAAAAGAUCAUUAAGAUGAUCCCCUGAUACCAUCCGGCUGGAGAAGUAGAGGGCGAAUGCAAAACAGCCUAUAUUCAAUGGCUCAACUGAAUUCAGUAAUUUCGAGACAUGGCUUAUAAUGUCUUAUGCUCGGUGUUAAGAACCUUGAAGGUUGAACUAAUCAAAUUCAAAUCUUGGAUAUGCCUUGGUGGAGAAAGAAAAAGUUGUUGAUGAGAAGAUAAAUUACCUGGCAAAACCGGCACCAAGGGGCAUAAAGAACAACAAUCCAAGGCUCUCUACGAUUUUCCAACUUCAAUAGGUUCUCGAUUCCAGGCCUGCUCAAGCUUACAAUGUCGUUGGUGUCAAAAAUAUCAGCAUGAGCAGCACUACCAUUUGCAUGGACAGUGGCAUUUCCAUUACCGUUCAUGCUUUCGUCCUUGAUGUUGCCCUUAUGUAAGCCACACUCCUUGGCCUUGGAAUCCUCCCACCACCACCUUCCUUCUCGCUCGUGUUGGCCAGGUAGGACAGCUCGUGUGCAAGGUUCACAUCCAAUGGAAACAUAACCUUGUGAAUGCAAUGAAUUCACUGGAACAUUCAUGGCUCGCAAGAAAUUCCAAAUAUCACUGCCAUCCACAUUAGCAACAGGAUUCCAUUUCACCAAGCUGCCUACUCCACCAUCCAACCCCUCAAACGAAGGGUCUAUCUGAACAAUGGGAAUUUCAGAUCGAGUACCAGGGGACUGAUCUUUACGUUGCCCUGUGAUCCAGGCACGUAAACCUUUCAGGGCUCUCCUCAAGGGCCUAACUUUCCUUAUGCGACAGCAUUCUUGGUGGCCAUCUUCAUAGAAAGAGUACAGGCCCUUGUUCCUCACUAAAGCCUGAACUUCAACAGCAUCAGGGAACAUAUACUCAAUACGAAUCCCAUAGUGCUUCUCCACUGCAUCAAAUAAUUGGUAGGUUUCCGGAUUCAACCUCCCAGUAUCAAGGCUGAAUACUCUAAAUGGACGACCAGUUAAACGAGCAUACUCUAACAAAGCAACAUCUUCAGCGCCACUACAAAAUAAGGAUAUCAUUUAGGAGAUGUACCAAAGCGAGCUAACCAAUCUAGAAAUUCAUUUGAGAGAGACAUCUAAAAGGAAACCAACAUUUCGGAUAAACAAGUAGAACAGCAGAUGUAUCAGGAUAAUACUCAAAAUCCUAGACCAAAAAAAAAACGAUAUAGCAUGAUGACCAUCUAAACUCUUCAUCGCAUUUGCAUCACACAAAGCAUUAACUGAUGAUUGAUUUGGAAAAACUAACAAAUUAGAAUGCAACAUAAGUUAUCUUCAGUGAGAAACAUAUAAAUGAAACUAGUUUGCAAUGUUCAUACACAUUUAGGAGAUAUUAUACUCCACCUUGAGUAGUUCCUAUGAAACAAAACACCAACCAGUUUUUUAAAACAAAAGAAACAUGAUCAAUAUUUUCCAUGCUACAAUGCUUAAAUUUCAAUUUGGAUACGAAAAUUCAACACCAAUAGGUAAUCCGGUGCACAAUGCAUCCCGCGUUAGCAGGGUUCGAGAAAGGGACACACCCCCUAAUCCAAAAAAAAAAAAGGUAUACCUGAAAGCAAUGGCAAUUUCACUUCCAAAUUUCUCAAGGGCUUUAUCCAUAAUCUUCAAAGGAGAAGCAUUUGUUAGCUCUUUUGCCAAUUUCUCAUAAUCAUCUGCUUCUGCUUUCUGUUCCACCUCUAAACCCCACAAAAAAAAUUUACAAAAGCAAACAAAUAAAUCAUUUCCAUUACAAAAAUUAGCAGUAAAUCACACAAAUUACUAAAAAUCUAAUUAACUCACCAGGAGCAACGAUAGUUGCUGCUAAUGGAACUAAUGGCUUCAUAGCCAAACUCCUCUGAGUAAAAUUCACUGCUUUCAAUGGAAUUCGAGACCGAUCCAUCGGCUGAGUGAUACCCAUGUGUGAAACUGUAAAAAGAACAGCAAAUUAGACCAAAAAAAACGAAACCCAGAUGAUAAAAUUCUCCGAUUUUCAUCACAUUAACACUUUUAAGUGUAAAAAUUGAAACUUUAGGAACUCAAACAAAGAAAUAGCAAACCCCAGAUGUUUAAAUUCUCUGAUCUUUAUCAUAUUAACAGUUUUAAGUGCAAAAAUUAAAAAUUUGAGAACCAAAGAAGAAAAAAAAACGAAACCCAGAUGAGAAAAUUCUCUAGCACAUUUACAGAAUUAAAAGCAAAAACUGAAAAAAUGGAGAGAAAAAGAGUAAUGGGUAACCUUUAGGUUGUUGUUGUUCAUAUGAAGAUGAAGAAGAAAGAGAGCCAUGAAUUACAGCCGAAGAACUGAAAGCCAAAGCCAUUUUCUCAAAUCUCAAACAACAAAUCUUCAAUCCCAAAUACUUUUUUCAAACAAAAACAGAGGAUUUGCUUUCUGGGUUUUUGUUGAAUUUGUAAUAUUUUGCUUCUUUUUUUUUUCUUCUUUGAUUUAUAAGAGAAAAAAAAAUAUCACCUGAAGAAGACGACAGUGUACAGAUUCAUUGAACCUGGACGUGUUUUCGGAAUUUGAUGGUUGUCUGACGUGGCGUAAUGUUAUUGGAUGGACUUUUAUUUGUAAAUAAUUUGUUUCUCUUGUUAGCGAAACUGAAUGGAACAAGAAGACAAAGAGGUUGUUUGCGUAAUAUUAGGGGUCUUUUACAAUUUUGCCCCUAUAUUUUGUAUUGAUAUUUAAUUUAGGUAAAAUAAUCAAAAAUACCUAUUUAGAAAAAUAAAAGUAAAAAUUUAAGGAAUCUCAUAGUGUAAUUCAAUAAUUACACUCUGUCUCGACAAAUUUAGUAUUUACUAAAAAUCCCUUAAAAUUUUUGUUCCGUGAUACUUUAGACUCUAGUGAUAUAUGGUAAAUGAUACAUGGUAAAUUUAAACUGUUAAGAAAAAAAUGGGGAAAAAACAGUACAUUUAAACUUGUUAACUGAAAUAGCUUAAUUUACGGUAACAGAUCAUUAAUCAGCAUUAAAUUAGUACGUAAUUGAAUAUUAAUUUCAAAUUUUGAAAAUCAAAGAUUAUAUCAUCUAUUUUGAAUACAAUUUUCAAAACCGCUACAUAGAAAACAUUAUGAUACACAACAAAUUCAUGUAUCAAUGCAUCGUCUAAAGCACUAUACACACUGAUUCAAAAUAUAUCAGCAAGCACACUUGAUGGAUUCAAAAUGUAUCAAUGCAUCAUCUAAAACACUAUACACACUUGAUGGAUUCAAAAUGUAUCAGCAAGCACACUGAUUCAAAAUGUAUCAGCAAGCACACUUGAUGCCGCAGUUAUUGAAAUUAAUCACUGAUACAUGAGAAAAAAUUUCAAAAACCCUUGAUACAUAGGAAAUCAUAUGAUACACAUCUAAUUCAUGUAUCAAAUCAUAGACUAAACAUUAUAAUCCACUUAGUACUUAUGUAUUAAACCUUGUCUGAUAUAUGAUAAUAAUUUUCAUAAUUUUUUGAUACAUAUUGUAUUCCUUAAAAUUUUUACUAAUUUCAACAACAAUUUUAAAAUAAGUAUAAAAAUACAAACCCGAAACAAUGUAGGCCUGACAACAAUGUUUGCUGCUUCUUUUUUCUUUUUUUGUUGUAUUUUGAUAAACUUUGAUUUUGAUGUUUCGCCAGAGUCUUUGUUUGAAUCCUUCUGAAGAUUCAUAGGAUCAUGCAAAGAUUUUUUUUUAUUUUCUUUCUAAUUUUCAUCGUCGGAAUCAUAUAAUUUAAAACUCUUUCAUAGAGAAAAAUUAAGAAGAAAAAUUGGGAUCUCUGUGAUAAUUGGGUCGGCAUCGACCCGAUUUUCAGCAAAAUCAUCAACUUGGAUUUGAUCAAGCACAAGUACUAAUCCCAUGGCAAAGGCACAAUCAAACUCAGGCUUUAUUGAGAGAGAGAAAACGUCUUUUCCAAGCAUCACAUGAGCACAAGCAUCCAAUUUUCAAAAAUUUCAAAUUUUUUUGAAUUUUGAAAUUCAAAAUUUCAUAUUAAAUGUUGUGAAACAUUUUUAAUUAAAAUUAAUAAUUCAAAAUUCAAAAAGUGAUUCAGAAGAUUGAGUGUUUUAGUGGAAAAAAAUAGGCAUGAUAUGGGGAAGUGUGUGUUAUAGAAGAGAGAAGACUAUGUAUGUCUAAACUUCUACUAAAAUAAAAAAAAGAAUUAUGUAAUAUUUGAAAAAAGAAGGGAAAAUUAGAGAAUACUAAACUUAUAGUUGUGUAUUUAAGUUAUUUUUCCAAAAUAAAAGACGUAAGUUGGUUCUAUAAUUUAGUCGAUACAUCACUCGAUAAUUCAAUAUCAAAUCAAUCGGUAUAUUACUGGUUAACUAAUUGAUUAAUACAUUUGAAAAAUCGAUAUUUAAUAAGUUGAUUGAUUAACUGUAAUUAUUUAUCUGAUUUGUCCGAUGAAUAAUUUUGAUUCUAUACAUCUCUACAAUCUUGUGGAUAUCAUAUAUCCCGGAUUCACCUAAAUAACAAUUUUUUUAAAACAUAAACAUAGCAUAAAUUAAAUUAACAAAUUUUACAUAGGCUUUGUUUAAUCACUUUAUUAUAGUUAUAUUUAAUCUGGAUAAAUAUUCAGAUCUCCGUAAUCUCAUAUAUAUUUACAUUGCAAUGUCUAAAGACAAAAGUUUUAAAAAUUAACAUAAAAUUAUAUUUAUUAAAUAAGUAAUUAACAAUUCUAAGUCCUAAUCCUAAAAAAAGCUCUCUUUCAUAUACCAAACUUGUAUCAAGAUCGAUAAAUUAAUAACAAAAUAUAUCAUAUAUAUAAUCAAGACAUAAUACAUAAAUAUGUAGUUUAACAUGGUUUCAAAUUAUAUUUAUAUCUUUCAACUUUGAAUGUGCACAAGUAAAUACUUAAACUUGUAUAAAAUUAAACAAAUAGACGCAUAUAUACAUGUCAUUAUUUGUCCUACGUGUAUUGUACCAUGUAUAAUUCGUGUGUUCAUAUGUUCUAUAUACAAGUUUAAGUGUCUACUUGUAUAUAUCUAAAGUUGGAGGACAUAAACAUAAAUAAGGCCAGAUUAAAAAGCACGUUUAUGUUAUAAUCAAAAUUGUAGUAAAAUCAACAAGCCAAACACGAAUAUUCUUUACAAAAUUAGUAUCAUUAAUUAUUGAAAAUAUUGAAUUAAGACAAUUUAAUUGUGGAAACUUAAUUAGCAAUAUAUUUGUCUGGUAUACACUUAUACAACUUCAGUUUGUUUUCUUUUAAACCCUGAGAUCUCGAAUUAAAAUUUACAGAAAUAAAAAAUAUUAAAUAAAAUAAAAUAAUGAAUUUCGAAUAUUAAAUAGUCCAUCCCGCUUGAAAUUGCUAGCCAAUAAUCUGUUGGCUAUGCAAUACUAGUGCUUUUAUAGCUUUCAUAGUCCCAAAAUGCCUCCUUUUUUUUCUUUUACCGUUCAAUAUUUGUAAUUCACUAGCUCUUUUAUUUUUUAAAAUAUUAAUUUGAAAUCUCACGUUUUCAACAAAAUUGGCUCUUUAUAGAAAAAACCCUCUCAAAAAUUCAAGAAAAUUGAAAAACUUGAGGUUGAAAAUUCUGACUAUAAUUUCGUUGAUUUAAUUUAUAAAUUUUAAAAUUUAACAUAAAUAAUAUAAUUUAAUAUUUAAAAAUUUUAAAAUCAACUCGAUCCAUAUAUAUUGACCAACCAACAGAUUAUGUCAUUAAUCUGUGUGCAAGAAUUCAAAAUACACACACUUUUAUUAGUCUUGUUGACUCCUACGAUAACAUGUACUUGACAAAACUAGCAACUCUAAAUUGGUAGUCUUCCAAUACUUGACAAAAAGCAUAUUGUAUAAAUAGAAUUUCUGCUACAAAUUAUUUAUAUUCAUUAAUUGUGUUUCAAUAGCAGCAACAAAUUCAUACCACAAAAAUGAGUGUAGAAGUUCUUGAUGGCGCCACAAUCCUUAGCUUCGUGGAAGACGAAGAAGCGUUCAGUGAAUUUAUCGUCGAACGCUUCAACAAUCUCGAUAAAGAUCAUGAUGGCAUACUUUCUUAUUCAGAAAUGUUGAAAGAGUUGCAGGUAAGGGCAUAUCCAAGCCAUAUAGUUUAAAGAUUACUUUUUAAUGAAUAUAUAAUUUCAAAGAUUAAAGGUAGGUAAGAAUAAUAAGGUCAGUGUACACGUCAUCUUCUAGAGAAUUCACGUUUCAAAUUACAAUAACAUCAUGUUUUUUAUAUUCAAUUUCUCUAACUAAAUUUUGAAUAUUAUUCUUAAUAAAAUUCUUGAUUUCACCACUGGUUGCAGGGGUUAAGGGUUUUCGAUACACAUUUUGGUAUCGACGUGAAAAUCGAUCCAAACGAGAUUUCUCGAGUUUAUAGUUCAAUUUUCGUUCAGUUCGAUCACGACUCGAACGGGACGGUGGAUUUAAAAGAAUUUAAACAAGAGAUGAAGGAGAUGAUGGUGGCUAUGGCUAAUGGUUUAGGGUUCUUGCCAAUUCAAAUGGUACUUGAAGAAAAUAGUUUCUUGAAGAAAGCUAUUGAUAGGGAAUUAAAAUAUUACUCUAUAUAAUAAGAAUGGUUAAAUAUCUUGUAUUUUGUCGUAUCAAUUUACUACACAUGGUUUAUACAUGCAAUAUCAUUAAAAUUAUGAGUUGUAAUAUUUUGAAAUAAAUUUGAUGUAUUAUGAUUUAUUAUUAUACUUUAUAAAUAUAGAUUUUGUUUCGUAUAUUUCUAUGUAAAAGUCCCAAAAUAAGAAAUGAUUAUUUAUAAUUUCCUCUGAUUUAAAAUUUUACUGAUAUUUUUUUUAAAAAAAGUUAGAUUUCAUACUUAUUAUCUUAAAAGUAUCUAUAUAUAUCACACCGUGAUAGAUCAUUUUUCUUACCAAUUAUUAUUACACCGUUCUUUAUCAUAGAAUUCAAACUUCUAGAUAAACCGGACGGCUUCUACGAAGAAGGCGGCGCAUAAGAGGCUCGACGGCUUGUUAAGGAAGGCGGCAAGGGUCGACUAAGGGUGGAAAACGAAAAGCGUUUUUUGGUCCCCUGAGCCGGAGGGUGCUUGUGUGUGUGGGUGAAAGGGGGGGGGGUGCCACGAUGAAACAAGGGAAUGAAAGGCCGCUAUGCGUUGGAUGCUCUUUAACCUCCCCAUGACUCCGUUGUCUUGAGGAGCGUUGAAGCUUGCUUCUUCGGAAGACUUUUCUUAAGUCACACACACAAAAAAUGGCAAAAUAUUUGCGUCUGCCGGGAGUCGAACCCGGGUCUAUUGCUUGGAAGGCAAUUAUCCUAACCGUUGGACUACAAACGCUUUGAUGACAGAAUUAUAUUAAGAAAGUUAAUAUACAAACAUGAAACAAAACAAGAGUUGUGAUUCUCACAUAGUAUACUUUUUAAAUGAAUUGAACUAAUAAAUGAACGGAUUAAUAAUCAACCUAUGAGAGAUAUUGGGAUAAGAGUGCAAAGACUUGUCAUCUGUACAUUUCAAAUUGGUAGCAGGUUUACGAUACAGAUAGUUAACUUGAAAAAUUUAAUUACAAAGCUCGAGGAACCCAAAUGUAUUUUCACCGCUAUAUGUCAUAUAAAGGAAUCCGUCUUCAUCCUUGUUUUCCUCGUAAAUUGCAGACAUCAGAGCAGCUGCAACAGGAAGAUAUGUCAAAGACAAAUGUCUCGGAAUAGUAUCGAGACCUUAUGUUAUAAUCUACUUCACUUACCAGUUGGAGGCAGAAUGUUUUUGACAAAGACAUAUAUGGCCUUUUCUGCACUGAGAUUGAUCCUCUUUCGGACAACGUAAACAAAUUGGCCAACAGUCAAGUCAGCUGGGACGAGAUACCUAUGUCACGAACGUAACAGAAAUAAAUAAUGGUCCUGUCGGAUCUACUUAUACAUAGGAAUGAACAAUCGGCAACAAUCAAGUAGUAUGAGACUAAUUCUGUUAACAUAUUGAAGUUUAUUGCGCAACAAGUAGCAUGACACUCGAGCAGCAGCCUGUGUUUAAUUGCGAAAGGAAGAAACACAUGAGGUACUGAAGAAAAGAAGCAACUUACUUCUUCUUAUCAAUGUCGGAGAUAUCACUCUUUUCUGCUCUCUCAACAAUCACCUGAAUGGGAAACAUAGCCACGAGAAAUAAGGGUACUGAAGUAUCAAUGAAGUGCAAGACCUUUUUAACACCAGAUAUCAUACCGGAAUUCUGUCAGGAUACUUCUCCCUGAUGCGAGAAGAUUCCGCCUGUCUCCUCUCUAUUUAAAAAGGACAAACAUUGAUAACAUCAGCAUAAUUACAUACAUCCUUUUUGUCUCAUUCCCCGGCUUUUCUUAACCAGGAAGUUAUCAGCUCAAGUAAAUAAGGAUAUGCUCGAAAGAAAAAGAAAAGAACAGGCAACACAUCUGAUAUCUUGAAGGCUGAAGCUAUAUGGAAAGAAAAGCAUCAAAAACCAUCACUUCCUAUACUAGUCGGCAAUCCCAAAUCAGAAUAUCAAACAAUCAACUAAAUAUCAACCGCAAAAUCAGUUGGGGUCAGCUAUUCCACUCAAUUCAUUCCCAUACUAAAUAUUGCCUUCUAAGGCAAAUAAGAAUUUUUCUAAUGAAACUUAUCUCGACUAGUUGGUGUUGUCGAUUUGAAUAAGCUGUGUUUUAACUAAAAGCUGCAAUUAUUCCCUGAUACUUCAGUGAUGAAUUUAUGCACCUGAUAUAUUCGUAGAUUCAGGAAGACUAAUAACAGAAUAUAUAUAGACCAUCAGACCAUGAAAGGAUAUAGAUCAAAACUUCAAUGAUAUCUGGUUGUUGCUUUACCAAAUAUUUACCUUUCGUCAAUUAACUUGCUCUCAAAGAGGCAUCUAGAAAUAUUCAAAUAUAUACAAUGUAACAAGGAGGUUACAAAGCAUAAACAUCACUAAACUACCCACAUCCUGGCACCUGCCAACCUAAGCUGAUGUAGCAUUUGGAUGGUGGGUAUAGCUGCACCAACAGCGUGUGCAAGCAAACUAACUGUGAAGCCACUUACAGAGGAUGGGUCAAGCAGGACUGGCCGAAGAUGAGAUGUGCAUGACAUGACUUAGGCAAAUCCCACAUCAAAAUGGGAGAGGAAAGUGGAGAGCUUUAUAAAGCAUAGCUCAAGUUCACAUAGUACAUGCAUAAUUAGGGUCGGAUGUGCAUAUCCCGAAAGACAAAUCCGUUUGGGCCUAGGUCCAAAGUGGACAAUACGUGCUAUGGAUUUGAAUCAUGAAAAUAUGGUAUGAGAGGGGAAAACCUUAGAGCUAGAACUGCUUAGGGCGUAUUUGAUGCCCUUGACAGAAGGCAAGCUAAUGAGAACUUCUAAAGAUAAGGUGCAUAUGACAUCUUAGACGACUCCCAGUAAGAGGAAAUUGAAGAGUUUUAUACGACAUAGCUCAAGUUCACACAGUAAGUGCUUUUAUGGCCCUUCUGUAAAGACAAAUCCUUGUUAGCCUAGGCCCAAAGCGAACAAUACAUUAACACACACAUGUAUGUCUACAAAUAGCACACCUACGUAGACACUAUUAGCUGCUAUAGCACAACUUUUCUUCAACCAAGCCCUACAAUUUUAUAUAGGAAACUAGUAUUAUCAUACAAAUUAAAUUAAUUGAUCAAUACUCAAUAAUUAUCCUCAUUAUGUAUAUGUAUACACAUAUAAUCCCCCCACCCACCUACUCACCCACACUAAGUCUGCACACAUUUACUCUACAACAACAACAUACCCCGUCAAAUCCCACUAAGGCAGACCUUACCACUACCUCGUGGAGGUAAGAGAGACAGUUUCCCAAAGACCCUCUACCUUAUCAUCUCUGUCUACCAAUAAUUCAAUUUAAAGAUAAUCAAAUCAUGUCCAACAAAGAAAAGUUAAAAGAAAACAUACCCAAAGGAUGUUCAACCUUGAAAGAACUCUUAGCCAUUGAAAGACUCAAACUUUUAUCUCUUACUGCAAAUUUCAAACAUCUAAAGAACAUCAGAAUCACAUAAAUAUACACUUAUAAACGCAAUUCAAGCAAAAGGGUAUCUCUAAAUUUACUCAAAAAUGCAAGAAAACCACAAAAAAAAUUAACUUUAAUAUAUGAAUCUUUUCUACACAUCAAAAUCAAGAAUCAUAAUUAUAAACAAAAUUUUUACCAGAAUUCAACAGAGAACAAAUUGUUUUUUUUUUCUGAUUUCUGAAUCGUACACGAAACUUAAUGAUUUUUGUUGAAAUUCACAAGAAAACUCUAUGAAUUAUUGCGAAUUAUUUAUGUAAUUAUUCAAAUUUAUAUGUUUGGAUCCGGUAAUAAAACGACAUCGUGGAGUAACUUAAAAGGAACAAACGGCUGCGUUUUGUUUGCGUGGUUGUGGCAGUUUGCGUAUAUAAUGGGACUUGCCAUUUAUAUUUAGAAUUUGAUUAAGGAAAGAAUCUAUUUUAAUGAAUUGUUUAGUCAAUUAAAUUACAAAAUUAUUAAGUCUUUUUCUUUUUUAAAAAAUAAAUUAAUAUGCUAUAAAUUUAACCAUUCGAAUAUCCUAAACUCACUAAUAGUAGUAGAAGGUGAUAUCUUGCCUUGCUAUUAAGGAAAAUUUAAAAAAAAAAUAAAAAAUGAUGCACAACGCAUUAUAUAUUUAUGCAAAUUAAUAAAAUUUUAUACCGUAAUUAAAUGUGAUGAAAAUAGCCUACUCUGAUUUGAACUCACACUAAUAAAACUGACUACUUGUCUUGCUAAUAAGAAUAAUUAUAAAAAGAUUAACUUGAUGCACAAAGCAUUUCACAUUCACGUAAAGUUUAAAAAAGAACUACAUUUCCUCAUUUAUACAUCUUGAUGCGCCUACAACUUAUUAAUUCCAUAAUUUAAACCUAAUAUAUCUAUGUUACUACUUAAAAAUAAUUUCAUAAUUUUACCAUUGUUGAAAACUUUUUUAAGCUGAUAAGGAAGAUCAUAAUGCAACUGAGAAAUGACAUUUUGACACAUGAUGAAGAUGGAUCGUCUUAUGUUAUUGGUUGAAUGCUACCAAAAUUAUCAUAGUAUCAUAUAUUAUUAAUAAAUAUUAUUAAUAAUUAUUAUUAAAUUAUUAAAAAUGGAAAGCUCUUAACCUUAAAGUAUAAUUACCAUUUUGUCUUUUUACUUAUCCUAAUUUUAAAGUUUGAUUAUUGUUUUACCCUUCUACUUAUUUUAAAUGAUUAAAUAUCUAAUUAAAUAAUAAUAAUUUAAUUACGUAAUUACAUGAUUUGAAUUUCAUGAAUUAUACUUUAAUUCUUUAAUUAUGACAUUACAAAUUUCUUUUGUUUUCUACUUCUUUUUAGCUUCCAUACCUUUAAAAAAAAAUUCAUAUCUUUUUAUCUUGUAUUAAACCAAUAGCUUUAGCCUUUGGUCCAUUGUCAAUUUAUUUUAAUGUUUUAUUUUUUAAAAAUGCUCAAAAUUUGGUGUAUGCACAACACUCUCUAGAUAAAGAUAUAAUAUUUUUGUAUUAAUUUCUUCAAUUAACUUUCCUUUAAUAAGUUGUGUAUCUGCUCAGUUUUUUUAUUUUUUUACUUUAAGAAAUUUAUACUAAUUAACAUAGUAUACACGACAUGUAAUGCAUGUGUUUGAAAAUUAAUUUACUAUAAUGAUAAUGAUUUUAUUCCAAGAAAUCAAUCUUUAUUAAAAUGACAUUCCACAAUUUGCUAACACCUCCUCGCAUAGAAAAGAACAAUUUGACUUCUAGCAACCCUUCUUGCAAUAUACAUUCAUGAGCUAUUUGUUGUUAUGAAUUAUCUCUCCGUCCAUAAGUUAAUUCUCACGAAAUUUUAAGAUUAAACAUAAAAAAAAAUUUGAUUUAUUGAAUAAGUCUCUAAGUUUUAUGUUUUGUUGGUGUAAAAAUAUUUAUAUAAUUAGGCUAUGUUGCUCGGACUCUUCAAAAUGUCAUUGAGUGUGUGUUGAAUCCUUAAAAAAUAGUCAUUUUCUGCAUAAUUCAACACGUGAAGUUCAAACAGCAUAGCUUGGUUGUAUGUACAUUUUUUACAUCGAUGAUAGCUAGCACUUAAGAAUCAUUCAAGAAAUCAACUUUUUCCCUACAAUAUCACGAUUGUGUGUCGAAUCAUCCAAAAAAGUAUUUAAUUUCUUGAGGAUCCCAACACAAAUGUAACAACAACAUAACAAAUCAAGUGAUAUUAACAUAUAAAUCACUAUAACAUACAUUAAUUGAUAACCUUACAAAAAAAAAUUAUUAUUACUAACCUGAUAGUAUAAAAAAUAUUUUCGCAAUUACUAUUUGAGUAUACUAAGAACCAACUAGCCAAUUUUCUCAAAUAUUUAUAGGUCUAGUUGGGUUUUCUUGGAAAUCAUCAAAACACAAAAAUCUUCACUUAUGGACAAAUAGCUCUUAAUUAAGAAGAAGAACAUGUUUUAUCCUUUUUCUAAAAAUUGGUACAUUGAAUUGAAUAACAUAUUCCACUCAAAAUUUCAAAAAAAUAAUAAAAAUACACAGACUUCAAAUGCUUAUAUUAUAAGGAAAAAAAUGAAAAAAACAGAGAGAUAAUUCAUAACAAUAAUAAACAUAGUCAGUGUAAUUUCAGAGCUGAGAUCUGAUAAUAUGAUGUAUACCAUGCAGUCGUAACUUCUAUUUAGUAAAAUUAGAAAUAUUGGUUAUGAUAAUCAACUGCUUAUAUAAUAACAAUAAAUAAUGCAAUAAUUGAAGUAAAGAAAUUUAUACUAAUUAACAUAUCCACUAUCUAGAGUAAUUAAAGGCGCACUUAAGCCCUAAAGUGAGGCACAAAAUAUAUUGAGCACUUCACCUCUCUUCACGUGCCCUUCAAUAUCAUCAUCAAGGCUAUAAGACGUACUUUUUCUUACCAAAUGAAAAGGUGACACUAAACCAUUGAUAUUUCACUUUAUCUGUCCUUCUUCUAAUUUCUUUGUCUAUAUGUUUGUUAUUUUUAAAUUAUGAUCUUAGCCUUAGACUAUAUACGCUAAACAUGUUUGUCUAUAUGUUUGUUAUUUGUCCGUAUUUUUGCGUUUUUCGCCUUUUCUACUUCGAUAUCUGCUGUUGCUGUUAUGUUUGAAACUAUGCUGCUAAUUUUCUUUUGUUAUGCAAGUACCAACAAGUAGAAAAUUUCUGAAUUCGUAUAAUUGUCAUCAUUCAAGUUAGUAAGCUAAUUUUACUGCCCCCAACAAUGUUAUUUACUCACAUAGGGGCUACCAUAACUGUUCUUGCAAGUAACAACAUGCCUAAUCUUAUUCCUGUUUACUUCUGUCUUGAAUCUGUACUGCUUGAACUACUGUUUGACUCCCUUUUAGCCUCAUCUAAUGCUCCAUUUUGCUUCUCAUCAGUCCCUAAAGUUAGUGGUAUGAAAGGAUUAUAGUAAGAAGAAUAUGGAUGUAAUGUAAUACAGCUUCCAGGUGCAAUAUAUCCAUAAGAAGAGGGGUAAGGGAAUGGAGCGAUCGCAUUAGGUUGAGGCCAAUAUACAAAAGGCAUGACAGAGUUUGGUGGAUACAUUGGGAAAACAGGAUAAGAACAUUGGUUAUGGUAGUGAAUAUUGGCUGCAGUAUUAGCCAUUUCAGGUUUUCGCGUAUCUGCUGGUGCUUGAGUUGAUGGUAUUGGUAUAGUCAUCUGACUUGGAGACGAGGCGUAGCCCAUUAGUCCAAAUGGUUCAGGAGGUGGGGCAGAACAUGAAGGUUUAGAAUGUAUAGUUGUAGCUUUUUCUGAUGUUUUGGUCUUAGAGAUUGCUUCUCUCUUGACUUUCGAUGACUUCGUUGAUGCUUUUUUCCCUUGCUCUGAAGUGGGACUAAUAUUCUGGAACAACAUGAACAAUUGCAUCAAAAAAGACCUUUUUAACAGGAAUAAAAAGGUAUUUAAGUCUAAAAUGUGAAAGCUGAACUCAAAAUUGAGGGUGAGGUUUUCACAUGAUGAUUAACUUUAAAGUCACAAACAAUGAAUACCUUGCCUAGCAUAACUUAUACUCCCUCCGUUUCAAUUUAAAUGUCUUUAGUUUGACUAAGGUACAGAGUUUAUGAAAAUAAAUGAGACUUUUGAAUCUUGUAGUUACAUUAAGAGAGUGUGUAAAUGUGUCAAAAUCUUCUUUGAAUCUUGUGGUCUUAAACAUGUCGUUCAAAAUGUUGGAAUGAAAAAGUUACCAAAUACAGAAAGAGGUGUUCUUUUUAAAACGGAAUAAAAGUUAAGACACUUAUAUUGAAACGGAAGUAGUAUUCAUGAGAACAUUUAGGCAGGAAUUAUUAUUAGUGACUUGAUCUUGAUGUAACUGAGUUUUACUUUGCAUCAGAGUUGCCACUAAUUUUGGAGAAAAUGAUUAUGAGUUGCAGAUCUUACAAUAGCAUCAGUCUCGGUAUGUGAUAGAAAUAACUCCUCCUUUUCUGCAUCCUCAUCUGUCCUGCAAAUAUGGAUAUGAUUUGACAAUAAGAAGAAUCAUUCGAGCCCAACAAAAUCGAAAAAUUGCCCAGCAGAAUGUCUGUGAACAAGGUAAAAGGGCAGCCAGGUGCAUGAAGCAUCCUCGUUCAUGAAGGGUCCGAGUAAGGGCCAUACCCAAGGGGAUGUGAUGGUGGCAUCUUACAUUGAAUCAAGCAUCAGUCGCUGAUUCUACAGAUCGAACAUGUGACCUCGACAAACUUUACAUUGCUCCAAGGCUCGAAAAGGUUUUCUUUUUCUUUACAUUUGCUUCCUUUGAUCAAUUCGGAGUUGUUUUUGUGAUACCAAAUCAUUUAUAGGCAUUCUGAUAACUUGUAAAAAUGUACUCCCUCCAUCCCGACCGAUUUAUGUGUGUUUCUUUCAAAAAGAAUGUUUUUAUAUAUUUUGUAUGUUUUGAAUUCCAACAUUCCCAUUUUACGAUUACGACCCUCUCUUAUUGGAGUGUGCAUGACAUGUUCAAGACUACAAGAUACAAAGGGUAUUUUUGGUAUGUUAUACGCACCUUUAGCUUAACACCACAAGAUUCAAAAUCCUUGUUUACAUUCUUAAACGUCAUAUCAAGUCAAACUAACAUAACGAAAUGAAACGGAGGGAGUAUGUACUCAUUUUCCGCGAUGCACUAUAGGCUACUUGAUAAGUACACAAGACAAACAUGCUAUGCAGAAUACCUGUAAUACUUCUGUAAGAGGUCCAAGUUCUUAUAUUUGGUUUCUCUUUGAACCAGGUCAUUAGGAAAGCCAGCCAUGAAGAGAAGUGUAAUUCCUAAGGCCUUAAAGAAGAAGCUUCCGCUGCGAAUAUGGAUCAGCAUAGCCAUCCGACAUAUCACCGGACCAAAAGAUUUCAGUUUGUUUCUUCCCAUUCGCUGCCGGACAUAUCUGGUAUGACAAUGCAUCAAUUUACAGACUAGUAAAAUCUCAUCUAUGAGAAAAAAAAUGCCUAAUUAAUUUCAUGUUUGUGCCUUCAGACAAGAUUUUGAUAUAUAUAGACACAACUAAAAACUCAAUUUUGUUGUAAUGUUAACUAGAUCAUUCAAGUUAUAUACAUUACAAUGUAAAGGAUUUUUACACUAUCACUGCAUUUUUUAGUUUGUCAUAUCAGAUUCUAUAUGUAGAGUUACCUAUAGGUCAACUGAACCUACAUAACACAAAAAAGUCCCUUACAUGGUCAGUACAUGAAACAUGAAGUUAAUAUUAUUGCAACGAGAUGUAUAUUAAUUCUAUAGUUUUAAGCAGUCUUACUCAUUUUGAGGAAGAUUUCUUGUCCUUCCUCCAUACUUGAUGCAUAGGAAUAAGCAUGACGGGCAGGUGGCAUCCGAGGGACGCAUAGACUUCUCCUCUUCAAGUAUUUUAACAGGACACAAGGUUGGGUUGUGUCUGUUGGGAUAGAAUAUCUUCCUCCGAAAUCCAGGGUUGUCGUAUAAUACAUGCUCCUGGUACAGAACAUAUCAAGUCAAUUGAAAUUUGAACCACUUGUAAGUAUAAGAAAGUGAUACGCCAAAAGUUUUUAGACAUUCAUGUUUAAUAAAAUAACUAAAUGUAUAAUAUGUGUAUAACCAUGUAUAAUAUAUGUGUAUAAUCUAUGUAUACGGUCUAGAGUUAGUAAACAGUGAAGCGACAUAUAAUUGAAGUUUAGUGGCAUACCCCUGGAUUUUUUGAAUCUAUAUAUGGUUCUCCCUUGUGUAAAAUGCUGAAAUGAUUGAAGUCUAGUUCAUACAUGUCUUCACUCCCGUGCCUUGUACCAAGAGGUGUGAAAACUAAGAUUUUUCUCAUAGUAUGAGAUUGAGCAUUUUCCAGUGAAAGUUCUUUUGAUCCUAGCAUUUUCUUUACUUCCUUGGGACAGAAUGCCAUCUUUAGGGACUUUUUAUGUGACGAUGCACUUCCCGGUCUUCUUAUUUCAUGAUCAAUAGGACAGGCUUUUGAAAGCUCCUCGUAUGCUUCGAGCAUAUUAGUUUCUGCGUUCUUGCAGACGUCCAUAUCUGCAUGAUGAUCACAACUUUCCAAGACGGGUGGAUCACUUGCUUCACCGGUAUCUUCUUUCAGUUCAUCGCUCUCCUUGUCAAUUUGCAAGCUCUUGACAUUUCCUCUAUCUACAAUGUCAGUAUAAGUGCCACUGUCCUCGGAUUCUUGGUCAUCUUCGUCUUCACUAUCAUCAGGGUUGUUAUCUUCUGCUGAAUCACUGUCUUUGGAUCUUUCAAAAUUCAGAAACUGAGUAUCAUCCGUGCUCAUCCAAUUCACUAGGCAAUGUUCUGUAUGAACGUCUUUCGUUAGGAAAAUUUCGGUAUGAUCCUUCACCUCUGAGUCCAUUUUUCGUGUUCUGUCCUCAUUAGGGUCGAUGUCGAUAGAUUGUGCUACUCUUUGUCUCUUGAGCUUUCUGAAAUGCCUUUCGUCUAUACUUUGACUACUGGCCUGUGAUACAGAUAUAUUAAACACGACAUAUUCCGUUAGUACUCAGCAUUGAGCACAUACAUAUUGAAUGUUCAUAAAAUUUACAGGAAGAUUUUCACUUAUAGAAUUGUUAUAUUAUAUGCUUUAAAUCUCUGGUGCUGCAUAUAUAUACAUAGAUAAUAUAUCAGGAUAAAAUUUUACUUCUCAACAUAACAUAAAUGCAUUAGUGCUGAAACUCUGAAACAGUAGCUAGUGAUUAGUUAUGUUAUGAGAAUCUAUCAAUUUCAAAUUUAUUUACUAUGCUCAACCAUAUGCUUCUGCAUUUAUUUUUUUUGACUUUGGAAGUGAAUCAUGUUGUUGCAUACGCUCCGGGGAGAACUCAUGGUUGAACUUUUAUAUACACACAUAACCUAUGUUGUUUACUAUUCAAAAAAUGUUGUCUUAUACGUGUCAGAUCCUCCAAAAAUGCACUACUUUUGGAGGAUUAGUCAUACACCAGUUGGCAUUUUUGAAGAGUUCAAGUACAUAGCUUAUAAAUCAUUACUUCACUGCCUAAGCAUAAACUUGCUAGCUAUUGAAGUUCAAAUAUCUAUUAACUAUUGAACUCUGCUACCAGUAUCUUUUCAAGUAACUGUCCAUUUGAACAUUUAAGUCUUUUAGAAGAGCAAAACAUCAUGAAAAAAGGAACUCCGUAGAUAUCUGAUAAUCUCAAGUUAGCUCGAUCAGAUGAAAAUAGACCUCGAGUUCCUAACUCAAUCUCUAAAGCUUAGCUCGUGAGAUGAGAACUGUCUCCGAGACCAUAAAAGGAUACAACAACUCAUUCCCUUAACCAGUGUGUGGCACACUUACCAAUAGUGAAGCAAAAAUAGCUAAUAUACAUAUAAAAAGUUGAGUUGAGAAAUCAUACAUUUCCAUUUGAGAAGUUGAUGUCUUUAUGUUUUCCUUGUAUGUGAGAUUCAAGAACUGAUAUUCUCUUCAUUAGCUUCGCGUUUUUCUGUUUUUCCCUUUGCAAUUCUGCAGAUAUCUCAGCAAUAUUGACAUUCCGAGUUUUCUCUUCUUUCAGUUCUUGCUCAACAGUGCAACAUGUAGCAGAACCAUUCACCAUGCUGUUUCUCAACAUUCUUGUUUGUGAUAUUUCACCACAAAUCCACAAAUAGAAACUAGUUUUAUUAUUUUUAUGUUGGCAAGAGGCAGAGCUAAGGGUCAGGGCGUCGUUGAAAAAUUAUAAUGUAUAUACAAGAUCAAAAUUACCAUUUGUGUUUGUAUAUAUACAUCACAUGUUGAAUCCCUUUGUUGACUUCUUCGUAUAUUUACUUCUUUAUAUUAUGAAGGCAACACUAGUCUCUCCCUAUAAGUGGAGUCUGGUGAAGGAUCAAACCACGUUGAGUUUAUUGUAUAGUAGAUAUUGAGCCUGUGUCUUGACUUCUUCGUGUGUUUACUUCUUUAUGUUUUGAAGGGAAACACUAAGCUCUCCCUAUAUAAGUGGAGUCUGGAGACGGAUCGAACCACAUUGAGUCUCUUGUAGGUAGUCUCCCUGCAUUUUUUGCAGGUAUUUUUCUCGUACGACUUUCUAGUCAAGUUUAAGACCACAAAAUUAAAGUGCAUAUCUUACGUUCUACGUAUCUUCAGUUUAAGACUACAAUAUUCAAAAAUCAUUUUUUAUUUUUAAAAUUUCGUAUCGUCAAAAUCAAACAAAUAAAUUUUGAAACGGAAGGUGUAAUAAAAAUAACUUGUGUGCAACAAACAGAACACUCAAUACUUUUACUAAAACAAAAUUAAGAACUAUAUAUAUGUCUUCAAGAUUGAUGCAUAGGUUAAGGAAUCUGUUUACUUCUGUCAUUCAAUUCUUUGGUUGAUUUUUUUUUCUUUUUAUGGCACAAAAAUUAAAAUAAUACUUAAUAAGAUAACAAUUUUAAAAAAAGAAAGCUUUGCUGUUAAGUGAGGUUAGUUUCCCAAUAAUAUUAAACAUUAGGAGCAUCCUAGGCUAUAAUUUGAUGUUUCAUAUUUUUUUUUUAUUUUCAAUUCUCUCAAAAAUUCUGACUUUAUCACUGAACUGGAACUGAAAUAGUGAUAGAAAUCAAUGUGCGAGUUCGAUCAAACUCAUAGUCCUAAUAUCCAGAAUUUACAAUAUACAAAGCUCAAAUCUUUACUCUGCAUGCACUUAUUUUUCUUGUUCAGUAUUCGAUUAAGUCUGACUAAUUCAGAUUUAUACGAAGCUUCUUACUAAAAAUUUUUCCAUAUUUAAAAUUCAAACUUCCAUCGUAUUAUAUUCUUUGAUGGUGAUCAUAAAUAUUUCAUCUCUCCACUCCACAUAGUAAACUCCAAGAAUCAACAUUUAUUAAAGACCAAUUCUUUUAGGAAAAAUUACACAAGUAUCUCCUCAACUUAUGUCCGAAAUUUCAGACAUAUCUAUAUUAUAAUAAGAUUCUAUUACCCCCUGAACUUAUUUUAUAAGUAAUUUUCUACCUGUUUUCGACCUACGUGGCACUAGUUUAAAAAAAAAGUCAAUCAACGUUAAGCUCACAAAAUAGUGUCACGCAAAUCGAAAAGGAGUGAUUUCGAGCAUAGAUCGAAGAAAUACUCAAUACAUUAUCUUUUCUUUUUAUAUGAAUUUUAUCUUGGCAUAUGAGCCCAAUGUAGCAAUGACAGUCUGUUUUUUCCAAGACAAAAAAAAGGAGAAAGUGCACACGUGCACAUGAAUAUAAUAUGAAUUUUGGAGGUACAACAUAGAAUAUUUUAUAUUAACCUCACGUGCAACUGACAACUCCAAAAGAUUUGUCUCCAUUGCAAUUUAUAUCAAUAUAGGCUUAAAACGGAUAAUAUCAUAUUAAGCGAUUAAAUAUAUAUUUAAAUUAUACUAUUUUAGUAAUUGAUAUCAAAGCUAAUAAUUUAACGAGCAUAUUGAUGGUGAUAAAGUGAUAGGCAUGAGGUUUAGCUUAUUGUGUUUGUUACAUUAUACAAAUCAAUAUUCUAGUAUAAGAAAAAGUGUUAAAAGAGCAAAAAGAUAUAAUCACCAAAGAAAACAGAAGAUAGACAGUAGCAUUCCAUAAAUUUUUGUAGUAUUUUAUGUUAUUUGGACUCUAAAAAUAUUGUAAUAUUAUUGAAUUCUCUAAAAAUGCAUUAUUUUAAAUAAAUUAUCAUCUUCAUAUUCAGUGUCGUCUCUUGCCUUAGAACUUUUAGGCCAUUGCCUUAGACCCCCAAUUUUUGUGGCCUCAAAUUUCUAUAAAUAUAAAUUUAUGUUUAAUUUUUUCAUGAAAAAAAUAAUUAUUUAUAUAAAAAGUAUAUAUAUAUAUAUAUAUAUAUAUAUUUUCUAACACUCACAUUAUUUAUUUAUUUUAAAUCUUUAUGCACUCUAUUCUAUCAAAAAUAUGAAUAAAUAACUGAAAAUGAUAUAAAUAUAAUUAUUUAAUUUACUAUCUGGUUAUCGGUUAACCCCUUAAGAAAUAACUUCAAACCGUUAAAAAUCGAUAACCUGAUUAAAAAAAAUCAAAACCGUUAUCAAAACCACCAAAUCAAUAACCCAAUACUAUAAACCAAUAACUCUUUUACCGGUUUGGCUUAUCAAUUUCAAUUCGAUUUUGAACCGCCCUAUAGUUCAACUUGUAAAAACUUAAACAAAUAAACACAGAUAUCCUAUGUUGCAUCCUACAUGACAAUUUACGUUCUAUAUAGCAAUUUGUGUCCUACAUGAUAUCCCAUAUGUAUUAUGUCACAUACGUUGGACUCGUGUAUUUAAUUUGUUUAACUUUUAAGGUCAACAAAAAUCCCCUCUUUUUUUUCAAGCAUAAAGCUAUAUUCAGAUUGUCUUGUUAUAAUCUCUACGGGAGGUCAACUUCACAACGCGAUCCACACAAAAUUACGAAGGGGGAUCAAAUACAUUACAAGAAACUCGAAAUAUACCAUUAACUAGCUAUACACACAUUUUCCACGCGAACUCAACCUACACGAAAAAGGUCUCAUGUACUCCAGUGCUUUUUGAAGAUAGCUGAAGGAUUGAAGAAAUAUGGAAGUAUGUUAAGUUACUGAUCCUCUCGUGAUAGACAUCUCUCCAUCGUGCUGGCUGGUGAACGUUCUCUGCUCGUUGCAAGGGUAAUUUGCUCUCGAUGCACUAGAAAAGCUUUUGUUGUGGUUGUGUUGUUCCACUUCUCAUCAUAGCACAGAACUCCUCGUAAUUGAUCCUACCGUCCUGUUCAAAUGGAAGAGUUGGUAUGAAACUAUCCACACUAAAGAGUUUCAACAUCGAGCAUUUCAUAUAACACGACUUACAUUGUCAGUGUCCACCUCUGCGAUUAUCUCCUUGAUGGUGGCCUCAUCACCCAUACCAUAUUCCUUCAUAGCGUUUUCCAAUUCAUCUCGCGUGAUGAAUCUGAAUAACAUCAACAACAAUAAAAAGUGUACGCGUUACUUGCUCGGAAAAAGGAAAAGAAAAAAGAGGUGAAUCUGUAAGAAUGUGUGAAAUGUUAAGGUUUGAUACAGGCCACACCCAACUCAUAUACUACAGCCAUCAAAGUACAACAACAACAACACGCCCAAUGUAGUUCCACAAAGUGGGUCCAGGGUAGACCUUACCCCUACCUCAGAGGUAGAGAGGUUGUUUCCGAUAGCCCCUGGGCUCAAGAGAAAACUAGUCUAAAGCAGUCCCGAAAAAAGCAACUGAAGUACGAGAAAUAGCAGAUCGUAACAAAAACAGCAGAUAGUGAACAGUAACUACAACAAAAUAAUAUGAUAAUCAAAGUAUAAGAAACAAUAGAUAGUAACAGAAAUCUAAGGACAAGAAACUACAGGGGCAACACCACAACUACUUGUAUGGAGGGAUAGAGCCUUAAAAGUACAAUGCUUCUAAAAGGUUCAAAAAACAUAAAAAGAUUCCAAAAUAGCCGAGCAUAGAAACAAAACUCAGAGAGAUCAAUAUGUUACACAUACCGUUACAAAGAUUUAAUUUUUAACUCAGGAGGAUGUCUCAGAAUCACCUUUAGUCCUUGAUUUUAUAAACCAUAAUACUGUUGAUUUAAAAUGAUUCCCCUUGGUUCUUUAUACUCCGGAAGGUUUCAUGAUGGAACUACCUAUGCUAAAAACUAUGAGGGUCCAUCUGAUAUUCGGGUAAGCGUUAAGUAUUGUUGUAUUAACUCUCCCAAAUUAAAUAAAUAGGAAGCUACUCCCCUUUAAGCUUAUGUUUUUUGGACUUCUCUAAAAUGCUGCCACACCCGUACGGAUCCAACAAAAAUACACUACUUUGGAGAAUCUAGCACGCACCUGUCUACAUUUAUUAAGAGUCCGGCCAACACAACAUUAAAUAAAUGAAUUAUAUCCAACCACUUAUGGGCAAUCCCACCUAUAACUUAGCGUAAAUUAAGCAAUUAGAUGGCUUAGGAGGUUUUACACACAAUAUCUCAAUGGUCUAGCAUCAAAAGUUAUCACUUGCAAAACAUCCGGCUCCUAUCAAGCCAUUGAUUACCCUAUUGAUGCCAUGAAUCCAUACAACAACAAAAAACAACAACAUAUCCAAUGUAAUCCCAAAAGUGGGGUUUGGUUAGGGUAGGAUGUAUCUUUGUGGUAAGGAUAUGCCACUAUGUCAUAAUAUAAGAUAUACUAUAUUUUUCUUUUUGCUUCUGGAAAGAAUUAUCUUUAUUGAUCCGCAAUGGCAUGUGGAAUAUUUUCUGGACUCACCAAGAUUAGGAAGACAAAAUUUCAUUUAGAAGGUCAGAUAAAUGGAAGCCAUGAUCAUAUUUAUGGACUUACCCACUAUGGUCCUUGUCAAAAUGCUGAAAAGCUUUAAAAAGAUGCUCAUCCCUUUCUAGCCGAUGUCUAUGCAUCGUUGCAGUAAUAAACUCAAUGUAAUCAAUUGAUCCAUUUCCAUCCACAUCAGCCUGAAAUGUCAAGCCAUGUACAGGUCAGAAACUGAAAUAAAGCAAAAUCCUAUCUAGUCAGAGGCAUCAUACUCAGUCACUUACAGCUUCCAUGAGUUGCUUGACUUCAGUCUCCGUUAGCUUUGAUCCAAGCCGAGCCAAUCCCGACUUCAGUUCUUCAUAAGUGAUUGUGCCACUAUUGUCCGUAUCAAUGUUGUGAAACAUAGCUUUCAGACCCUUGAUUUCUUCUUCAGAUAAAUUUUCCGCAAUGACCUAGGGAAAUUACAAAUGUAACAGAAUAAGAGCUUACUUCAAACAUCAAAUGCCUAAUACAUACUACAUCUUCUAGAUAAUUCAGUAUGGACGGCAUCCCACAUCAUUUUUGCUACUGAAGAACCAACAACAAUAGUCAAAGAUUCUGAGCAAUAGCAGUCUUGAGAAAAUACUUAACCACCUGCAGUGCCAAAAUAAGAAUGCACUAUUAGAUUCUACCUUCAAUGCGAGUUUUUUGAGCUUGUUCAUUGCUCUGAACUGCUUCAUUCUGGACAGGACUGCACUGUCUAUUGGCUUAUCUGAUGCUUCUCCAAGUCGAAGCCAUGGAUGUUCUGCAGAAACAAGCACCAUGAAUGCUAAGUAUCAAACUAGCAAGAAGAACUUAAACCCAGCAUAUAGAGUAUUUAACACAAGCCGCCUCUUGCUUGCAGUCAAAGACCUAAGAAAUCUAGGAAGUAAAUUGGACAGAGAGAAGGGGGUUCUACACUAAAUCCAGAACCCUAGCCACUCCAGAUACUGCUCUUUCCCAGAUUUACUUUCAACCUGGAGACUGUUUCAACUCAAAGGGCUCAAUCAAACCAAAGUUGGGAUUGGCUAUAUGAAUCAUCUAUGACUAUUCCACAAUAUUUUAUCUAAGUUCGUCCCAUUUCUACUUUCUUUGAAUAAUUUGUUUUUAAGGCAAAUUAGGAACUCUCUAAAACUAGAGGUUCUCCAAAUCACAAUUUAUCUCUACAUUGGCAAACAAAUCUCUAAGUAGACUAGAAAAGCUCCUAUAUAACGCCAUACCUAAUGCAAGUGUAACCACUGAUAAAAUCUUAAGAUGCAACCAGGGCAGAUAUAGAGGGGCACGAGAAUAUUUACCUGAACCCCCUAGGCAAAAAUUAUACUGUCUAUAUAAUGCAAGGUAAUUUUUUUUUUUUUUUUUAUUAAUCUAUAUAUUUUUUGAGUCCCCUGAACACAAGAGCAGAUGUUGGCUCAAUUGUUUAGGGGUUUCAAAUUCAUCUUCAGGUUCUAAGUUCAUAUCCCAAGCCCUACAUUGUUAUUUUUCGAACCUCUUAGUGAAAUCCUGGAUUCGCCACAUGAUGCAACAAAUAGAUAAGCCUAGUCGCCAAUAAGGAUCUUCACUUCUAUUUGUGUUCUGUUCUUAGCUAAAUUUGAAUCAAGUCUGAAAUAUUGUAGAUUUUUUAGAUAACUGUCCUUCAUUUGAUUAGAGUCUUACCUCAUCCUCUUUUAGUGUUUUAAGCAUUAUACUAUUAAAUCUAUAGGACAAUGCAUGUGGAGGUCUACGUAUAUGGCCAGAUCAUCUCACACGACCUUGACUCAUUUCCCUCAGUAUGCUUACUUGCACCCUUAGAUAGACUAUGAUCGUUUCUAAUUUUGUCCAAAAUUGUAUGACCGCACAUGUAUCUCCAUUCAUGUUGUAGACAUAAUACGUCUUAGAGGCCUAAUGUACACUCUCACAUAAAAUUAUAUGUCACACCACUAUUCUAUAAAACUUGUAUAUCACUUUGGUAAGAAUCUUCAAGCCCAUAACUCUCAUCCAUUUCAGUCAUCUUAUUAAUUCAAUGUGUGAAACAUUCAUUAAUCAGAUCAUUCGUGCGGACAAUUGCCAUCACCAAAUCACAGUGUGUUAGUGAAGUAAAGAUCCAUAAUCUAUCCAAAGCAACACCAAGAUAAAAGCCAUACACUAUGGGAAAAUGAUAACGUAUUGGCUAUGCUGUAAUCAAGCCAAUGAUUUCAUUAAGGUCUGUUUCUGACAAAGCCAUGGAAAAGCAAUGCAGCUUAUACUUGGAAGAUCUACUAAAUGCAUGCAAAACCUAAACAUGACUACACCCUAUUUCAUAGAACCAAGUAAAGACAUGACACGCUGCUGUAACUUUUGAUUACAGAAAGGGAAAGAGAAAAGUACCAAGAACUUGCGCGGAAGUAAUUCUCUUCCUUGGCUCCUGCGUUAGCAUUUUCCGAAUAAGGUCCUUGGCACUAUUUGAUAUUGAUGGCCAUGGAUCACUUUGGAAGUCAAUUUCUCCUUUUAGUAUGGUAUUAAAUAUUCCCUUUUCAGUUUCUGCAAAGAAUUCGGGAAGACACGUUAACGGAACAGAACAUAGUGAGUAACACGGAGUAAACCAUCUUAUUAAACUUUUUUCUAUUGCCAUCCUUACCAGCCCAAAAUGGAGGUACACCACUGAGCAGAAUAUACAAAAUAACACCUGCACUCCAUACAUCUGCUUCCUUCCCAUAACUACGCCGCAACACUUCAGGGGCAACAUAAUAUGCACUACCAACUAUAUCACGGUACACCUUCCCUGACAUUUAUAAAUGAAACAUAAGUUCAUCUAUUCUAGAUUCUAAACAGAAGAGUGGAGGAAACAAAAGACAAUUGAAGUCAACUACUGAAAUGAUCCAUGCUGGAAUACUCAAAUAGCGGCAACACAAACAUAAAAGCAUAAAAGGUAUGUUAUAUUAAAUCAGAUGAAGGUCUAAGUAGUCUGUGAAUUCAGCUAAAGUCAAAGAACCCAAGAAACUCAGAUCACAAGUCAAGGGGAUGUACUUAUACAUAUAUCCCAAAAAAAAAGAGUGUAAAAUAAUAAUUACAAAUAACAAGGCAAAAGAAAAAGCAAAAGAAACUGAGAUUGUCCUCUAGAGUAAGUUGGGAUGGAUCCACUAAUAUUCUAACUUCAAACUUAUGCAUCACUUACAAUCUUUUAGGAUGCCAGUACCGCUGAUCUAGGAUAUUCUACAAAGAUCCAAGUGGAUUUUGUCUGGUUGACAACAUGCUAUCUUGGACAAAGAAUUUAUUAAGUCCGCUCUUUAAGUCUUAAUUGUUACUUUAUUAAAUCGAAUUAAAAAUUUUAUUAGCUCCUUGUAGGAACAAAUGAGUGAUUAGCUCAAGUAUCAGCAGAAUUUUUUAAAUCCAGUUAAAUGGGGAAGUAACAAAAAAAAAAGAGGGACAAGUUUUUUUAUGAUGGUGCUGUCCAGGCUGGCUUGCAUACACCUUGACUAUACAAACAGGUAACUUAGCCAACCAAGGCCUAUGCAAAUAGGAAGAAUCACCUAAUUGAUUUUUUUGCCUUCACCCUGAGAUCUCAUAGUUCUUCUCUCACUUCAUUGACCACUAGGCUACACCCUUGGGUAAAACGAGGGGAGAGGAGAGUUAUAAAAGUUAAAAUCUUAUACAAACUUUUGUUGUUUCUGUAGUGAUUUUAUGAGUCUGUACUUUGGGAGGUUAUAUCUGGUUUUUGGCUCUAAUCAAUAAAUAUAUUCCUACACUUCAGAUGUUCUAGGUCAAGCGCAGCCACCAUUUUCUCUUUCAUGCAUAUAUGGGUCAUGACUCGUGCCUGACUCAGCCAAGGAUAUCUUAAGGGAUAGAGAACUCAAAUACACCCUCUCUUUUUUUGAUUAGGUAAUAAUUCUAUUGAUUUGAGAUAACUCUCUUGUAUACAAGCAAUAUACGAGAAAGUAAACAACCUACACGAAAAUAUGGUUCUAGAAAAGACAUGCAAGCAUCUCUACAAAUGGGGAACUCGGGGUACACCAAAAUAAACCAAAAAGGAGGAUAUUUUCAAAUACUGGUCCCUUUUGUCUAGCACAAAUCAUUGCUACGCGGUUUAUUUGGAACUCUCCGGGAGGAUAAACUCAGUCACAAUAUACGUAAUCUGGAACAAUUUUUAAAAUUAGUUGUGGAUCAUGGACAUAUAUAUUUACAAAGAUGUUUAAUGCCACUGAUUUCAAUAAACUACUUCUCGAUUAGCUAGCAUGCAACUUUAACACUUAAUAAAUGAGUACAAUUUUUAUUCCAAAACUUGCAGUUUUCUUGGAGACACUUAAACUCUUCCAAGGUACUCUAGAGUCUAGACUGGAAGAAAAGAAUUCUUGACAUAUUCACCGAACAAGUGCUCUAUGCUAACACUUUUGCCAAUCUUGUAACAGACACAUUGCUUUACCAGGAAAGAGAUAGUUCAGUGAUGAGAGAUGCUCCUACAGAAAUUCACACCCUCAGUUAAAGAGUCUUACUCAAUCACCUUCACAACCCACAGGCCACUGACGGCAGCGAACAGUAGCAAGAUGAAAUUUGGGUUCAGGAAACUAGAUUGGAUCAUUAUUAUAGCAUGAAAAAUCCUCUUCGAUUAUCAGAACUACGACGGCGAACUGCAUUACAGAACAUAGAAAAUACAGAUCUGCGAGAUCUUUUGAAAUCUUAGUAGCUGCAAGACCUGCCAAGUUCCCACUUGAUCCUGCAAGUCUAAAAUCAAUACUUUUUGCAUUCAUGGUAAUCAUUGAUUGCUUGUUUGAUUGGUAGGAUUGAAACAAAUCUUAUUCUAGCUAACACAAGAAUACACUUCUACAAAGGUUUGUGCAUCUUUACAUUUUACCCCAAUCAAAUCUCUUCUUUUCAAAAAUUUGUCAAAUAGAUACUACUAAUGCGUCUUAGCACUAAAAAUGUUCUCAUGCAUUGCCAGACACAUCCCAAGUUGCUUGAACUCUUCACUUUCGGGGACAUACCCAUUUCGACACGACGAGGAUGUGGGUGAGGGUGUGGGAUCUGUACCGGAUAUGGUCAAUCGAUUUUGGGUACUUUGACCAAAAUUGACAUAGAAAUUUGGGACAGAUCUAAUGAUUCUGUAAUUAAAACAAAAGCUAAGGUGAAAUUGAAGAUAUAUAUAUAACUUGUCUACAGAAAUUUCUGUGUCAGUCCUUUUUGUUAUACUUCUUCUACGAUUCUCCUAAUUUAGAGAUAUAACUCUAUUUUUAGAUAUACGAAUUAAUUUUUAGCCGAAUCGCCGCGCUCAUAUCCGUAUCUGGAUCCAUACCCCCGUAUCUUAAAAUUCAAAUCAUGAAGGAUCACCUCUAGAUCAACACCCAUAUCGGACACCUGAGUCCGAGAAACUUUGGACACAUCCAAGCAAGAAAAGUCAUGUAAGUAUUUAAAAAAUAACAUAAUAUUGACAACGCAACAAUUUCUUCUUGAAAACUCAGCUGUAAUGUUAUUAAUCUAGAGGAGCAAGAAACUUACCUUCUUCAAUGAAGACAGAAAGUCCAAAAUCAGUUGCCUUCAACAUAGCAUUUUCAUCCUUACUAGUCAGUAAGAAAUUCUCUGGCUUGAGAUCCCUAUGCAUGACACCCAUGAAAUGGCAAAUGUUAACAACAUUUACAAUCUGUCUAAUAAUCUCAGCAGCAUCCUUCUCUGAGUAAUAUCCACGGGCGAUAAUCCUGUCAAACAACUCUCCUCCAGCACAAAGUUCCAUCACAAGGUGUACUGACUGCCUAUCUUCAUAAGCACCCUUGAAUUCCACAAUGUUUGGCUGCCCACUCAAAUGCUGCAUAAUCUGAAUUUCCCUCUUCAUAUCCUCCCUAUCAUUCUUGCUUACAAGCUUCCUCUUAAGUAUGGACUUGCAAGCAUAAGGGUUCCCAGUUGAGUUCUCAGUACAAUAGUAAGUCACUCCAAACUGACCCCUACCCAAUUCUUUCCCAAGUGUAUAGAGCUUUCUAAUUUCCUCAAAAGGCUUUCCCAAUAUGUUAUUCAUAUGGGGUCCUUGCAUUUGGUCUUGGGGCUGUCCAGACUGCACAGUAACAGGAACAGGGUGGGGCUGAGGUUGUGGCUUUGGCUGUGGCGGUGGCUGAUAUGCUGGCUGUGGCGGUGGCUGAUAUGGCCUUUCCUGCUGGGGCUGAGGCUGAUAUGGCCUUUCUGGCUGGGGUUGUGGUGGUUUUUGAUAUGCUUGAUUAACUCUUCUUCCUGCCCUAUGCCCAUUAGCAUCUUGUUGGGUAUACUUCUUGCUAAAACAACCACCCAUUUCUACAGUCUAUUCAACAAGAUUGAACUUUGGAUACUUCAAUUCCUCAACAAGUUACAAAAAAAACAACAACCUGGGGUUUAACAUAACAAAGAUAGCAACUUUAACAAGAUUGAACUUCAACAAGUCACAAUAAAACAACAACUUGAGGUUUAAAGACCAAAAGAUUGCAACUUUAACAAGAUUAAAUUUUGGGUUCUUCAAUCCUCAACAAGUAAACCAGAAAUCAAGAACUUGACGUUUAAAAACCAAAAGAUCGCAACUUUAACAAGAUUGAAUUUUGGGGGUUUUCAAUUCCUCAACAAAUUACCAUAAAUCAACAACUUGGGAUUUUUAGCAGGGUAAAAGAUUGCAACUUUGACAGAGAUUUAAAGUAAUUAAGCUCAAUUUAGUACCUAAAAGAUAUUCCACAGAUCAGAAAAUGCCAACGUUUUGAACCCUCUUCAUUGACUUCAUGGGAAAAAACUCCAUGAAAAUGCUACACACUUUCUUUGCCAGCUUUUGCCCUUGUUAUUUUUCUAGGCUUUUUCCCCACUUGCAAAAAUAAAGCGGUGUUCUUGUGGAAAGUAGGUCAUUUAAUUGGUAGUUUAGUCUCUUUUUUUAGCAAUUUAUUUGUAUUCGCUAUAACCAAAACGACUAAAAUUCCAAUUGAAAAGUGGAGUUAUGAAAACGAGUGAAAUAAGUAAGGAUGAAACAACAACAUUGAAGAAAUGUACCACUUUUAAAUCUUAGUAUCUAGGAUUAUGUUAUUAACUUUUUCUUUUUCGUUUUGAUUCCGCUAUAAUCAAUUUUUUAACUGUGAUUUCUUGCAACUUCAGUGUAGUCAACCUUUUCAUUGGCACAUAUGUGCACCUCUUCUUCCCGUAUUUGAACUAUCUACAUUUCAUUUUCCUUUUUUUUUUUUGUUCAUCACUCUAAUCUGGAUAUAAUUGCUAGGUUUUUUGUUGUGUGUCUCUUUACGAAUGAAUAAGAUUGUACAAUUUUAUUAUCAAGCAUUACGUUGUACCAGAGCAAUUUUAUUUUGGUAAGUCCUAGCGGUAUUAAGAUAAGCCAAAAGUUUUAUUAACAAAGUCUUGAUUGACACAAUAAUAAAGUCGUGGUGUAAUUUUUACAAAAUAUACUAGCAUAUUCGUAAGAUUUGAUGGAAUAUUCAUGAAAGACAUUCUAGUUAAAGAGCAAAAAAAAGCACAAACACCAAAUAGGUGUUUUUGUUAGCUAGGCCUCUAAUAAAAAGGGAUACAAGUGUUGUGACCUAAAUACUAGGAAGGUUAUUGUCACAAUGAAUAUCACAUAAUUUGAUAGGGAUAGGCAUUCGAUAUUUCGGUUCAAUUUUGAUUUUUUGAUUUUCGAUUCUUGUAAAUUGUAAACCAAAAUUUUGGUUUGAUUCGAUUUUUUUAUUUCAAUUUUUAAUGGGUCGCCAGUUGAAGAUGAAGCCGCUGCAGGCGGCGGCUGCUCCUAGCGACGAGGGCUGCUGCUCAUGGCGCCUGGCGAGCAGCUACUGCUGCCUGAAAGAGGAAGAGGAAGAAGAGGAAAGAGGAAGAGGAAGAAGAGAAAUAAGGUUUCACAUACUUUUUUCUUUUUUUAAAAGAUUAUUUAAUAUUAAUAAUUAUUAAUUAAUAUAAUAUAAAUUAUAGUAUAAUAUUUCGGUUUAAAUCAAAAUAAUACGUACGGAAAAUCGAAUCGAAAUACUAAAAAAUACAAAAAAGUAAACUGAAUACCAAAUCGAAAAUCGAUAUAUCGAAAUCGAAAUUCUGAAAAAAUUUGAUUCGAUUCGAUGUUUUGAUUUUUCGGUGUUUAUGUCCACCCCUAUAUUUUGGAACUCUUCUCGAAGGAGAAACAUAGUGACGAUUCGAUGAAUGAUAAGAACUCUAGCGAUCUCCCAUUCGAGAAGCAAAAAGAUUAACGUUUUAUGAUAAAUAAGAAAAAUAGUACUUUUGAUAAUAACACUACAUAAGGUAAGAGAUCUUAUCUUAAAUAAUGAAAAUAAGUAAAUCGAGAUAAUAAAAUCUUUUCAUGAUAUAAUCAAUGAUAAAAACAGGAACAAAUAAGAAAAAAAUAAGGAAAUUGCAUAUUUACAUGAGAAAAAAUUGUAAUCAAGAAAAAAAAUUAAGGACUCUCAGUAUAACUAAAUGUCUGUUCUGUAAGAUCUCACUGACAUACAAAAUAAUUCUUCAUAACCUAAUUCUAAUUUACGUCUUGUUACUUUAGACAUUGACCUUUUAAUUGUCAAAUGUACAAGGUAAGAAAAGGCAUUAAUUAUCUCUUGCUAAAUUUUGUGUUAUAUAAAAACUUGUCCCUUUUUUAUAUAGUUUUUCUUUCUCAAUUUUCUGAUAUGGAGAUAUCGAGAAAUGUCAGGAUGCUUUGACAUUUCUAAGUGAAAAAAAUCAAUUCUAGCAUAAAUAAAAGUAAAACCUGAAAAAUGACAGAACUAUCACGUGGAAAGGAAAUAGUGGAUUGUAGAGGAUAUCCAUCUUCAAAUUUAAAUCAGAUGACUCCUUAGAGAAGUAUAAGGUACAUCUCAUACCAAAAUUUACCGUUUGUCUAAUCAUUACUUUAUAGAACUUACCUUCAAGCAUUUCCAACAUUCCUAUCACAAAAUAUUUAAACGAUCAAGCUAUAUUUCACCUACACCACUCCAAUAUAAUGAACGACAUCAUUAUCAAUUAAACCCUAUUUUCUUGAAUUAAUAUCCUAACUAGUACUUGGAACUCUCUCUUUUGGAUAUAACUUUAUGCAUCAAGUUUCAUUUCCACCAAGCUAAGGCCUGACCCAUAGUGAAAUCUCAUCACAACUUUGGAAGUGUUUUAAGUCAUCUAUCACUGGUUAAAUUAUGAUCUUGGCUCCAUCAUACAUAUCUUUAAUUGUCAUAUUGUAGGUUAUAUGUGUUGAGUUUUAUUUGCCCUAAAUUUCUUACCGUAAAUAGGUUUUCCUUUUAGGAAAAAGUUUUUGAUUGACUACUCCUUUUCUUGUAGGAAAAGGUUUAGGACUCUAUAAAUAGAGGAAUGUUCCUUCUAACUUAAUCAGCAUUCACAAUGUAGUCUUAAUGACUUUGAAAGUUUUGAUUAGGGGGAGAAUUUGUGGGUCACAAGUUUGUUACGUCAUCACUUGUGUGAAUCUCCCAUGUAUUCCGAGUGAAUUGGUUGAGGUUGUAUCCCUCUGUAUUUUGUACUCUCAUAUUUAUAGUCGAUUGCUCAUCUCCUUUGUCGACGUAGGUCGAUUGACCGAACCCCGUUAAAUCUUUGUGUCUUUUGGUAUAUUUCUCGUUGUCUUCUUACUCGUGGUCUUUCGAGGUUCGUUUUACUAGCUUUCGCAUUUACACCUGCUUAUAUUUCGAUUCUAACAAGUGGUAUCAGAGCCAGAUUCAAUGAUGGAGUCAAGUUUAGUGAUUCGAUAAACGAUGAUUGAACCAGGUUAGAAGGAGGUGAUCAUCUUGACAGGUGUAGUUCUAGCCGCAACCUUUUUAACAAUAAUGAAAAUUUUUGUUGGAGAAAUUAUUUCAGAGAGCUUCUCUAUGUUGAGACAUAAAUCCAUCGAGUAUGCAAUCACGAUACCAAGACUUUUUAUGAUAUAUAAUUUUAUUUUAUGUGAUAAUAUUUGAUUAAAUAUUAAAAAAUUAAAAUUUAUGAUCUAAAAUAUUAUCAAAGAUAAAGCGAUUAUAUAAACAUUAAAUUUCUUUUUAAACAUAGAAAAUGCUAAAAGAAUUAAGUAAACAAAAAAAAAAAGUAUAUCGUUUAAGUUAUGCACACCAACUCAUUAAGGAUGUAAAACUUGACUUUGUCUCUUGACAAAGCACUAGGGAUAAGUAUUUUAUUAAACAAAAAAUAUUAAAAUGUUUGGUUUGGAAUUUAUCGAUAUGGUACAGACCUGAUUAGCUAGCUAAUCAUUUAAGCUAUCAUACUUUAUCUAAAUAUUUAUACAAUAUGAUGUGACAUUAAUAUGAAGUGUUUUUUGAUAAUGAAAGAGAAAAAAUAUAUAUUCGUACUUAGUAUUUAUAUUAGAUUGUUUUUUUAUAUUCAAAUUUUAAAAUUAAGACGUUUUUACUAAAAAAAAUUGAGAUAACUCAAAACUCAAUUUUUUAAUGAAUUGUUCUUAGAAACGGUAAACUGCACCAGAAAGGAUUUCGGGUGGGGGAGCGUCUACCUCCUCUCCCAAGCCUGAUAAAUGGUAAAUGACGCUAGAUCUAUCGGAUAAUCAAGUGAUGAGAGAGAUCUACCAAUCAAUUCCUUUAUUUCAGUGUGUUGUACCCUCUAAAGGGGUGCGUAAUGUUCAGCAGUAGGACAAAACACUAGCAAGGAGCUUCCCUUGGGACUGUUUUCCCAGGCAAUUUUCCUUUUUUGCGCGAUAAGUAUUACUCCCUCCGUUUGGUAUUGUUUGUCAUGAUUUCUAUUUUUAGAGUCAAACUAUAAAACUUUGACUAACAUUUUAAGAUGAAUUUUCUCAUCAUAUUAAUAUGCAAAAAAUUGUAACCUAUAGUACUUUUUAUAUAGUUUUAGAAUAUCUAAUUUUUUUGUUUAAAAUAUCGAGUUAAUGUGAUUUAAUUUACCUUUGAAAAUUAAUUGAAUUAACUUUUGAUAAGUGUAAAAUGAUAAAUAAUUCCGAACGGAGAGGAGUGUGAUUUAAAGAAUUUUGUUUAACUUUUGUGCACUAACAUUUACAAUAUUAUUGUAUACUACUACAAUAUUAUUAUAUACCACUAGGUUAACAAUAUAAUUUUAUAUGAAAUUUUUGACACAUUUAAUUAUUAAAAUGUCAAAAAGGUGUUACUACUCAAAUUAAGUUUAUAGCAAGAUAUAGAGCACAUGGUUAGAUAUUCAAAUAUAAUUUUACAAGAUUUAACUUUAUUCAAAAAUUAAUAAAUAAUGAUGACACUGUAUGACUUUUUAAUAUGUUAGAAUAAUAAUUAAUAAUGACACAUAAAUUAUCUAAAACAAUUUACAAAAAUAAAUAAAUCUGAACUAAUGUCUAUUGGAAUGGGGACUAUUCAAAUAUCGACCAAUUCAAAAACGUUCAAAUAAUAGUCAAACUAAAUUUAUACAACAAAUUUGUCAAUUUCUUUACAACAUCAUCAAUAGAAAAAAAAAAAAAAAAGAGACAAGGACAAGGAAGGAGCAAAAAGUUCCCUCACCAUCAACUCUUUCCUAUUCGGAGAUCGAUCUAGAACGGGUAAAUAAGACUCAAUUUAUAAAUAUAUAUAUACAAAAUAUAUUAUACUAUUGCUACAUAUAAUAAGUUCAUUUUAAAUACGUAAGCUGAUUAUAAAAUAUUUUGACUUCGUCUCUGAUGCUAAUUAACUUCAGGAAUGCUUUGAAGACGAGGCUUCCAUGAUUGUUGACGUCGAAUAUUUUCAAAAUCAAAGCUAUUAUUGCUAGAAUUUAUAAAUCCAGACAGUAAUUGCUCCAUUGUAACUUCCUCCAUAUUGUCAAUUUUUCCAGCUAGAAUUUGUUCGAGCUCGUUUUUCGUAAUUCGUAUUUUCACCUCUUUGUAAUUAAUCGUCGAAGAAGAAAUAGACGAUGAUAAUGAUGACGGUGAGGAGGAGGAAGACGAAAAUAACUUUUCUUUUUCUAUGAUCAAAUUUUUUGGUGAUACGAUAUAUUCCCACUCAUCAUCAUCGUCUUCAACAUAUAUCAUAUUCGAUCCACGUUUACAACAAUUUCCCAUCUUAAAAUAACAGAUCUUCUGUUAGAUUAGUUGAGAUAUAGUAAACUGAUCUGAACAAUACGAUUAUAAUUUUCCAAAAUUGAACACUUUUGAAUAUACUAAUUUUUCAUUAAUAUGUUUUGUGAAAUGAAAGAGGUGGAGAUUUGGGAUUUACAUGAUACACCUAUAUUUAUACCCUUGAAAUGAUGGGGGUUUGGGGGGGGGGGGGGGGGGAGGAGACAUAGAAUAAGAAAUGGUCUUUUUCUAUGUGUAUACAAUUAUUAUUAUUAUUAUUAUUAUUAUUAUUAUUAUGGGUGGCAGACAAAGAGGAUUAGUUCAACAAUCUUUUUUUUCCCUCAAUGUACUCUAUCUAUAUUUGCUUUGACAAAUUAUUUUGUCAAUUUUGAUUUAUGAGGCAAGUUCAAACAAAUUAAUUUUUUUUUGAAAUUUAUCAUCAUUAUAACAUGUCAUAUAUGUGUUUGAAAUUUUUUGAUUAAUAUAAAACUUAUAGUUGAAAACAUUUCAUAUUUUGUUUCUUAUUUAACAAUAUAUAAUGAGAAGUUUAAAUCAAUUAAAUUAUGCUUAGAUAUCUCAAAAAAAAAAUUGAUCAAACGUUCCCUUAUUUUGCAUGUGUUUAAAUUUACGUCAAGAAAAAAGGUCUUUUAAGGAAAAAAUUAAUCUUUUACAAAUAUUUAUCAUCAUAAAGUUAGAUUUAUUUCGUAUUUUUAUAAUUUAUUCAGAUUCACGCCACAUAUAUAAAAUUUAUUAAAUAGAAAAAUGUUGUAUAUUCGAUUUUUUCAAUACUUAUAUUUAAAAUUUACACUUAACGAUCCAUCAAAAGAUUUUGUGAAUCAAUUCUAGUAUAAUUCUCAGUGAUCAUGUUUAUAUUACCUACCAUUAUACCAAAAUAUAUAUUUAAGUACCCACAUUGACAUUUUUUUUUAAUGUGAAAGGAAUAGAAAGAUAUAUAGGAUCUAGAAAGAACAAAAUUAAAUUAGUUAAAAAGGGAAAAAACAAAUUGAGUAAGAUAACAUGUGAACAUGGAAUUGUGAAUGGAAUCAAAGAAAUAUGUGAACCAAUUUUUGUUACUACACAUUUGUAUUUUUUUUAUACAACUAUAGUUCUUAGGAUUAAAUUUAAGUCUACCAGUAAGUGAGAAAAGUUCUUUGUCUUGGAAUCUUUUAUAAAAAUAGUUUGUUGAAGUUAUUUAUGUUAUCUGGUCGAUAUAUAUUCUUUUAUUAUAUCAGAGCGAUUUGGGUGACGAAACGAUCGGGAAAAUAGAGUUAUAGAAUAUAAGGGAUUGUUUAGUUAUUAGAGAAGAUAAUACGUGUAUAAAUUUGAUAUUGUUUUCAUUAUAAGUCAUAUUUGAUAUUAUUUUUUGUAUAUAAUAAAGAGUUAAUGGUAAAAUUACAUUUAAAUUAUUGUUUUAUUGUAAAUUUUAUAUAUCUUAGAGUGUGUUUGGUGGAAAAUGUUUUCCAAUUUUUCAAUGUUUGGUUGGGAAAAAAGUUUUGGAAAAUAUUUUUCAAAUCAACUAAUUUUCAUCAAAAUUAAGGAAAACAUUUUUCAAAACUCUCCUCCAAUUUCAAAUUAUAUAUUUUUUUUGGGAAAAACAUCAAUUUUAAAAAAAAUAUUUUCAAUUUCAAAAUUUAAUUUUUUCACCCAAUCCUUAGCCCUCCCCCCACCGGCCAGCCCCCCCAACCCCACCCCCUCCCCAAAAAAAUAAUUUUGCUUUUUAAAAAUAUUUUUAACUUCAAUUUUUUAUUUUCAAACUCCUCCCCCCCCCCAAUUCCCCGUCCAACCCCCCUACCAUCCCCCCACGCACCCCUAAUCCCUAAAAAAAUUAAUUUUGUUUUUAAAUAUACUAUCAACUUCAAAUUUUUAUUUUUUCACUACUACCCCCACUCCACCCCCAACACCACCCCAAGAAAAUAAUAUUUUGUUUUUAAAAAUAUUUUCAAUUUCAUAAAUUAAUUUUAAUUCUAAUAAAAAUAAAAGAUGUCUCUUAAAAAAUAUUUUUCAUUCAUAAAACAAACACUAAAAAUCAUUUCCGGAAAAUAUUUUCUACUCACCAACCAAACAUGAGAAAAUAAAUCUAAAAUAUACUUGUUUUUCAAGAAAACAUUUUCUGUGAAAAACAUUUUCCUGCAUACCAAACACACCCUUAAUUAUCAAUUCUUUUCUUUACUUACCUCAAUUAUCACUUCCUCAGUAUCAAAAUGCACCUCAAUGUUGAGUUAACCAAAUAUUAUUUUCACUCAAUAACAUGUACAUGCAGGCAAACUCAACAUCAAAGUAUGUUUUGAUGUAAAAAUUUAAAAAGUUACUGUAUAGAUAUGUUAAAGUUGGAACAAUAGAUAGUUGAAAUAUGAAUCUCGAAAAAAUGAUAUGCUAAUUUAGGUAUGCCUUUGAUCAUUUACUCUGUAAUAAAUCAUUGUAUUUAACAAAAUGAAAAAUUACGUGUUAAUGACAUUUUAUUUCAUGCUCUUGAAUUUUAUUUUAAUACAUCACACACACAUGCUCACGUGCAUACACGCACACACGCGCACAAUCACACAUAUUCAUAGAAAAGGGAAAGAUAUCAAAGUGUGAACUUAAAAUGGUCGAUGGAAUCUUGGACAUUUUCCUUCACCAACUUCAGCCUCUUAGCUAUAUAUAGUAAGUCACUAAUAAUUUUUAAUAUUUUUUUACAAAAGGUAUUAGUGAGGGUUAAGCUAAUUAUCCAUUGGAUAUCUGCCACCUAUACUAAUUAGCUUGACCUAAUUUACAAGGUGACGAUGAAGAUAAUAUGUGUGGCAGUUAGAUUUCUUCGUAUCUAUAGUUUCAAAAAAGUAGGGCUCAAUGAUUAUUCGUUUAUCGAAAGAUAGAGUUAAGAAAAUAAUUAAUAUUGAAUAUCAUAUGUAUGAAAUAAUUUGUUUUGUUUACUUUUACCUGUUAGAAAAAUUACUAUUUUUUUAAUUUUAAGAAGCUUAUUAUUUUUCAAAAAAAAAAUUAACUUCUUUAAUAAACUUUAAUAAAAAAAUUCAAAUCAUACUAAAUAGAUUGUUGCUAUGUGUAAAAUAUGUUUUAUACAUUAACUUUAAAAUAACAAAGAAUUAAAAUUUUCUCCUUAUAUGAUAUAUAUAAAUUGCUACAAGUCAAGUUUUUACUCUAAAAUUUAUUCACUAUAUCAAAAAUAAUCUUCAACGAUAAUAACUUAAUUAUUAUUACUAAAUAUGUAUUUUUAGUAACAGUUAUUAUUCAUUUAGAAAAUGACGCUAAAGUGUAUGGUGACAUUAAAUUUAAGGACAAUUCACUAAUCAAUUGAAGUAUUUAUUAGGUAGGUUAACGACACAUUAUCUAGUAUUCAUUUACAAAUUUAGUCAAUUUCUUUUAACAUAUACUCAAAUUCAAUUAAAUAUUGUCAAUUUUGAUUUCCCUAGGCUACAUAUUAAGCUCUUCAUAUUGAAAAUUCAAAAUUAUAUAUUUUUAUAUAUGUAAUAUCUUAUAUACGAUAUAAUUUUUAUUAUAAUAAAGUGCUCCAAUAACAACCUCGUAAUUUUACUCCUUAAAUUUAUCACCUAAAUUAAAAUAAAUCGAGUUUCAAAAUUUUACAAAAAAAUUAAAUAAUAAUUAAAAAACAAAAAUAAAAAAAGUAUGUCAUGCGCUAAAAAUGUAUCAUUUGGAACAUGACUUUUGAUGGAUUUAACAUUUUCCAAAGAGUGCAACCAUUUUUUAUUCGAUUUUAAUAUUCAUAUUAAAAUUUGUCUAAAUUUUUAAAUUUUUUUUUAAAAAUGAACAAGUAUUUAUGGUUCUACGGGAGCCCAAUUAUUUCAUUAUCUUAGUGUGGGGUGUUAUGCUAAUUCAUACACAGCUUAUUCUUCAUUACUGCAUCUUACCCCCACCCACUUAAGAGCACCUCAUUAAUGGCUGCCUCAACUUUUACUUCCCACUGCUCUUUCUUCUAAUUUCAGGUUUCCUUUUUCUCACAUUGCUGAAAAAAAAGUCCAAGAUUUGCUGCUAAAGUUCAACCCUUUUGGGGUUUCUUGCAUUUGCUGUUUCCUUUCUACUUUGGGUCUUGAAGAAAAGGAAGGUAGAGAUGAGAGGAGGGGUCAGUGAAAGUUUCAGACUUCACCUUCUUCUGGUUGUAUUUAUACUCUUUCUUUGUAAGUAUGAAUCCCCUUGUUUAUUUUCUGUGCUCUGUAUCUUGGUUAGUUUGAUUAUUUCUUGGAUGAUUUGUGAAUACAUUCUUGAAAUUUACCAAAUUUUGCUGAAAAUUCCAGCUGGGUGUGAUAAAGAUUCAUGCUUUAAGCUGGUGUUUGGGGAAAUUGGUGAUCUAGUGGUGGCUUAAAGUAUCUGGAAUUGCUAGCACAAUGCAUCUUCUAUCUGCGGCUGGAUAUGUAGGUCUUAAAGAUGAUCGUGAUAUGCAUGUUACUUUAGUCUAUGCUUAGGGUAUGAGUUGAGCUCCUUUACUAAGUUUUGGAGGCAAGCAGUAAAUUAGUUUCAAAUAGUUGUCUGUGAAAAACAUAUGUGCAUUAGAAAAUUUAGUGUGAAUGAGUAAUUGAAACUGUUGGUAGGAUCAUUUAAGUUGGAAUUGAGAUGGGACAGUCGAGGGUUACGAAAAUGCAUUUUGUUAGAGUCUGUUGAAGAAUGAAAAAGUUCCGCAUUGAUGCUUAAUGAGAUGGGGUGAUCUCCCUGUAAAGGCUUGGCAAGCCUCCUCCGUUUGAGCUAACUUUUGGGGUGUGAGUUAGACCAAAGACCUAAUCUUACAAAGUCUAGUAGUUUUGCAUUAUGUUAAUCUUAUUUUAGCCUCUGCAUUAUCUGGACAAACUAUUUCUGCUCCAAGACCUUAUUUGAGUGAUGUUCUCUUUCCCUUGCAUCUCCUGCUGGUGGAAUCAGUUGUACUGUUGUGGAUUGCUUUGGAUAUUAGGGAAGGGAAAUGUAUCCGUGGGAAUUCGUGAUUUAACUCUGAAUAUGGAGUGGUAUAAAGAAGCGCAGAGCAAUGUAUAGUUUUUACAAGCUAUGAAAUGGUUUCCUGAGCUAAUACUUAAUGAAGUGUCACAUAGUGUUUCUGUGGGUAAAUAUAGAUUUGACCCAAACUGAAUGAAUCAAGGAGAAAAUCCAGCUACAAUGAUAUUGGAUUUCUCUGGAUAUACAAGUUUCAAUCUUUGAAAUCUCAACACGGGGUCUUCCACAGACGAGGAAUGAUGAUUCUAUUGGGUUUUAGCAAGUGUGAAUGGGAAAAGAAAAGAGAAAAUAUCAAAAGUGAGGGAACUACUUUGGAGAGAAAAUGAAAAGUCAUUUGCAAAGUGCAAAUGAAAAGUCAUUUCUUAUAAAUUUGCAGGUAACGGUAACAUUCCGAAAAGUUGUUACUCUUUCCGAAAAGUCGUUACUUUUCGAAAAGUCGUUACUUUCCAAAAAGUAGUUAUUUUCCUAACAGACACAAUUUUUCGAAAAGUUGUUAUUUUUUUUUCAAAAGACACAACUUUCUGGAUAAAAUGGGUCUGAACAGAUUUCACUGAACAGACAUGUUCCUUGCUGAAAAUGGCUAUAAAAGGAAGUCAAUUUUUGAUUUUUUAAUAACUGAAAUUUUUUUCUUUCUCUGCAUUUAUUUUUCUCUAAAAUAAAAUCAAAGUGUCGAUCGACUGAGUCUGUGUGACUUGUUGCUGUUCUUUAGUUCGUUGAAGUUAAAGAAGUUUGAGGUACCGCUAUUUCUUUAACAGGUUUAAUCCGUUUUAUCUUGGGAGAAAUUAAUCCAUAACCUUGGGUACAGUGAGGGGAUUAAAUUUCUUAAGGACACACAGUGUUUCUGUGGACUCGGAUUAAUUCUUCUAUUUUAAAUUUUUUCAGCUAUCUUGUUUCUGUUUCUGUUCAUUAACUUCAUAAAUACAAGUUAUUGUAAGAAUAACAAUCUUAAGAAAUUUAACAGUUUUUGUAUUUGAGGUUUCUGGAGAUUAAAACCUUUAUGGUUUUCUACUCUGCUUGAAUUUUUAAAAUUCAUUCGAUUAACGAUUAAAAGAACAUAAAAACUUUAUCGUUAAAUCAGAAACAGUUUGUGUAAAGAUUUGUUCUUUACUGUUAGUAUUUUAAAUACUUAAUUUAUCUGCCAUUUGUGACAGAAAAAAAUGACUAAUUCAAGUCAAACAAAUGUUGGAACAGUAAGUGCUGCAACAACAACGGUUGCACAUAAUCGUUCAAAUGCUGCCUUAGCACCGGCUGAGAAACCUGCAAAGUUUUCUGGAGUCGACUUUAAGAGAUGGCAGCAAAAGAUGUUCUUCUAUCUCACUACGUUGAGUCUGCAGAAGUUCAUCAAUGAGAAUGUUCCUGUUAUAUCAGAUGAAACUCCGGCUGAUGAACGAUUCUUGGUAACAGAAGCAUGGACACACUUAGAUUUUUUGUGUAAAAAUUAUAUUUUGAGUGGUCUGCAAGAUGAUCUGUACAAUGUGUACAGCAAUGCAAAAACCUCAAAAGAACUCUGGGAUGCUUUAGAAAAGAAGUACAAAACAGAAGAUGCCGGAAUGAAGAAAUUCAUUGUGGCAAAAUUUCUGGACUUUAAGAUGAUAGACAGUAAGACUGUCGUCAUCCAAGUUCAAGAAUUGCAGGUCAUAAUCCAUGAUCUCCUUGCUGAAGGAUUAAUUGUGAAUGAUGCUUUUCAAGUAGCUGCAAUUAUUGAAAAGUUACCUCCAUUGUGGAAGGACUUUAAAAACUACUUGAAACACAAACGCAAGGAGAUGACUGUUGAAGAUCUCAUAGUAAGGUUGAGAAUCGAAGAGGAUAAUAAGGCUGCAGAAAAGAGGUCACGUGGUAAUUCAGCAAUAUCUGGAGUAAAUUUUGUUGAAGAAGAUUCCACAAAAUUAAAGAAAAGAAAGAAAACAUCUGGUCCAAAAAGCAAUCCUCCUAAGAAGAAAUUCAAUGGAAACUGCUUUAAUUGUGGUAAACAUGGUCAUAGGGCUAAUGAAUGCCGGGGUCCUAAGAAGGACAAGAAAAAGAAGGAUCAAGCAAACUUGGCUGAAUCCAAAGGAGAAAUGGACGAUCUUUGUGCAAUGCUUUCAGAAUGUAACUUGGUUGGAAAUCCAAGAGAAUGGUGGAUAGAUUCUGGUGCCUCAUGCCAUGUUUGUGCCAACAAAGAAUUAUUUUCAUCAUAUACUCCAGCACUUACAAAUGAAAAAUUGUUUAUGGCAAACUCCGCUGUUGCAAAAGUGGAAGGAACUGGCAAAGUCCUAUUAAAGAUGACAUCAGGCAAGGUGGUGACUUUGAAUAGGGUCUCAUAUGUUCCAGAAUUGAGAAAAAAUUCAGUUUCAAUUCCAGUUCUGACCAAGAAUGGAUUUAAAUGUGUAUUUGUUUCUGAUAAAGUAGUAGUAAGCAAAAAUGAUAUGUAUGUAGGAAAAGGCUACUUUAGUGAUGGCCUUUUCAAACUCAAUGUAAUUGCAGUUGAUAUGAAUAAAGAUUUUGCUUCUUCUUACUUGCUUGAGUCUAAAUGUUUAUGGCAUGAACGUUUGGGACACGUUAAUAACAAAACCUUGCGAAAACUGAUUAACUUAAAUAUUUUGCCAAAAUUUGAGUGCAAUAAAUCAAAAUGUCAAAUUUGUGUUGAAUCUAAGUAUGCUAAGCAUUCUUAUAAAUCUGUUGAAAGGAAUUCAAAUCCUUUAGAAUUGAUCUGAUAUUUGUGACAUGAAGUCAACACCAUCACGUGGUGGGAAAAAGUAUUUCAUAACUUUUAUUGACGAUUGCACUAGAUAUUGUUAUGUCUAUUUGCUAAAUAGUAAGGAUGAAGCAAUAGAUGCAUUUAGGCAAUAUAAAACUGAAGUUGAAAAUCAGUUAGAUAAAAAGAUCAAAAUGAUCAGAAGUGAUAGAGGUGGAGAAUAUGAAUCUCCAUUUGCAGAAAUAUGUUUAGAAAAUGGAAUAAUCCAUCAAACUACUGCUCCCUAUACUCCUCAGUCUAAUGGAAUUGCAGAAAGAAAAAAUCGAACUUUAAAAGAAAUGAUGAAUGCAUUACUUAUAAGUUCAGGUUUACCACAGAACUUGUGGGGGGAAGCUAUCCUUACAGCAAAUCAGAUACUUAAUAGAGUGCCUCACUCAAAGACAAAUGUAAUUCCAUAUGAGAAAUGGAAAGGUAGAAAACCCAAUUUGAAAUAUUUCAAAGUGUGGGGGUGUCUAGCCAAAGUCCAAGUUCCUAUACCUAAGAGGGUAAAAAUAGGACCUAAGACUGUGGAUUGUGUAUUCAUUGGACAUGCCACAAAUAGUAAGGCAUGUCGUUUUUUGGUUCAUAAGUCAGAACAUCCGGAUAUUCAUGAUAAUACGGUAAUGGAAUCAGAUAGUGCUGAAUUUUUUGAACAUAUAUAUCCGUAUAAAACUAGACUUGAGUCAUCUAGUGGGGGAUCUAAACAACCCAGAGAAGAACCAAAAGAGAAUGAACAAAAUGAAGAAAGUCCAAGACGCAGUAAACGUCAAAAGACAUCUACUUCAUUUGGAUCAGAUUUUGUAACAUUUCUUCUUGAAAGUGAGCCUCAAACAUUCAAGGAAGCAAUGUUGUCUAGCGACUCAACCUCUUGGAAGGAGGCUGUUAAUAGUGAAAUUGAAUCAAUCUUAAGCAAUCAUACUUGGGAGUUGGUUGAUCUUCCUCCAGGGAACAAACCGUUGGGUUCAAAAUGGAUCUUUAAAAGGAAGAUGAAAGACGAUGGAACUAUUGACAAAUAUAAAGCAAGACUUGUUGUCAAAGGUUUUAGACAAAAAGAAGGUCUUGAUUAUUUUGACACAUAUUCGCCAGUGACUAGGAUUACAUCAAUUCGGAUGUUAAUUGCACUAGCUGCAGUAUACGGUCUUGAAAUUCAUCUAAUGGAUGUGAAAACAACCUUCUUAAAUGGAGAGCUUGAAGAGGAAAUUUACAUAGAACAACCUGAAGAUUUUGUAGUUCCUGGUAAAGAAAAGAAAGUGUGCAAACUUAUUAAGUCACUUUAUGGGCUAAAACAAGCACCAAAACAAUGGCAUGCAAAGUUUGAUCAAACCAUGUUGGCAAAUGGAUUUAAGAUCAAUGAAUGUGAUAAAUGUGUUUACAUUAAAGAUACUCCAAACCAGGAAGUUAUUUUAUGCCUAUAUGUAGAUGAUAUGCUUAUAAUGAGCAAAGACAUUGUUAAUAUAAAAGCUACAAAGCGUAUGCUUGCUAGUAAGUUUGAUAUGAAAGAUUUAGGAGUUGCUGAUGUGAUAUUAGGAAUUAAAAUUCUUAAAACUCCUAACGGUCUAGCAUUGUCUCAAACUCAUUAUAUUCAAAAGAUACUUGAAAAAUUCAAAUUUUUGAAUUUUAAAAGGGCAAAGACUCCAAUUGAUGUAAAUCUUCAUCUUGCAAAGAAUAAAGGCGAAAGUCAGUCUCAAUUGGACUAUGCUAGCGUAUUGGGAAGCUUAAUGUAUGUCAUGAAUUGUACACGACCAGACAUAGCUUGCGCUAUCAGUAAACUGAGUCGAUACACAAGUAAUCCUAAUCAUAAUCAUUGGUUAGCAAUGAAGAGAGUUUUGGGAUACUUAGAUGACACUCAAAACUAUGCUUUACAUUACAACAGAUAUCCAGCCGUUCUUGAAGGAUAUAGUGAUGCAAAUUGGAUUACUGGGUCAACUGAAACAAAAUCCACAAGUGGAUACGUUUUUACUAUUGGCGCAGGAGCAAUAUCUUAGAAAUCAUCCAAACAAACAUGUAUAGCUCGCUCUACAAUGGAGUCCGAAUUCAUUGCUUUAGACAAGGUAGGUGAAGAAGCUGAAUGGCUCCGGAAUUUCUUAGAAGAUAUUCCAUUUUGGCCCAAACCAAUGGCCCCUAUAUGCAUACAUUGUGAUAGUCAAGCUGCAAUAGGAAGGGCUGGAAGCAUUAUGUAUAACGGCAAGUCUCGUCACAUAAGACGAAGACAUAACUCUGUGAGACAACUACUCUCUAGUGGAAUUAUCACAAUUGACUAUGUGAAGUCAAAAGAUAAUGUGUCGGAUCCACUUACAAAAGGCCUAAAUAGAGAGGGAGUUGAGAAAUCAUCGACGGGAAUGGGACUAUGGCCGAGAACAAGUCAUCGUGGCGGUAACUCUACCUAGAAGACUGGAGAUCCCAAGAUCUAGGUUCAAGGAGAUAAAACAAAGUCAUUGAUGACGGUUCAACAUUGUCAAAGGAAAAAUAAAAUAAAAUAUUAUUAUUAUUUUAUGGUCCAUUCUCAUGAUGAGACAAUGUUUAGUAACUAGGAUAAAGACAUAAGGACUUUUUAAUGGUUUCUAAGUUUGAUACAAGGAAUAUCAAAUGGUGUAUUUAUGGGAUAACACAUUUAGAAAUCACCUAUGUAAGUGUGAAGUGUAAGCCGCUUCAAGGAGAAUCCGGUAAGGCCAGUUCUUUAAGCACUUACUAUCCAAGAUGUGUUCAUGGCUGAAACGAACAAAACAAUGAGAACUAAGAACAGUUCAAGGGUUGAUUGUGUGACAUAUGUUGUCUAGGUAUACACCAAAGCUCGACGGUUCAAAGAUAUCAAAUCUACCGAUUGACCGAGUAUAUCCGAUAUAUGUUCACUACGGAAAGUUUAAAGGGAAACCUACUUAUCCAGAUGCGAUUAACCUUUACCUACAAGACACACAAGUUUUUUCAUGCAUAUGUUUUAACAAUAGCCUUCCCCAUUCAUGUGGGGGAUUGUUGGGUUUUAGCAAGUGUGAAUGGGAAAAGAAAAGAGAAAAUAUCAAAAGUGAUGGAACUACUUUGGAGAAAAAAUGAAAAGUCAUUUGCAAAGUGCAAGUGAAAAGUCAUUUCUUAUAAAUUUGCAGGUAACGGUAACAUUCCGAAAAGUUGUUACUCUUUCCGAAAAGUCGUUACUUUUCGAAAAGUCGUUACUUUCCAAAAAGUAGUUAUUUUCCUAACAGACACAAUUUUUCGAAAAGUUGUUAUUUUUUUUCAAAAGACGCAACUUUCUGGAUAAAAUGGGUCUGAACAGAUUUCACUGAACAGACAUGUUCCUUGCUGAAAAUGGCUAUAAAAGGAAGUCAAUUUUUGAUUUUUUAAUAACUGAAAAUUUUUUCUUUCUCUGCAUUUAUUUUUCUCUCAAAUAAAAUCAAAGUGUCGAUCGACUGAGUCUGUGUGACUUGUUGCUGUUCUUUAGUUCGUUGAAGUUAAAGAAGUUUGAGGUACCGCUAUUUCUUUAACAGGUUUAAUCCGUUUUAUCUUGGGAGAAAUUAAUCCAUAACCUUGGGUACAGUGAGGGGAUUAAAUUUCUUAAGGACACACAGUAGUUUCUGUGGACUCGGAUUAAUUCUUCUAUUUUAAAUUUUUUCUGCUAUCUUGUUUCUGUUUCUGUUCAUUAACUUCAUAAAUACAAGUUAUUGUAAGAAUAACAGAUUCAGCAGAAAGUGAUUGCUUGCUGUAACCUUUCUUCUUUUACUGACUACAUAAUCUGCUGGUUUUAGUGGUUUCUGGUUGAAUUAUUCAUGUGCAUUCAUGAAUUAUUUCUAUCUUGGUACAUUCACCUAUGAUGCUUUCACCGUCCCAUAUAUUUCUAUCUAUGUGCAUUUGCUGGUAAUUCAUUUGGAUCCAGUGCUAUUUCAAAUUUAUGAUGGAUUUGCUACUUUUACAGGCCUCCAGGAAUCCAGUUGCAGCUCACUAAAUCAUUUAAGAAGCUCUCUAAUCAUGGACAUAAAGGAGGAUACCCUUUUGCUAGAGACGUUACCAACUGCUGCUCCACAACCCCUUCUCCCCCUUCGUGCACCUUCUCCAUUGGCACCUUUCACAAACAGCACUUCACUUAGACUAUCUGGUUUGUUUCAGAAACUAAUUACAUUAAAGCUCUUGGUCCUUAGUGUCGAAUAAGUUUUAAUUUAUAUGAACCUUCCAAUUUUGGAGCAACUUGGAGUAAUUAAAUGUAUACAUGCAACAGUCUGCCAAUAUAAUUUUUUCCUGAUCUGGAACAGUCUGAAAGGAGAGCCUCGGCAUAACUGGUAAAGUUGCUUCCAUGUGAUCAGGAGGUUAUGGGUUCGAGCUAUGAAGCAGCCUCUUGCAGAAAUGCAAGGUAAGGCUGUGUACAAUAGUCCUUGGUGGUACGGCCCCAUAGCGGGAGGUUAGUGCAUUGGGCCAUCGAGCAGUAUGCCAAUAUAUUUUUAUAAAGCACUGCCUGGGAUAUAACAGUAUAACAAUCUGAUUUAGUUUGCUUUCAUAAGCUAACUAAACUCUUACUUGCAUACCUAUGUUAUCUGUUUUAUUUCAGAAACUACUUAUGUCAAACUCCUAACAACUAAGCAAGAACUGUAUCCUAAGAGUCAAAAAUGCCAAGGUCGAAACAUAAAGCAGCAUAGAUUGGAUACAUGACUUCAAAUCUUAGUGGAGACAAAAAACACUAGGUUAGUUCUUUCCAUCUGCCUAAGGAUUGGCGGGGCAGAGUUUUCGGUACUUGUGGUGGUGGGAGGUAGGAGGUACCCAAUAAAAUAGUCGAGUUGUGUGUAAGCUGUCCUACACACCACCAAUCAUAAAACAAAAUAUAUAGCAACGUAGACUUAGAGAAGAAAUAGACCUCAGAAAGACCUAAGGUUUUCAAUAUCCCCCGUAUUCUCUUACUUUUCCUUUCACCCUCUCCAGGACUGUGUACGCUGAACUUUGAUGCUGUGAAAAGUAUGAUGGCCGUGACAUCAAUAGAUUGUGUAGCUCCAUUUGCAGAGUAUCUGGCUAAUGUCAUCUGUUGCCCUCAACUAGAAACAACUCUUGUUAUUCUUAUUGGGCAGUCUAGUAAACAUUCAAAUAUGCUUGCUUUAAAUGGGACUCUCGCAAAGCACUGCCUUUCAGAUUUUCAGCAACUCCUGGUCAGUCAGGGUGCCAAUGAUACUCUGCAGAAGAUAUGCUCUCUCCAUCCGGAAAACCUUACUGAAGGUUCUUGCCCAGUCAAAGAUGUUCAUGAGUUUGAGAGCACUGUGGACUCCUCUAGCCUACUUGCUGCCUGUGGCAAGAUCGAUCUUGUGAAUGAAUGUUGUGAGGAAACUUGUGGAAAUGCUAUAACAGAAGCUGCUAAAAAACUUGCACUUAAAGCAUAUGAUAUUUCAAGGAUGGGUGGCCCUCAUGUGCUGUCUGAUCACACAACUAGAGUUAACGACUGUAAAAGGAUUGUACAAAGAUGGCUGGCAAAUAAACUUGAACCUGCUGGAGCAAAACAUGUUCUUAGAGGACUUUAUAAUUGCAAAAACAAUAAAGGUGAUAAGUUCAUACAAAUUCUAUUCCAUAACAACCUUGGAUUUCUCAUUGCAUAGUUAUUUGCUAGAUAUGUGCUUAAAAUUGAUAAUUUAAAAGCCUUCAUCCCAUGAAGUGUAGACUGCUAGAUAUGUGCUUAAAAUUGAUAAUUUAAAAGCCUUCAUUCCAUGAAGUGUAGACAUGGAUAUGGAAAUGAAUAGUUACGGGCAUCCCAAAUAAAAUGUGUACACAUGAAGGUUAAAAAUGAACUUGUUGAGCUUUUCUGUCUUUAACCCUUUAGAUUUGAGCUCCUUUGGGGCAAAUGUGUUUCUCAAGCUUUAUAUGGUUAAAUAAUGGAAGUGAUCUCUGAUAAGCACAUCAUAUAUAUAUAUCCUACUACACUAGUUGCUAAUAAAUUUCAUUGUGAUACAUCUUAUUAGCUAGUGUUGAUCAAUAAUGUUAAAAAGAUUUUGUUCUUGGAAGGAAAAGGAAAGGAUUAGAUGGUUGAUUGAGUACUUCCCCUUGGCUAAGGGCUCAUCCCCCCCUCCCCCCCAAUCAUUACUAGGAGCAGUUCCAAAAUGUAUUCUUGCUCUCUUUUGUUUCAUGACCUGGUGAAGCUACCAACAACAACAAACCCAAUGUAGUCCCAUAAGCGGGGUCUGGGGAGUGUAGUGUAUAUAUAAACUGACCUUACCACUACAUUGAGAAGGUAGAGAGGUUGUUUCGGAAAACCAUCGGCUUGAGUAACGAACAUCAGAGAGCUAAAAGAAAAAUACAGAAGUAAAGAUGAAGUACGUUUUCUUUUAAUGUUAUAAUUCCACUUAUUGCCCAAAACCAAACAUAGUCUUGGUUAUUCGAUCAUCCUCAAUGCUUCUGGCUCUACAAAGUUACCACAAUUUUUGCUGCAGAAAUUAAAAUCUAGCUUCCAUUCUCACCUUCUAUCUUUGCAUUUCCAUAUUAUUAUAAAUCUACUAAUGUGUUUCUUCAUCCCCUUAGUGUGCCCUUUGGUUUUUCCUAACAUGAAAAAUAUUACAAAGGCUUGUGGAGAUGGGAUGAAUAAUCAAACAAGAUGCUGUAAUACUGUCGAGAGGUAUGUGUCUCACUUACAGAGGCAGAGCUUUGUCACCAACUUGCAAGCUUUGGAUUGUGCUGCCUCGCUUGGGCUUAAGCUACAGAAAGACAAUGUUAGCAAAAAUGUCUACAAUCUCUGUCACAUUAGCCUCAAGGAUUUCUCCGUACAAGGUCAGUUUUUAUUUGAAUGCUCUUUGGUGCAUUUUACCGCAUACAAAUACCUUGAACUGACAUUAAUUUUGAUCUUGUCAUGUUUGUGGCAUCUGGUUAUCUUCAAAUGACUACACUACACCAGUUACAUCAGAAGGUAAUAAACCUACUUUACGUGUUUACUUUGUUGUUUUGUUUCUUAGUUAUCACAUCUUGUUACUUUCUUGGACAAUUAAUACUCCCAAUAUGAGAUAUUAAAAUUUUCGAUUAGGGUACCUUGGAAGAUUUUGAUCGAGAUGCUUUGAUUGAUAUGACUAAUUAUGAACUCUAAGAACAUUAAGACUAAUAGAACUUUUCGGUAAAAAGAGCGUCCGAAUUAAUGUUAGCUGUACAGAAGAACUAUUGAUUGAAUUAAAUUGGAUAUCUUUGAACCUCGGCUAGUGAAGUGUGAACUCUUAUGAGAAGAGAACUGUGUAUUUACUCGUUAAAUACAUAUUAUUACUCCAAUUAUUUCAAUUUGUUUGUCUAUACUUUUUGUUUUUCUUUGAAAUUGGUAACGGGUAGUCUUACUUUUCCCUUUUUUUUUUCUGUUCAAAGAGAUGCCUCUUUCUUUGUUUGGCAACCCUUUAAUUCUAUCUUUCCACAUGACAAUUGACAUAUUUAGCACAAGAUUAAAGAGCAUUUCAUAUCUUUAGUUUAAGAUUACAAGAUUCAAAAGUAUUUUUUACUUUCUUAAACUCUAUGCCAGGUCAAAAUCAGUCAAACUAAUUGAAAAUGAAACGGAGGAAGUACAUGUUCAUUGCCGUUGCGAGAUUAGCUGCCUUGACAACAACUCUAUGACAUAUCUUUACCUGCAUCAUCCUUUCUUUCUUAUCUAAAAUUCUUACAGCACUAAAUAAAAAUUUCCUCGCGUAGUUUGAGAUUGAGGCCUAGUUGUUAUCGUUGUUAUAGUAGUUAAUAAUUAUUUGUUGUUCUUUCUGUUGGAAUAGUUUCGGGGUGUCUUUUGUCUAGUUUACCAUCGGAUGCAAUACUGGACAAAACUGUGGGGAUCAGCUUUGUAUGCGACUUAAAUGACAACAUUCCGGCUCCUUGGCCAUCUAUGUCUCAGUUACCAGCUUCAUCAUGCAAGAAGUGUAUGUUGAACAUAUUCCUUCUUAUUAUGUUCACUUUGCAAAACGUUUUCUUCUUAUAUGACUGGUCACUGAUGUAUAUCGGAACUUCCUACUUUUGCAGCUGUGAGGAUUCCUGCACUUCCUGCUGUAGCAUCGGGGCAAAUAAGUAAGAAUAUUUACUUACACAUUUGUAGUUUUUACCUUCUUAAUGUAGACGUAAGACCGCGUACACAGUACACACCAUCCUCCUCAGACCUCACUUGUGGGAUUACACUAACACCAUCUUAAGUUGUUUCUAUUCUACUCAUUUCUUAGGGCUGUUCAUUGACACUGAUUUCUCGUUCAUUCGUCAGGUUUUAGAGGAUUAAAUAUAUGGUCAUACCUUCUGCUGGCGGCCUCGAUGAUACUAGAAGUCUGCUGUAUAUAUAAUGCUGCCAUUCUUCCUUACUAGCAGUAUUUCGUCGAAGCGUAAAAUCUUGACCAGAAAGGAAAGUGUCUGAAGAUGUCUCAUUGACAUCAAAAGUUCAAAAUGUACAAAUGCAGGAAAAUCAGUAAGUUGAUUCCAAGAUCAGUUCUGUGACAAAAAAAUUUACUAUGUUCUUGCAUGUUUUGGUAAUAAGAAUUGUAAAUAAUUAGAAAGUAGGUAUACUUUUCAUGUAAAUAUUUUCAGUUGACAAAAACUUAUGCCAUUUUAUGAUUUGGAAAUCCUAAUGAAGCAUUUUUAACAAAUGCACAUUAAGGCAGGUUUCUAUGAGUUGGUUUUCAAGUUUGCAUAAUAAUGUUCUUUUUAACAUAAUGCUAAUUUUUCACAUUCUACUUGGCAUAAAACAAUAUUUUCUCAGUCCCAAUUUAUGUGAAACUUGUUGAAACUUUUUGGAUUUUGAGAUCCAAACAAGUUUAUCUUCGACUGUGUUUUUUUUAUAUAUAUCUUUUAAUUAUUUUGAAUUGUCAAUCAUUGUGAUUUAUAGUAAUUUUAACGUAAUUUAUAGUAUAUAAAUUUCAUUUUAAAAAUUUGAAGAUUUCGCGCGCACAAAUUUUUUGUCAAAAUUAAACUGUUUGACUCUUGAAAAAUAAAAAGUGUUACAUAAAUUGGGUUAGAAGGCGUUCAUAAUUUUCAAGCACCUCAACUUUUUAAAAAGAAAAUAUCGAAUAGAUUGUAUUAUUUAUUGUCGUUAUAAAAUACUACAUAAAUAAUUUGAUCAGAAUAGUGGGGCAUAUAUAUAUGGAGUAAAGCUACUAUAACAAAACAAAUAUAAGGUACGAAAUAAAAUAUAAUUACUAAAUAAUAAAUAAAAUCAAAUGAGAAAGAAAAGAAGAUAACGACACACCAAUAUGUCUAGUGAAAUUCCAUCAUAAAAUGAGAUAUGAGGAGAUACAAUGUAGGCAGAUCAUAUCACUAGUUCAUGAAGGCAGCGAGGAAAAAAAUAACAACACGAUCAUGCUAAAUUGAUCGUUCCUUCGAUAUCCAACAACACUACAUGAUAAAAUGUAGAAGUAGAUACUCUUCAAACUUUACUCGUAGAAGUAGAAGAAAAUAUAAAAAAUAUUUUCUUUCUCAACAACCUCUUUAAUUUCCUCCCAAUUUUGAUUUUCAACUUACAAAAUUUCACUUUCAACCAAUAUGAUGAUUUUUUUCUCUUAGACACAAUAGAAUCUGCUUUCUUUAAUGAUUUAUAAAUCAAGAAUUGUGCUUUUCUAUGUUUAAUAUCUUCUUUGUCUUCAUUUUCAAUUUUUGAAUACAUAUAUGGUCGAUUGAAACAAGUGUUCAUUUUUUUCCUUUUUAGGAUACUGGAAAGAAAUGAGUAAUUUGGAGAGUUUGGGAAAAUGGUUUGAAAUAUUUAUAGUGAAAAAAAAAAAAGAGUUCACAAAUAUUCAAUGAAAUAAAUUUAAUUGAUUCUAUAAAAAAAUAAAAACCGUACAUUAUGGAAGAAAUUAGGGACGAUAUAAAGUGCAUGCCCUUUUUUAGAGUUUUAAUUAAUUUUGAAAAAAACUAAGGGUAGUUUGGUUUAGAGUCUGUUUGGAUUAACUAAUUGUAAGUGUCGAAAUUGAUAUUAUAAAUAAACAAAUACAUAUUCAGAUAGAAGUGUUGUAACGGAUAAUAAACGGUUGAUGUAUUUGAUAGAAGAACGUUGAUAAGUUAUUUUUUUGUUAGAAUGACUAAAAUACCCUUAAAUUUUUUCUAUCAAAAUUAUAAAUUUAAGAGCUAGUAUAAAAUAAGAAGCAGUCAAUAGUAAGCUUAUACACAUUAUGAUAUUUACCAAACGAGUAAAUAAACUUAGAAUUAUUGUAAUUAUAAGCAAGUUUAACCAACUCAUAAGCUUAACCAAAUACGUUUUUUACAAACAAAUUAGGCAGAAACUAUAAUGUAGAGAUUGAAAAAAGACUCCAAAGGAGUUUGAGGAGAUCUGUUAAGGGUUAGUUUUGUCAAUUUUAAAUAUCGUAUCCAUAAAUAAUUAAUCGUAAUAUUAUUUUAUACAAAAAAACAUGAUAGUAGAAGUAUGUUCAUGAGUGUUAAUACAAAAUUUAUCGUAAUUAAGUGAUUUAAUGAGACGAUAUACAUUAAUUAGCUGUGAUUGAAUGGGAUAACUCUAUGUUCAAUCGUAUAUAUGCCAAUAUAUCUAUUGGAAAAUAAAUCUCGAAGAUAUCUGGAAUAAUUUUUUUUGGCCAAAAUAUUUAUCUCCAAAGUGUUAUUUCAUAUUUGGUAAUUUCUUCAAUUGAAUGACAUAUUUAUCUAUCACUUAAAUCAUUGUUUAUUCAUACAUGUUUUGAAAUUGAUAUGAUUUGAUGUAUCAUGUAUGUAUUCAUAUAUCUUAUGAAAAGAUUAACUUCCAUGUUUAGUAUAUUUGUUAAACAAUCUCGAUUUUAAUUCUACAAGUAAGAUCUAAGAAGAAUCGCGUAUAAAUAGCUCUACCUCUACAUUGACAAACUCAUAGGAUAAUGUAGUUCGGUCGGAACAGGCUUUCCAAAAACUCGACCUGACCUCAGACACUUUCUUCCCAACCUAUUUGACCGUAGUUAUUUAGGUGGUAUUCCGAGAUCGAAUUCCUCCCAAGAACACACGAAAUAAAGAUAUGAACAGGGUAAAUAGAAAUGGAAAAGAGAUGUUUCUAUUUCAUCCAAAUUAGUUGCCCUACAUUGACAAACUCAUAGGAUAAUGUAGUUUGGUCAGAACAGGCUUUCCAAAACCCAACCCAAGCUGGGGUCAAUCGCAGAGAAUGAAGGGGACGAUCCUAAUCAUAUGUAAGCUUUGUUACAGUUAGAGAAAAGCAUGAUAACUCAAGUCAGACGCAACGUAACUAAGAGAGUCAUUCUAUCUUAGAGCGAGACAAAAUAAAGAACAGGCAAAAAAAUAAGCUUUCACACACUGCGAUUUCAACUUCUGAUAAAAGGGAAAGACUCUUCUUAUGCUUACCAGGAUAAAGAUCAUAACUGCACACACUAGGUUUCUACACUCCAACAUAUAUGGAGCUCUUGUUACAUGGUCUCCGUUAUUAUAUAUCACAAUUACAUUCUUGAGUAACUGAGACCACCAUGCUAUUUAUCACGUGCCAAUAGCUUAGGCGAUCACAUAUAGUCUGUCGCCUUUUAAGUUCAAAUUGAGUUUGAUACACAUCAAACCUUCCUUAUGAGAAGGAAAAUCUUCUGAUCAAGCUCAAACUUAGCUGCAAUGGAUGGAUCUCCUCUCAGCUGCAUCAGCAGUCCUCCAAAUGAAACAAAAAUGUCUCUGAAGACAAAACCAGUAAAUCCAUUGUUAUAUCAGUAAAAUACUCAUGAUUUGCUAAUUGGAAACCAACAAAUCGAGUAGUCACAACAACCAGAACAUAGAAAACUCUCAAACAAUAUAUUUAGAAGUUAAAACUAAAAGAGAAUAUACAUCAGACUAAAACGACAGACUAAGCCCAAAACAAAAACAGAGAAAAAGCAAGUACAGGUAAGUACAUCUAUAUUCCACAAAAUAAACAGCAACAAUAAACCACACCAUACCUAGUGUAAUCACACAAGUGGGGUCCAGGAAGGGUAGGAUGUACGCGGACCUCACCUUUGUGGGGUAGAAAGGUUGUUUCUGAUGGACCCUCGGCUCAAAAGCAAAGUUCACGAAGCAGGGUUGCAAGAAAAUAAAUUAUAUUUCACAAAUGCACACAAUAGAAAAAAAAAAGACACACUUGAAAAUAAGUCAUAUAAAUCAAAUUAAGAUCUAAUCUUAGCAAAUGGGCACCUAAAAAAGGUCAAUCUAAGCCGACUUUUUGAAACAAGAAGCUGCUAAGGUGUGGCAGAUUGACAGUAUUGCACCAAUGAAAAGGAAAGAACAUCCAGAAAUAUAAAUCCAUGUUCAUGGAAUUGAAUAUGAGAUAAGUUAACCGAACGUACGCUUUAACGUGCUUCCCGGAACCUUCCUCUGAGAUCCUAUAUAGCUUACCAUGCAUGACAUAUUCGAACUUGUCAGCAAGUGAUUUCUUGUUACCCUGUCAUCAGGUUGCAACACCAUUAAAUACCAUGGGGAUUUCUAAGAGUUUGAAACACCACAGUAGAACAAGAAUGAGAAGGCAAACCAAAAAAGGAAUAAGGAAAUCUGUACAAGCAUUUGCCUAACAGUUGUGUCAAGCUUUAUAUCUUUAAGCAUUAAUGUGUUCCAAAAAGAAACAUCAAGUUUCAUAUUAAGGACUUCCAUGAAAAGUAACUUCUUAAAAACAUACUUUAGAGCAACAAGUACGCCUCAAUCCCAAGCUAAUUGGGGUCAAUUAUAUGAAUCCCCACGAGAGACUCAUUCUACUGACACAUAUCUCAAACUAAAGAAAUUACUAGCAGAACUCAAAACUUUUAAAAUAUCCACUAAAGGCUCAUGGAUGUUAGAGGCUUAGAGCACCUUCAGUGUAAAUACAUUUGACGGACCAUUUGUUUUUUGAUGUAAACAGUAGGUGCUCCAUGAGUUGUGCGUUAUUGCCAUUUAUUCUGACAAACCCAUUUAUUGGAUUUGUCCCUCAAUCAUCAACAAUUCGAUUAAAAAAUUCCCUCUUUCUGCUCCUUUUCAUUCAUUUCCGGUUCCUCAGCCUUUGAGUCUUUCUCAAAAGAAAGGGAAAUCCAAGAAUAGUUCAAGGAUCAAAAAACAUUUCAGAAUCCUCCAAAUAGCACAAUAGAUGGAUCCUUCUGUGCUGAUUUGUGAUUGGAUACAUGCCAAUACCAAACGAUUAUACCCUUUCACUGGCAGACACAAUUUGUUUGUCCUGUCCAUUAUUUUAUAAACCAAUUGAACAGCCAUCACAAAGCUAUAUCAUAAGGAAUCACACCUCCUUGAAACAAAAAUAAAUCUAUGACACGUGAAAACAGGCCCCACAAAAAAGUUGAUAUAUUCUAUAGUUUCUAGUUCUAGUUAGCAGUUGAACUAUAUAAUAGAUGCGAUGAGAUUUUUAAACAAUUCCAGAUAAAUAAAGUCAAAAACAACAACAUACCCAAUGAAACUCCACAAGUGGGGUCUGCAAGGUAGACUGUACGCAAACCACACCCCUACCUUGUGGAGAAAAAAAGGUUGUUUUUGGAGGACCCUCGUCUCAAGUACAACAUAUCAAAGUAGGUAUUAAAAGGGAAAGUGCAAUAACUUAAACACAAUAAACAACAAACGAAUGGAACCAAAAUCAAGACACUACAAGAAUACGGCCCCUCAAAAAGUAAGACAACACUACAUUCCUGCUAAUCUUCUACCAUAAUAUGCAACCUCCACACCCUCCUAUCUAAGGUGAUGUCCUCGGUAAUCAAGUGUUGGUCCAUGUCAUUUCUAAUCACCUCCAGAUAGACAAGGUCACAAAACCUAAAUAUUUCUCAAAAGAGGAUCACUUGUUCGAGACGCAUAAUUUUUUCCUUUUGAAAACAAAAACUGUACAUUCGAAAUGUCUGUAUACAGCAAGUUAGUUUUUUUAACGGAAGUACAUAUAUUUUCGCGUCAUCAAAAGGCACUUGAUGUUUCUUACUUUGACGGAAGUGAUUCGUCAUGGUAAGUUGAACACCCUCAAGUUUGACUGGAUUAUAUUGUUUUCAGUUUCCUUUUCUGAAUCUUUCUGAUGCAUUUUGACUAGUAAGGCCUACUAUGUGGGAAAAAAUCUCAGAGACUUCAAGUUAGCUUCAAGUACCAUAUUUUUAUUUCUUUACACAAAUCGCAAAGUUAAAAUUAAAUCAGACAGGCUAACACUUGCAAAUCAAUUAGGAGACAUAAACCACUACAGCAAAUUACCUGAAUGAAAUAACCAGUAUCUGGUGUCCCAUCCAAGUUCAAAGUAGAAGCUAAAACCAUCAUAAAUUUAUCCUUAACGCGCAUAGGAUAUAUCUCAGUGUUUACAUCCAGUAGCAUGAACAUAUCAAACUGCUCACUCCGUGCUUCAAUGCGAUUCACUACAAAAUGCAAGAUAUAUUCGAUCACACUAUUUGCAGCAACAACAACAAAAAAAGUGCUGCUGCACUUUGAUAAUUCAUGGUGACAAUAAUAAACUAAACAUGGUUUUGCUAAGAAAAUUGCAUGAACCCCAUGACCCUUCCUAAGCCCUCUUAUUGCUCACGAGGAAGAAACUACAAGGUACAACUACACAAACGUAAAGUUGAAUCACCUAUAGUGGAACUAUUGCAAUGAAGGUCACAUAAGAGUCCAUACCUUUGUCUCAAAAGGCAGCUCUCACUGUAAAGUACGUCAUCCAGCAAAUAAGAAUAGACUACGAAAUUCACUACAGAUGAUCAUACUUAAUUCACAUUCAUCUGAAUAUUGCCAGUCAAUACAUGAAUACUAUACUCUUCUUUUUCUUAUUAAACACCACCAUCUUGUUCUUACAUUAUAUUUCUCCUUGCAUUAGUCUAGAGGAGAAUGUCAUCCCAGGUCUACAGUAAACAAACAAUUUAGAUAAUCCCCUCCAACUUAUCAUUCAAGUAGUGUACCACAGCCAUCUUUUCACUUCCACUUGAAAUAAAAUUACAAUGAAAAAGGUCUCAGUUUCAAACCCAAGCACAACUAAUUCCUUCCCAUCUGUCCUAACCUUGAUGGACACAGUUACUUCUUACUUGUUCUGGGUAGAAGGUGACAGUUAUCAGUACACACAAACUACCCCAAACCACAGUCAUCAAAAAAAUGAUUUGCAUUAAUAAAAAGUUCAAAAAGGGCCACACUUUAAGGGAUGUGAUAUAGACCGUCUAAUCUAAUGCAAGCAUUAUAACUACUUCCACAGCUCAAACCUGUUAACCUAUAGAUUACAAGGAGACAACUUUACUGUUACUCCGAGACUCACUUCCAUACAUAAAAAGUAUGUAGAUGACUAAUUCAACAUUACAAUUAAAAUCAUUCAUAUCUACAGAUUAUGCGUUAGCUUACAGUUCAAAAUUCAUUCGAUUGCUAAUGAUGAUUUUGCAUACCUCGAUCAAAUUUUUUUCCAUCAGGAUCUUUCUGAGUGACUGUAAAUAUAUCUUCAAACAGAGUUUCAACCAUUUUGAACAACCUACAAAAAUCACACCCAUAAAAAGCCAAAAAUAUACAGAAUCUACGCUCUAAUAACUAAAAUUUGGUAGAAAAAAUUGUGCAAAAAUCAUUUCUACAGUUAUCUAACCUCAACUUUGUGAAUUUUGCUUCUAAAAAAAUCCACUUUGAAAAAAUAAAUUGGAUUAGGAUUUAGGGUUUAGACGAACUUACAGGUGUUAGCAGUAAUGGCGACGAGAGGAGGGUUUGUCAAUUUCUUCGUACUCUUUACCAAAAAUAAAAAAUAAAAAUACUAGUAUAAAAUAUUAAAACUUUAUAAGUAAGAUUUAAAUAAUAAUUUUUUUUUAUAUUUAUACACUUUUUUAAAGAAAUGAAUGUGUAAAUAUUUCAUCGAAUUAUUAUGGGAAAAUAUAUAAAUUUCCCUCAGAUUUGUUUCGAAAAGUUUAAAUGGUUUAACUAUAAUAACGACAUAUUAACACCUGUUUUUGUUCAUCCCAAAAUUAACGUGAAAUAAAAUAGAAUAUAAAAAUAAAUAGCUGUGUUUGAUUUGAAAAUAAAGUUUAAAAAAUAUUUUUUGAUCCGCCUCCCCAUAUUCUCUUUUUUCAUGUUCCUCUUCUCCUAUUUCCUUCUGAAUUUUUCUCGAAAUGUUAUCACAAUUUUACAAUUUGUCACCCAAUUUUAUUUUUCUUAUCAUAUUCCUAUAAUUUGUAGCUCAAUUUCAUCAUUAUACCUAAAAAAAGUUGAUUUUUUAUUCAAAUUUCACAACAAUUCUAGGAAUGCGAGACUUUGUUCUCCUCGUGAGGCUUUAUAUAUUUAUUUAUUUAUUUUGUAUCUGACUGAAACAAAUUCUAUCUUCAUCAGUUUUAAAUUAUAUUAUUGUCAUCAGAACUAGCUCCUUUGUAUUACUAUAUUAAGAAAUUACAUAAUUCAAAUGUGACCCAAUCCCUGUGUACAAUUUAGCUUGAGAAAAACUUCACCAAAGAAAUUUCAGUAUGGCGAGAAAAAAAGUCUAGCUAAUCUACGAGGUAUUUUGUUUAAACAUCUAGGAAUAUGUAUAAAAUCGACAUGAUCAUGGAUCAAAUUCUCAUAUUUAGAAAAUACAAGAGAAACAGUGAGUAUAUAAUAAUUAGGUCCUAUAUUCUAAUAACAUGUUUUGAAUUUGUGUGAAUCUAGGCCUAGAAUAAACAAUAUUACUAACAGACAUAAUACAUAAAAAUGUCUUUUAAGUUAGAUUCGAAUCACAUUUUUGUCCUUCAACUUUGAGUGUGCACAAGUAGACACUUAAACUUGUAUAAAUUUGAACAAAUACACACACAUGUCCUACAUGUCAUUUUUUGUCCUACGUGGUGUCGUACGUUUAUUGUGUCAUGUAGGACUCAUGUGUUUAUUUAUUUAAAAGUUGGAUAGUUAAAAUGUAUUUUGUGCAUUAUGAAAGUUGGAGGUCAAAGUUAAAAUUUAAAACCAAAUUUAGAAUUCAAUAUAUGUAUUAUGCCUUACUAAUAUGCUGGAUCAUUAUAGAUGGUAUCAGAGUCGCUUAUGUGUUGACCUUAUUGAUAGUAAUCAGUGGGUCAGAGUCUUAUUAAAUCUAGACAAAUUUAGGAAAAACGAGCAAACCAAUAGAUAUACUAAAUAUAUACAUAAAUAUGUAUUAUGUCAUAAUAACACAUUUUAAAGUUCUGUGAGUAAAAACCUAAAACAAACAAUAUCACUUGCAUUGGUUGGAAUGUUACAAUAUUCUUUUAUUUUAUUUUAUUUGACUAAAGUCUGAACAUAAUGUUUAAGGAAAAAAAAUAUUUAUUUUUAAAAAUCUGUAACCUACAUGUCAUAAGAUUUGUGCAUCACAAGACUUUAAAGUCUUCAAUAUUAAAAACUUAAAAUUUGAGUUGAGUUGUUUUCAAUUUUUAAAAUGAAAUUAAUUCGACAUAAACAUUAUUUAUAUAUAUAUAGAGAAAGUAUGGAGUUACUAGAAUCACAAACCCAAAAUCAUUCAUUUGUCUUUCGGUAUAUUCACGUCAUCAAUCUUAAGUAUCACGUUUGAAUUUUAAUAAUAUAUUUAUUUUUAAUUGAAAGUAUUUUCCUUUAAAAUCAAUUUUUAGCAUAAACUUAAAUCAGUCGAAUUAAAAAAAAUAUAUCAUAUAUUAAAAAAUUAAACAAAAAGAAACUAUAGAUAUUGAAAAGACAAAUCAUAAGUCAAUUUCUUCAUUUGCAUUGAAUAGAUUUACUAUUCACCAAAGAGUGAAUAAGUACAAUGUAUAUGUAAACUUAAAACAAAGAUGAAAAAUGGAAAUGGAAAAUUAAAACUAUUUUCUUUUCUUAACUAUAUAAUGAUUCAUCUAAUAUUCCAACCUUUAUGAUAAUAAUUGACAUUAUUCGUAGAUCAAAUUAUAUCGUGAUUUAAAUUUCAUUUAAUUAUUUUUAAUUUCAUUGCGUAUGCUCGAGAUAAAAGUAAUCAAAAGGAACUUGAAGUAAACACAGGUGGAAGACUAACAAUAGUCUCUUUACCUCCGAUCAAACUCUUCAAAAAUUUCAAUUGACAAAUAAAUUGCUUGUAAAAUCCAAUUCUUGAAGAAGAAAAUGUAAAUAAUAUGCUUUUUUUCAGCAUAUUUAAUUUCCUCCCAAUUUUGAUUUUCAACCAAUAUGAAUUCUUUCUCAUAGACACAACAGAAUCUGCUUUCUUCAAUGAUUUGUAAAUCAAGAAUUGUGCCUUUCUAUGUUUAAUAUCUUCUUUGUCUUCUUUUUCAAUCUUGAAAUAAUUAGUAGCCAUUUUUGGUAUUUAUGAUAUUUGAUGAAAUAGUGGAGUUUUUUUUUUUUUUUUUGGUAAUUAAAGAGGUUUAUGAAAUUUGAAAGUGAGAAUUGAAGGAAAGAAAAUAUAUAUGUAUUUAUAGUGGAAUUUUUUUUUUUGAAAGGUCAAGAAAAGAGAGGGGGGGGGGGGGGAUGAAAAUAGUGCAUGUGUCACUCUAAAGAAUAUUUUGUUCUUAGUUCUCAAAGUCAAAGAGUUUAAUAUGGAACCUUUAGUUGUGAUUGAUUUAUAAUUUAAAUUUGAUGAUUUUUUUUUAUAUAUAUUUAGGAUAGUAUUUGACAUGGAGAGAAAUUAAUAUUUUAUAAUAUAUUUUUUAAUAUAUUAAUAUGUAAAAAUUGCAUAUUAUAAUAAUUUUUAUACAGUUUUUAAAUAUUUGAAUUGUUUGUUUCAAAUAUCGAAUUAAUGUAAUUUAAUUUAAUUUUAAAAAUUAAUUGUAUUGAUUUUUUUUAAAAAAUAAUAUAAUAAUUAAAAAAUGGAUGGAAGGGAUAUUAAUUAAUAAGACAAAUUAAAUUUCAUAAAUUCACCUUCCCAAACUCCCCAAAUCACAUUUGUAUUUCGUUUUCAAAUGAACCUUUAUUACUAUUACUCUCAUAAUAUUUAUUUAAACUAAAUAUAAAUUUUAUUAAAAUAUAAUAUUUUGUAUUUACUUAUUAUCAAAAGUGAGAAAAGAAAGUUAUAUAUUAUUCAGGAUACAAAAACAUGCAAAAGCUCUUUUCUUAUCAUUAAGCUCAUAGCACUUCGAAAAUUAUUGAUUCAAAAUUUAAUUUAUAAAUAAUCGUAAAACUAGGUUAAAUCCAAUAUUUAUACACUAUCGUAUAAAGAAAUACGUUAUUUUUUAAGUCGAUUAAAAGCAAUUUCUCUAUUUUCACAAAAAUAAAAUUAAAAUAUAUUAAUAUUAUAUUUUACUGGCUCUAUCUAUAAAAUUACAUCGAAUAUAUAUUAAAUGUUUUACUAUAUGAAGUUUGAAUUAUUAAAAAACAUCAAAUAAUUGUCACAAAAAGAGACAGAUGUCUGUCAAUGAACAGCUAUUACAACUCUUAGAGUGACAUUGAAUAUUAUUUUAUAUUUUUUCAAGAAGUGCAAAUAAUUAUAAUUUAGUAAUAUAAUGUAAAGUGGCAGCUAGAAAUACCAGCAGAAAGUCAGGAGCCAAUUAUAAAGCAAUUAAUACUUUAUAUUAUAAAAUAUAUAAUUAAGGUUACCACAUAUGUCUGUUCAGUAGUAGUUAAAGCCCCAUUAGUUUUAUCAAUGUCAACCACCAUGUCUGCCGGCUUAUCGUUUUUUUGAUGUUUGAUGUUUAUAUUGAUAUUUUAUUAAUAAAGAUAAAAUAAAUAUAUAAAUUAAUUGAAAAAGGCUUAUUAUACUAUAUAUAAUAUAUGCAUAAAAGAAUAAUUUUAAUUAUAUAUAAUUAUUAAAAAAGUUUAUCAAAGAAUUAUAAUUUAAAUAACUCCAAUGCAAGUUGACUCUAUCCUGAUUACAGGGUUUCUAACAUAAAAUUGCACGUUUUUCUUUUAAUGAAUUAAUCUUUAAUUUUUGCUCUUUGACAAUUGCAGUUAUGUCUAGCAGGAUAUAAUUCAUAAGAAACUAAAGUUACAUCUCGAUAUAAUUGUUUAAUAUUACGCAAAAAUAUAAAUUAUUUCCUGAAAAAAAUUUAUCAAAAAAUUAUUUUUUACGAGGGACGUACAUUAUAGACCAACACAAAAUUAAAUAUUGACAAUUAUUAUUAGACGGAAGAAGUACAUUUUAAAAUUAAAUUCAAACUAAAGACCACAAAUGAGACUAUAUUUGAAGGUGACAAAUGGACAUGUUGAAUCGGAUGAACCUCUUAUAAUACUUUAAUUAAAAACAUAAAUAAAUUUAGAAGAUUUAAGAUUAUCAUAUUGCAUUUACUUGAACUCAAAAAUACUUUCUUAAUUUGCUUUUAAAGUUAUUUUUAGGUGUUAUCUCGGCCUUUUAACCUUUAGCAAAAAUUAAAAAUAAAAUAUAUAUAUAUAUAUAUAUAUAUAUAUAUAUAUAUAUAUAUAUAUAUAUAUAUAUAUAUAUAUAUAUAUAUACUAAAUUAUUUUAGUUUGUUAGCUUAUCAAUUAACGUGAUUAUGACUACUUUUAUAUAUACUCUCUCGUCGUUUAUUUAUAAAAAUAUUAAUUUAAUUGUUUUUUCUUUAUGUAAUAUGAAUAUUAUUCAAUAAUGUUAACAAGUACUUUUAAACAAUUGGCUGACUUGCCAUAAUAAUAGCGCUUGAGUAAUAAUAUUUUAAAAGAACCAUCUUUUUAUAUGAUUAAUUAAUUAUAAUAAAUGCUAAUGAUUUCAUAAUUUAAAAGUUUGAGUCAACUAUACUGUUAAAUAAUUUAGAUGUAGCUUCACCAGUCAACAAGUAUAUAUGUUAAACAAUAUGCGUUAAUUAAACAUACUUUUUCCACUUAUUUUUUAUCGAACAAGUUCAUUAGAAAAAUAUAUGAUGAAAAACAAAUUUUCAUUGAAAUAUUAGAAAACUGUUAUAAAUAUAUUGAAUUAAGUGGAUAGUCCAUAAGGUUGGUACAUGAACAACCAUUCAUAUUCACUAGGUGACAUGAACCUUUUUGGAUAAGAAAGUAUCUAUUUAUUAUGAUACUUAAUAUGGUAACCUUUGGAGUGAUUUCUCACUCUAUAAAUAGGAUUGUUCAUUCACUAUUGUAAUAGAUACAGAUGACACUUAAAUACACUUGAAUAAGAAGAAAAUUCCCCUUCUUCUAUCUACUUCUCUUGUCUUCUUCUCUUUAUGAUUAUAUUCUUAUGAGCUUGAUUUUAUAACACGUUAUCAGCACGAGUCUCUAGCCAAUUAAGAUUGAGUUUUACUUUUUCUUUAACUCAUGUUUUGGUUGAUCUCGUUAUGAAGAUCAAAGUAUUAAAUGCAUAAAAUCAGGUAUGUAUUUUCUAGAAUAUUUUUAUGAUUUAGAAUAAAAUAGUAUUCAGUCACUAACAAUUAUCAGGAACCGAAGACAUAUACUACUAUUGGUUGAAUAUGACAUGCUAUACAAAAUUUCUUAAAUAGAAGAAGGUAUAAAAUUUUAAUAGCAUGAAUUUGAAUGUUAUUUUGAUUGUUUUGAAAGACUCAAAGGAUGAGUCAUGUUGUACUUCGAUUUAUUAUACCGUUGGUUAAGGGUAAGACGAUGAAUUCAAGUUUCAUCGCACCAAAAGGGUAAGACAUCAGGUUAAAGUCCGGAUGCACCAUAAUGAAAAAUAUUUGAGGAUAAGACGAUAGAUUCAAGUUCUAUCGCACCAAAAGGGUAAGACAUCAAUCUGAGUUUUGAUGCACCGUGAUUGGGUUCAAGUCCCAUAGAAUUAUGGCGUAAAACGCCUUAUAUGGAUAAGACAUUGAGUUUGAGUCAAUGCACCAUAAUGAUGAUAUAAUGAUGACUAGGCUUUGAUGAAAAGUCUUGAAAUUCGUUCUAUUGAAUUUGCUUCAUUCCUUAAAAAGAAUGUGGUAGCAACAUGUAAUAACUCUGAAAUCCGCCUGUUAACUUGCUCCAUUCAAUCAUAUGAAUGUGGUAGUAGUGAAUGUUAGUCUGAAAGAUGACAAAUGAUUAAUGAUAUGAAUAAGGGCGUGGAGGGACAUAAUUAUAAUAGUCAUCAUUGUGGUAAUGAUAAAAGGAAGAACACUAUAAGUUCUUCAAAUAGUCCUUCAAAAUGUGAAGGCAAUUUAAAUAAAUAUGUGAACUUAAAGUUCAAGGGAUAAUUCAGUUGCAUAAUGUUGCAAAUCAGUUGCCAGAGGAAUGCACUGACCCUAUGAUAUAAUUCAGCUGCGAAUGCUUCAAUGUGAAGUCCUUGAAGGACAAAGUCUAUGAUACGCCGAAAGCGUAAUAGACCAAUUGAUUCCAAAUAUAAAAUUCCUUAAAGAAGGAAGGAGCAAAUGAUCAAUAUGGUCAUGAUAAUGAGGCAAGUGCUAUAAAAGAGCACAUUGACAUAACACUUCAUAAAAUCUUGAAAAAGGUUCAGGUACCUGAAAUAAUAAAAAAUGAAGAGAUCUCGAUAAGUCAUGUCUUGUUGGAAUCGAUAUCAAAUAACUGUCGACGGUAUCUUUGACAUGAGGUAGCGCUCAAUGAUAUAAAUUGUAAUGAGGAUCUUGAAUUCAAAUCUGUCAUAUAGUGUGAACAGAUAAAUGGUUGGCCAAGUAAAAUGCACAAUUCAAGUAUAUUUUGUUUCACUUAGAAAAGUGACAUUUUGGACUGGUAGUCCAUAAAUCAAGAUAUAAUGUCAGUGGGGUACAAAUAAAUUAUUAUGCGAUAGUAUAACCGUAAGAUAUCAAAUACGGUUUGUGCCUUGGGGCAUAAAGGUUUAUCGCAAAAAUCCUUACAUUAGUGGAGAUGUUUUCUCCUUUGGUAGAUGAAAUGAGGUUUGUUUUGAUCUGGCAACAUAUGAAAAAUUGAAUGCAUGUAAAUGAAUAAUUGUAAUGUCUAGCUAGACAAUGAAGGAUAUAUGAAAAUCCUUGAAACAAUCCAGGUGUCUGAAGCAUAUAAACGUUUGAAAGAAACUUAUCCAAUAAAGCUUCAAGAAUCCUUAUAUGGAUUGAAAUAGUCAAGGAAGAAAAAGGGUACAAAAGAAUUACCCUAAUUGUCCUUGUAUUUUUAUGAAAAGGUCUUAGUAAGACAAAAUUUUGUCUUGACCUACAGAUUGUUAAUUUGACAAAUAAAAUAUUUGUCUAACGGUGCACAUACACUGAAAAAUUUUGAUGCAAUUUUAUGUGGAUAUAUCACAUUCAUUGAGUACCCCAAUGAUUAUGAGAUCACUUGAGAUAAAUGAUGAUUCAGUUUGAUCUCAAAAGAAGGAUAAGAGUUUCUUGGUGAUGAAACUCUAUCUUGGUGCAAUCAGGGCACUAGUGCAUCUUACUAACAAUAUUUGACUGGAUAUUUGUUUUGCAGUAAAUUUACUGGCAAGAUUCAGUUUCUCCCCGAUAAAGGACAUUGAAAUGGUGUUGAACACAUGAUUGAAUAUCCUCAAAGGACCAUAGUUAUGGGCUUAUUCUAUUCCGAGGAAUCCAAAACAAAAUUGAUUGGUUACGCAGAUGCAGAAUAUUUAUCUGAUCCGCAUAAAGUUCUAUCUCAAUCACGCUAUGUGUUUGCAUGUGGAGGCACAAUAAUAUCCUGGGGAUCAAUGAAGCAAAUGUUGCUCUGCAGAAAUAAAAGUCCUUUAUGAAGCAAGUCAAAAGCGCGUCUGGUUGAGAUAAAUUACACACCAUAUUCAAGAAAUGUGUGGUUUUUCUUUAAAAAAAGAAUAUACCAACCACAAUGUACAAAGAUUGGAGACAUCAUCACAAGAAAUCAAGUGAUGUUUUAAUCAGGGGGAGUACAAUACGCGUUGCACUCUUUUUCCCUUGAUCGAGGUUUUUUCCCACUGGGUUUUCCUGGCAAGGUUUUUAAUGAGGCAACAAAUGGUGCGUAUCAAAAGAUAUGUGUACUCUUUUUCCUUUACUAGAAUUUUUUCCCACAGGGUUUUUCCUAGUAAGGUUUUAACGAGGCACAUUAUCUAUGGACAUCCAAGGGGGAGUGUUAUAAAUACAUUGAAUUAAGUGGAUAGUCCAUAAGGUUGGUACAUGAACAACCAUUCAUAUUCACUAGGUGACAUGAACCUUUUUGGAUAAGAAUGUAUCUAUUUAUUAUGAUACUUAAUAUGGUAACCUUUGGAGUGAUUUCUCACUCUAUAAAUAGGGUUGUUCAUUCACUAUUGUAAUAGAUACAUAUGAGACUUGAAUACACUUGAAUAAGAAGAAAAUUCCCCUUCUUCUAUCUAUCUCUCUUGUCUUCUUCUCUUUAUGAUUACAUUCUUAUGAGCUUGAUUUUAUAACAAAAACUUUCUAAUUUUUUCACAUUUUUUUACUGAUUCAAUCGAAAUAUUUGUGGAAGCAUCUAUUAUACAUUUUUCAGCGAAAAAUAGUAAAUUUUUAAUAGUGUCAGGGAGUAAAAACAAACGUUUCGCAUCGAAAACAUUAAAUUCAAAUGAACCUCAUCCCAACGUAUGCAUAUAUGAAUUAUUAUAACAUGACAUGUUAACUAAUUUAAUAUGGUAAAUUCAAUCUAAUUUUGCUGCUUCUGAUUCUUUUUCUUUAUCUUUCCUACGAUUUCUUUGAUGUGACAUGAAUAUAAAAAAGAUUUCUUAUUUUUAUAGGGAUAAGAGAUUUAUCUUUCACGUUCGAUGAAAAUCACGUGUUACACUAUAUUUCAAUUAAUAUAUUUAGAGAUAUCUCUUAGUAGUGUCUAAUGGCUACUCGAGUGAUUUCUAUACCUAGACACCCAGAGACGAAGAAGGGCAUAGUAAUUGACUAAAUGCUUGAAGAAGUUGAAAAUAAGCAUAGAUUCAAAGAUUCACGAUAUAUUGAUGUGCAAAAGUGAUACAAUAUUUCACGAUCUUUUAUUUUAACAUUUCACGAUCUGAAGAAAAGACUUAAACAAGUUCUAAUAAUGCUAAAAAAUAAAAACCUUGAUUUCUUUGAUCUCUAAUACAAUCAAUUUGGGAUCCAUCUACAAAAGUUUUGGGAUGAAUUACAAAGAUAACAACAUACACAGUGUGAUCCUACGAGUGAAGUCAGAAGAAGGUAGAGUGUAUGCUGAGAGGCAGAAAGGUUGCUUCCCAUAGACCCUCAGCUCGUGGAAAAGCAGGAUGGAUUACAAAGAUAUUAAGUAGAAGAUAAUGCGUUGAUGCAUUAUUUACAAAUGUGUAUUGAUGAUGCAAAGUCUUGUGCUAUAACUUUACAGAUUACAAAACCACUAGCUACUAGCAAUUAGCUUUUAUUGACUAGUUUGAAAUAGUGCUUUAACCAACAGAUCCUUCAAGUUUCAAACUCAUUAGCUGGUUCACUUCAGCACCAAAUUCAUCAGGAAGUUCAUUGAAAACGUCUCUGCAGAAACCCGAUAUCAUUGCAGCCAUUGCUUUCUCGUAGUCGAUUCCCCUCUGUUGGAAAUAAAAUAACUGGUCUUCACCGAUCUUUGACGUUGUCGCUUCAUGUUCAAUGCGUGCAGUUGGGUUUUUGCUCUGUUCAAAUGAUGAUAACAUCAGUAGAAGGAAUAGUGCAAUGUACAAUUUAUGCUUAUCUCAUACUAAAACUGAAAACGGAAAGAAGUGGGGCGUUUUGGUUCAAAUUCUUGACCUAGAUUACAUGAUGUAAGUUACAUUUAGCAUCAAGUUCUUAAUGUAAUUCCAAUGAUGUUAUCAACCAUUGGUUUACAUAUUUGACUCGCAGGGAAUGACGAAGGAUGUACAACUUAAAGCUACCCCCCCCCCCCAAACCCCAACCACAACCAAACCACAACAAACAGAAAAUAAUAGAAAGACAAACUCUUCUUUCAUCAUAAACCAUGGACACUUUCUCACAUAUCCUAAAACCAUAGUUCCAACUUAAGAGCACUCUGGGCCUGAAUCUGUGUCUCUAGCCUAAUUUAGAUGAUUCCCAGACAAUGAAAAUACCCCCCACCCCCCAAAAAAAACACAAUACAUAAAUACAGUUCAAUUAAUUUAUUUUAAUGAACGGGAAUCUAUCUGGAGCCAACUGCAUCUACAGACAUAUUACACCAGCACAUCUUCCUAUCACCAAGCACUUCGACGCCUCAAGCAAUCCAGCUAAAAUAAUUAUGCAGCCCUAGACUAAUUAAGUAUGAGAAACAUUCUCUGGAAGUUAAGAGGAACAAACAGUUAUGCUCAAAACAAAAGUGGGCACAAUAGGCUGCACCUAACAGCCCAUACGAGAGGUCAAACAAAUUUUAACACUAAAGUUUGACUUGGAACCUUACAAAAUAUUGCCUGCAUCUCCCACACAUGAAUGACAUCCUCGGAGUUAGUAUAGCUUGAAGAAACUAAAUUCUAGGUCCUAUAAGUCAAAAGGACUAUCAAAAGCCAAAUAAGACCUAGAGUCCUACGUGGAACAUCUAAGCUGCCUGUCCCAAUAUGGCAGCUUGUGUAACUUCUUCUAACCGAUUGUUUUCCGAAGAAGAAAUAGCAACAGUCCUAAUGAACUUCUCUCCUCCGUUCUUCAUAUUGCGGAUGAUUUGUAACUUCAUAAGGAAGACUUUUCUUUUCUUUUUUCUACAUCUCGAAAAGAAGAAGUCUUAGAUGUUAACUGGUGAUAAACAUAUUGUCUAUUCUAUGAAAAAGGUCAUGUACAACUUAAAUGCACCAACAUAGUGCAAUUUCAUGCAUAGCAAAUGUCGCCAUAAAACGAAGAAAAGAAAAGGAAAACACUGCAUAAGUAGCAAGUCUAGCAUGCUCUAACAACAAAACAAAAAUGAAACAUUACUUAUUGCUAUCAAACUAAGCCAGAAAGGAAAAAAAUUAAAGUUCACAAAGAGCAAACUACCUGAAUGUAUGGAUAAGUGUUGGCAGCAGCAGUAUCACCAAUAAGCAUUGAAUCACACUGAGAGGAGUUCUUGGCAUUGUCUGCACUGGACAACACCUGAACUAGUCCUCGAUAACAGUUCCUAGAAUGUCCUGCUGAAAUACCCUUUGAAAUUAUCCUGCUCCUUGUAUUCUUCCCUUUGUGUAUCAUCUUUGUCCCUGUAUCUGCCUGCUGAUAAUUAUUGGUUAAUGCCACGGAAUAGAACUCACCAACUGAUUCAUCACCCUCUAACACAACACUCGGAUACUUCCAGGUAAUAGCUGAUCCAGUCUCCACUUGUGUCCACGAAAUCUUCGACCUAGCCCCAGCACAAAUUCCCCUCUUUGUAACAAAAUUAUAAAUCCCUCCUCUACCUUCCUCAUCUCCCGCAUACCAAUUCUGCACAGUGGAAUACUUAAUCUCCGCACCUUCGUGGCAAUACAACUCGACCACAGCAGCAUGUAACUGAUUAGUAUCAUACGAAGGUGCAGUACACCCUUCUAAAUACUCCACAAAACUACCUUCCUCUGCAAUUAUCACAGUCCUCUCAAACUGUCCAGUUUCCAUUGCAUUUAUCCUAAAAUAAGUCGAGAUUUGCAUCGGACACCUAGUGUUUUUAGGUAUAUACACAAAAGAUCCAUCACUAAACACAGCCGAGUUUAAAGCCGCAUAAAAGUUGUCUUCAGGGGGCACAACUCUCCCUAAAUACUUCUUAACUAAAUCAGGAUACUCCCUAAUUGCCUCAGAUAUUGAACAAAAAAUCACACCAGCUUUCUCUAAAGUCUUCCUAUGAGUUGUAGCAAUAGAAACACUAUCAAGAACAGCAUCAACCGCAACAUUAGCCAAACGAUUCCUUUCAUUCAACGGAACACCCAAUUUAUCAAAAUACUUAAUAAGCUCAGGAUCAGCCUCAUCAAGACUAUUCAAAGUUGGUUUCUUUUUAGGUUCAGAAUAAUAACAAAUAUCUUGAAAACUAAUUUCCGGGUAUCUAUUAUCAGACCAUUUAGGCUCUUUCAUUUUAAGAAACUUCUCAUAUGAUUUCAAUCUAAACUCAAGCAUCCAAUUAGGCUCAUUUUUUCUACCAGAAAUAAGCUUAACAGUUUCGGCUGAAAGCCCUUUUGGUAAUGAAAAGGAAUCAAUUUCUUGAUUAAAACCCCAUUUAUAGUCUCUUUUCAAGAAUUUCUGAAGUGGGUCAUUUUCAUUUGAGGUUGAAACAGAAGAUUCUUUACCUGGGCUGUCAAUAGUUGCCUCAUAGCUCAAUUCUGCAGCUUUGACCUUCAAAAUUCUUGAAUUAGGGUUUCUGGGGUUAGCUAAUUUUAGCAGAAAUUGAGACCCUUUUGAUAGUUUAGGUUGCUCAGUGAUGGGUUGAGGAGAAAAACAUGAGAUUCCAUUGGUAACAAGAGAAGCCAUGAUUGAAUUUUGAGGUCUUGGUGAUAGAAAAAUUGGAGCUUUAUUUGUUCUUUUUGGGGUGGAUUUUAUAGAUUAGUGUUUUUUAUUUUUAUUUUUGUGGUGUUUGAAUUUUAGUAGGGACUUGUGCUGGCCACAUACCUUCUUUUUCAGCCAUAAAUAUUUUGGAUAUGGUUAUAAUUAUAUUCUUUGUCUAAAAUUAUUUAUACUCGCUAAUAAUAAUAACAUUCUCAAUAUGAUCUCAUAACUUAGAUAUGAAAAGGAUAGAGUGUAUGUAUACAUUAUUUUUAUCUCGUAAAUAAAUAAAAAAGUUAUUUUCGAGUGUUGAGUCUUUUACAAGCCUUUUUAAAAAAAUAUGUUACUGUAAUUAUUAGAGGUAGGGUUUGAUAAGAAGGAAAUAUUUUUCAUUGAAAAUAUAAUGUUUAGUUCGAAAAAUAAGUGAGUUCCUUACUUGUUUUAUAGUAUUUGAUGAAAGUGAAUAUAAAAAUAUUAUCUCGUAAAACAUUAUAUCGACGGGACGAGAUGAGAAGUGGAGGUUAGGGGAUUGAGUGAGUAGAGAGGAGAUAAUGAAUUUAGAAUAUGAAACAUGGUUUCCUUACUUUUAUUAGGAAAAUCAUUUUUCUCAAUUUCAAGGAAUUUAUUUUCGUAGAGAUAAUACUAUCUAAAUAUCUGUUUUCAAACAUAGAAAAUGAAAAAAUAUUUUAAAUUAUUUUCUCUUUAUUUAUUUGAAAAAAUAAUAAAACCUUUGCAAUUCGCAUAGGUUAAAUGUGUAUUUAUAAUUUUAUCAUAAUUUAGAGAGAUUCUUAUCUUUAAUCCCUAAAUAAAUAAAUUGAGUAAAUUUUUCAUUAUAACAACUAUUUUUGUGACUUUAUUACAGUAAAAUGAAAAUUGAGAUCAUGAAAAAAUCAACCCCCAAAAAUAGGUGAGAAGAAAACUUCAUUAGGAAAAUAAAAGCAAGAUCUUUAUUUAUUUUUGUAUGAGCAAUUGGUUUUAGAAAAAUCUCAAUUCUUUAUAGAACAAAGAAAAAGGUAAUUUCUAGUUUCUCAUUCAUAUAUAUUAUAUAUUCAUCAAUUUCAAGAAUUAACAUUCAAAUAUGUAUACUUGAAAUUAACAUAUAUCAUAUCCAUUGCGAUUGUUUACGUGCAUGUGAAUUUCUAGCCUCGUAUAUGUUUUUCUUGAGUCAAGGAUCUAUAAAAAAUGAUCUCUUUGUGAGAAGGUAAGAUUUAUGUACACUUCAUUAUUCGUUGAUUUCACUUAUGAGAUCGAAUUGUGGUAAGAUUACGUACACUCUAUUUUUUUUUUACUCUACUUAUGAGAUCAGAUUGUGGUAUGAUUUUACAUAUAUUUUACUUUUUCUCGACUCCACUCAUGAAAUCAGAUUGUGAUAAAAUUUUAUGUACACUUCUCUUUUUUUUACUCUAACUUAUAAGAUUAGACUGUAUAUGUUUUUUUUUUGUUGUAUAGAUGGAUAUUUUUGAGUUUUUUUUUUUUCACUUCAUGGAAAUCUUAUGACAUGAUUAUUCAUUUUUUAUAUCUUCUAUUUCAAGAGCUAAGAAAUUAUUAUCUAAAAAUUGUCAAUUAAAUAAUUUGAAGUGAAAUUUAUAUAUUGAUGAUGAUCAUGAAAUUGAAGAAGAAAUUCUUCAACCCAAAUAGAGGAGAGUGGAGACAUCAAGAAUUUCAGGGCGGAGCUAAAAGGCUACUAAAUAAAAAUUUGAUCAAACUCAAUAGCUUUAGUUUAAAUCAGUAUUUGUAUCAAGAAAUAUAUACAAAAAUAUAAUUCGGGAUCAAAUUAGUAACUCUUGAUGUCGUUAUCGUAGAAUGUAUAGCUCUUUAAGUUCAAAUCCUGGAUCCAUCAUAUCUAUAUAUAGUCCACAGGAGAAAUCCCAAACUCAAACUCCAUAAAGUUCAAAUCUUGAAUCCACCACUUAGAAAUCAUACGAAGGAAACAAUAAACAAAGGAUUUAUCAUCUCAUUUGUCUUACAACUUUAUUUGAAUCCUUUGGAUCAUGAUCACUGUGCUAAAAUGAUGAGGUAAGGAUUUAGAUAGCUAACUUCAACUUGUUUAGAAUCGAGACGUAGUUAUUGUUUGAGAUUUUUUAAUCCUAGUGCAUGUGCUUGUGAUACUAAUCCAUGAUAGAAAACUAAUGUCUUCAAUUACAUGUAGUGUGAAGGUUUACACAUAAUGAAUGAUCAAACUAAUCAAGAAAAUCCCUCUCCUCCAACAAUCCUUCCAGCAAAACGAAGGCGCGGCCGCCCUCGGAAAGAUGAUGGUCCAGCUAAAAGAAUGAUCUUGCAGACUCCAACAACUCCAGCACCAGAAAUCAUGAGGCAAAAAGAUAUCACUACAGAUGAAAACAUGUUAGGACAGAUAGUUUCUGGUGUCAUUGAUGGUACUUUUGAUGCAGGGUACUUCCUUUCUGUCAAGCUUGGGAACAACGCCACCACGCUCCGCGGAUUAAUCUUUGAGCCGGGGCGAUUUUCUCCCAUAACAGCAGCAAAUGACAUUGCCCCACAAGUUAAAAUGCAUCAUAGAAGACAAGUUAUAACUCUACAAGAUCAAGAAACUGGUAGUACUAAUGAGCAGCUGAAUGUGUCUCCAGAACAAGUUCUGUUGCCUUCUGAUCAUCCAUCAGUACGUAACGAUCAACGUGGUAAUCCAGAUGAAAUGAUCAAACAUCAAACACAGUUUACCCCUUUAUUGGAAAACCUUAGAAUGGUUGAACAAGACGAGGUGAUGGAGGUGUUUGAAGUCGCGAACCAAUCAGGUCUCGAGUUAAAUGCAGAACAAGGUAAAUGUACCAAUGGACAGAAGAGUACUCAGAGCCAACUUAUAGACUCAAACUCAAUAAUUCAGACAGGUACUCUUGUUUGUUCUGAUCUCAACAGCUUAAACGACGAGAUCCAUCAUAAUAAUGUUGUCGAUGGAUCACUAGAAAUGGGAUCGAAUCAAAAACAGAUUGAAGCUGAAGUGGAGAACAACAAGUCUAAUCUUGAAACUUUAGUUCAGCCAACAGAGUUGGUUCAUUAUGAACUAAAGAAACUCGAGAUCCAUCGAGCUCCUCCUAUAGAUGCUCAAACUCAACUCAUUCCAACAAUCAAUCCAGAGCUUCAACCAAAAGAAUUGACACAAAGUGGACAAGGGAAUCAAGAUUUUCAACCUCACCAAACUCCGUCAUUCGUUGAACUUAACUUUCUAGCUCAAGAAUCAGUAGCAGCAGAAAGUGAAGUAAAGCCAAGUGAUUCAAUUCAAAAUGAAGUACCUUUUUUCGACAUGCCUCAACAUAAUGACACUCAAGAAUCAAUCAGUGAAUUAGUAGACUUUUCGAUGGAAACGCGAAAUUCUCCAAAGGAAAAGCAAAGUACUGAUGUUGGAACAGAAGUUGAGGUUGCAGGAAAGGAAGAAACUUAAAAUGAAAGGGGGAAUAAGCAAGUGAUCUUAGUUUAUGAUAUGUUUUGUAUUAGGUUCACAUUGAGUAGCACAGCUAGAAGGAUCGUGAACUUAUCACUAAAAUACCUCUAGCUAAGUGAAUAAUAAACAAGAGUUUUAUGUAUUUCUGCUAAACAUGAUGGAUUGGAAUCAGAAAUUAUUAGAUGUAUGUCAACUAAGUGUUGCUCGUAUUGUUCAAUCAUUUAAUUACAAGAAUCAUUCUUUCUCCAUAUUGUUCAAUCAUUUAAUUACAAGAAUCAUUCUUUGAUAAGUGAAUAUACAAGUUAGACUCAACAGAAUUUGAUUUAUCCUACUUUUUGUGUUAAAAUGGAGAAUUGAACCGUGAAUUCUCUUUCUUCGUCCUCAAUUGAACAUAUCUUGAAACUCAAAACUUAUUUUCGAACUCAUUUUUCACAUUUGAAGUUAUAUUAGAAUAGAUUAAAGCAUGGACAUUAAAUGAAGUAUUCUUUACAAAAGUAUAACAAACACAAUCCAUCUUUACUUUCAAAAAUUCCAACCCUAUAAUAUUUUAUCUUAUUUUGACCUAAUAUACAUGCUUAUUAUAGCAGAUUCUUUAUUCGGUCUAAAAUUGACAAAUGUCAAACGUAAAUACUCUAUAAUCUUAAACAGAUCAGGAAUUAAAAAAACUAUCGAGACAUUUUUUGAAAUAAAUAGAUCAAAAAUAAAGACUAACAAAUUAAAAACAAAAGUAUUUUGGUUAAAGCAGUUAUAUACCCCCAACAAAAUCCCACAAGUGAAAUCCAAUCCACGACAGUUACAUACCCCCAAUAAAAUCCCACGACAAUAGAAUGCAUAUAUAUAUAUAUAGACUUAAUUACUACCUCAGAGAGGUAUAGGUGCUCCCGAAAGACCCUCGAUAGAGUAACAAAUCCAUGUACAAUGAAGAAGAUACCAAUAAAAAAGAACAUUGCAAUAAUCAGACUGGAAAGAAUAUAAAAAGGGGAUACCAAAACACAAUAAAGAGUACAUGAUUAAUGCUUCAAAAGAAAGAUUAUCCCACAAUACAAAAUAAAUUCCAACAAUGAGUAAAUUUUUUCUUCCAAGCGAAAAACUAUUUUUAAAUAAAAUACCAUACCAUUGUUUGUCCAUACAUAAAUUAUAGCAGAUUACAAUAUACGUUUACUCGUUAUGUAUAACCUCUUUGUGCCUUGUAAAAACCAACUAGAACAAAAAUCCAAGUACCAAGUUGGACUCAUGAAAAGUAAACAUAAAAGCGCAAAAAACAAAAAGAUCAACAAAAAAACCAAUGAAAAAUAACAGAAGGUAACUAAUGAAAAAGUAAGCGAUGGUUGAACACAACCAUAAAUACUGAUCUUCAAGAACCAGCCUACAGUAGUUUAUCUUAUACUAAAUCUGAUGCAAACUUCGAAUCCAUGCCCCUCCCUUUCUACAUCGUUGCAUUACUGUGCUAGGAAGCUUUCGUCGACUCCUUUAACCAGCAGAGAUCACUGCACAGCCACAUUAGAACAGCAACAAGUAUUAACAAUAUGUAACAAAUUUAUCAUGCAAUAUCAUCCGUCAGUAGUAAAAUUCAUUCUUUAAGUUGUUGAAAGGGUAAGGCAAAACCUGUGGUUGUUGCUGCUGUGGAGGGUAAUUUCCAUACCCAGCGUAACCCCCAUAAUAUAGAUUUGGAUCCUGAGCAGGUUGAGCAUAACCAUAGGCAGCAGCAGCGGCAGCAUCAUAUCCAGCUGAAUACCCAUAAUAACCACCGUAUUGGUUUGGGUCAGCCUGAGGCUGGACAACCAGAAGAUGAAACAUUGUGUAUGUCAUGCACUAAGAUUAGCGUCAGAAACCAAAAAAAUGAUUUAUGCAUUAACUAUUAACCUGCUGCUUGUUGGAAGGGCUACGACCCCAUGAAAGGCGGAUAGUUUGUCCACCCAGCUGAGUUCCACUUAAUGCUCGUAGAGCUUCCUCAGCACAACUUCUGCAAUUACAAAACCAACCAUGUUAGUUAUCAUUGAAGUCAAAUUUACAUCUAUUAUUUUUUGUUGAAUUAACAUAUGAACUUCAGAAGGGUACCUGUCAGCAAAUUGAACAAAGCCACAACGUUUGCCUACUGGUAUUUUCACAUGAAGCAACUGUCCAUAAUUUCCAAAAACCUGCCUUAGAUGGUCAUCUGUUACAUUAGCAUCCAAAUUCCCAACGAAUAUCUGCAAUCAAUGUCAAUUUCACAUGAGUAGAAAUCAACAGAAAAUUAUAGUACUUCCAUAAGUAAAUGUACUGACAGUUGUAUUAGAAGGAUCGUCCUCAUUUUGAGUUCCAUUGGUACUUUGAUAUGAAGCUGCAAUGAAAAAAAGCAUAGAUGAGGGUAGAUGCAGACAAAUUUUCUUAUCCAUUUAAAAGAAAUACUCCACAAGUAUUUAUCAAGAAAAUGAAAAGAGGUGCAAACGAAAUUACAAGCACCUGUAUAAUAAAUCUUCAAACACUAACAAGAGCAGGUAAAAAAUCAGAUAGAUUAGUGCAGCUAAAAGCAUAAACAUAAUUUUUGUGCUGUGUUAUAUAAACUUCUAAUACAAACAAGUUUGAGCAUUGGUUACACCUGGCAUCUGAAAAGAACACUAAGGUAUUUGGUUCAAGAGACAAAAAGACACAGUGAGCUGUUGUUACUUCAUAAAUUAUAUGGGUUACAACGACCCAAAAGAAAAUCAUCAGAUAUGAAUGUUCAAGAUCCAUAUUAACUAGUUUUAAUUGGACCCCCCAACCACAAGCACACAAGAAAAGUUCAUACUCCAGAUUACUUUUUAGGUUCAAACUUACAAACAGAGGGACGCAAAAAUGCCAAUAUAAAGAGUGAAGGAGCAGUUGAUCAACAAUAAAAAUACUUGUCAACAGGGUUCAAUAUAGUGACAUGACCAACCACAUCCUGUGAUGUACUACCCCUGACACUGAACCAAAUCCCUUUGAGCUUAUAACUGUUGCCUUAAAUGAUCUCAGUAUCACUAAAAUAAAUAUAAAUAUGAAAAUCAUACUAACAAAUCCGAACCCCGUCCCAACACCAUCAUAUAAAUUGGCCAAUUGCGAGAUCGUGUUGGAGAGACUCCUCUAAACCAGCCUCAACAUCCCUUAAUAACUUGUUACAGAAAUCUAACUAUUGAAACUUCAAGAAAAAAUGAAACAAAAAAUAGUUGACAAGAAUCUGAAAAAUCUAAAAAUAGCAACAAUAAGCAAAGCGAACAUUGACGUGGAAUCAAGGUGUCCUAGUGGUUUGGGCUUGGGACUUCCAUGUUGGAGGUCUCAAGUUUAAUACCCAAUGCCAGUGAAAGCAAGGGGUUAGCCUUCUAGGUCGAGCUCGUCGCACCAAGCUUGUCUAGUGCGGGUUACCUCUCAUUUGUGGUUUGCAAGCUAUUGCAUAGGUGCGGGUUUUUUACCCUAUAAGCACCCAAAGGAUAACCUCUGCGAGUUUCCCUUGCCAUAAAAAAGGGACAUGUUAUGGCUGCAUUAGCAUAUGAAGGUGAGGGGAAACAACCUCCUCCCGGAAUUUUUGUACAAGUAAAAAAUAAAAUGGCUGAAAAGUAAAGGAAUGGAUACAGGACCCAAGUAUAUUUAUUUAGGAAUUGGAACUGCGAAAAGCUUAAGGAAACUGAAGAUCAAAGUGACACUCGUGGCAGGCUAACUAGAUAUAAAGAAUAAAACAGCUGAUAAGUAAAGAUAAAUAAACUGAUAGAAAGCGUAGUGGGAAAAGGAAGAAACUGGAAAAAAAAAUUAAUGCCACGUGGAUCUGCCAUAAUGGAAAUUUUGCCACAUUUAAAUGAACUGACCUACAGAACAUCACGUCCUAAAAGUUACUCAUUUCAGCUGUAACAAGCUCCAGGCCCCAAAAUGAUAGAGCCUCCGACCAUUCACCCUGCUUCGAGACAAUCGGAGUUUUAUGAGAUUUAAUAUUUCAAGGAUGUCUUUAAUGAAUGGAAGGAAAAGAUGUUGAAAGCUGUUGCUAAUCUUCAAGGAACGAGAGCAAGCAUAACAGCACUGUUUAACCCAGUGAGGUGAGAACAAAACCAGCAAUUGCCCCCAAAACAAACUGAUAUCAUCAUCAAGCCAACAUAACUCAAAUUGUCAAAAGCACAAAAUCGCAAAUUUACAAGAGAACAGGUUCAAAACCUAGGAAUGCAUAUGUACUUAACUGCAAGCUAGAUGCAUUCCUUAACAGCUCUAGAGGAUACCUAUGUAGACCAGUACAAGAAACUACGAGGUUUGAACAUACCUUGCACCUGACCAGGUACACUCUUCUUGUUAGCUGCAGGGCCUAUCCGCAUUGGCCUAGUGGAGCAGAACUUGCCAUUCAUCUCAGUCAUAGCAUGCAAUUGCUCACUUUCAUCUGCAAAUUUAACAAACCCAUAGCCCUUUGUGCGCCCAGUGACCCUAUCAGUCACAACCUUUGCACCCUUGACUGAGGGGUAGUUGGCCCUGAAUGUCUCCUGAAGCAUAUAGUCAGUGACAUCAGCUGCCAAGUCUCCAACAAAAAUUGUGUAUUCAGGACCAUUAUCUGAACGUUUUUCACCCGAACCGAGUGAUGCCCAGUUGAGUCUAAAGGGUUGCUCACUAUUAGGCAUCAUGGAGCCAUUAUAUGUUUGUAGGUUUCUUUCAGCAGCCGCAUGACUAAUAAACUCAACAAAUCCAUAACCCUCAGAUUGUCCAGAUUGCUUGUUGCGGAUAACUUUAACAGAGGCCACCUGCAUAAACAAUAGUUAGAAGACUCACAAAACUACCAUAAAUUUGAAGGGGGAGAAAGGAAAGGAAAUUAAAAUAGCAGAAACACAACACUCAUACGUCAUGCACUGGAAAAUGCAAGAAUAUUUUUCCAUACGUCUACAAAUCAUGUCAAUGAAGGAAACAUUUACACAAUUAUAAAGCAAGCACAAAUUUGCACUUCUCCAUAGCAGGAGAGGCUGAUGAAGCAAAAGCCAAGAAAAAUUUACAACUAGCAAUUAUAGGACUUCAAAAGCUUCAACAAUUAUCCUGACAUGGUCUACUAAGAAUGACAUUCCGUUACAAAACAAGAUGAAUGAUAGUCAGACUGUAAUAGUUUUAAAAAAGAAAACAAUAGAAUAGUUUAUGGAAGUGCUGGCUCCUCGCACAGUCGUUCAAACAAAUUGCUUGUAUUCACCAAAAUGGUUUUUGGUUAAAUACACCAUUCAGUUCCUGUAUGUGACCAAGAAACUAUAUGUGCCUAACAUCUCAACUAAAACAUUUUCAAGAAAAAAUAUCUGCUUAACAUCUCCCCAGCUACCUAAAACCUAUGGACUGGCCUUCUCACAAAGUUGAGAUCAUAACCUAUGACCUCUAAGUAUAUGGGCUCAAGCAAGAACUAUGUUUGAGCCAUGAGCUGCAGCACUCUAAGUAGAUUGAGAAUCUUAUUAAAACAUCAUAUUGGUUGAGACCAAAGUCCCGACGUCUACAAACCCCACAUAAUAUGAACUCGAGGCAAGAACACAUGUAAAACAGUUCAAACUAAUGCCAUCUAACCCUAGCAAUCCCUUUCUACAAGCUAAUUUUAUCAUCAUAGCAGCACUACCCAGAGAUUUAAUUGAUAUGUUUCCCACACACAUAAGUCGCAUAUGGAGACCUAUCCAUUAAUGUAUUGCAACUCAAUGAAUUCAAACUAAUCCUCGGUGCUAAUUUUAUCAUCAGAGCAUCACUACCCAGAGAUAUUAACUAAUCUGUACCUCGGUGCUAAUUUUAUCAUCAGAGCAUCACUACCCAGAGAAUUAACUGAUAUGUUUCCCGCACACAUAAAUCAUAUAUGGAGACCUAUCCAUAAAUGUAUUGCAACUCAAUGAAUUCAAACUAAACCUCGGUGCUAAUUUAAUCAUCAGAGCGUCACUACCCAGAGAAAUUAACUAAUCUGUUUCCGACACACGUAUAUCAUGUAUGGAGACCUACCCAUAAAUGCAAUUCAACUCAAUGAAUUCAAACUAAACCUUGUGCUGAUUUUAUCAUCAGAGCAUCAGUCGCAGCGUGGCGGACCAGGAUUUUCAUUCAGAGAGGUUCGGAAAAUAAAAAUAUAAACAUGUAAAAAAGUCUUUAGAAAUGGGAACCUUGAUUUUUUGGGGGUUUAAAACCACACUUUACGCAGAUUUUUUAAAGUAAAAAAACACUAAAAAAAGAAAAACAGAACGGAAUUUUUUCUUUAAAAAAAGACUGAAAAAAAUAAAUCACUUUCCCUGGGAUUCAAACCAGUGACGCACAAUUCAAUUUCAAGGGGACUGCCACUGAGCCACCAGCUUCUCUUUGUUAUUGAGAUGGUUCAAAAAUAUAUAUAUAUAUAUAUAUGUAUAUAUAUAUAUAUAUCUACUGAAAUACAGAAAACUUACUUUAUAUACGGUGUAAUUUUUUACCGAGGGGUUUGGAUGAACCCCUGGAGACAACCUGGGUCCGCCCCUGACUACGCAGAGAAAUUAACUAAUAUGUUUAUCACACAAACAUAUCAUAUAUGGGGACCAAUCCAUAAAUGUAAUACAACUCAAUGAAUUCAAACUAAACCUCAGCGUAACAUGUUCCUCGAAUUACAUUUAGAACACUAGGACAAAAUACAUCCAUAGCACAUGAAAGGAAAAAAACAAAUUCUGAAAAUUAAAAAUAACCAAUCUUUUCAGUUGACGCCUCAUAGUUCAAAAAGCAAAAGUACAACAGCCACAUACAAACAUAUCUAGAUAUCAGCAUCAAUGUGAUUUCCUGCCCUAUUAUUUUCAAGUAUUCCAAAAACAUGAAGGAAGUAGAACGGAUACAGAUUAUUCAUAUAGCAUGGUUAGGAUAGAGGCCUAGUAACUGUUAUAGAACGCGAAAAACUUGAAGCAUAACACAACAAUUAGUAGUUCUAAACGCAAAUUCUCAAAAGCCACAUACAAGCAUAUCUAGAUAUCAGCAUCAAUGUGAUUUCCUGCCGACUAGUUUCAGGAUACAUAAACUGGAGAACUUGAAGAAUACAAAACAGAUAUCGAUUAUUCAUAUCCGAAACUCGAAGCGUACCUCUCCAGUGUGAGCGAAGCAGUUCUGGAUAUACUGUUCAUCCAUCCAAAACUGUAGAUCUCCGAUCCACAAGCUCCGGAUCUCAUCGGAACUGGUCGGUUGAGCAGCAGCUGCCGCGGCGUUGUACUGAGGUUGUUGCUGUUGCUGGUAAUAAUACGCCGAUUGCUGCUGCGGAACCUGAUACGCUGCCGGCUGCUGCUGAGCCAUCCAAUGUUGCUGCGGCUGCUGUUGAUACUGUUGUUGCGAUGGAGCCGCCAUUGGUUGUGGAACCAUGGAAUUCGCUGGUUGCAUUCUUAGGGUUUCGGUGAGCAGAGUAGAGAAGAAGGUUGACGACGGCGACGGCAACGGCGGUGGCGGCGAAAACCCUAAAGGAUUUGGUGAGAGAGAAGGGAUAUAGAAUUAUUUCGUAUUAUAUUUAUUAUGUAGUGCGAUGCCACAAAAAAAGGAUAGUACGAUUUGUGCCCUCGUGGCUUUUUUCGCAAACAAAAGCUCAAACCAUACAGUAUACGAUUUCAAUUCUUUAUAUUAUUAUUAUAUUUUUUUUCAAUUUUACUUUUUUCGGUACAAGUAGGAAAAUUAUAAAAGGUAAUAAUAAAAUUUUGUAUUUUUUUGGGAGAAGUAGAUCUUUUUCAUGUUUGUGAUCAUCAUUUGCUAUAUAAUGCACAUACUCACUUUUCUUUUGACGUGGACAAUAUUUUUUUUGUCGAUUUUAAUAGGUUCGCUUUUUGGAUCAUCUUUUGCCCAAUGAGGUAUCCUUCAUUUGUCGGUUCCUUUUGGGUUUACCUUGUUCACAGGUCGACCACAUGGCAGCAAGAAAAAGUGAUCUUGUGCUAUAAUCCGGUGAUAUUUUUCUUGUCGGGACACACAAACUUCUAUCGUGUCUCAGAUCACAUUUCGAAACACCCUUGUAAGCCCCCAAAAGAGAACUAAAGCAGAGGACUACGAACUUUUUCAAAAAGAGAUUUAAAAAGCUACAAUGUUUUGUACUUACUUUUCUUGUUGCAUAAUUCAAAUAGGAUAGAAGGGAUAAUGUCGUUGUGAACAUCACAAUAUUCCUCUUUUUGGGAUUAAUGUUCUCAAUGGUUAUAUGUAAUUUUCGAUAAUAGUCGUAGAAGAUGAAACUCUAUGUCGUCUUAUUGGAUAAGUUUGACAAGAAAUAAAUAGUAUAUUUUCACUUCUAUUUCUGUAUAUUUUAUAUCUUUUGUAAAUUGUACUACUUAAUUAUUCGAUAACCCAUAGUUUUAUGGUGAGACUUGAAGUAGAUUUUGUUGAUCAUCAAUAUUGAGAUAGUUGGGUGCAUCAACUUUUUUCUUUUAUAGGAGAGGGGAUAAUACACUUUAAGGAGCUUGUGCUAUUCAAUCGAUAAGAAUACUAGAAUAUAAUAAAGGCUUGUUUUCACAAAUGAAAGAGAUGUUAUUAUUUCUCACCAGUCAUAUGAAAUGUAUAAUCUUCUUAGAAAGACAAAGUUAUCGUAUUUUAGUCGAUAUUCUAUCACUAAUCUCAUCAUAUGUAUGAUCUUUUUAGGAAGAUAAAGUUUUUGUAUUUUUAUCGAUAUUCUAUCACCAAUCUCAUAUACUGAUUUUGUAUUAAUUUUUUCAAUACAUAUUCUGAUCCACAAAAUCUUAUUGUAGAUAUACAACAUAGAGAGAGAAAAUGUGUUAAAAGGAUAAUUUGUUUCAUAUAAUUAUAUUAGUAUUUGAAUGAACUAUGUAACAUAAAGAAAGAGAUUAGCUUGAAUAAUUAUAUGGAACAUAAUUAAGCUCUAAAUUGCAAAAGAAAAUAAAAUAUUAUUAUUAGCUUGGAUAAUUAUAUGCUCAUUGCACACUAAACUCACUUGCUUUAGUUUACAAAACAAUAAGGAAAUAUUGACAAGGCAUAGUGCUUAUACUUAUAUCACUCUGACAAAGUACUGAAUCAAAUUUUUUACUUAGAUCAUAACUGUUAAAACUAUUAAAUUUUAUCGAAUUUGUAACUAUUACGUCGAACUCUAAUUCAUGAUGUAUAUCUUGUUAGUUGGCUUUGAAAGUUGUAUAUGAGCUCCUUAUACCUAGUGGCUGAUAAUUUUGGAGUUCUUUGUAGAUUUGUAAAAUUGACAUAAUGCAAUCCAAAUCUUUUUGUAUAUCCUUCUAACCAUUCAAAGUUGUCCAGUAAUGACCAAGCAAAAUACCCUCUCACAUUUGCACCUUCCCUAUUUAUAAAAUAAAAUUAAACAAACAUAUAUGUUAAUCUAAAUAUUAAUUAAUAUAUAAUGUAAACAGACAUUUAUGAAUCUGGUAGAAACUAUCUUUGUACAAAGGGAAUUAAUUGAUACUCUUAUGUCAGAAAACUUCACGAUAUAAAUAGGUUAUUUGUUUUGUUUAAUGUAUCAUUCGUUGUAUGUUAGAAUUAAUUCUUCGAAAGGUGCAAAUUGUAUUCUAUAAUCUACUCUGUGUGUUCAUUUUUAUUUGUCAUGUUACGCUUUUCGAAAGUCAAUUUGAUCAAUUUUCAAAGUUAAAUUAGAUUACAUGAAUUCGAUAUUUUAAACAAAAAAUUAUAUGAAAAGUACUACAAGUUGCAACUUUUUUGUACAUCAAUAUGAUGAAAAAAUACAUCUCAAAAUGAUAAUUAAUUUUUUUUUUAAAAUUGACUUUAUAAAUAGAUUCCAUGACAAUUAAAAGCGGACGGAGGAAAAUACUAGUUUUGGUCACUUCAAAAAAUCUAUAACAAAUAUGUGUGUUGAAGAGUUGAGAGAGAAGUACCUCAUUGCAUUUGCCAAGGAAUUCAAGUAGUUAUGCAUGUACUCCACUCUUUGAGUGUCAUUGAGAGCAUCUUCUAGGGAAGAAUUUGGAUUGUCACUCUCAGCAAUACCUGUAAGAUUUGCUCAAUUCAGAAUAUACAUUCAAUUCGAGUUGGGACUCUACAAAUUGUGUUCAAUUUAUAUUAAUAUUCUUGGAGGUUAUUCAAUUCUAAAUCCUAGUUUAUGUCAAUAUAAAGGGUACUAAUUUUCCUUAAAGGACAUCUCAGAAAUUCCAUAAAGAGAUCAAGAUCUCGAAUACUUCACAAAUUGAUGAAUUACUCAUAUAAAGAGGUCAAAUCAAAAUCAUCCUAGUUUGAGAAAUACGCCACUAAGAGCCCUCGAAUCAUGGAUAAGUCCUAGGAGAGUAGAAUCAAGGGAUCAUGAACAGACGUACCCGCUAUCUUGAUUAAUAAAAUCAUGUUUCUUCAUAUUUUAUUUGUAUGGUUUAUUUAUUUUCCAUAUGUUUAAAAUUUGUUACAAACAGAGUGUUCUCGACGUUAUCAGAAUAUAUUUAGGGAUAAUGCACAAGUAUCCCUCAAUAUAUACCCGAAAUCUUAAAGACACACUUAUAUUAUACAAAGGUCCUAUUGCCCCCUGAACUUAUUUUAUUAAUAAUUUUCUACCACUUUUUGGCCUACGUGGUACUAUCUUGUGGGUUCAACGUUAGUUGACUUUUUUUUCAAGCUAGUGACACGUAAGCCAAAAAGAGAAGAAAAUUACUUAUAGAAUAAGUUCAGGAGUAAUAGAACCUUAGUAUAGUAUAAUUUGUCUCUGAAAUUUCGGACAUAGGUCGAAGGAAUACUUAUGCAUUUUCUCAAGGGAAAAUACCCAAGUACCCCUCAAACUAUGCCCGAAAUUCCAGAGACACACUUAUACUAUACUAAGGUCCUAUUACCCCCCUGAACUUAUUUUAUAUGUAAUUUUCUGCCCCUUUUUAGCCUACGUGGCACUAGUUCGAAAAAAAAAGUCAACCAUCAUUGGGCCCACAAGAUAGUGCCACGUAAGCUUAAAAGGGGUAAAAAAUUAUUAAUAAAAUAAGUUAAGGGGGUAAUAUGACCUUAGUAUAGUAUAAGUGUGUCUCUAAAAUUUCGGACAUAAGUUGAGGGGGUACUUGGGCAUUAUCCCUUUUCUCAAAAUUUAAUGAACUUUUGCAUAAAAUGCAUAUCAUCUGAUUGAUAUGCUUCAGGCUUGAAAUCCAUUAAUGUAAAAAGACAGAUGUAACAUAAUUAGCUAAUGAUACUUGAGGUAUGAAACUAUAUAUGCAUAUCCCUAAAGUAUGAUAAAGCAAAAAAUUAAGAUAUUUCGUAUAAUACAGGGAUAAUGUCUAAGUACCCCCUCUACCUAUGCCCUAAAUUUCAGAGACACACUUAUACUAUACUAAGGUCCUAUUACCCUCCUGAACUUAUUUUAUUAAUAAUUUUUUACCCUUUUUUAGCUUACGUGGCACUAUCUUGUGGGCCCAACGAUGAUUGAUUUUUUUUCGAACUAGUACCACGUAGGCUAAAAAGGGGUAGAAAAUACUUAUAAAAUAAGUUCAGGGGGUAAUAGGACCUUAAUAUAGUAUAAGUAUUUCUCUGGAAUUUCCGACAUAGGUUGAGGGGGUACUUGGGUAUUUUCCCCAUAAUAUAAGAUAAUUUUUUAUAUUUUCCAAUUAAUUAGUGCCAUGAUUUUGUGUUUCUAAAAUUGCACAAAUAAAGGUAAACUUCAAGUUCUAUGUUACCAUUUUCAGUUAUGAUGAUUGGAGUAUUAUUGAACCUAUCCUUCAUGUACAUCACAAGCUUUUCCAUCCCUUGAGGAUACACAAAUAGCCAAUCCAUUGUAGUCUGAAUCAUUUAUAAAAUAUAUCAAUUAAUGUAAGAGUUAUUUUCAAAAUAGGCAAAUGAAAAUUAAUACACACAAAAAAUAAAAUAAAAUAUAAAAUUUAAAUCGAAAGUGAUCAGUUAAUAUGUUUUAUCAGGAAUUGAGGUGUUUAAUUAAAAAAAAAACAUUUAGUUCUUCUUUCUUUCAGAGUAAAAAAGGGAAAGCAAACAAAUUGAAACGAUAAAGCAUUGAUAGGUGCAUUAUCUAGUUGCACGAGUGUCUAAAUUGAAUAUUUAGACAAGUAAUUUAAGGGACUGAUUAUGUAUUAUUAAUAUCAAUAUUGCACAUGAUUUAUAUAUAUAUAUAUAUAUAUAUAUAUAUGUAUGUAUGUAUAAGAAAAUGAAAUUCAAAACACAUUUCAAUACAUAUUCAGUAUAUUUUCACAAGUCAUGUAUUUAUCCUAUUUUUGAGUGAGGUAAAAAAUUAUUUCCAGCAUGCUCUCGAUUUAUGCAAAAUGAUUUAAGCACACAAUACACAUUUUAAGUAAAUUGUUAAAUUAAAUUAAGACACGUAAAUUAAAUCGAAUUUUAUACUUACGGGUUCUCCAAUAUACACACCAUCUUUUUCUGUAGCACGAAAAUAAGAACCUUCUGACCAAGAAGAAUAUUGUCCAUGUUCACAGACAGAGAACAAACAAUCUUUAAUAUAAGCUGCUGUAUAAUGAUUUAAGCCAAUAAAAUCUAGGCCAUUUUUCAGUUUUUUUAUAUCAUUUCUUGAAAAUUUAGGCAGGUUAUUUCCAAGAAUUUUUUGCAUUUCUUCUGGAUAUUUUCCAAAUAUAAUAGGGUCCAAAAACCUGCAUAUAACAAUAAUAUUAUAUUUUAUUAAACGGUCAUAACUUUUUACUCAAAUUUCAAUUAAUAAUUGAAGCAUUGAAAAUUAGAUUUCAAGGGCUAUAACUAUUGAAUGAGUUGGAAUGGAAAAAAACUUUUUUGCAAUAAUUUUUUUUUGGUUCUUCUUUUUGUAUUUAUUUAGUUAAAAUAUUUUUUAAAAUGUCUUUUACAUAGAUUACAAAAUCAUUAAAAAUCAGAAAAAUGACUCACUUUAAAAUUAAAAAAAUAUAUCAAAUUUUAUAACAGACAUUUUAUAUUGAUAAUCUCCAACGCACUACAAAAAGAAUAACAAAAACCCUAUAAAGAAAAUUGACAUCAAGAGUUGGUAAAAUUUUGAUCGAUAUCGAAAUAUUGACCUUCUUUUUGUUGAUGUUGUAUAACAUAUAAAUGUGUCCUUAACAAUUGGUCUCAAUCAUUUCAUAUACAUGUCUUUUAACUAUAAAUGUGUAUAAGUAAUUACUUAAAGUUGAAUAACUUGACACAAAAUUCUUACGUGUCAUAAUACAUGUAAAACAUCACGUAGGAUACUAAUUGUCAUGUUGGAUGUCACAUAGGACGAUUGUGUCAGUUUAUUCAACAUUAUAUAAUUUUAAGUGUCUAUUUAUACACAUCCGAAUUUGAGGGCACAAAUAUAAACUAAGGUCAAAUUAAAGACCAUAUUUACGUAGUAUGCCUUCAGAGGUCCCUUUUUUUUUUUUAAUAGUGUCCUCCUUACCGCCAACAUCUCAACAAACCAACCCUGCUCCAUGUACCCUACCCUAGCCUACCUUUCCUUACCCCAUUGGCGCAUCCAUGCCCUCACUUAUAUUCAUAUUCACUGUUCAUAAUAUUUAUCUAAAUUAUAUGUAAAUAUUUUAAAAUUUUACUUACGCAAUGUUAAAAAGGUAUUUUUCAUGAAAAUAUAUAUUUAUGAAAUACAAAAUACAAAGAAAGCUUACCAAUUGUAAACAAAAGAUCUUGCUCUCUGAGUUGCAUAAUUGUCUUCUGAGGAAUUGCUAAAAGGUUCAUACCAUUGAGUAUUCAAAGAUAUUCCAAUCAUCCCUCCUUGUCUCACCUUUAUAUAUGAACACAAAAAAAACAUUUUUUCAUUAUAUUUCUUAAUAAAUCUGUAUUUCACAAUUCCCAUCAAAUAUAAUAUACAUAAUUUGUUAAAAAUUGAGUUAAUUGUAAAAAAAAAUCUAAAUUAUGUCAGGUUCUUUUUUUUUUUUCAUGUUUCAUACAUCAACUAUUUGUUGUUCUCUUUUGCUACUUAAAUUAUCAUUAUUUACAAAUUAAAAAUAUCACUUCGAAGCUAACUAGCUGACAAUCCGAUACUAUCAACACUUUUUCUACUGGAACUAUUUAAUUAGUUGUGCUUCAAUACAGAAAUGGUGGUACACUACUAAAAAUUACAAUUUUCCAACUGAAAUUUCUCGCUGAAAAAUGUUUAGUGGUUAUUCCCAGAAAUACUUUGAUUGGAUCAAGAUGAAAAGAAAAAAAAUGUUCAAUGACUAAAUCCAAUAUUUCAAUAAAAAUUUGUUCUUCGUCAUGCAUUUUCCUAAUAAUUUGAUUCAGUAAAAUUCAGAUCAGAAAAUCAUGUUUUAUAGCACUUGCGGGUGGAUGGGGGAAUCUUUAUUAGUAAUAGUGAUAAUUCAUGUAAAAAAAAAAAGGGAAUAUAUCAUAAUUAAAAUGAUUUUUUUAGUAACAAUUAAUUAAUGACAAUAUCUUCAUUGCUGCUAAAUGUAUUAUUUAGAAGCAGAUAACACUCUUCAUAAAUAUUUUUAAAAUUUAUAUUAGCAUAUAACGACAACCGAUAAAAAGAUUUAAUAUAUGCAUAUUUAUUACCGUAAAAAAUUAUUGGAACCUGAUAUUUUGUUUUGUAAAUGGUGACAAGAGCAGCAUGUGAUAAAAUCAUAUUGUGUGCUGCAAUAAAUGGCUCUUUUUCUGAAUUUCCAAAAUUGCAAUUACCAAAUGAACCGGAACAUCGAACCGGAGGGAAAGUACCAAAUCUAUAGCCUCGAACCGCCAUUACAUUCGGUUCAUUAAUAGUUACCCAAUAUUUAACUCUAUCCCCAAAAUAUUUGAAACAUGUAUCUCCAUAAUAACAAAAAUCAUCCCUGAAAUUAAUAAAAUUAAAAAAAAUAUAUGAAAAUAUGAUUCGUUUAAUUCCUUCGAUUCUAAAUAAGUUAAAUUGAAUUUAAAUAUGUGUUUGUAUUAUGUGGUAAAAGUUUUCUCGUGAUACUUUUCAUUUCUCGAGAAUCAGAUAGUAUACAUUUGACCGGCAAUUUACGUAUUUUAAGUUUUAUUCUUGGUUCCUUUGUAGGUAGGGCUUCCAUUAGUAUAGUUUUGUGUGCUUGUGUAGGUAAAGUGAAACUUUUGUUGAUUGAUCUAGACAGGUUUUUCGAGCCUUCUUUUUCGCUUUCAUCUAUUUUGGAAUUUUCUAAUUUUUUGAAAUGAAAUUUAUAUAUAUAUAUAUAUAUAAAUUAUGUAAAAGGUAAUAUAAGUAAUGGUAAUUGACAAAUUGAAGGGUUUUGGUACGGAGGAAAACAUUCAAUUUAGUAAGUUAAUCAUACGGUCACUUAAUUAUAAACGUUUUUCUUAAAAAUUACUCAUUUUUUAUUUUUUAACUCAAAAAUCACUCAUCUAUAAAUUUCUUUUAAAGAAAAUCACUCAAUUAUAGGUUUUUUUUUAGAAAAUUACACUGACUUCAAUUAUUUUUUUAAAAGAAGGUAUAGUCGAAUGACUAUCCGAAAUAUUACCUCUAAAAUGUUUGGAAAAAGACUUUUUUUUUUCUAGAAAAACAAGCUUUUUAAUAAUUAGAAAGUAAUUUUCUUAAAGAAAAUAAUAAUACUAAUAAAAAAAAAAAGUUUCCUUCAAAGAUUAUUUUUUCUUUAAUUCCUACCCCCAACACUCCUUCCUCACCCCACAAUGUUUUCCUAAAUUAUAUUCAAAAUACUCACUAAAUAAUAAUAAAAAAGAAGAAGACAUAAAGUGUCAAAUCUUGCUUACUGUAUUUUGGGACUUAGCCAUCCUCCAUAUCUUUCUUCAAGUUCUUGAGGUAUGUCAUAAUGUGCUAAGGUGACAAAUGGUUGAAUACCUGUAAUUUACGUUAACUGUUUAACACAUGAUUAAUAGUAUAUAUUUAAAACGAUCGAAAAUAACAAUCGCGAGAUCAAAACCUUUUUGUAGGAGUACAUCAAUCAACUUAUUGUAGUGUUGAAUUCCAGCCAUAUUGACACCUCCAUACAUCCCAUCUAAUCCAAUUUUAGGACAAUAAAACAUUAUAAGGGGACAUUAAACAAGUAAAAAUGAUUUAAUAACGUAAAAAUUUAUUUAUACCUAUGAUGUAUAUUGUAACGACCCAUUUGACAUUUUGAGUAUUAGAGCUUUUCGUUUUAUAAAUAUUUUUCGAUAGAUUCUGAAUAAGUAUUUUGAACUAAUCGUUACUAUAAUUAUGAAAUUAGUGUGACAAUUUUAAUAAUUUAUAGAGUUAGAAUACUAUUAAAAAUUAACUAGUACUCGUGAUUCAUUCCUCCUAUAGUUAAAAAUAGGUUGAAGUUGGUAAUAUACUCUAGUAUAAUUACAAAUUGCAUGGUUAGACAUUGAUUACUAGUAAUUUGUAUCAAAGUGAAUUGUUUCUCAAAUUGAUGUGGCAAUAACUGUGACAGUCACUUGUUGAUGUGUCAAUUUAGGGAUAAAUCAUGUCCAACAAACUUAAAGGAAAAAUUUUGUAGUUAGCGCUAAUGGUCAAUAAUUAAUUUACGUCAAUCUUAGGUUAUUUUCAUUAGUUAUCAUAUUAUAACUAAGUUUUGAUAUAAUGGAAUAGUUAAUUAAAGACCACGUGUAUCAUAUUAGGGGAGUAACAUUAAAGUUAUGCUAAUAGGAGAAAUUAAGGCUUAUCAUUAGGUUUGAACUUUAGGAAAUUAAUAAUAGAAUUAUGUGAAUUUUAUGGUUUAGACUAGACAUACAAUAAUAUAAGUGUUAAUAGACUCGUUAACUUAAAAAUUGUGCACAUAUACUUGAUAAAUUGAAAAGGUUCGGAGCGUUGAGGAAACAAAAAGUAUUGGAGAAGCAGCUUGCUUGACUUCGGUUCUUCGGUGGAGGUAGAUUAUGGUUUAUGCUAUUUAAUAGUAAACUCUUAAUAGUAAUUGAUAUGUAUUGAAUGAUAUUGUGAAGUUUUCAAUGUACUUGAUUGAAUGGUUGUGUGACUUGGUUGUGUGUUUUGUGAUUGGUCUGAAAUCCUGAGACCUGCAAUUUAUAUUCUUGAAACCUCUUUAUCGAAGUGUUUCAUUGAAUAAAGAAGACUUGAUGAAAUAUUAUCAAUGAAUUGAAAGUGGUGAUAAUAAAUGAAUAUUAAUGGAGUAAUUGGAUCGGAGUGUCACGUUCCGACACGGUAUAAUUGGAUCUGAGUGUCACAUUCCGACACGGUAUUCUUGGAUUGGAGUGUGACGUUUCGACACGAUAUUUUUGGAUCGGAGUAUUACGUUUUGACACGUUACAAAUGGAUCGAAGUUUCACGUUCCGACACAGUAACAUUAAAGGAAAAGGAUAUUGAAUUAACUUAAUGUACUCAAUCUCAAAAAACCCAUUUCCCAAAUGAGCGUGGUGUAGAGGCAUGAGUCCUCAUGGGUGUGCUUGAUAUUGUGAUUGAUUACGUAGUCACUUGUACAUAUUGUUUGUUGCUUACCACCUGUUAAGUGUCAUAGUUAAGUUCAUGUUAUUAUUCAUUAUAUAUUAGUUUCUAUUUUGGGUUGGCAGAUGAUAUCUACUUAGUAUAUGUUGCCUCGGACUGAGCCCUACUUGUGGUUUUCUUUGUUUUUCCUUUAUAGAGUGCAGCGAGUGUAUUAAUGACUUCGGCAUCCCCUCAACUCUAGCCAGUCACCAAAAUAUCAGGUUUCAGGAUGAGAUAUUUAUUCAAGCUCGCGUGGAUUCUCUUGGUAAUAACCUUAUGUCCUUAUUUUUCGGACACAUACCACUUUAUUCUUUUAUUUUGGUGUAUUCGAUACUCUUAGACUUGAUAUUUGGAGAUUAGAUGUCCUUGAUGUGAUGACGUUAGAGGUUUAGUUGAUUAGGUAUUUUAAUAAGUUUUGGAGCUUUCGCAUUAUUUUUAUUAUUCAUAGUUAGAUUAUUGACAUAUAUUGGGGAUUUGAAUUCCUUGAUUCGCCCACUUAAGAGGUUAAAUAUGAGUGUCACUCACAACUCAUUUUAAAUCGUAAAAUAUAUAGUUAAAAUUUAUCAAUAAAUGAGAGGUCCGUAGAUUUAGUUGUAACUUACUAGGUAGAAUUCUUGCCCAUGAGAUAGAGAAACGAAAGCUAUUCACUCCCAUAUCUUCCAUAAGCUUAAUGUCCUCCUGUUUACGUAGAGGUGUCAAAUAAAUAGAUAUUUAAAUUAUAAUUACAACAAGUCAUAUUGUUUUUGCUCCAUUAUUAUUUGGUGUCACAUCCACGCGGUGGAGCGACCUUGAUAGAAGGGGGUCAUUCAAAUUUUAUUCGAUAAAAAAAUAUAUUAUUUAUAUAUGAUUAAAAUAAUAUUAUAUAUAUAUAUUAGAUAUUAAAUCCCAUUCAAUUAUUUCAUAUAUUUAUUUUUAUAAAUUUUGAACCCUUUAUUGAAAAUGGUGACUCUCCUCGGAUCACACCAAUAAAUAAGGUGAUAUGGGAUAAUAAAACAAAUACUACAUGUAUAUGAAAACAGUUCGUUCACAUAUUUUCAGCAUAUAAUACACUUGUACCUAAUCAUUUUUCCAGAAACAAUAUAAUAACAACAAUAAUAAUAUUUCUUUAGUUUUAUUUUAUUUUAUUUUAUUUUCACACGUGCAAGAAAGAAAGUAGCUGUCACCAAAAAGUGUGAUAGGGUACUGUUUCAUUCCCUCUUUUUUUUUCUCAAAUAGUCAUGUAAAAAAUGAUGAAAAUUUUGACGAAUAUUUUAUAAUGAAUUUUAUCAUCAUACUGAUAUAUAAAAAAUUAUAAUUAUAAUUUUUAUUUAAUUUUUAUUUAAAAUAUCAAAAAGCAAUCAUAUGAAUUUAAAAAAAAGCAACAUAACAACUAAAAAACGUACAAAGGGAAUAUAUUUUACCUUUAACCAAAUUUUUUUUUUUUUUUAAAAAAAAAGUGCAAUUAUGCUCUCUGUCUGCUUAAGAAUUUUGUUAGUGGUGAAAUUAAAUAUAAGAAUAUUUUUGUGUCAAAAAGAAGACAGAACGUAUAAACACCAAAUUUUUAGACUUGAUUGAUAUGCCAACAUCAAAGUUCAUGGACCUAAUAGUAUGGUAGUCAUAAGGUUUCAUAAAUUAAUCGAAUCAGUAAAUUUUAAAUCAUUAUAAUUCAAUUCGAAAAGAAGAGAUGCAUCGCGAUAGGGUACCUGAUAUCGAUUAUAAUGAUCUAGAGCAAUGUCUCCAUUACUUCCAUCUGCUAUGUGGCCUGCAAAAAAUCCCAAUAAUAAACAUUACUACUAUUAUUGAGAAUCGAUGAUUAGGAAUAUAUUGCUCAGAUAAUAAGCAUCUUUAGCCUUCAAUAUCGAGGUUUAUAAAAUAUAUAAUUAUAAAAGAAAGAUCACCAGCUUCAUGAGUAAAAACAUCCCAAUUGUUAAGGCCUUUGCCAUCACUAAGAAAAGCUCCUUCAAACUGCAAAGAAAACAAGAGAUAUUAAUUUUUAAAAAGCCCAAAAAUUAAGUAUCGCGAUAACAAAGUCAGAAUUUUUGUUAAAAAAAUAUAAAAUAUAUAUAUAUAUAAAAAAUAAUCAAUAGUAUUCAACAAUAAUAAAUUUAAUAUAAUCUCAUAGGUGAGGUCUGGAUAGGAUAGUAUGUCCAUGCAGACCUUACCUUAUGACAAUAAAAAACUGUUUCUGAUUGAUCUUUCGCUCAAAAUAAAAUAAAAGAAAUAGUAACAACAACAAGAUGAUACGUAAUUAAAAGAAUCCAACAUGAUUUAACAUAUAUAGGUAAGAUAUUUCGUUAGUAUUCGAAAUGAACCCCUUGCGCCCUCUAGCUACUCUCUAAGAGUAACAACUAGAUAACAAGAUGAAAAAAAAAAACACAAACCUGGUAACAAGAAGAGGCUGUUCCAAACAAGAAAUUUUUUGGAAAUGAACCUGGUUCUUUGACAAUACUAAGGUUUUUUAUCUGACAAAAUGAUACCAUGAAACUAGAAAAAAGAACACUAAAAGCAAUUAAUAUUAUUGAAAUACUUGAAUCCAUAAUAUUUAGACAAAAAGUCCCUCUUUUUUCUCCUAUAUUUCAAAUUUGAAUAUAUAGUUAUAGAAUAGAAAGAAGGUCUUCCAAGUGUUUAUAUAGAAAAAAUGUAACCACACGGCACUUAUAACACCUUAUUUGGACGGUUGUUACCCGUUAUAUCUUACCCAUUGUAUCUUAUCGUAUUGUUAGUUUAAAAUAAUUUCUUUUUUCAUUGUUAUUUAAAUUUUAUUGUAUCGUAUUAUUUAAAUUUAUUAUUAGGUAAAAGUAAAAAUACUCAUUUUAUGUAAUAACAUAAUUAAUGUAAUCAUAUCGUUAUGUUAAAAGGCUGAUAAAAUAAAAAUAGUGAAUAGAAGUGUUGAAUAUCUUUAAAAAAAGGUAGAAGGGGGGAGGUCUUAAAGGGGGAAGAAGGUAUUAUGGAAGAAAACAAAAUCAAGAAAAGAAUUUAUCUAAAAAACGAGACCCGCAAAUUUCAUUAUUUCUAGAUAAGAAAAAUCAAUUUUUUUUUUAAAAAAAAGUUAAUCUAUCGUGAAAGAAAGAUUAAAAAUAUUAUUUUUAUAUUGACCAAUAAAAAAGAUGUCAGAUACAUAAUUUUGUAAUUUCAAUUUUUCUUUCGCUCUUCCUACCAUGUCAUCCCUUAGGGAUGGAAAUAAGCAAGUAUACAAUUAAAGUUUGACAUAAUUAACUUGGCGUUAGUUGAUCCAACUAUGAUCCUUAAUUUUAAAUAUGCAUAAGUAGACACUAUUUAAAUUUGUAUAAAAAUUGAAUAAAUUGACACAUUCGUCCUAAAUGGCAUCCUACAUGGAAAAUUUGUAUCCCACGUGUAUCAUGCAAUGCAGAAUACGUGUGUCUACUUGUUCAAUUUUAUACAAGUUUAAGUGUCUACCUGUGCAUAUAUAAAGUUAAGAGUCAUAUUUAUCAACUAAAAAUUAAGUUAAGGAUCAUAUUUAUGCAUUAUAUCUUAAAAUUUUAAAGUAAAUUUUAUUGCUUAAGUUCAAGAACCAAUUUGAUGAUUUUUUCUUAGUUAUAAUUUUCACAUACAUAUGUAUGAAUUUCAAGAGUUUGAGAGGCCCUAUCCUUACCUUUUCUUUAAAUCUCGUACCAUCACAAAAAAGAUCAUAUUUUCUUUGAUGUGACAAUGUAUUCUAAUUAUUACCAUAAAAAAAAAUAUCUUUGUAGCUUUCAAUAUUUUGAUUAGAUUAGGUGGUUGAAACCCUGAUUUUAUCUUUUUUUUUAAGGGGUCGUUUGGUACAAAAAUGAAUAAUGCAGGGAUUAGUAAUGAAGGGAUUAGCAAUGUAGGGAUUAUUUUUAUGAAGUGUUUGGUUCAUUGUUUCUUAUCUAAUUUUGUGUGUGGUUUAAAAAAAAUUUUAAAAAAACUUUCCAAUUAUACCCUAGAUUUAUUAUGAGAUUUUGUAUUUCAUGUAAUUAAGUCAAAGUAGAUAAUUAACGGAAAAUAUUAUUUUUUAUAACAUUUUUAACUAGUUAAGAGAAUAAAAUUUUUAUUGUCAUGUUCACUAUUUCCUCACUUAAAUUAUUUGAGAGUAAAUAAUUGUCAUCUUAAUAAAUUCGAGUUAAUAACUCAAAAGGUCACACAACUAUAAUGAUUAUAGAGAAAAUUUAUUGAACUUUGUUUUGUAUCAAUAAAUUUUAAAAAGCUCUUCAUCAUAAAAUAAAAUAAAAAUAUAAAAUAAAUAUAGAAAAAUAAAUUAAACUAUUUUUAUACUCGAGAUGUGUGUGUAUAUAUAUAUAUAUACACACACACACUCUCUCUUGUUUUAGACUACUCGUGUAAUGUUUAAUGAACUUUCAUUAAGAGACAAUAUUUUACUUAUGAAUUGUUCUUAAAUUCAUACAUCAACAUUAACAUAUUAGUCGGAUUAUAAUAUUUUAUAUUAAUAAUAAAUAGAUUAAGUAAUUCAUAUUUUAGAAACAAAAAAUUAUAUCUAAAUAAUAAAAUUUGUAAGCUAAUUUAUUUAAAUAAUUUUAUUAGUAUAAAUAUAAAAUAUAAGAUCAAAAAAAUAAAUUAAAUAUUAAAAGAAUUUGAGAAGUAUUUUUGUCUUUACUUAGAAUAGUCUCAUGGUAUUAGAGCUAAUACCUCCAAAUGGAAGAUAUUAGUAAUACAUCACAUAAUAUCAUGUAGGAUGUAUUAACUAAUCCAUGGAUUAGUUAUACAUAGGUUCACAUUCCUACCAAACACAGUAUCAAAUUAUACCACAUCUAAUACAUGAAUUAUUUCUUUUAAUACAGUCUACCAAACGCCCCCUUAGUAUUUAAAUUUUUUGCAUUUCCAGUCGAGGGUACAUAAAAAAAAAAUCUAUUUCUAUGAGAUAAUGAUAAGGUCUUCGUGUUCGUACAGUAACUAGUAUUAUAAUUUCACCCAAUUCACAUUACAUGACUCAAAUCCCCUCAUUAAAGGGAAUUAAGUGCAAGCAGGACGAGAUAGGUUGAAUCUAGCCAUAAACACUAUUUAGGGCAGGUCAGGUUAAAUUUUUUUUAUAUAGAUUUAAACCUUAACCCACUCCACUCCGCCCCGCCCUACUUAAGCCAUAUUUUUCACCAUUUCAUGAGGGUAAAAACUAUGAAAGCUCAAUAAAGCUUAUGAAAAUGAAAGAAAAAUAAGUUGACAAGACAUAAUGGUGGGACAUGAAUAGAAUCUUACUUCAUUUUUAUAUCAUUAUCAUAUCUCCAUUAGAUUGUUUGCUUAAAGGUUGUCUAAAAUAAUUAUUAUAAGUAGAGCAUCUGCAUCCAAAAAAACAAAGUGGUUCCAGCUAUAGAGACAUAUCAUCUAAUUUGCUACACAACAUGUAUGUGUCCUUUUCUUGUGGAAUUAUUGAAGGUGUUUUCAAAAACAACUAUUUUUUUCCAACCAGUAUGAAUAAAUAUAAAACAAUAGCCAAUUAUUUUUCCUUAGAAUUGAAAAAAAAAUGCAUUAUUUUUUUUAGCUUUAUGCAUCUUUUGAAGUAAGAAUUAUGUAAAGAAAAUUACCAAUUAUUUGAUGUUUAUUUUCCCUUUAGAAAUGGAAAAAUGCAUUAUUUUAUUCUAGCUUUAUGCAUCUUUUGAAGUAAGAAUUAUUUAAAGAAAAUUACCAAUCGUUUGAUGUUUUAACUAUUCACAUAAUAAUUACUUAAACGAUGUUAAAGGAGACUUAAUUUUUUUUUUUUAUUGUUUAUUUUAGUUGUUGGAUUUGCAAAGGCGUUGAGGUCUUUUUGUUAAAGUUAAAACAAGUGAUAUCUUUAUAAUAUAAUAUAUUCAAAUAAGAAAAAAAGUAACAAAUCUUACAUAUGCAAGAGGUAUUUUUUAUACAUAAAUAAUAUAUUAGGAAUAUAAAAACUCGUGCGCCAUUUUUGCAAUCAUUCCAUAAUAUUUAUAAAUAUUUAGUUAUCGCUAGAUUAGACUGUCACCUUUUUAUUUGAGUAAAAAAUGAAUAUCAGGUCUUAUAAACGUCAAUUAAUAAUUGACACUAGCAGUGUUUACGUUUUUUUCUAUUCUGACUGAAAUUGAAAAUAUUGGACAGAAAAGGAAAACAAAUUGUCCAACCUUUCAAGCCUUACUAAGUAAAUGAGGAUGCAUUGUUGGUUGCUUUAUCCCCACUUCCUCAAACAGCGAAAGACUUAAUGCCUAAGCAGUUACAUGUUGUUGAUUUCAGAUUCCUCCGGUAAAGCUAACAACCAUUCAUGGAAAUGUCUUGAUUAAACGUAUUGAGUUCUUAUGUAUUUAUAAGUAGUCCGGGCAGUUAAGGGUGUUCAAGAUUUAACAUAUAAGUAUAAAAAUUUAUUUUAAACAUAUGUACUUCAUACAAUUUUUGAUAUAUAUGAUGUAAUUUUCAAUGAAGAAUAUUUAACUGACUAUCCUUACCAUUGACUCGGGUUCUAGAUCCACUACCGACCUUAAAAAUGAAAAAAAAAAUCUAAUAAGAAGUAUUUUCCUUUUUAACAAGGCUUAUACAAUAUAAAUAUAAAUUAAUCGAGACUAUAAUGAUCAAAAUCAAACAGUUUCAAUAAAUACUCGAUGCAAAUCUUAUUGACAACAUGAUUUCAAGAUUUGUAUUCAAUUUGUAGGACAAAAUGUCCCUUCAAUCAUCUUUUAUAUUUAUUUUUAUUAAAAAUUGGGAAAGGUGAAAUAAUCUUAGAAUUAAGAGUAAAACAAAUGAUACGGUAGUUAGGAAUAAAACAAAAUAAAAACUUUAGGUCUUUUGGUAAAUGAUCAUGAAGUGACAUGAAUUAAAAUCGUCAAAUUAUUUGCAUAAGAAGAAAAAAAGGGAAGAUGGGACCAAGCCUUUAAACUUAUCUUUCUCUACCUAAUUUAAAUUAAAUAUUUUUUCUGAGUGAUUUUAUUUGACUGAUUAUGCAAUUUUAAAGAAAAUCAUUAAAAUUUAUGGAGAUUUGAUUUGCUUGAUUGGAUUCUUUAAGCAUGUUAUAAUAUCUCAGCAAAAACAUCCUAUUCUUCUUCUCUCAUUUUAUGCGGUACUUUUCAUUUUUUGAGAGUCAAAUAAUUUAAUUUUGACCAAACAAUUGCGUAUGAAAUCUUCAAAUUUCUUGAAAUGAAAUUUAUAUAUUUGUAAACUACAUAAGAAGUACUAUAAAUCAUAAUAAUUGAUAAUUCAAAAUGUUAAAAAGAUCUAUGAAAAAUUUACAGUCAAAGAUACACUUGUUUAAAUCUCGAAAUGCGAAAAAUGUCAGAGGGAAUACUGUUACUAUAUAGAUAAAUAUUAUAAAAUAAAGGAUGUGUUUGGUAUGAAGCAAAAAAAUAAUAAUUAUGUCAAGAGAAUUUUAUAUGUAUUGUAAAAUUAAAUGAAUUUCCACAAAUAUAAUAUUAUACAUUGCAAUAAUAAUUAAUGUUGGACGAUAAUAUCUUUGAAAUUUUCAAAUUUUGUUAUUAAUCGCAUUCUAUUAAAGCGUUUUAUACCUUCUCAUAUAAUUUCUUCAAAAAUAAUAAUUAUGUCAAGAGAAUAUAAUGAUAAAGCUACAAGUUUUUAUUAUCAAAUCUUAAAACUCGAAAAUCUAUUGUUUUCAACUACGAAAAAAUGCUAAAUAACAAACAUACAUCUAUAAGCUUCGCUACUUAAAAUAUUAGACUUGGUUCAUGAAAUGAUUUUACCUAAGAUUUCUCCCUUUUUUCGCCAUCCAUCUCACUCCAAUUCUCGUUGAUCUAAUAGCUGCAUCAACAUCGUUGUACCUCCAAUCACCUUAUUGUUUUGACUGCUCGAAAACAACACAGAAGGAAAAUUUAUUGCAAACAAAUGACUAACAUCUUAAUAACUAGAAUUUAUCUCUUUGGGGAUCCAAAGCAAACACUUUACUAGCGUCACCCUUGAGCCUAACAUGUACUGUAAACAAAUGACUAACAUCUUAUCUACAGUUGUUUGCCGUUCUUAAUGCUCACUCACACGUCUUUUAGCAUUGGACACGAAUUUCGUCAACGAGAGGACAACAGAAGAAUACACGCCCUCAAGUGUUAUAGGAACUGCUGUUGCAAAAUGAUUUUCGAGUAAUGUCACUAUAGAUAGUGAAGAAGAAACUUACCUGUGAAUAAAUGAAGGUUCCAAGGAUUGCAAUGGCAGCUCCAAGUGCAUUGAUGGGUCGGACCGGUGUUUGGAAGAUAAUGAUGGAGGAAACAAUUACAGAAAUCCGCUUCAUUGUAUUUCCUACGCUAAACGUCAGGGGAGAAAUCUCAUCCAGGGACAUAUAUGACACUUGGUUAUACAAGUGAUAGAAUAUGCUUUGUGCAACGAUCCACCUGAUAUCAUAGGCUACUCGUUAAACUCUGUACACCUUCACAAAAAUUAGGAUGGAAGGGGUCUUUAUAUAUGCAUGAAAUCAUUGCGAAAAUCCAUCAAAUAUAGCAUAUAUGAUAAAGAACUACAGAUACUGAGAAGCAGAAGUUGACACUCCUUACCAAACAAAGUUAGGUCCUAUCUGAGAGAGAGCGUUUCGCCAUCCUAAUGCCCACAUCUGAGGCCCCUCCAUCGCGAUUGCAAAAGGUGUUAGAAUUAACAGAGACAUAAUAGAUAAACACGCGUAAUAGUUCAUUCCACUAACAGAGUUCCCCUUCAUUCCUUUCUUUGAGAAUAUAUUUCGAAACACAAAUGCAAGAUUUGAUAUCAUUGCUCCCAUAAAACCUGUAAUAAUAGCAAUCAACUAACUCUAGACGCUACCACAAUGCAUGAGAAAAAUCGAUGAUCAAACGUUAUGAAGAUCAUACCAGUCAUGUUGAAAUCGAGCUCUGUAGCAGCUGAUAAUGCACAACCACCAAUAACAGGCACAAGCGAUAAAUAUACUGGAAACGGAAAUGUUUCACCAAGCAAAAACCUCGAAACCAACACGCUAAAAGCUGGUUCACUACUCUUGAUUAUAUGAGUGAAGGAAACAGCAACUUUAGACAUACUAACAGUGGCUGCUACAUGACCAACUGUAUGAGCAACUGCAACCUACAUCACCAACAUUUACGAAUAGCACAAAAUUAGACUAAAAGAGGAAGCGUUCCCUAUCAAGAGUUUCUCAUUCCAGGUCUCAUACUCGACACCUCUCGUAUUCAUAAAACUAUUUAUAGCCCAUUUCAAGAAGUAUUCUUUCCUUUUUCGGCAACUUCUUAGUUUAACUUUUCACGUGACAUGUAUAGAUUAAAUGACAUUUUGGUACAUUCUACAUAUCUUUAGUUUAAGACUACAAGAUUCAAAAUACUUUUUUAAACUUCGAGCCAACUGAAAAUCAGACAAACAAAUUGAAACAAAAGAAGUAUAUAACAAUAUACCAGAAAAUAGAAAUCAUAACUUAACAGACCAUACUCCUACCUCGUAGAGGUUAAGAGUGGUUUCUAAAAUGCAAUGAAUCAAAAUGUUUACUGAAAAAGGAAAUACAACAACAAAGAAAACACGCCAAUUAAUAAAGAACACAAACCAUAACAACAACGAAAUAAUGUGAUAACAGAAACACAAUAGACAACAUAUGGUAAUCAAUAUCAAAAGCAAGAAAAAUACACGGAUAAAGCUAAUACGAAACAAAUACGAAAACACAAUAGACAACAUAUGAUAACCUAUAUCAAAAGCAAGAAAAAUACAUGCAUUAAGCUAAUACUAAACAACUACGGAAUAACUCAAUAAUGGAAACACAACAGACAACAUAUGGUAACCGAUAUCAAAAUCAAGAAAAAAUACAUGCAUAAAGCUAAUACUAAACAACUACGAAAUAAUGCGAUAACGAAAUACAAUAGACAACAUAUGAUAACCGAUAUCAAAAGCAAAAAAACAAAAAAAAAUGCAUGCAUAAAUCUAGUACAUGUGGCAACUGAAACACAAUAGACAACAUAUAAUAACCUAUAUCAAAAGCAAGAAAAAUACAUGCAUAAACCUAAUACUAAACAACUACGAAACAAUGUGAUCAUGAAAACACAAUAGACAACAUAUGACAACCAAUAUCAAAAGCAAGAAAAAUACAUGCAUAAAGCUAAUAGUACUAAACAACUACGAAAUAAUGCGAUAACGAAAACACAAUAGACAACAUAUGACAACCAAUAUCAAAAGCAAGAAAGGUACAUGCAUAAAGCUAAUAGUAUUAAACAACUACGAAAUAAUGCGAUAACGGAAACACAGUAGACAACAUAUGAUAACCGAUACAUGCACAAGGCUAAUACUACGACAGACAUGAUACCCCCCCCCCCCCCCCUCCUCACACAAAAAAGCACCAAACCACAUAAAAGUCAUAAGAGUUCUUACAGGGAACAAGUUCUUCCAAAAUUCAAAAUCUGUUUUUGGGAAUUCAGCAAUUUUCAUAGCCCAUGAAAUCAACAUAAUCAAUGAACCAGUAGCAAGUGACAAAGUAGAAGUCAACCAAGGAAAUGGAUAUGCAUUUAGAACUUUCUUGUUAUAUAUAUUAAAAACCACAUUUAAACCCCACCAUAUAGCAAAAUAUAUGCCAAUUUUAACCCUCUGACCAUCGACUUGUGAUUUUGGCAACUCAAUAUUUAAAUCUAAAGACUGAGACUUGUCAGCUUCAUAUGCUUUGGGAUUUUCAAUUCUUGAUAUGUAAAGAGGUUUUUUGAUUGAAUAAGAAAAACCCCAUUUUUGAUUCUUUGAUUUUGGGGUUGAAGAAAAUGAUAAAAAUCCAAGAUUUUGAUUAUAAUCCCUUUUUGAAAUCAAAUUUGAAUGUGUGAUUGAUAAAGAUGAUAGCUUUAUAGAACAAGCCAUGGUAAUCAAGAUUAAAAAUUGAGUCUUGAAUAAGAAAAUAUUAAAUCACUUGAGAUUUAAGAGGGGAUUACGGGGGGUUUUAUGUUUUCGAUAUAAUUAAGAAGAUUUUGGUACAAUGUUGAUUCCUAGAAGUACAAAUGGAGAAUUUUAUGCUAUUCUAAUUUAAGAAUUUUACUUUUAAUUAAACAUGAAUAAUAAUAAUCACAUAUUCAAUAUAGUCCCACGCAGUGAGAUCUAGAUUUUGAUUAAAUACGAAUUAUGUGUAAUAUGGAAAUUUUUGUUUUUGGAUAAUCUUAAAAAAAUCUUCAAGGAACUAUUCUUUGGGUGUGCAAGAAGGGUAGGAUCUCAGAUUUAGAUUUUAAUUUUUUUCACGUCUUAAAUGGUUGAAGCUAUUGUCAUAUGCAAUAACUUACAAAUUACUAGGUAAAUAUGAUGAAACGAGCUCGAUUGAAAAGGGACCAAAGGAGAGAUAUCUCGUAGCAACCUUUUUUAGGAUACCAUUCACACUAUAUCAAAUCAGCCAACUAAUUAAGAAAGAAUUAAAUGGGAUUUGAUAUUAAUCUUUCUAAUGGGAUACCUUGCUAUAUAAAUUUAAUCACCUUUUUAGAAUUAAAAAAGUUAUUAAAUCUAUAAAAUAAGAUAAAUAUAUUUGAAAAAAUAUUUAAAAGAAAAUAAAAUACAUAAAUUGUGAACAGGACGACUCAACCUUAAAACUAUCCAAGCAAUGACUUUGCCCCCCUGAAAAACAAGGCCUCAAAAUAUAAAUAAUUAUGUAUAUAUUGUUAGUAUUAGUUGAAAUUUUCUUAAUAGUUUGUUGUCAAUCAUUAUACACAUAUUUUAAAGUUUUAAUUAUUUUCUUAAAGUACAAUUGGUGUAAACAUCAUAGUUAAAGGUAGGAGCUGUUAGAUUAUUAGCAUUUUAAUAUUAAUAUUUAACAUAUUAAAUUGUUUUAUUUUGGAGUUAUAAGAAUGAACAUUGGAAUAGAUGACUUCUACAUUAUCCAUUAGCAUUGGUUGUCCAUCACUUUAUUUCAUUCUUAAUACCUCUGUUACUCUUUGUAACCUAUGUAACUCCUAUUGUAACAUAUGUAACCUAUGUAACUCCUAUUGUAACAUAUGUAACCUAUGUAACUCCUAUUGUAACCUAUGUAACUCCUAUUGUAACAUAUGUAACCUAUGUAACUCCUAAGGCCAUUAUCUUCACUAUUUACUACCUCCAUUAUCUUCCUAUUUAUUGCUAGGAAGACUUCUUGUAGUAUAAAUAGUGGUGGUCUUCAUUUGGUUUGUAACACACAAUUCAUAAGAGAAAACAAAAAGUGAAAGAGUUAGUCUAAAAGAGAGUUUUUAUAAGUUGAAAGGAGGUGUUCUUUUUUGUGGAGCACUCAACUCUUGUCCAGAGUUGUUGAGUUAUACUUUGUGAAGGCUGUUGUAUCCUGGAGGGGACAAGUCAAAGAGGACUACUGCUGGACCGGUGAAAACAUUUGCUGCAGUGGGCUUGAAUCUCCUUAAAGAGAGCGAGAUAUCCGCGCCUCAGCCUGAAGAGAUUACUUUCUUCAUUUUAUUUUCAAUUGUAAUCUUGCAAUUUUAUUAUCGUGUAUGUUUUUUCACUAACAGGAGCCGAUUAAAUUUGCAGUUAUUUUUUACUUUUCAGUAUGUCUAAUUCACUUCAAUUUGAAUUAAUCGUAUUUUUAAACUUGGAUUUGUAACACUAUCUUCAAUUUUUUUAAGUGUCUGUUGAACAUUUUAAGUCCAAACUAAUUAAAUUAUUAAAUAAUUAAAUUUAAAAAGACAUUGUCUAACUUUGAAGGUCUUCUAAUGUGUAACAAUCAGUAUGAUUUAGACCUAUUUUUAUAAUUAAAUGUAAUACGAAAUAUAUACGAGUCAAAAUGUGGUAUGCCAAUUAGGUGAAGUCUCAAUUUUAUUUUUUAAUAUCCCGACUACUUCUAGAAUAUUUUAAUAAUUCAUAUAAAAAUUAAAUCAUUUGAAAAUUUUUUAAAAUUUCAAUCCGAAGAACUUAUCUAAGAUUUAAACAUUUGUGGUGUUUUACAAUGUAUAAUAAUUUAUAUAUAUAUAUAUAUAUAUAUAUAUAUAUAUCAAUUCGUAUCUUAUGAAUUAUUACAAGAAAUAUCAUACUGAUAAUUGAAAAAAAUAAUUAAUCAUUAUGUAUUUUAUAAUAUUAUGAGAAUGAUAUGUAUAUAAUCUUAAUAAAUAAGCAUAUUGUUAUUAAAUAUAAUACAGUGAGAAGAAGACAAUAGAAGUAAAUAGGUACAUAAUUAUCCACAAUUGAUCAUAAAUAUACAUAAAUGAAUUCAAGUUAUUUAUGAAAAUAUCCAAUGGACAAUCCACUUAAUUAGUUCAAUGAAUUUAUAAUACUGCCAUUUGGAUGUUCAUAGAUAAUGUGCCUCGUUAAAACUUUACUUAAAAAAAUUCCGUGGGAAAAAAUUCUAGUGAAGGAAAAAGAGUUGAUACGAACUAUUUGUUGCCUCAUUAAAAACCUUUGCCAGGAAAAUCCAGUGGAAAAAAACCUCGGUCAAGAGAAAAAGAGUGCAACACGUAUUGUACUUGUUACACAUAUUUGAAAUUAGGAUGAAUAACAUAAAUUCAGGAAAUUAGUUGAGCCACGUCAUAAAUUAGUUAGUUAAUAUCGAGUUAGUUAAAGUUGUUAAGACUACUGUUGAAACAGUUAGUAGAUAUUUUCCUUUCAACUAAUUCAAUUGUAAAUCCUAUAUAGUUCUGAAUUGUAAAGGAGUUUCGGCAUGAAUAUACAAUACAACUCAUUUCUCUCUUAAAAUCUACAUUUUCCUUUCUUCUCUUCUUCUCUGUUUUUCCAUUGUUCUUAAUUGUUCUUUAGCAGUUACUUCUUUCAAUCCUCGAAUCUUAGUUGAUUCCUGCAAUUGAGGUAACAUUGGUAUCAGAGCUACACUUUCCUUGGCAACAAUGACAAAGAACACAAGAUUAACUGAAACUUUUGGUAACAGUGAAGUAGGUGAGUUGCGUGAAUUGAUGCAGAAGGUAUUAUCAGAAGUGAGAAAUCUUGCAGGUGAAGUGUCAAGUCUCAAGAAAUUGGAUCGGGUUGUAGUUGAAUUAAGGGAACAAUUAGCAGUAUCUGGGAAAAAUCGCAGGGGAAAAACACCAAUGGAUCAUCCAGAAAGGGAGGAGGUGCCGGAUGCAAGGAGGGUGUUUAAUAAAAGGUCUCAAAGGGAGAAAAGUUCCAAUAGUUUCACCAAUCACCAUUCUCAUUUUCCUCGAUGGUCAAGGAUGGAGUUCUUGAGGUUUUCUGGAGAAGAUCUUAGGUCUUGGUUAUUCAGGAUAGAACAGUUCUUUAAUAUAGAGAAUAUUCCUAUGGAUGAGAGGAUAGGAAUUGCAGCUUUACAGUUUGAGGGUGAGGCUGUUCAAUGGCAUUUGUCAUUCAUGAAGUACAGGCAGUACUUACAGUCACCAACUUGGAAUGAGUAUAUGAUGUCUCUUGUGGAAAGAUUUGGAGCAGACUACGAUGAUCCCAUGGAGGAGAUCAAGAAGGGGAAGCAAACAGGUUGUGUCAAGGACUAUCAAGCAAUAAUUGAGAGGAAUUUGACAAGGGUCAAUCUGUCUCAAGAGAAUGCCAUUAGCUGUUUCAUUAGAGGGUUAAAACAUGAGCUCAAUAUGGCAGUAAAAUUGGGUAAUCCUCAGACUCUAUCUUAGGUGUAUAAAUCAGCAAGGAUGCAGGAAGCUUAUCUGGCUGCUAUCAAACAACCUGUAGCCCCAGUGCAGAAUCAGCAAGCUAAUAGAAGGUAUGAAAUUAGUGAGCAGAAGUUUCAAAGCAAAUCACCUUUACUACUGACUCCCACUGUGGGUACAUCUAUGGCUUCAAAAAGGGUCAAUAGGAGAACUUUGAGUAUAGAGGAGAUGAAUGAUAGAAGAUCUAAAGGUCUUUGCUACUUUUGUCCAGAAAAGUAUACAUUUGGUCAUAAAUGCAAGAACUUGAAACAGUUGUAUUUGUUGGAGGUUGAGGAAAUAGAAGAGUUAAGGGAGGACUACCAGGAGGUUGGGCAUUAGGAAGAACAGAAAAUGGAGAUACAAGCUUUGGAGCAGAUGGAAAUCUCUGUUCAUGCUCUAAAUGGAUCACUAGGGGUACAGAACCUUAAAGGUUACUGGAUAUCAUGCUAAGAAACCUCUCCAUAUUUUGAUUGACACAGGAAGCUCUCACAACUUUAUUGAUCCCGAGUUAGUAAAGGUGCUGGGAUGUGAAGUAAGAUCUACUCUACCUCAAAGUGUGGCUGCAGCUAAUGGAAAUGACAUGCUAGUGGAGCAAAUGUGCACAAUCUCGUGGUUGCUGCAAGGAGCUGAAUUCACAGCUGAUUUUCUGCUAUUACCAUUGGGUUCUUGUGGGGUAGUACUUGGAGUGCAAUGGUGUUGACUCUGGGAGAUAUCAAGAUGAACUUUAGAACUCUAACUAUGGAAUUUUAUUAUCGUGGGAGGAAACAUUGUCUCAGGGGUGCAGGAAGGCAGGUUAUUCUUCCUGGAGCUGGGAAAUUAGCUAAACUGUCAGGUAAUCACUCUCAAUUGUGCAUAAUACAAGUUGUUCCAGACAUGAACACUGAGACGCAGUGGUAUGCACUGGAGACUAGGAAUCAACCUGAUCAGGACCCUAGGUUGUUAGAACUGUUGCAGGAGUUUAAGCAUUUAUUUGAUGAGCCUAAAGAGUUACCUCCAUUUAGAGGAACUUUUGAUCAUAGAAUUGUGUUACAGCAAGGGGUUGAACCAGUGAAUAAGCGACCUUACAGGUACCUUUCUAUUAAGAAGGACAUUAUUGAAAAUUUGGUUCAACAGAUGCUUAAUCAAGGUGUAGUACAACCAAGUUGUAAUCCCUUUGCCUCUCCUGUUGUGUUGGUGGGGAAGAAAGAUGGAACUUGGAGAAUGUGUGUGGACUAUAGAGAUCUUAAUAAGUACACUGUUAAGAAUAAGUUUCCAAUUCCCAUUGUUGAAGACUUAUUAGAUGAAUUGGGAGGGUCCAAGAUCUUUUCAAAAAUUGAUCUUAGAUCAGGAUAUCACCAACUAAGAAUGGCUGUAGAAGAUGUGCCAAAAACAGCAUUUAGAACCCAUGAUGGACACUUUGAGUAUUUGGUGAUGCCAUUUGGCCUAUCCAAUGCACCAGCAACAUUUCAAGGCCUUAUAAAUUUUGUUUUUAAAGUUUUUUUAAGGAAACAUGUAUUAGUCUUCUUUGAUGAUAUUCUUAUAUAUAGCAAGAACUUGGAGGACCACUUGAGACACCUCAGAUCUGUUUUUGAGGAAUUGCAAAAACACAAAUUAUUCGCAAAAGAGAGUAAGUGUUUCUUUGGGGUGCAGAGGAUAGAGUACUUGGGCCAUUUCAUAACUAAUGAAGGAGUUUCUACUGAUCCACAAAAGGUGCAAGCAGUAAAAAAUUGGCCUAAACUAGCCACCCUCAAGCAGUUGAGAGGUUUUUUUGGGUCUAGCUGGUUAUUACAGAAGAUUCAUCCAAGGAUUUGGGGUCAUUUCUAGACCAUUAACAGAUCUAUUGAAGAAAGACAAGUUUAAGUGGUCAGAAGAAGCAACCAUGGCUUUCGAACAACUUAAGGAUUCCCUAACAAAAGCUCCCGUCUUAGCCUUACCGGAUGCUACCAAGACAUUUGUGGUGGAGACAGAUACAAGUGGUUAUGGUAUUGGAUCUGUACUUAUGCAGGAAGGUCAUCCCAUUGCCUUCAUUAGUAAGUCUCUCUCACCUAAAAAUAGAGCAUUAUCUGUCUAUGAUAGAGAAUUACUGGCUAUUGUUCAAGCUGUUACAAAGUGGUCUCAGUAUCUGUUGGGUCAGAAGUUCACCAUCAGAACUGAUAAAAAAUCUUUGAAAUUCCUGAUGGAACAAACUAUACACACUAACUCUCAGUUAUUAUGGUUGACAAAGUUGAUGCCUUUUGACUAUAAUAUUGAAUACAAGAAGGGUAUAGAGAACAAGGUAGCAGAUGCCUUUUCAAGAGUCACUGGUGCUGAGUUGUUAGCUUUGGUAAUUUCUAAUACCAAUUCUGAUAUCCUACAAGCUAUUGUGGAUAGUUGGGUAAUGGACAUUGAGCUUAAAACUUUAAUUGAGCGAUUAAAGGUUGAUCCAACAGCGUGUAAACAAUUCACUUGGCAACAAAAUCAAUUGAGAAGGAAAUAAAGACUAGUUGUUGGUAAGGUCCACGAGUUGAGGAGACAGAUCAUAACUCUAUGGCAUUCUUUCCCUCAAGGAGGCCAUUCUGGGGUGGAAGCUACUUUGAAGAGGUUGCUCACACUUUUCUACUGAAAAGGCAUUAGAAAUUAUGUGCAGGAGUUUGUUUGAAAGUGUGAUACUUGUCAAAUGAACAAGUCUGACUUAGCAGCAUAUCCGGGUCUGUUGCAGCCUCUUCUGAUUCCUGAGGUUGUAUGGUCACAAAUUAGUAUGGAUUUUAUUGAUGGUCUUCCCAAGUCAAAUGGUUAUGAAGUGAUCUUGGUCGUGGUGGAUAGAUUAAGCAAGUAUGCUCAUUUUAUGCCUCUCAAACUAGGGGUGGGCAUAAACACCGAAAAACCAAAACACCGAACCGAAUUUUUUUAGAAUUUCGAUUUCGGUAUUUCGGUUUUCGGUUCGGUAUUCGAUUUAAUUUUUUGUAUUUUUUGGUAUUUCGAUUCGGUUUCGGUACAUAUUACUUUGGAAUUUGGUAUUUCGGUUUAAACCGAAAUAUUUAAAUUAUAUUAUAUUAAUUAAUAAUUAUUAAUAUUAAAUAAUUUUUUUUUAAAAAAGUAGAAAACCCUAAUACCCUACUUUGACUCUUUCUCUUUCUACCAAAUUUUUUCUCCUUUCAAUUCACUCCUCAUACUCUCCUCUUUAGCUCUUCUUCCUCUUCUCUUCUCCUCUUCCUCUUCUACUCCAACCACUCUUCAGCUCCAACCACUCUUGUCUUCAGCAGCGCCACCAGGCGCUAGCCGCCGUCCACAUCAAGGGAAGCAGCAGCAGCCGCGACAGCAGCACAGCAGCAUAGCAGCAACCAGCCGCCAGCUGCGACAGCACUCAGCAGCAACCAGCCGCCGGCCGUGCAACAGUUUGGCCCAUUAAAAAACCGAAAUAAAAACCGAACCGAAUUAAUAAAAACUGAACCGAAUUAACAAAAACCGAACCGAACCAAAAUAUUUCGGUUUGGUAUUCGGUACGCAAUUUACAAAAACCAAAAACUAAAAAAACCAAAAAAAAACCGAACUGAACCGAAAUACCGAAUGCCCACCCCUAUCUCAAACAUCCUUAUACUGCCAAAUCUAUAGCUGGGGUAUUUAUGGAUACUGUUGUAAGGCUACAUGGACUACCUGAUGCAAUCACAAGUGAUAGGGAUGCUGUGUUUUUGAGUUCUUUUUGGCAGGACUUGUUUACUAUCCAAGGAGUUCAAAUAAACACUUCAUCAGCCUACCAUCCUCAAUCUGAUAGCCAGACUGAAGUGUUGAACAGGUGCCUAGAGACUUACUUAAGGUGUUUCUGUUAUGAGGAUGCUACCAAUUGGUUUUCUUGCUUAGCCGUGGCAGAGUAUUGGUACAACACCUCUUAUCAUUCUGCUAUACAGACUACUCCCUAUGGGGCACUCUAUGGAAGACCACCACCACCUUUACAUCUACCAUACCUACCAGGAGAAUCAAAUUCAGCUGAGGUAGAUAAUACAUUGCUCAACAGGGAAUUGAAGCUACAACUACUUAGGCACCAUAUGUUGAGGGCACAACUUUGGAUGAAGCAGGAGGCAGAUUUUCAUAGAAGUGACAUGGUGUUUAAAGUUGGUGAUUGGGUGUAUUUCAAAAUUCAGCCAUAUAAACAGACAACUGUGUCAGGUCAACAAUUUCACAAACUUGCUGCAAGGUAUUAUGGUCCAUUUCAAGUGCUCAAAAGAGUUGGACCAGUGUCUUACACAUUGCUAUUUCCAGAUUCAGUGAAAAUUCAUCCUACUGUCCAUGUAUCACUAUUGAAGAAAUGCCAUGAAGUUCCUGAUCGCAUUUCCUACCCUCUUGUACUUAAUAUUGCUAACCUUCAUUGUCCUGUGCCUGAGGUUAUUUUACAAAGAAGAAUGGUGAAAAAAGGCAAUAAAGCUGUAGCCCAAGUUCUAGUUAAAUGGGAAGGGUUGCCAGCGGAGGAUGCAACUUGGGAGUUUUACAAUGCAUUGAAGGUCAGAUUUCCUCAGUUUGAUCCUUGAGGACAAGGAUCUGUUUGGUAAAGGGAGUAUUGUUACACAUAUUUGAAAUUAGGAUGAAUAACAGAAAUUCAGGAAAUUAGUUGAGCCACGUCAGAAAUUAGUUAGUUAAUACCGAGUUAGUUAAAGUUGUUAAGACUACUGUUGAAACAGUUAGUAGAUAUUUUCCUUUCAACUAAUUCAAUUGUAAAUCCUAUAUAGUUCUGAAUUGUAAAGGAGUUUCGGCAUGAAUAUACAAUACAACUCAUUUCUCUCUUAAAAUCUACAUCUUCCUUUCUUCUCUUCUUCUCUGUUUUUUCAUUGUUCUUAACUGUUCUUUAGCAGUUACUUCUUUCAAUCCUCGAAUCUUAGUUUAUUCCUGCAAUUAAGGUAACAGUACUCCCCCUGAUUAAAACAUUUCUUGAAAUGAUGUCUUCAAUCUUCGUACAUUCUGGUUGAUAUAUUCUUUUUCAAAGAAAAAUCACACAUUUCCUGAAUAUGGUGGGUUAUUUAUCUCAACCAGACGCACUCUCGACUUGCUUCAUGGAGGGCUUUUAUUUCUGCAUAGCAACAUUUGCUUCAUUGAUCGCCAGAAUAUUAUUGUGCCUCCAUAUGCAAACAAAUAGCGUAGUUGAGAUCAUGCUUUAUGCGGAUCAGAUAAAUAUUCUGCAUGUGCGUAACCAAUCAGCUCUGAUUUGAAUUCUUCGAAAAAGAAUGAACCCAUGUCUAUAGUCCUUCAAAGAUAUUCAAGUAUAUACAUAAUACCAUUUCAAUAUCCUUUUGUCGGGGAGGAACCGAAUCCUACCAAUUUACUGCAAAACAGAUAUCUGGUCAAGUAUUGUUAGCAAGAUGCAUUAGUACCCUGAUUGCACCAAAAGAUAUGGAGUUUCAUCACCAAGAAGCUUUUCAUCCUUCUCUUGAGAUCAAAAUGAAUCAUCAUUUAUUUCAUACGAUCUCAUAAUCAUUGGGUACUCAAUGAAUGUGAUUUGUCCAUAUAAAAUUGCAUCUAAGUUCGUCAAAUUAUCAAUCUGUAGGUCAAGACAAUAUUAUGUCUUACCAAGACCUUUUCACCAUUUCAAACACUCAACAACUUUUAAAAGCUCUUCCUUGAUUAUUUCAAUAUAUAUUAGGAUUUUUGAAGCUUUAUUGAAAAAGUUUCCUUCAAACUUUUAUAUGCUUCAGACACCUCAAUUGCUUCAAGGAUUUUCAUAUAACCUUCAUUGUCUAGCUAGACAUUACAAUUAUUUAUUACAUGCAUUCAAGUUUUUCAUAUGUUGCUAGAUCAAAACAAACCUCGUCGCGUUAACCAUAGGAGAAAACAUCUCCAAUAUUAUCAGAAUUUUUUCGACAAACCUUUAUGCCCUAAGGCACAAACCCUACUUGAUAUCUUACGGUUAUACUAUCACAUAAUAAUUUAUUUGUACCUCACUAAUAUUAUACCUUGAUUUAUGGAUUAUCAGUCCAAAACGUCACUUUUCUAAGUUAAAUAAAAUAUACUUGAAUUAUACAUUUUACUUGACCAACCAUUUAUGUGUCCCACUCUAUGACAAAUUUGAAUUCAAGAUCCUCGUCAUAAUUUAUAUCUUUAAGCGCUACCUUAUAUCAAAGAUACCGUCGAUAGUUAUUUGGUAUCGAUUUCAACAAGAUAUAACUUAUCGAGAUCUCUUCAUUUUUCAUUAUUUUUCAAUUACCUGAACCUUUUUCGAGGUUUUAUGGAGUAUUAUGUCAAUGUACUCUUUUAUAGCAUAUGUCUCAUUAUCAUGACCAUAUUGAUCAUUUGCUCCUUUUAUUUUUUCAAGAAAUUUUAUAUUUGGAAUUGAUUGGCCUAUUACGCUUUACGAUGUAUCAUAGACUCUGUUCUUCAAGAACUUCACAUUGGAGCAUUUGCAGCUGAAUUAUAUCAUAGGGUCAGUAAAUUCAUCUGGCAAUAGAUUUGCAACAUUAUGCAAAUGAAUUAUCACUUGAACUUCAAGUUCACAUUUUCUUAUAAAGAGGAUCUAGAUAAUUCAUAAUAAACCUCAUACAUAAUUUUCAGUUGCGAAUUCAUCUUUGUGCGUAUUAGAGCAAUUAAAAUCAUAACCGCACAUUCAACAUUUUAGAUGAAAAAAUUAUUUGGUUCUUGACCCUGAAUCAAUUUUAAUAGAAAAAACUUGUUGGCUUGAUGCAUAUAUGUGUUGCUACCUGUUAAAUUAUCUCAUACUUAAUCUUAUUAGGGAGCUUUGUUCUCAUAACUAUGAUUUACCUAUAAUUUGAGGCAUACAAUUUGUGUUAAAUUAACCAGUAUUAUCAAUAUAAUUUCAUAAUUUGGAAUUGUGCUCUUAAUUCAACAAUUUGAGCAAACAACCUUGCAAACACCAAUUUGUAAGUUGACACCAAAGCACAUGUGAUCAUCGCAUUGAUGCAUCCAUCAUAUAGUUGCAAAUGAUUCACAUGGCAGGUAAAUGGGUCCAGAUUCACCUUUUUAUAUGUUCCAAAAACUUCAGGGGAUUACAAUCUCAACCUUAGCUGGUACAAUGAAAACAGGCAACACAAGAGAAUUCUUGAAGAAUCUUUUAUUUCUUAAUCAUAUAAGCCACAUAAAUUCUCAAUUAUAUUUGCAUCACAUCCAAACCAUAAUGGUCAACUGGUCAUGCCAACUGAUAUUUAUUUCAUUACACGUAUAAUUUACUUUUGUAUGUGAUUUCAUCAGCAUGUUCAUGUUUGUCAGCAACAAACAAGAGGAAAAGUGGGGUAAUCUUUUACAUAAAUAUUUAUAACCCUUUUCGGUUGUAGUGAUUUAUUGUCUCCAUAUUUAUUUUCAAUUCAUCCGAAACUUAAAAAGUUUCUUUUGAGACUUACUACAAUCCCAUUAUUAUUCAUCUGAUAAUAAACACAACUCGUUAGAGCUUGCUAUUAAUUUUGUGUACUAUCACAUAUUGCAUGACAUCAUUCCCAUGGUGAGCAUCUCCUUCAAGGAGGAAAUUAUAUUAUUAUUGUCAUGGUCAAAAUCAUUACGAGCAAGACAUCUUUCUUGCUUUACUUUUGUUAUACCAUAGGUACACAACCAAUGACAAAUUUGCAUAACUACACAAUAAUGACCACAACCCUUACAGGCAAAAACUAUUUCUUUCUUUAAUUUUGCCCUUUCAGUAGUUCACAAUAAAUAUACCAUAGUGACAUAUAAACGUACAAUAUCAUUAAAUCAUUUCUACCAAAUAAAUUUGUUUCCUCUCAAACCUCCCGUAGAGUUGAGUUUGACAUAUAUCUUUUUUUUUCAAACCUCCCAUAGAGGUAAGUUGGCAUACAUCCAACCCAUAAUGAUUUUAUCACAUCUUGACCCAUUCUCUUAUAGAAUGGUCGAGCAUUCGCGAUACUCAUAACAAGUCACAUUUGCUUCAAGAAAUAGACUAAUCAUUUACAUGUACUUCAUAAAUUUACAUUAUAAGCACAUUAUCAUGAUUUUAAAUUCAUCAUAUUUCCAUGACACACCUCAACAUCACUUUGAAAGAUCAAGUGUAUUAUCACUUUAUCUUUUAGUCCUUUGAUGGAGGAUUUAUAAACUUGUCAAAUUAUUGAGUCGAUAAAAUUCAUAAGUCCAAUGACCUUUCGUAUCAUUUUAAUAAUAAAAAUUGCCUUCACAUUUUGAAGGACUAUUUGGAGAACCCAUAGUAUUCUUCCUUUAAAAAUUACUACAAUGAUGACUAUUAUAAUUUCGUCCCUUCACACACUUUUUCAUAUCGUUAAUCAUUUGUCAUCUUCCGUACUAAUUAUUUACUGCUACCACAUUCAUAUGAUUGAAUGGAGCAAGUCAAUAGGCGGAUUUCAAAGUUAUCACAUGUUGCUAUCACAAUUUUUUCAAGGAUGGAGCAAAUUCAAUAUGAUGAAUUUCAAGACUUUUCAUCACAAAUAUAUUAUUUUUGCCUUAAUCAUCAUUUUAUCACCACUAUGGUGCAUUGAGACUCAAACUCAAUGUCUUAUCCAUACAAGACACAUUAGGCCAUAGGGACUUGAACCCAAUACAUUAUCAUCACGCGCAUCAAAAACUCAAAUUGAUGUCUUACCCUUUUGGUGUGAUAGAAUUUGAAUCUAUCGUCUUAUCCUCAAAUAUUUUUCAUUAUGUGCAUUCGGGCUUUAACAUGAUGUCUUACCCUUUUUGGUGCGAUGGGACUUGAAUCCAUCGUCUUACCCUUAUUGGUACGAUGGGGCUUGAAUCCAUCGUCUUACCCUUAUUGGUACGAUGGGGCUUGAAUCCAUCGUCUUACCCUUAACCAACACUAUAAUAGAGCGAAGAACAACAUGACUAACCAUUUGAGUCUUUCAAAACAAUCAAAAUAAUACUCAAACUCAUGCUAUUAAAAUUUUAUAUACCUUCUUCCAUUUAAGAAGUUUUGUAUAGCAUGUCACAUUCAACUUAUAGUUGUAUAUGCCUUUGCAACUGAUAAUUGUUAGCGAUUGAAUACUAUUAUAUUCUAAAUAAUAAAAAUAUUUUAAAAAAUACAUACCUGAUUAUAAUACCUUGAUUCUUAUAACGAGAUCAACCAAAACAUGAGUUAAAGAAAAAUUAAAACUCAAUCUCAAUUGGCUAGAGUCUCGUGAUGAUAACGUGCUCAUAAUAUGAUAUAGUGAGAAGAAGACAAUAGAAGUAAGAUGGAUGAAAGAAGACUUUUCUUCUUAUUCAAGUGUAUAUCAAAUGGUGAGUGAUAUCUCUAUUUAAAGUGAUGAGACAUCACUCCCAAAGGUCACCAAAUAAAUAGGUACCUAAUUAUGCACAGUCCACAAUUGAUGAUAAAUAUACAUACAUGAAUUCAAGUAAUUCAUGAAUAUAUCAAAUGAACAAUUAGUUCAAUAAAUUUAUAACACAUACUACUCUUAUCUCUUUUAAAAAAUAAUUGACCCCAGAAAAAUGAAUUCUAACACAUAUUUAUUGUCAUUCUCUUAACAGAAAGUAUUCGUUAUUUUUCUUAAUUUAAGUUAUAAUUUCUUAAAAUAUUUAAUAGAAAAAUAUUGAAAAAUAUAUAUUAUAACUGAAUGUACGUAAAGACACGAGAAAUGAAUUCUAACAAUAUUAAGAGUGAAAAUUUAUAUUAUUUAUUAUUAUAAUAAUAAUAUUAAUAAUAUAAUGAAUAGUUAAUUUAAAAUUAUAUAGAAGUGAUUGAUUCUUGAAAAUAAAUUAAGCGUUGUAAGUUUUGAUUUAAAAGACUUAAAUUUCGUUUUAUGAGUCUGCCACUCAAUGUCAUAUUUUGUCUCAUUGUCAUUCUUAUAUUUAGAUAUAGUUAUGGUGAAAGAAUAAGUAUGUGUAAUUUCAAAAUAAGAUCAAAAAUCAAAACAAAAAUAAUCUUAUCAAAUCAAUUUAUAUGCUUAAGUAAAUUAGUUUGUAUUUUGAGUUAAUUUGAUUCUAUUAAAUAUACUGAAAAAUAAGUUUAUUUUUAAUAUUGACAAUUUUAUAUGUGUGUUUAAGUUAUUUUUAACAGAAAAUGUAUUUAUCAUUUUUUUCCAAUCAAAUGUAUUAAUUAUUUAAUUAUGUUUUGAGAAUUAGAUGCAUUAGGAGUAAGAAAAUGAAAGAAAAGAGAGGUGAGUAGGAGACAGAUCUGAAGUAAUUAUUAAUUAAAAAAUAAUGUCAGGUAUAGGUUUAGGAAAAGCUUCACAAAUAGGACUCAUCAAAAAACAAGCGUAAAUUAUAUAAAUUUUAUAGUUUUAAUAUAAAAUUAUAAUCUAUCUCUAAUAUAAGUUUUUCAUUAUAUUAAUUCCUUUAAAAUUAAAAAAAAAAGAUACAAUAAUUGAAGCUCGAAUACAUUAAUAUGUAAUUCAGAUAUAUUAAAUAUUGGUUCGCAUAUAUUAACAUGUAGCUCGAAUACAUUAAAACUAGCUCGUAUACAUUAAUAUGCAGCUCAAAUACAUUAAAUAAAUAAAGAGAUUUUAGAGAUUUUUCAAAGUGAUAGGAGAUAAUGGAUAUAAGUGAAACAAAAAAGUGUAUAUUUCUGUAUCCAUUAAACAAAGUAUUUACCCAAAAUUAGACCCAACUUGAUAUAUUUAUCCAGAUUGAACCUACAAUCAAACUAUUUACUUGAUGGCCGCCUUAUUCUAUUCACUGAAUCACUGCUUCUUCACCUUUUAUAUUAUCGAAGUAUUUAUAUAUAUACAUAUAUACUCAGAUGAUAUCUAAACUAUAAACUAUGAUAUUAUCAAACAAUAAUUAAACAAUGACUAUUUGUUCUUCCUUGAUAUCAACAGAGUAUAUAUAUACUCUAAUGGUAUAUUUGAGUAGUAUUUUUUUUACGAAAACACUGCUUCUUUCUCUUUUAUAUGGUUAGAUUAUACAUAUACUUUGAUAGUAUGAUUAAAUAGUAAACACAUUGGUCGAGAGUAUUUACAAACAAUUUGUCGACUACAUAUUGUAAUUAUUGAAACUUUAAGAAAAUUUUAAAGUUAUUGUUUUAUUCCAUCGAUAACACUGAAGGAAGAAAAUCAUGUAUAAAUAUUUGGAUAUAGAAUCCGUUGACUACAUAUUGUGAUUAUUAAAACUUAAAGAUAAUUAUAAAGUUACUGUUUUUUUCCGUUGAUGACACUGAUGGUAGAAAAUUAUCCAUAAAUACUUUGGGAUAUAAAAUCAAUUGACUAUUUAUUGUAAUGAUUUAAAGUUUAGAUAAUUAUAAAGUUAUUGUUAUUUGAUAAAAUAAUAGAAAUCACAUAUUUUAAGUAAAACUAUAAAUUAUCCCUUAAAAGUUUAUAAUUAUAAAAAUUUCUCAAAUGGAUACAUUAUUGGAAGGUUCGAAUACAUUAAUAACCAAAGCGAUGAUAUAUUAUAAAGAGGGUCGACUACAUGCGUUGAUACAUUAAAAAGAGGAUUGGAUCCAUUAAUGGAAGGUCCAAAUACAUUAAUGGCCAAAUAAUCAAACUGUUGAUUCGUUAAAAAGAGAGUCGAAAACAUAAAUGGAGUGUCAGAUAUAUUAAUAUCGUUUUUGACUCAAGAGAAAAAUGAGAGAUAUUGACAAUUUAUAAAACUUAUAAGGAGAUAAUGAAAAUAAAUAAAUUAAAAGGUGGGAUUUCUAUUUUCUUUAUUUUUUUUCCAUAGAUGACACUAAUAGAAAACCUGGGUCUAUUCAUAAAAGGUGCUUUAUUGCCCAUUACAUUAUUUAUUUUAUCGAAAAUCAUCUCAAAAAGAUUUUAAUAUUUUAAUAAAUAUUUUAUUAAAUUAAUUUAAUUUAAAUCAUGAUUAUAAUUUUAAAUUAUUUAAUUUAUAAUUACGUUAACUAUUCUUAUUUUGUUAAGAUAAAAAAACUCGUAAACUAAUAUUAAUUCAUCUUAUUUAGUUGUUAGCCAAAUUUCUUGGCCCUUUUUUACCUAUCGAGCAACCCAAACCAAUUUUGGGCCCAUUUCCCACCAAAAUAUUCAACAAAAUCUUGAACUAAAAUUUGGGACAAAUUCCAGCUCGUCCUUUAUCCCUUUGAAAUUUCAAAUUUUGAACUAAAAUUUCCACAUCGUUUCCCCCCUCAAAUUCGACCUAGAAUCUUUCCUAUUUAAAUAUUCUUCAUUCACUGUUUAAGGGGACGAGUUUUAAAACCCGAGAGUACCUUUAAGGUUUUGAGAAAUCUUGGUUCAAUAGUUUAACUGUUAUGAUUGUUCGAGUUGAAAGAGGUUGUGGAGUCGUCUUCUCAACUCACCGUUUUGAUUCGCUGUUCAGAACUAGGUAAUUUUCUUUCGAUACAAAUUUCUAGCUCCAUUUUUUUAAAAAAUUUAUUAUUCGUGUUGUAUGUCUAUAUAGUUUGAUUUGAUUAGUGUGAAUAUGCAGUUAAUGGCGGCAAGAGUCAUAUUUAUGAACAUUCACACUAAUCAAAUCAAAAAAGAAACAUAACAUUUGAGCUUCCUAAAAAAUAUGUAAUUAAAUUACUCUCUUUGUUUCUAUUUAUUUGUUCAUAUUUUCUCUUUUAGUUGUUUCUAUUUACUUGUCUAUUUUGACGAAUCAAGAAAGGACAAUUUUUUUCCUAUUAUACCCUCUUGAACUUUUUGAAAAUUUUCAAGUUUUAAUUCAUCAUUUUUGAAAAUCAUAAUUAAUAAGGGUAAAAUUAUAACUUCAUCAUGCUAAUUAUUGCUAUCUUAAUAUGUGUGUCAUUUCUAAAGUGGACAAUUAAAUAGGGAUAUGAGAAGUACUAUAUAGACAUAGAACACGAAUGAUAAAUUAAAAAAAGAAAACGGAGCUAGAAAUUUGUAUAAAAAGAAGAUUACCUGGUUUUGAGCAGCUAACGGAAACGACGAGUUGAGAGGACGACUCCACCACCUCUUUCAACUCGAACAACCACAAAAACUAAACUAUUGAACUAAGAUUUCCCAAACCUUUAGGGGUUCUCUCAGGUUUCAAGACUCAUCCCUUGUCCAAUUUAUUUGAUCGCAGCAAUGGCGGCAAGAGUCAGAAAGGGGCCAAAUUCCCUUUUCAUCCGCUCUUUAUUUUAUUUAGUUAUUUGCUUUAUUUGUGAAUAUGUGUUGGAUUAUCGCUAACUUUUAACAUUUUAUUUUUGUCUAUUUAGAUGAAUUCUUGGAGAAGUUUUCUAUUUCGUUUUGCCAAGUUUUCAAAUUCUUUAAGUUAGGCAAUUUAAGCUUUUAGACUAACUUGAGAAUUAUUCAUAUUCUUUCAUAGUUGAUAAUUAACUUUGAAUCUAUGUUUAUGCGUUAAAUUAACUAUUUAAAUCAAAUUUUUGAAUAGAAUAAAAUUUUUAAGUUUUUUAAAAUAAAUUAGUUGUGUUUUAAUUUAACUUAAGACUUUGUAUGAAUGACUUAAGGAUAAUCUAUAUCCUUUCAUAAUUAUUAAACAAGGUCCCUUGAUCCAUGUUGGUGAGUUUGAAUUAAUUGUAUGUUCAGAACUUGACAAUGGAUAAAUGUUUCUAGUUAGAUUUAUCUAGAGAUUUUUAAAAGUAUCAAAAGAUUUUCAUUCAAGUUUUCAACAUGUCUCUUUUUAGUAAUUUAAAUUCUCUAUAAAAUUAACCAAACUUUCAAAUCUGUCAGUCAACCACACGCUAACGAAUUCUCCAAGAUGCCUAAACCCUUCCUUGGAGAAUUAGUUGAACCCUUACCAGACUCUGAUUUGUUUAAAUGUUUUCUUUCAAAAAUUCCCUUUUAAUUGGUUUUCUUAUUUUUUUUCUUAAAAAAUUAAGUGGCAACUUUCAAAUUAUAAUAAUUUUUCCCAAAAAAAAAAACUUAACAAAAUUACCAAAGUAGUGAAAUCGAUUAAGAAAAUCUUUAGUUUUCGAAAUCGGGUCAUAACAUGUACAAUAAAAAAUAUUUGUGUUUUCUAAUAAUGUUAUGAAUAAUAUUUUAUAAUCGCUAAAUCAUCAAAGAAAUAAAAAGGUGAGAGCGUUGUUAGAAAAAUGAAAUUGUAUUUGGUUUAAUUUAUACAUAUUUCAAUCUCUGUGUUUAAUUUCAAAUAUAAUGAGAAAAUAUGUUAUCAAAAAUCUAUUAUCACUUGCUAUUUCUUUUAUGGUCAUACGAUUCAAAAUAUCAUUAUAUAAUAUUUUUGGUAACUUAUAAGUGAUAGAUGCAUGAGUCAAAGAGGGACUAAAAUCUAUUAUCACUUACUUUGAAGUUAUGUGAUUCUUUUAAAUCAGACAAAGUAGGAACUCUUUUUAUAUGGUUUAUAAGUUAUUUGUCUUCUACGAAAUAUUGUAAAAAUAUUAUUUCUAGUUUACCUCUCAAACAAUUAUUGAUCGUGUUAUUACUAUCUUGUAAUGAUGCAUAUUAAUUAUUAAUAUAUUAUCCUUAUUUAUCCAAAAAAGAAGAAGAAGAAGAAAAGUAUAACUUUAGUAGAGUUAUACAUGUAUUAAUAAUGUAGAGAUUAAUUAUGAAAAAGUUUAUGUAUUAUUUUAUAUUGAUAUUAGUUUUCUCACCUUCUAUCCUGUAUAAAAUAAACAUAGACUUCCUUAUAACUUAUCCAUGUAUUAAUUAUAUGAAUUUUUAAAUUGCAAGCUCAAACAACAUAUUAAUUUUACACAUGAAUAGUUUAUCUCGUAAUCAACUAUCAAACAUGUUAUAACUAUAUGCACGAUUUUAUUCUUUUAUAACUUAUCCUCAAAUCAGCUAACAAACAACCUCAUAUUAGUCAUUCCACCUUCUAUUUUGUAUAAAAUAAUAUACAUAUUUUUUCAUAACUUAUACAUGUAUUAAUUGUGCAUGUUUCUAAAUUGCCAACCGAACUUCAUACUAAUUUUAUACAUAAAUAGUUUAUUUCCUAUCUAUCUAACAAAUAUCGUAUAAGUAAUAUACAAAUAACACUCUAUGUCCUUGAUCAUUCAUUCAAUUUUUUUGUUGUACUUGUUCACUUUAACAAAUCAAGAAAAGACAAUUUCUUUUUAAUUAGUAUACCCUCAAUUAAUUAAUUUUGGAAAAGGUAGAAUUUUUUGAAAAUCUUAAAAUUUUAAUUUAUCCACUUCAUAAAUAAUGAAAAUAAAAAUGUUAAACUUACUGUGUCAAUAAUUUUUUUCUUAAUAGACAUGUCAAUUCAAAAUUGGACAAAUGAUUAGGAAUGUAGUACAUGAAUAACUUGUUUCUAUCCAACUAUCAAACGAUUCCUUAGUUAUCUGUACGCUAUUCAUUUUAACGCCAUAUUUUAAAAGGCUUAUACUCCAAACUCAGCACCAAGAAUUCAAUCCCUAAUCUCUCUUACUCCUUCCGUCUCUUUUUACUUGUCAAAUUUUCACUAGACUUACCUAUUUAAAAAACAAUAAAUUGUAUAGUGAGUUUAUCAUUUUAUCCUUAUUAAUCAAUAUAAUUUCAGAUAUAUUUAUUUAAUACAUAUUUCAAGGACGUUAACUCAGUUAAUAAAUUAAGGGUAUAAUAAGAAAAAAAAAUUAUUUUUCCUUUAUAUAUCAAAGGAAAUCAAAUUAGAAAAUAUUUCACAAGUAAAUAGGGACGAAAAGUGUAUGAAAUAUCCAUUACUAUACAUAGAGUUACGUAUCGAUCGGUUUCACUUAUUAGUUAUCGAUUUGUAGAGAUGCUAAACAGUUAUAGAAUCAUUAAAGUAUCAACUUAUUGGUUAUUGAUUUAUCGGUUAAUGACCGUUAUCAGUUUUCUCGUUAAGGUUUGACAUAAAAAAAUAUUAAAAAUCAAUUUAAAAUAAGGUGACAAAUCAAAUGAACCAUGCACAUGCGUUCAAAAAUUACAUCGUACUAAAAAACAAUCAAUUUCACAUUAUAGAAUAAUCAAGAGUUCUGGGACAACUAUAAUAAAAGUAGAAAACUAAACCCUAAAUCAAAUAUAAUACAAAUAUAAUUAUUUAAUUUACCAUCGGACUAUUGAUUAAGAACCUAUGACAAAAAAAAAAUCAAAAUCGGCUAUUGAAAAACUAAGUAACUUUUUUUCGAUUGGAAUUAUCGAUUUCAGUUCGAUUCACGCUUUUGGGUUGAGGAGAUCUUUUAUUAGUAUAAUAAAUUUAUUGAAAUAAAAAUAUAUAUUUUUUUAAUUCCACACGCAAACUAUUUAUUACCCAAGCAAAAAAAGAAUAAAAGAAAAUAAAAUGAAAGAAAUCUUCUUCUCAUAUUUUUGGAUGCCUGCAACACACUUCCCAUUAUUCAAAGCCGCGUCUUCCAUUUCUUCUCUCUGUACAUACGUCUCUAUCUUCUCUCUUUUUCAUACUUUGCUCUUUGCAUAAUCAUUUUUUUCACCUGCUCAGAUUUUAUUUUUGUUUUUGGUUCAGUGCUUGCCAUGUUAUUCAUCUUUUGAGGUAAAUUUUAUUUGUUUUUUUUCUCAAUUUAAGCUUGUUAAUCCCUUUUUCUUGUUGCUUGUCUUGUUUAUUCUCGAUUUGGGUUUUUCUGAAUCUGCUUGGUUUUUGUUAAUUUGGGUUUUUUUUUUCUGUUUUGCAGCUCUUAUCUGCCAUGUUCAUGAUCUUUGAGGUAAAUUUCAGCUGGGUUAUUUUUCUUUUUUGCAAUUUAAGCUUGUAAUCGUUUUUCUUCUUACUUGUCUGGCUUAUACUCGAAUUGGGUUUUUCUGAAUCUACUUGGUCUUUGUUGUUUUGGGGUUGUUUUUAAAUUCUAUGGGAGUGUUUUAUUUUUGUCUGUUUUGUAACUCUAGAGUGAUCUUUGAGGUAGACUUUAGCUGGAUUCUUUCAAUUUAAGCUUGUAAUUCGUAUUCUUGUUACUUCGUCAUGCUUAUUUAUUUAUUUGGUUUUUUCUGAAUCUCUUUGCUUUUUGUUGUUUUGAAAUUAUAUGCAAGUUGUUUUCUAUUUUUUGCAAUUCAAUCACACUAUCUAAUAUCGGGUGGGAUACGAUUUCCUUCUUUUUGAGCUAAGUUUUGGUUUGAGUGAGGUCGAAAGUUCCUUACUUUAUCAUGGUAUCUUAUAUUCUCCAUGCUCUAGAUGUCUAUUCUAUUAACAACGUAUUGGGGUUGAGUUAGACCGAAAGGUCUAUUUCCUUAUCGAUAGAUUUGUGAGCUUUUUUUAAGUGUGUGUGGAGUGGGGGGUGGGAGAGGGUUGAUUUCAUACAUUUCUCACUAAUGGGUGGUUGAUUACAUGCAUUUCUUGCUCAUGUUCUUUUUUUUUUUUGGGAUUUUGAUGUGUUGUUAUCAAGUUCAACAAUGCAUUGAUGCUUGCAUUUAUAAAGUAUGUAUUCAUAUUUAGAGUAGGAUUCAAGAUUAGAUCUCAUGCAUUUCUCACUAAUGAGUGGUUUGGGUUUUUGAUUUCUGUCUUUUGAUCAAGUUCAAUAAUGCACUGAUGUUUAUAUUGUAUAUAUUCAUAUUUAGAGUGGGAUUCAAGAUUUGAUUUCAAUACAUUUUCGCUAAUGGGUGUUUUGGGAUUUUGAUUUCUGUCUUUUUAUCAAGUUCAUCAGUGCACUGAUGUUUGCAUCUAUAUUGUAUAAUCACAUUUUGAGUAGGGUUCAUGUUUUUGUAAGUUAGUGGAUGAAGAUAGAAAUAGCUGCAGAUAAGUUUAUGUAUAUCUGCAGCUGUAAAUGCUUUCAUUUUGCCCUAAACAAGGUUUCAGUAAUUCAAUUUGGCUGAUGUUAAUAGGAGUUCGUUGAGUUUCCUCCACUAUGACGAAGUGUCAUGUGUUGUAGUUUCAAUUUCAGUGUGUCUAGGGGAUGUUAUACACUUUUCCUUUUAAUUUUGCUACUAAAAGCUUGAAGUUCUAUUGUGCACCCUUGCAUGAAGUCUCGUAAUUCACGUGUUAAAGACCUUCUCUUGAGAAAGAAGAUCAAGAAGAUCCAAUGCAAUGAGCUUAAGAGAUAAACUUGCUAUAAAAUUGAUAUAGGAAAGAGGGAUAUGGGUAGAAGAGAAAAAAAGAAAUAAGAAACAAGGAAGUGUAAAAACUUGUCUAAUGAAGUGUCAAGUAUGUCUCUUAUAUACUCAUUCAUGUGAAAGUUGAUUGAGAUCAUUUGUGUGCUUCACUAUACUCAUGGAAAAAUGGAGAAAAGAGGAAAGUUUGAGCUGAAGAGAGAAAAUACUUGCACAAGGUUUAAGUGAGUUGAUUUGGUUCAUCUGAUCAUGAUAAUCUAGUUAUCUGUGUGUCUAUGUUCGUUCAUCUUGCUUCUCAUUACGCUGUGUUGAAAUUGGAUGGACUUCAUUAAAGUAGUAGGAGGGCCUUGGCCAAGCAUUAGGGUUUUCCGUCUACCUUUCUCCCCUGUUCUCGCACUGCUUCAUCAUUGCGUUUCUCCGAAUUGGCAUUAGUUUAUAAAAGAUAAGACUGCCACAUUGAAAGUUGUUAUUUUCUGAUUUGUAGGGUCAUGGUCCUAAUUUUUGUUAUAAAUUAUAAAUAAAAUUGAGAAGGAUUUUUUCAAUCAAAAAAUCCGCUCUGAUAAGCUAUAUCAACUUGUACUUCUCUUAUGUCAUUAGGAAAACAUAAUUUGGUGAUUCAAAUAUUUGUUGUAUCCUACUGACUUAUAGAAAUCAUUCUCUAUCUAACCAGGGCCGAAGCAAAGCAUCUUUCAACUUUCAGGCAUGUUAGGAAUUCCUUUAGUUUCUGAACAGACGGUCUUUGCAUUUGUCAUUAAGCUCAGGAAGUUCUCACAACUAGAAAAAAUUAGGGAGUAUAUACAGUAGUUGUGGGGUGUGCGUGAAAGGUCUUAGUCUACUAUACGUUCUGAUUGAAGAUAACUAUUACUUUUUCUCAAUCAUAGUGAAAUUUUACAUGAAUACUAAGGAUGUGUCUUGACCGUUGUAUGCAUACAGUCCCAUAAACUUAAAAUUAAACUCAUCUAGAUAUCUGGUCUUUAUGGUUCUACGAUUUGUUAGUCAUAGCAGCAAUGUAAUCUUAGGUUGUGAUGUUUUUGCAGUGACAAAGAUUAGCAUCUUUGCGCGUGUCCCAUUCUCUUCUCCAACCCUAUUGUAAAAGGUUUCCUAUUUCAAAUAUACUUGAAAACUCAAAUGGAGGUUAAGCUAUGGAAUGACAAGCGUGAAAGAGAAAUGUAUGACAACUUAGCUGAACUCUUUGCUAUUAUCAAAGCAACAGAGAAGCUAGAGAAGGCUUAUGUUCGUGACAUCAUUUCAGCAGCUGAAUAUGAGACUGAGAGUCAGAAACUCAUUGCUCAGUUCAAAACCCUAUCAUCUACAUUAAGGGAUACUGUACCUAACAUUGAGCGAUUUCAUGACACAUACAAAAUGGAUUGCCCUGCUGCCCUAAACCGGCUUGUGACCUCUGGCGUGCCAGCUACUGUAGAACACCGAGCUGCUGCUGCAAUGUCAUCUGUGAGUUCAGCAGCUGUUGUGGCCGAAUGUGUGCAGAAUUUCAUCACUGCAAUGGACUCGUUAAAGUUGAACAUGAUUGCCGUAGACCAGGUCUAUCCCCUAUUAUCAGAUCUGUCAUCUUCCCUCAAUAAACUAUCGAUUCUGCCAGUGGAUUUUGAAGGGAAGACAAAGAUGAGAGAGUGGCUUUCAAGACUGUCGAAGAUGGGGGCUGCAGAUGAGUUGACAGAACAACAGGCUCGCCAGCUCCACUUCGAUCUGGAAUCGUCAUACAAUUCUUUCAUGGCAUCACUUCCCACUGAUGGAAGUUAGCUGACUAUAUCAAUAGGUGGUAUGUUUGUAAAUACCAUUGUUAUUUUGUUUAGUAAGUUCAUAAAUCAUAACACAUAUUAUUCCUUCUUUAAUUGGAGCGCUAGUGAUUAUCAGUGAAGAUGAAUUGUGUUUAUUUUGGGACUUCUUACAUGUUAUAUAAUUGUAAGAUUGGUGGUGUACCCAUUUUCCUUUUGAGCGGAUGAUUUAUUGGAAACAACCUCUCUACCCGGUUUGGGUACAUCCUAUACUCCCCAAACCCUACUUGUGGGAUUGCACAGGUUAUGUUGUUAUGAUCGUAGUAUCAUUUUUUAUGCUACGAACACAUUGUGGAUAGCACUACUAUCAAUCUAUAUGUUGAAUGGGCUAUAUUACUUGGUUUUGUUGAUUGAUUCGUUCCUCGUUUUAUGUUUUGGGUUGUGGAUUGUGAUAUCAAAUUGCACGAGGCUUGCAAAAACGAGUUUGAUCUUGAAUAGUAAAAUGAUACUUGCAUUUGCUCACAGUCCGUCUGUCUUGACUUUGUUGAUAGGUUUCUUGAUUUAUUGUUAUAUAGUCGUUAUGUCAUCCUGGAUUUAUCUGUGUGAAAUUUACUGGAAUUGUUGAAAAAUAUUGAACUACGAGCCCUCGAGGUGAUGGGGUUAGUGGUUGGAACCCGAGUUUGGAAUAUAUAGAAUUAAAAUUCUGGAUCCGCCUUUAAUUUUAACUUUCGUUGAACCGAAUGAUGCCGGCUUAUUCUCAUAAACUUGACUCUGUCAUUUGUCAAUAACUUCGUGGUGACAUAUUGAGUUUAGGUUUUGAGUCACUUUCAUGAGCUAAGUAUUUGAAACCUUCAAAUAUAUAGUCAUGUUUGCAACUGCUUUCUUUGACAUUUUUUUAAACAAAAAGAUGCAUUAUUGCAUCAAGUAUGGUUUGUUUAUUACCUCAAAAGUCUUUGACAAAUAAUAAUGAAUUUUGAACUCAUAAUUUACAAGUGCAAAUAUUUAAUGUUAAGAACCAUUAGGUUCAUUGAACCAAACAAAAUUAAAAUCUUGAAUUUGUUUAUAUGUUAGAGAUAUUAUGCUUUUCGAGCGCUACCUAAUAUUAGUUGUGUGUGAAUUAGAACUUUCCCUAUGAAGUGUUGAAGAUAUAAGUGAAGUAGUAAAUUUUGAUAGAAGCGAAUAUAUAAUUGAGUAACUUUCACAUAUAGCUAACAUAAAAAUUAUAUUUGUAUGCUAUAGCUAUAGCUUGUAUAAUUGCGUUUCAUAGCAAACAUAAAUAUGUAUAUUUCGCUAUACAUAUUUUAAAAAAAUAGUUGUAUAACUUGCUAUACAUAUACAAAGAAACCAGUUGUAUAAUUCUCUAUACAUAUACAAAAGAAAGCAGUUGUAGGAGAUCCUGAACUAAGGUAUGAUUCCACUUUCCUUUGACGUAUGUAUAAAAUGAGAAAGAGAGAAAGGCAAAAGAAAACUGGUCAGGAAAUAUUUGUAUUGUAUAGUUAUAUGUGUAUAGGACGAAGAUAUACGUAUUUGCAUGUGUAUAUAUAAUUUUCUAUCGCUUUAUACAAACAGAAACACAAUUUAUACAUUUCGUUUCUGUUUGUAUAAGCGAGAGAGGCAAGGGUGGCGAGCGAGAUCUGGGAGAGUGGCGAGGGAUUUGGGAGAGGGUAACGAAAAUAUAUGUAUAUAUAUAAUUUCCUUUCGCUUUAUACAAAAACAAACACAUUCUAUACAUUUAUGUUUGUAUAAAAACGAGAGAGGCGAUCGAAACUAUCACCAAAUGAGAGUGGCGAGCGAGAUUCCACCAAGAAGAGGCGAAAAUAGCAAUAAUUUGCUAUAGGGUACAAUUGAAUCAAAGUAUAUUUAAAUAAAGCUUUUGUUUAUUAUGCCUAAACCCUAGAGAAUCGGUUAGUUCAUUAUUAAAACUUCAAACGUUUCUAAAUUUCCAUACAAUUCAUUUUCUUUAUAUUUUAGAUUCGCCUCGAAACAAAUUUGAUUCUUAUCAGAUCGUUAUCCUCAAAUUAAAUUGCUCCUGGUUAACACUACCAUAUAUUUUAAAUACAAUAUUAAUUUUGUAUGUCCAUAUUCAUUCUUCAAACAGUUUAUAGCAGUUGGCUGUUUCAUAAAAGUAAAAGUUUAUUAUUUAUUAUAUGUCACUGAUAAUAAAUUCCACUGUCCCCAAUUAUUAGUAUAUACUAUAGUCUAUAUCAUCAAGAAGUACUUUACAUUAAGAUUUUAUAACAUAAAAUAUUUAUUGACCCAUCACGAUUGUUUAAGUCAUUAGAAAAUUUAUGAUGACUACCUACUUAUAUUGAUGAGGAGGAGCUAGAAGUUUGAACGUAAAUUUAGUAAUUUUAUUCAAAUAAUGUAAGAAAUUAUAAUUAAGCAUAUGAACCACUCACAAAACCAUCGAGAUCUUUUGACGAGAAUUCUAAGGCCAAAUUAUUGGAUCGAAGUAAAGUUUCUAUUUAAUCUAGUAAGUGUGAAAUUAGGUCUUAGGCCUAACUCACACCCCAAAAGCUAGCUCAAAGAGAGGAGGAUUGCCCAAGCCUUAUAAAGAGUUCACCCAUCUCAUUAAUCACCGAUAUGGGAUUUUUGUUAUUCUUUAACAGUAAAAUUCUCUUGAAUAUAAUUAAAAAAUAUCAUAAAAGUUUAUUAAAUAUAUAUAUAUAUAUAUAUAUAUAUAUAUAUAUUAAAUCUAAAAGAACCAAGAGAUCAUCAUUCGAAAAUUAAAAAUUCAUACAAUCAAAGUAAAGACAUUGACUCUGUGUAUAACUAUCCUCUUAAAAUAAAUUCUUGUUAGGUUUGGAGUUAAUGUAGUGCUUGUACAUCACAAGACAAACGAUUCAUAAAAACUUACUCGUACUCAAAAUCUAUAAUAUAAUUUUUCAACGAAAUCUAUUUAUGAUGUGUUUAAAUACGUAUUGCAAAUUGAAUUUUACACCAUAACAAACAAUACAAAACUAUUAAAAUUUGUCUAUAACAUAUACUUAUCGAACCUUCAUACCUUCAUCGAUUUGGUGUAAAGAUGUUUUUCCUUUUUAUGUACAAAGUCUAUAUUAUCACUUAAUUAUGGUAAUUGACUUUUUUUAAACUCAGUUUUAUACUUAAUAACAUAGAAUUAAUUGUGAACAACUUUAAGGAUUUCAAGGAGGACUAACCAAUUUUAGUUGACUAAUGUACUCUUCUUUACGUGUUGUUUAGGACAAAUUAGCAAUUUAAUUAGGUUUUCUAAAUUAAAAGUCAAAAAAUACCAAAUGACAAGAAAUUUAAUUAUUGUAGAAUCCUAGAAGGAAUAUUUUAGUGUGUUGUCAACUACUAUCAAAGUAUUCAAGUAAUAUCCUAGUUUUAAAAUUGUCAGAUUUUGCAAUUAUAGGCUCCACAAUACUUAAUUAUUCUAUAUUUUUAAAUUAAAAGAUUGUUAUAGUUGAUUUUGACGAUAAAAGAUUUAUUAAAUGUUUAUAUCAUUCCACCCUAACUCUAAUUACUUAUCUUUUAAAUAACACAAUAGUGUAAUUAAUUUUUUAGUUAAUCGUACUGUUCACUUUGUUCAGUAAUAGUUAUCCGCUAUUAAAUCACCUUAACUCAGUGCUUGCUGUUGCACUAGGUGCUAAAACAUGAGUGUUUUGUAUCCAUUGAGCAAAAACGAAGGGAGUACUAUAUAAAUAUUUGAUUUUUUUUUAUCUUACUUGACUCCUAUAUUAAAAUUAGAUGUUUUUUUUACUUAUCAAUGCAUUUUGUAAUAUCAAGGAAAUUUUUUUAAUUUUUUUCAUAUUAUCUUUAAUAUUAAAUAACGAUAUAAAAUUCAUAUUUAAAAUAUUAAAGGAUUAUCAAAGUAAAAGGGUUUGAAAAAUACUUUAAUUUUGAUCGAAAUUAUUGUUAUAAUAUCAAACUUUAUGAAAGACUUUUUACCUCCCUGCACUAUUUAAUAGUAUAUUUCAAACUUAUAAAUAUGCUAACGUAGAUAUUUUACUAUUUAUAAUGAUGCAAUAGUUAUGAUGUCCACAUUUAACAUAUAUAUACUUUUAAAAUAUAUUAUUAAAUAAUAUAGAAAUAAAAAAGACAUUUCAAAAUUCAUAUUACAAUAAUAUUUAUCAAAACUUAAAUAUGUUUUAGAUUUUUUUCUGAUUAUUAACAAAUUAAUUUAGUAAAAUAGACUGUUAAUAAAAGUUUUUUUGGUACUUUUACAUUGAAUACGAACAUUAAUGAGUCAGAAAUGGGAACCACAAGGAUACUAAACAACUCACAACUUCAUUAAAUUAUGACUGAAUGGUGGAUGCCAAUUAAAUUUUAGUGUCAGACAUAUUCAUAGUUUUCUUGUUGAUAUUAAUUAAUCCGUAGAGUAAGAAUAGUUCGUGCGUUGCGGACUUUGAAAUAUUGUGCCUUAUCGAAAUGGUGAUAAUAUCGAUUUAUAAAAGUUUGUGUGUUGGGGAUUCUGAAAUAUUGUGCUUUAUCGGAAUGAUGACAAUAUCAACAUAUAAAAUUAGGUGAUUUUUUAUUUUUCUUUUUGAGAUAAUUAGGUGAUCUUUUAUUGUAUUUUCUUUGUCAUGUAUUAUAUGUUAUUUUUUUAAAAAAUAUCUGGAUCAUAAUAUAUGUCAUUUUAUAAAAUUUAGAUAUGAAUCACCAUUUUUAUCCAUUAUACCUUUGAUCAAUUAAGUAAUUAAUCUUAAAAAUAUAUUUACUUUGACUAACCUAGAAAAUCUAUAAGUAAUUAAUUUCAUUGGAAGAGUACUUCAUUCAUUAAUUAUAUACCUUUUUUAUUCACUACUUAUUCUAUAAAAUAUGAUUUUGAAAAAAUAAUAAUCAACGAACAAUUAAAAAAAAAAAGAAGAUGAAAAUGGAGGUUACAACUACAUGAAUCAUCUCUAAUGUAGUUAAACAAGAAUUAAUGAUCCUAAUGACUCUUCGUUUACAUUGUCAUCAUUUAAAUUUUCAUCUAUUAUUAAUCGAAAAAGAAAAAAAACUAUGAAUAGAAAAGAAAAAAUGGUCAUUUUUGCUUUAAAAAUUUAUAUAUAAAAAUAUUAAAAGACAUUUUACACAAAAUAUAUAGGAAAAUUGAGGUGGUAAAAACUUGAUUUUUGAAACUUUUUUGGAUCAAUUGGUAAAAAAAAAAAAUUGGAUGCAAAAAUAAACUCUAAAAUUUAAAUAGUUAUCCAAAUGUAUUUAUGUUUAUGAAAUUUAAUAUUUAGUCACUUAUUACAAAGUUGUUACAAGCAAAUAUUAAAUAAGGAUAUAAGGAUAACAUUACCUUAUAUCUUAAUGCAAGUGCAAAUGAAAAAAGUGACAUAACGGAGGGAGUACAUAUUUAUAGAGAAGCAAAUUUUUUAGCUGAUGGUGUCUCUAUGAUUAGCGGUGUGUAUUCGGAUUUUUGAUAUUGUAUUAUUUAGUUUGGAUUUUUUUAUUUUUUAUUUUAAAGAAGUAUAAUGUAAUUCCAACCAAAAUCAGAUUUGGUUUGGUUUGAUUUUUCUCCUUUUGUUUAGAUUUUUCAAUUCGACUAUUGGUUAUACCAAUAAUUAGAAACAUAACAAAGUUAUAUUUGCAAUUUGAAAAAAAUGAAUAAUAUAUAUUGAAUUUUUUAAAUAUACUUUUAAUAUUACGUUUAAAAAAUUAUAAUUCAAAAAAAUAAUAUUAAUAUAUAUUAUUUAAUUUUUGAUAUUGAAAUAUUUUAUUAAUGUGAAAUGUUAUAUGUUCAUGUUUUUUCAAAUAAAAGAUAGUGUAUUACACACACCUACAGAGGUGUAUUUCUUAAACUAAAAAAAUGAUAGUUUAGGUAUGAAAUUCAAGCUCUCAAUAGUUUACGAAUAAACUCAAAAAAAGGGAUAGUUUAGGUGUUUUUUACACUUAUUCAAUAACACAAUACUUAAAAGUAUAUCAAUUAUAGAUGUCCAAACAUAACAAAUAAACCAAUCAAUAAUGAAAAUUACUGAAAAAGAACAAGUGGUUAACUCCAACUUAAUUUACACGAACACACGCGCAUGAAUACACUCGAGCACACACGCAAGGGGGCGCCACACACAUGUAAUUCAGUUUUUCGGUUUUCAUUUUCUUUAAAUCCAAAAAAUUAACCAAAAACCAAACAAAAUAAAUUAAAUUCAAAACCAAGUCAAGAAAUCCAAAAAAAAAAAAUUCAAAUUAAAAUUCAGUUUGAUUUGAUUUGAUUUUUCGAUUUAAUCCAAAUAUUGCACAUUCCAGUCUAUGAUUGAACUUCUAGCUAAUUUUCUCCCCGUAACUGCAACUACUUUUGUUCCUAGCUACUUGUCAAUUUUUCCUUUUUCAGUUGUCCCUAAUUAUUUGUUUAUUUUUGUCAAAUCAAUAACGACAAUUUCUUUUUUACCUAUACCGUCAAUUAAUUACUUUGAAAAAUAUAUAAUUUCUUAAAAAUCUAAAGUUUUUAAUUCAUUCGUUUCAUAAUUAAUAGAGGUAAAAUGACAAAUUCACUAUGUUAUUGUUUCUUUAAUAGAUGUGUUAUUUCUAAAGUGAAAAAAUAAUUAGAGGUAGGAGUAAUAAGCUUGACUCAAAUUUCUCAUUGAACAAAAACAAAAUGAAAAGUGAAAAAAUUGCUAAUAACAUAAUUAGCUUCAAUUUGAAAUUUUUUUAAGCUUGAUCAUGAUCAAGUAAAAUAAGGACUUGUUUGGUUAACAUAUUCAAAAGUUACAUCAAUUUGUGAAGUCAAUACCCGAACCUAUUACAUUUGCAUGCUAGCAAAAUUUCCAAUUUUUUUGCUUCCUUGUUUCACCCAAACAAAUCCCAUAUUUGCUAACAAAGGAUUACUUUUGAGGUUCGUUCUUGACUCCUCCUCCAUCCUUCAAAUAAAUCUGCAAUAUCAAAUAUUUAUAUUUUCGUCAGUGUAACGUACACAACCUACCUUAAUACAAGUAUUAGUUAACUACUUCCACAAGUUGAACUCGUUACAUAUAUAGGUCACACACAUACUACUUUAUUGUUACUUCAAGAUUCUACUUCAUGAAAACUAGCGAUGUAUAUACAUUAAACAAGAUACUCAUCUUCUAUACAAUGGUAUAUAACUUUUACACUAUCAGAUCACGCAAAAGUCAACUGGUACUAGUUGCCUAGCAAGUAACCUAUAAUAACAUAAAAAGGAGUAAUAUUAUAUUGAAAACUGACAGGCCGAUGCACAAACAUGUUGUGUUAGCGGGGUCAAGGGAAGGACAGGAUUGCAUGGGGUGUGAUUUAAGCAGACUAUCCUACUGGUUGCUUCCACAACCUAUAGGUCACACGAGACAACACUAUUGUCACUAUGAGAUUUCUCUGCUUAUACUGUCAGCGUAUACAAGUUGAAAUAGCGUACCUUAGAUAUUUCAUAAAGCACUGUCACAAGCUACAGCUGUUUUGAUCCUUUCAACAGUGCAUUUGAUAAGACUAUUGACAGUUGCAACAGAUCCAAGAGAGAGUUUUGCAGUGGGAACAGAAUCAACCAAAAUCUGAAAUGCAACAGUGAGAAGCGAUCCACCGGUACCAACAUUAAUUCCUCCGCCACCAUCUGGAAGUAUAGCGAAUCCAGAUGGUAGUAGAGCAACAUAGUCAGGAUCACCACCGCUCAACACAACAUUCAUUGCGACAAUAUCAACUGGAGCGUAAAUAACAUAAGAUCCUGUUGAGUCUGUUGAACUCUCUUGGAGUAUUAGCAUGUUGCUCUGACUCGAAUUUCCACUCUGCAUCAAUAAACUUCCAAUCUUUUUAGGUCACUACUAAAAACACGCGAAGUCAAUGUAGUUUUGGUAUAUAACGUCAAGAUAAUAAGUAAGAAGAAAACAUUACAUUAACACGAAGCAGAGAUACACAGUUUCCUGGAUCACGACCAUUUGCUAUAUGUGCCAUUUCUUGAACUAGCCCCCCAUUCGAAAGUAUAUCCCACUGCACACGAAUACAACACAACAUAACAAUUUCUUCGUUAUAUCUUGAAAUAACUGAUUGAAUCAAACCAUUGAUCAUCAAAGUCAAAAUUUCAGCGCCAUGGACCUUAUGACUUUACCUCACUUCUAGAGUUCUCAUCGCGGAGAAAAUCAAAGACUCUCUUGGGAGGAACAGGAAGCCAAAAUGAAGUGGCUGCACUGAGAACAAUACCAGGAGGUCUCCCUGGAUCAUCAAUACUUUUUCUAGUCAUAACUCUAACAUCAUCAGCACCACUUCCAGAUAAUGUAGUCCAUGUAUGAGCCGUUGAGGCGCCAACACCAGCGCAAAAACUCAUCACCAUCCUCUCAGCAAGUUUUAACAUGCUUUUCCGGCCUUCAGGACUCGUUAUGACUACAAAAAUAACUUACAUAGUUACCAAAUUGUGAUCGCGGAUGAAAUUAAUUUUACAUACUAUAUAUACCUCCAAUAUCCCCUGUUGGGAUGUUAUUAGCCAUCGCACUUGCUAGUCGUUCACAUUGUCUAUCCAACACAGCUACCCAACGUUUAGCCCCAAACGCGAGGCCUGAAUUGACAAGAGGUUUAUAGAUGUUAUGAACACCUCUAUCAUCCACUUCAACGUGCUCGAUCCAUGUAACCUACAGGGAUAAAAUGAGAAAUAAUUAAUAAAACAACGAAACUCUUAACACUUACUAUGAUUACACGCGGAUUCAGGAUUUGAAUACAUGUAAUGGAACUUCUAAUAUUGGAUCUGUCUCUAUAAUCAUAUUCAGAGUGGCUUUACCUUGGAGUAACCAUUAGGUAAUUCUUGAAUUAAACAACCCGAUGGCCUUCUUCUACAACGCGACACUGAAGUAGGUCGUAAAUUGUCCAAGGAGACAUCAACAACAGCCCAUGUUCCAUCAGCAUGGUGCUUACAAUAUCUCACAAAAUAAUUUUCGCGCGUUGGAACCAAUGGUGAAGGGACCUGGAACUCAGCUGUCAUCUGAAAAUGUAACAAAAGUACACGCCAAUUAGAAAGACGUUACAUUUGUUGUAGCAGGUAACAUGUCUUAUUUCUCAGGCUAUCGGUUACACUUUUUACGAUUCGUUUAUACUGUCAGUAUAUAGAAGUCAAACUCGAGAAUAAUGUUUGAAAAAAAGUAGUAGAAUUUUUAAUCAUACCACUUGUAAAGCUCCAUUGUAAUUUCCAGCUACUCCAGUUGAUAAGACAUCUAAUGUCAAUGCUCUUGAUACUAGUCCAGCAAAAACAUUUGUCCAUUGGUUCUGAAUUACAAUAAAACACAAUAAUUAGUACUAAAUAAGACAUUAUUGAAUUAUUAUUAUAAAAAAAGACAAAGGUUAAAAUGGUCUUUUUUAAGGCGGAAAUAAAAUCUAGAUAAUACGAAAAAGCUCCAACAAAAAAAAAAAGAGUCGUACCACGUCCAUUAGGAUUUCGACUAAAUUGAUGUGAUUCAUAAUAACGACAGCAGAUUCUCGUGAGGCUUCAGUUGUUAGGCCCAAAGGCUUAGGCCCAAUGCCUCGAGGAAAAGUCCGAACAUAUUCCUCUUCACAUAGCGUUUCGAUAGAACUAUCUGGGCCUGGGCCUGGGUCUGGGCCUGUAAUCCAUAAGGGCUCUCCAGUUUGGGCCAUUCUUACAAGUUCUUCCAUAGCUGCUACAGCAAGUUCAAUGAUCAUGGGCUUAUCAGCAUCUAUUGGGCCUGAAACUGACCUUAAAAGGUCACCAGCACUGUACAUUUCUCCAACAAGGCCCGUUUGAGGCCCAAAACUACCAACACCGAUAUCGAGUGAACGGGUCGGGCUGGUAGGAGGAAGAUUAGGAUAUGUAAGCAUGGGCUUCCCAACAUAUUUUGCAGCAAUUCCUGAUAUUCUAUCAAUCUAAAAAGAAAGGAAAAAAAAAAUCAUAAAAUCGUAUAAAAAUGACAGAUUGAUAUACGAAACACAAAACACGUAAGGUUAUACGACUAAAAGUACCCAUCAAGUUUUAAUGUUGAACUCGUGUAUGCAUGAAUAUACUAAUUCAUGUAUUGUAUUUUUUGAUUAGUGAUAUUGUGAUACCUCUUCUCUAAGACGAGCGUUCUCGAUCCUCAAAUGUUGCUCAUCGAAUGACAUUUCCCCAAUGGAAGCAGGGCCUCCACAAUUAGGGCAAGUAGCAUUUCCAAGUGCUUCUUUAUACCUUAUAUUAUCAGCGCGAAGUUUCUCAUUUUCAGCUCUCAAUUCUGAGUUCUCAUGGCGUUCAUGUUGCGCCUACAAAAUAACAUUUGAAUAAAAGUUAAUUAGACCGCUUAAUAUAUAAAAUAAUAAAAGAACAAUCUAAUGUAUAAAGUAUCGUGUGUUCACAUAGAAUCUUGGGCAGUGUGAUACAAAUAUAAUCUACCCUAAUGUAUGCACCAGAUAUCCACUCACUUAUUCACCAUUUUUAUGAUUAUUUCUUUUUUAGAAAAAAAAGAAGUGUGAGUGCAUAAAAUUUUGCCUACACGCAAGAUUUGAAAAAGAAUCGCACUCUAAGGAACACUAAUCCAAGUAUUAAUUACUGCUUCCACACUUCAAUUCAAGAAGAAUAGCAAUGUAUAUACCUCAAUGGUAUAAACAAGUUGAGGUGAAAUAUAUAUAUAUAUAUAUAUAUAUAUAUAUAUAUAUAUAUUCAAUUCAAGAAGAAUAGCAAUGUAUAUACCUCAAUGGCAUAAACAAGUUGAGGUGAAAUAUAUAUAUAUAUAUAUAUAUAUAUAUAUAAAUUUUCAUCAUCUAUUAUCUCCAUUUAAGUUCGAUACAUGUAAUCUUCGUAUCAAUCAAAAACAAAAUAGAUAAUAAAUUAAAUAAAUAAAAACAAUAGUAUAAAUGUUAGUGUUAAAUAAUCUUACCUUCAUUUGAGUACGCUUGUUUUGGAACCAAAAUUUCACUUGCAAAGGCUCUAACCCUAAUCUUUUUCCUAAUUCUUUUCUUUGUUUAUCAUCUGGAUGAGGGCACUCUUUAAAAAACCUGAAAAAAAAUUUAGAAAAAUAUAUCUUGUUAUUUUAUUGUAAAAUAUUCAAACAAAGUACUAUUAUCUCAUAUUUGUUUAGAUAAUAUUCUAAAAGUAUAAAGAAUUUUUUACAUAAUCAAUUUGUCUAUAAAAUACAACAACAAUCUACUAGUAGAAAAAAAUUAGUAGGUGUUUGGAUAUAGAUUUAGCUUAAAUUUGAAAAAAUAAAAUUAUAUAUUCAAACAGUUUUGAACUGACGAUAUAUAAAAGUUAUAUAUGUAUAAAAGAGUACUUACGAUUCCAUUUCUUGAAUUUGUAAUUGUGUAUGACGAUGAUAACGUUUCUUUUUGUUUGGACGUUGAUUAGGAUCAACUUCUUGAUCAUCAUCACAAGGGUUAUUUUCCAUAAUAUCUGCCAUUGAUUUGCUCUCAAAUUCAUCAUUAUCUCUAAGUAAAUCCAAAUCAUUUUCUGGUGAUUUAUGUGACAUAUCAAGUAAAUGAUGGUGGCUCUCAAACAUAUUUGGCUGAAACAUUUUUCACUUCUAAAUAUAAAAAAUAUACAUAUAUAUAUAUAUAUAUCCUUUUCUUGAUAAGCUAUGAGUUUGUAACCUGUCAUAAAAAUAAAAAUAAAAUUGUAAGUACAUUAAUUAAUUAAAUACAUUAUAUAAAUGUGGAUUAUAAUUUUUUUUAAAAAAACUUGGGAUAAAUGAAGAUUGACAAAACCUACUUGAGUUCCUUUUUUCGAGUUUUAUGAUACGUGUAACUUAAAGUAGCAUAUCAGAACUCACAACGUCUAAAUUUUGGAUAUGUCGUCGAAUAGAUGAUGGUUGCUCUUAUCAAAUAUGUUUGGCUCAAACAUUUUUCACUUGUAAGUGUUUAUAAUAAUAUCCUUCUUGCUAAGCUAUGGUUUUGUUACCUGCAAAAACAAAACAAAAAAUUGUAACAUUUUAAUUACAAACUUAUAAUGUUUAAGUUCUGGAUCUCAUUUCGAAAAUAAACUCUGAAUACUAGAUAUGAUUAAUUAACAUAAAAGAAUAUGGUGAGUUAGUCAAGUCUCUCAAGGAAACCCUAGAAAGACUUCUCCUUUUUAUAUUUUGUUAGUUUUUUUUUUUUUAAAAAAAAACAAAUGGGAAAAUUUGACUUUUGGUUUUCUAUAUGUCAAACAAAAAGACUUUUUUUUCCCUCUCUCUAUUAUGUCUGUUUAGAUAUGCCAAAAAAAGGACUGAAAAUUAUAAAUUUUUAGGAAAAAAAAUAGAGAAAGAAAGUUGACACUCUUGAGGACCCAAAGUCAAAAAAAUGUCUUUCCCACCCCCAUACUUAUGUUAUUAUCUUCACACAACGUCCACGAAUAUUUCUAUAUAGUACUUCAACUUUAGCCAUAAUUUUAGUUCUACAAAAAAAAAAUUAGUAGUCAAGAUAAAUAAGUGUUUGGACAUAAAAAAAAAUUAAUCAUAUAUAUAAAUUUGAUAAGUGUAUUUGAAAGUUGUAAUUUGAUAUGCAUUUAAUAUUUUCUUUUAAUUCAUCUUUCAAAAAAAAAAAGUCCAAGUUAUGAACAUGUAUGAUGUUUAGUAUUUAUUUGGUUUGAAGAAAAAAGUAUGGACAAACUAUAAAGCAUAUUUAGAGCAAUUUUUUGAACUAAAUAUAACUUAGUAAUUUCUCAAAUUAAAAGAAAGAAAGAAGAAAACAUGAAAGUAUAUAAUACUCACAAUUUUUGAAGCCUUGCAAGUGAAAGUAUUAUAAGAACACAAAACCCUCUUGAAGUUUUUAGGGUUUAGAUCUAACUUUUUAACCAAAAAAAAAAAGUUGGUAGUAAACUAAAAAACCACUUUUUUUUUUAAUGUGUGAAUAGAAUUUUAAGAAGAAUAUUUCUUGAGGGAAAAAGGAAGAACAAAGAAAGGGAGAUAAGAAUAUGGGAGGAAAAAACAAAGGGAAGAAAAUAGAGAGAUAAGAAGAAAUGUGUGAAACAAAGAGGAGUUAAUGUAGAGUGCAUAUAGAAGAUGCAAAUAGCAUUUAAUGGCGGGAGAGAAAGAGGUGAUGGUGUUAAUGAUAUUGUUGAAGAGAGAGAAACAAGAGAGAGGGGAGAAGUGUAUGUAUGUUCGAUAUUUGUAUUGGGGUCGGACUAAAUUUACGAGGCGCAAUCCAAACAUAUAUUAUUUUUAAUAAUUUUAGGGACUCGAAUUCAAGAUGUCUGGUUAUAUAGGUCAGAGGGAUCUCAAUCGUUCACUAUAACAAAAGAAACAAUUAGUGGCCAUAGAUAUUUUUAGCAACAAUAUUUAUUAUCGUAAAAAUACUUAAUGACGAUUGAGUUAACAUUAUUAUAUUUAAUAUCGCUAAAUCAUUUAACGAGAUUUUUGUAGAGUAAAGAUUAUAAAUAUUCAUAUUUAUUGUUAUCGCUAAUAAUUUGGAUUUUUUUUUUAUUUGUUAUAUUGAUCUCACGCAGUUCAUGUUAGUGUAUGUUCAAAUUUCUUGUAUAUAUACAGAAAGUCAAAAACAAUUUAUUUAUCUUUUUUUAUGUAUUUUGAUGUAGGUUAGAUAGUCGUAGGGGCUCAAACCCAAUAACUAUAUUCCCAAUUCUUGAAUAUGAUGUGAUGAAAUAACUAAUUAACUUAUUCUGAUUAUUUUCUGAGAGAGACAAAUUCAGAAUUUAAAAGUUAGGGGUGCCAUAUCAUCUAAAUGGUAAACGAAUCGACUUUUUAUUUUAAGUUAUAAUUCGGAUUAUUUAAUUUUUUCGAUAUUUAUAAAUAUAUCAAUCAAAUAUACAUUUUUAGUACUGUUUUUUUAAAUAUAAAUAUUCUAAUAUUAAAAAUAUACACCUAGUGUUUCUUUUUAUGUUUGUUUAGGAAUAAAAGACCUUAUUCUUUAUAACUUUGAGAAAACAAGAGAUUUUCACCUUAAAAUUCAAAUUUGUAUACAUCAUCUAAUAUCAUAUAAUUGAGAGAGAAAAAAUCAUAGUUUCAAUCCAAUUAUCUCCACUUAGUGUGAGACAAAAAAUUUAAAGAACCUUUACAUUCAAAAGGUUUAAUAAUAUCCAUCAUUUUAAAAGUUUUUUUUUAAAAGGCUAUUUAAGUAUUUUUUACUAAUAUCCUAUGUGACGUUCAAAAUUUAUUAUUAAUAUAUAAUUAAUAUAAAAUAUCACGGGACACUAGUAUUAAUUAAAAAUAAGUAAAUAAGAACGAAGUAGUAAAUAAAGGAACUAAUUGAGGGGAGUGAAACUAAAAAAAAGAAUAGUGUUUUCAUAGAGAUUUAAACCUUCGAUGCCCUGCUUGAAAGAUGCACCCUUUGCCAACGGCACCAUUCAACGUAUGGUUCACUGGGUGGCAUAUAUAUUAUAUAUACGAUUUGUUAUACUCAUACAUACACAUAUAUAUAUAUAUAUAUAUAUAUAUAUAUAUAUAUAAAGUAUUAAUCGAGGCCUGUGGGCGUCGUGACACUCCCAACCGUGGAGCUGGAUCUGCCCAUAUUUUCUGAUAUUUAUUUUAGAGUUUGUCUAAUUUAGAUUGAUGAUAGAAAAUCUCAUUUUGGCCUCUUAGAGGUAAAAACGCUUCUAUACCUAUAUUCUCAAAACUCUAAUCAUAUUUGAUUUUCCAUCCAAUAUUCAUUAUGAGUUCAAAUAAUUAGAAUUUGUAUCGAAAAAUUUUAAUUUAAAAAUGAAGUGUUCUUUUAUAUAUAUAUAUAUAUAUAUAUAUAUAUAUAUAUAUAUAUAUAUAUAUAUAUAUAUAUAUAUAUAUAUAUAUAUAUAUAUAUAUAUUUAUUUUAUCACUUGUAUACGCUGGUGGGCUGGGGUGGGUGGGGAUGGGGAACUAGUGUAUGUAUAACUUGUAUAUAUUUACACUUGGUUUUUGUUGAUAUGUUAUGUCUAAUUAUAUGUUGGAUCUCUUUAUAUUUGAGUUCGAGAUUUGGAAGUCGAGCUUUUGAAUAUGAAUAAAAAUCUGGUUAGAAUUGUCGCUUUUAUUAAUGGAUUCUAUAUGCGAUCUUAAAUUUAAUUGAAUUUCUAAAUGAAUAUUGUAUAUCAGAUGAAAAACAAAAAACACAUGUAAUGAUCGAUCAAUAUAUUUAAAAUUUUUUAUACAAAUCUCAUAGUGUUAAGAGCUAAUUAUAUCAUAUAUUCUUUUUCAAAUUACAAAAAUCACUUAAAUUUGGUGGAAUCGAAAUACAUUCCAAAACCUUCUGAUGCAUUGUGUUCCGAUUUCGAAUACAUCGCUUACAUCUUGAUUUCGAGUAUGUCACUCAAGGUUCCAGAUACAUUGUGUAUAUCCUGAUACAUCGUGCAAAGUGAUAUAUAUAUAUAUAUAUGAUCGAUACACGUAAAGUGAUGUAUCUAGUAGGAUUUUGUUGUAAGUUUUUCAAAUGGUAAGAAAUAUUAGAGAAUAUGAUAAAAAGAAAAUGUAUAUUUAGAUAGUUUUUCCAUAUAUUUAUUACUAGCUAGUCUAUCUUUGUUAAAGUAAUUAGGAAAUUUGAAGAUUUUAAAUAACUAUCUCUCAAAUACGAAAUAUAUUUAUAAAGUUUUUAGUGAUAAUGUCUAUUAAAGUUUUAUCUUGUUGACUAAUUAUGGAAGUUGGAACGAUCUUAGUUCAAUUAGUUUAUAUGCAAGGAAAUUAUAGUGUUAAUAAUUAGUAUUUCAAUAAAUUCAUUUCCACUUAUUUUAAUUUUGUUAACUAAGAGUAAAGACAAGUCUAUUGAAGAUUAAAAAAUAAAACCUCACUUAUAUAACUUGAAAUUUAUUGUGAAAAAUAAAUAAAUUUUGGUAAGCUUUUCCAAAAAAUCAAAUAGUACUUAAUUAGAAAUAUUUGUACACAAAUCCAAUAUAUUAAAUGAAACGAUUGACAAUUAUUACGCAUAGUAUCUAAGUAGAUAUUAAAUAUAUUAAUGAUAAUAUAUAUAUUUUAUGUCUAGCUAGAAAGAUAAUUAAAUUCAAAAUAUGAAACCAUUAAAUUGAUUGUGCAUGCAUAUUGGGACACCAGACCUACCCCUCCUCUUAUAUUUAGUCUAAUAAUUAAUACUCUCAUAGUCCAUUUUUAUUUAUCAUAUUACACUUUUCAAAAGUUAAUUUGACUAAUUGUUAAAGUUAAAAUUAAAUUAUAUUAAUUAGAUAUUUUAAACAAAAAAAUUUAGAGAUAUUCAAAAAUUAUACAAAAAUACUAUAAAUUGAAUUUUUUUACGUAUCAAUAUGAUGAAAAAAUAAUAGUAAAAUGUUAGUCAACUUUCUUUUAUAGUUUGACUCUAAAAAAUGAAACUAUAACAAAUAAAAAUGAGUUAUGUGGUACUCCAUCUUUAUACUGUAGUUUUUUUCUUGAAAUAGUAAAUCAUCAAAUUUUAUUUCGAUAUUUUCAAAUCCAACUCUCCAUCUUUAUUCUGUAUUUUUAAUGUUAGUUUUCAAUCGUGAAAUCAGUGUUUAAAGAGAUGAACAAGAUGUUCAUAACUUAAGCCUAAUAAAGUGUUUGAGAUAUAAAGUGGAUUAUGUGUAUUUGAGAUACAUACAUAAAUCUUGCUUGCCUCUCUCGCAUUUCACUCGCUACUCUCAUAUCUCGCUCGCGCGUAUUUUGUAUUUUAGAUACAUGUGAAUCACACCAGAUGCAUGUAUAUAUAUAAAUGUAUAUCUAGUGUGAUUCACGUAUAUCUGAUUUGAAAUUUGAUAUGAAAUUAUUAAAUCCAAUAAUUUCAAAUGAUAGGAGAAAUUAGUAAAUUAUGAUUAAAAAAAAAUUGGUAUUAAUUAAUGGCAACACUGAUAUAACUAUGCAAAAACUUCAAGUAAAUUACCAAUUAAAGAAAAUAUCAAAAUUAUCGAAGUAUAUAGCCUCAUUUUGAGUUUAACUGUUUAGUGGUCUAAUUUACAGUAAUUUGAGUAUAUUGUUUAAACGUUAGUAAAUUGUCAAAGUAGUAGCCAAUGAUUUUAUUUAUUAAGACUGUGAGUAUAAUUAAAUAUAUAUUUUUGUUAAUUGUUUUUUAAUUAUUUAAAAAUUAUUAGUAGUUGUGUAUUUCUCGAACAUACGAUAGAUUUGAAUACACUUAUUUUGUAUUUUUGUAACGGUCGGUUCUUUUUAUAUAGAAAAGUCAAUGGGAAAACUUUUUGGGUCAGAAAACUUUUUUGUAAUAACUUGAAAUUUUCCAACCAAAUGUAGAUUUGGACGAAAUCAGAGUCAUUAAAGUCUAGGAAAUCUUGUAACAAUCGGGUGGAUAUAAUUAUGAAUUUGAUCACAUGAGUAAACAGUAAAUACGUUAAAGAACACUUACGACUUUACGAAAUUGAAUUCCGGUGAAUAGAACUCCCGAAGUCGAUCUUAGCGUGAAUGAAUAGUUUCUGACUGUCAUUGGUUGAACGUGUGUUGUGAAAUGGGGGUCUUGAAAUUAUUAAAUUUGAUCACUAGUUCCGUGCAAGCCGCUACGAUAAAUUUUUUCCGCAAACCCAAAAUAUGCUUGGUUAUGCAGUUUACAAACUUGAGAGCUAAAGAAUGCCCAUGUGUUCUCUUGACAAUUUUUCACCAUACUUGAGGCGAAAGUUAAGAUUUUCGCUCUCCAAAUCCGUUUUUCGAUCCGUAGAACGUAAUAUGGUGGUUAAUUAUCGACUGGGGGGAGGUGAUCUAGAAUUUAUGGUGUAAAUAUCCCUAAAGGGAGUAUGAGGAUCAAGGGUUUGAUAUAGGGUUGAUAGAAUUGUUGGCAAUUCGGGUAAUCAGUUAUUGUUUAUUGAUUUUUGUGUAAAAGUUAAUUGUUUGUAGACCAAGAACAAGCAGAACAAAUCCGGAAAGAGAAGAAUCAACUUUCUUAGGGAAUUCAAGCUUGUUUCGAGGUAGAUGAUAGUUGUGAUAUAUUUUUGUUCUUGCUUCAUUAUAAUAUGUGUAUGUAUGCUAAUGUUGCAUUAUCGAUCACACUAGUUGUAAAUGAGAUAGAUGAAUGUGAAUACCAUGAAUCAUGACUUAAUCGUAUGAUUUGAGAAUAUACUUGUUCAUGUGAUUGUGCCUUGUUGAAUGGAUCGAUUGUUGUGUUCCGACACACUAACUUCGAUCGAUUGUCACGUUUCGACAUAAAAAUUGGAUCGGGUAUCAUAUUUUGGUAUGUUAACAGUUUGAAUUUGAGUUCCGUGAGAGAAUUAAUGACUUGACAUAAUUGUGUAUCUUGAGAAAUAUGAAAUUGCACGUUGUUCGUAAAUGGAGAUGAUAUUGUAUAUGUGCAGUGUAUAUAUGCAUGUUACUAUUAUGUUGUAUUAAAUUAUGUAUGUUGCACUUAGUGGGAUAGUCACGUGAUCCUAUCAGUACACUGUGGUUGUGCACUGAUACUACACUUGCUCUUUCUUUGUUGAGUACAGGGCACCUUCAGGCGGCUAUUGACAAACCUCACUUAGUAGAUCAGUGACCAAUCGAAAUCAAGGGUGAGCCAGUUCUUUUAGACUGUCAUGAGUUCUUUUUCUAUUUGAUCUAUCUCAUUCGGACUUAGACUAGUUCAUUAGAUAUUCUGAUGUUUAGUUGGGUUGCAUCAAUUUUCCUUUAUACUUUGUUUGGAUCAUUGUUAACCAUUGUUUCAUAAUGUAUUGUAUUGUAUUUUAAUCUAUUUUAAUGUAUUGUAUGGUAGAUACAAUGUUUGAGUAGACUGUAUUGUUUGUUGUUGUUUAAUAACAUUUUAGUUGUUUGGUUUGAUCAUGUCAUACUGUAUUGUCCUUUAUAAGUUUAUUAAAAUGUCCUUAAUUAUUCUAGGGUAGGAGGUUUGACUAGAUUUAAAUAAUUAAGGUAAAGGGUGAAAUUGUAUUUUAAAAUACGGAAAAGGGUCUAAAAUACCCUCAAAGUAUUCGAAAUGGUACAAAAUUACCCUCCAUCCACCUACUGGCUCCAAAAUACCCUUCCCACCCACCUAUUGGGUCCAAAAUACCUUUGUCAUCCACCUUUUGGUUCAAAAUUUACCACUUAUUUAACGAUUUUAUAUUUAAACUAUUUAAAUCUUUUUUUUUAAAUACGUGGAGCUCAACUAUUUGUUUUAAUUUAACUUAUUAGUAUAAUUUGUAAAUCAAUUCAUUACCCAUCCAUUACUAAUUAAACUCUCCAAAUUAAUAAAUGUAAAAAUUUAAGGAAUCUUAUAGUGUAAUUCAAUAAUUACACUCUGUCCCGACAAAUUUAGUAUUUACUAAAAUCCCUUAAAAUUUUUGUGCCGUGAUACUUUAGACUCUAGUGAUACAUGGUAAAUGAUACAUGGUAAAUUUAAACUGUUAAGAAAAAAAUAGGGAAAAAACGGUACAUUUAAACUUGUUAACUAAAAUAGCUUAAUUUACGGUAACAGAUCAUUAAUCAACAUUAAAUUAGCACGUAAUUGAAUAAAUUUCAAAUUUUGAAAAUCAAAGAUUAUAUCAUCUAUUUUCAAUACAAUUUUCAAAACCGCAUGAUACAUAGAAAACAUUAUGAUACACAACAAAUUCAUGUGUCAAUGCAUCGUCUAAAACACUAUACACACUGAUUCAAAAUGUAUCAGCAAGCACACUUGAUGGAUUCAAAAUGUAUCAAUGCAUCAUCUAAUACACUAUACACACUUGAUGGAUUCAAAAUGUAUCAGCAAGCACACUUGAUGGCGCAGUUAUUGAAAUUAAUCACUGAUACAUGAUAAAAAAUUUCAAAAACCCUUGAUACAUAGAAAAUCAUAUGAUACACAUCUAAUUCAUGUAUCAAAUCAUAGACUAAACAUUAUAAUCCACUUAGUACUUAUGUAUUAAACCUAUUGUCUGAUACAUGAUAAUAAUUUUCAUAAUUUUUUGAUACAUAUUGGAUUCCUUAAAAUUUUUACUAAUUUCAACAACAAUUUUAAAAUAAGUAUAAAAAUACAAACCCAAAACAAUGUAGGCCUGACAACAAUGUUUGCUGCUUCUUUUUUCUUUUUUUGUUGUAUUUUGAUAAACUUUGAUUUUGAUGUUUCGCCAGAGUCUUUGUUUGAAUCCUUCUGAAGAUUCAUAGGAUCAUGCAAAGACUUUUUUCUAUUUUCUUUCCAAUUUUCAUCGUCGGAAUCAUAUAUCCUUCUAUUGAUUAACGGAUCCAUUACUAUGAUGUAAUAGAACAAUUAACCAAAACAAAAAAAGGAAGAAAAGAAGAACUAAUAAUGGAGUAAUAAGAAAAAGAAGAAACCAAUAACAGAUGUUGGGUUAAGAAGAAGAAAGACGAUGAUGGAGUAAGAAAAACUGAAGACGUGAUGGAGUAAGAAGAACAAUAAGAACGGGAGAGAAAUUGUCCAGUUUUUUGAAAUUUCAAAUUUUUUGAAUUUUGAAAUUCAAAAUUUCAAAAUUGGAUGAACAAAAUUAUUCGGCGAAGAUUAGCAAUGAAAAGAAAAUACAUCACUAUUGUCCCAAAUACAACACAACAAUGUUAUAACUUAUAAAAUAUUACAUAUAUAACAAAACACAAGAUUUAUUUCAAUUGCAAAAUUUUACAAGUCGAAACUAUUAAAUUUGUCUUUCGCCACUAUAGUGUAUAUUACUCUCCAUAUGCUAAAAAUUGGGAAUAAUUUCAGAUUCAAUAAGUAGGAUUCUUUUUUUAACAUUAAUGACAAAAAGGAACAAAUUGAUUUUUCAAAGAGUUCAAAACUAUAAACAAAUAUAUACAAUUUAAAACUCUUUCAUAGAGAAAAAUUAAGAAGAAAAAUUGGGAUCGUCUGUGAUAAUUGGGUCGGCAUCGACUCGAUUUUCAGCAAAAUCAUCAACUUGGAUUUGAUCAAGCACAAGUACUAAUCCCAUGGCAAAGGCACAAUCAAAUCCAGGCUUUAUUGAGAGAGAGAGAGAACGUCUUUUCCAAGCACCACAUGAGCACAAGCAUCCAAUUUUCAGAAAUUUCAAAUUUUUUGAAUUUUAAAAUUCAAAAUUUCAUAUUAAAUAUUGUGAAUCAUUUUUAAUUAAAAUUAAUAAUUCAAAAUUCAAAAAGUGAUUCAGAAGAUUGAGUGUUUUAGUGGAGAAAAAAUAGGCAUGAUAUGGGGAAGUGUGUGUUAUAGGAGAGAGAAGACUAUGUAUCUCUAAACUUCUACUAAAAUUAAAAAAAAGGGAAUUAUGUAAUAUUCAAAAAAAAGAAGGGAAAAUUAGAGAAUACUAAACUUAUAGUUGUGUAUUUAAGUUAUUUUUCCUUAAUAAAUCACUCACAUUAUUAAUGCAACAAGAGAAAAACUACUGCCAAUUGAGUGUUUUUAAAAAUUUGAGACGAAAAUAUCUAUAGGAGUAAAUUAUCAUACAUUCAAGUGUCUAAAUAAAAAUUAUCAAUAAACUUAAAAGUCUCACUAUGUUCAUCUUAAUUAUUCUUACGUCUCAAUUAUGUGAUGUUACUUAAUAGGUAAUUUUUUUUCAAAUUAAUAUAUUAAAAGUUUUUAAAAAAAUCAUUAAUAUUUAUAAAAUUAUAUUUUUAAAAGUGCAUGAAUUAAUUCGGGGUGUAUCACUUCUUUACCUUUAAUAAAAAAUUUCUAAUUCAAUCUUGAAGGAGAAACAAAUUGAAAGUGUCCUCCUAAAUAAGCGGCUCAACAUAAAUUUAAUUGGGGCUUCGAUUCGAACUCGAAUAAUUUUGGAUUUCAUUUUCAUUAAUCUAUAAUUUCAUCGUGUUGUAGUAGUGUUUAUGACGAUUUUGAUAUUAUAGUUGGAUUAUUAAUUGGGUGGGGUUUAGUUAGUAAUGGGUGGGUUGGUUUAUAGAUAAUAUAAAUAAAUUAAAUUAUAACCAAUAGUUGAACAUCAAGUAUUUUAAAAAUAUUUAAAUAGUUUAAAUUUAAAAUUAUUAAAUAAUUGGUCAAUUUGAACUCAAAGGUGGAUGACAAGGGUAUUUUGGAGCCUAUAGGUGGAUGAAAAGGGCAUUUUGGAGCCAAUAGGUGGAUGAAGGGUAAUUUUGUACCAUUUUCAAUGCUUCAAGGGUAUUUUAGACCCUUUUCCAUUUAAAAUAUUAUGUAAAGAUAUAAUUGUAAAAAGAAAUUAAGUAACAAUUGGAACACACAAAUUGGUUGUUCCAUAAAAUAAGGGGUUUCAUUGUUAUGUAACAACAAAAUUUAACAAUACAGUACAAUACAUUUUAAUUAACAAUUAAAACAAACAUUGUAGGUAUAAUAACGAUACAAUACAAUACAAUAGAUAACAAUGAUUCAAACAUAGUGUUAGGCUUUUGGUUCAUUUUUAAAGUUUUGGUACAUUGACUUUCAGGUUCUAGGCGUUAUUUCCGCAAUAUUAGUUUGGUUGUUAGACUUCUGUUGGAGUUUAUGGGAACUCCCUAUAUUUUCAUAAGUAUUUAAACUUGCUUCUAUAUCUUUACAUGCUUCAUUUCGUAUUAAUUAAGUAGUAUUAAUGAUUCUCUCAUUGGAGGAUUAGAAUGUGUGUCAGUCAGAAUGGUACGAAUUGUAACAAUUUUAGUUAUUGUCUCUCAAUCACUUUAACAUUGAAACAAAAAAAAUAUUUAAUAUAAUGACAUGAUUUUAGUAAUAUAUCAUGAGUUUAUGAAAUCUAUUUGAUGCGUCAUUUAAAACAUAUGUACUUUUAAAAAAAAUAUGUGUGAACUAGAUUCUAGCGUGAAGUAACCUAUAAAAAAAACUCUAAUGUAUCUUAAGGUAUUAAGAACCUGAAUUAGGUUUGUUUGUAGAGUUUCAUCUUAAAUUUAGUAAAUUGUCAAAGAAGUAGCUAGUGAUUUUUUUAAUCAAGAUUGUGAGUAUAAUUUUACGUAUUUAAUUGAUUCCUCUCUAGUUUUAUUUUAAUGAUUUGAGGGUCAUCAUUAGCAGUAUAUUUUUCGAAUGUAGAAUAAAUUUGAUACCUAUGUUAUACUUUUUAAUUAUUGACUCCCGAUUACUUUAACAUUGAGAAACACAAUAUUUAAUAUAUUGACUUGAUUUUUAUGAAUAUUCUAUGAUUUUAUGACUCCUUUUAUCUAUCCUCAAUAAAUAAAAUAUUUACUCUUUUUAAUUGUGUGAGCUAGGAUUUGCCUCGAAGUAGCCUCCAAGAAACUCUCACAUAUCUUAAAAGUUUUAAAAACCUCAAUUGGGUAAGUUUGUAAAGAUUCAUCCUAAUUUUAGUUAGUGGAAAAUUAGAAUAUUUUUGAGAAAAUUAUGCGGUUGAGUAAAUUUAGUAUAUCUUGCAUAAGAAAAAUGAGUGAUUUUUUUAUAAAUUUUUGAAAAAUUAUGCGGUUAAGUGAAUUUAUACUAUAUAAUCAGUUAUUAUAGUUAUAAUUUGCUACAAUUAUCAUUCGCGAUUAAUAUUAACUAUCAAUUAUGUAAGUUGAGUUUGAGUUUAUAUAAUAAAUCAUGUAUGUGUAAUUCAUUAUAUUUGUAUAAUUUAGAACUAACAAUUCUUUGUUUGAUUUAUAUUUGUAUACGACGGGUUGUUUUUGUAUAUGACGAUGAUUUAUUUAUGCUUUUCAUGAGUUUUAUCACCAUAUAUAUUCAAUCUUUUUGUUGUUUAACUUUUUAAAAUUUCUAUAAAGGUGUAGUUUCUGAAUUUUGUAUAACAUAAUUUAUAUAAUGUAAUUUGUAUAUUAUGAUUUGUAUAACUACUUAAAGUUCAUAUGUAUAUGUUUGAUCACUUCGUUAUUUUGUAUUUUAUCGUACUUGUAUAAUUUCAUAUUUUGUAUUACUCAAUUAUACAAAUACACGAAUUAUACAAAUGAGAUGCAAAUCAUAAAAAUUAUUUCCCUCUCUCCUCCCUCUUCCAUUCUCGAUUAAGUUAUUUUGAGUAGAUAUAUGUGAAACUUUUCCUAUAUUUUUUGAUUAAAAAAGGUUUCCCCAUAUUGAGAUUUUAAAAAAAUAUAUAUAUUUAUUAAUAGGGGUGUUCGCGGUUCGAUUUGAAUCAGUUAUUGAUAAAAUCAAAACCAAACCUAUUUAAUCAAAUUUUUUUAAAUUUGUAAAAUCAAUCCAAAUGAAAAAAAUAACAUUUGAUUUGGUUAUUGUGAUUUAGUUUUGUUUAGUUUAGUUUUUUUCCCGAUUCGAAAGUAAUAAAAUUUUUGAGAACAUAUGUAUCUCGAUAGAUACAAAUACCUAAUAGAUGAACAAUCUACAAGAAAACUAUUGUCAGUUCAAUUAAACAAUCAAGCAAUGCUAGAAUUUGUCACGACCCAAAACGAGCCGCGAGUGGCACCCACACUUAUCCUCCUAUGUGAGCGAACCAACAAAUCUAAACCCCAACAUCUACCAAUAUUUCAACCAUAGUGAACAAAAUAUAAUGCGGAAGACUCAAAACUCAUUAACGAAAAUCAAUUAAAUAACUUCUAAAACUCAAUACUUAUUAUUCCCAAAAUCUGGAAGUCAUCACAUCAAGAACAUCUAUCCUCAAAUUUCUAAAUCUAAGAGUAUUAAGAAGAUAAAAUAAGUAAAAGGAUGGUCCAUGUCCGAACUUCAAGACAUCAAGACGCGAAGGAGAGAAUCCAGCACGAGCUAGGAACAAUAGCUCACCCUGAAUUCUGAUAUGCUGGAGACUGGCUAGAGUUAAGGGCGAGUCGAAGUCGAUGGCACACUUGCUGCACUCCACAAAAUAACAAAGAAGAAAAUGCAAGUAGGGGUCAGUACAAGGAACAAGUACUGAGUAGGUAUCAUCUGCCAACUCAGAAUAGAAAGCAAUAUAUAUUGAAUAAUAAUAUAAAAUCAAUCAUAGUACUUAACAGGUGACAAUCAACAAGUACAAUAACCAUUGGCAACAACACCAAGCAUACCCUUGAGGACUCAAACCUCCACACCAUAUUCAUUUGGGGAAAAAGGUUCUUCGAAUUGAGUAUAUUAACAUAAUUCAAAAAUUACUUCUCUUCAUUAUUAUCAUGUCGGCACGUGACACUCCGAUCCCCUAAUUCUACGUGUCGGAACGUGACACCCGAUCCCUUAAUGCUACAUGUCGGAAAGUGACACCCGAUCCCUUAAUACUACGUGUCGGAACGUGACACUCCGAUCCCCUAAUUCUACGUGUCGGAACGUGACACCCGAUCCAUUUAUCUCAUUACUUUAGUUCAUCAAGCCUUCUUUAUGUCAAGGCAUCAUCUUAAUGGAGAGGGCUCAGUUUAAAGAUUACCACAAUCACAACAUACAAACACACAAUCAAGCAUAUAGAAGACUUUACAAUACUACCCAACACAUAUCGAUCGCUAUUUUGAGUUUAUCUAUCAGAUAGAAACAAACCAUAACGUACCUCCACCGAAGAAUCGUGAUCAAACAAGCUACUUCCCAAUGCCUUUGCUUUCCUCUUCGCUUCUCCCUUUUCUCGCUCGUUCUCCCUCUCUCUGUUCUUUUUAUUUUUCCUCUCCAAAUUCUUUUUCUUUUACCCUAGUUAUCAUAUAAUUCAUUAUGACAAAAAUAACCCAUUAUUUAUUUCAAGGUUAUCUCCUUUAACCCCCAAGUAAAUAAAUUAUUAAACUUACCCCACUAAUUUCAUAAAGUUUGUCAUGAAUGGUCCAAAACACACCUUUAAAACGUUUAGCAGAAAUCCGACCCAGUCAAGGUUAUGCAACUCGUGACGGUCCGUCGUAUCUAUGACGGACCGUCCUGCAGAUCCGUCACAAAGUUCAGAGACUCAAAUUCAGUAAAGAGGUUUGUGACGGUCCGUCGUAUCUUCGACGGUCCGUGCUGCAAUUUCGUCGCGAAGUUCAGAGAGUUGAUCCCAGUACCCAGAUUUUUGAGUUGAAGUGUUUUGGAACGGAAACUCUCGACGGAACGUUGUGCAUAUGACGGUUCGUCCUACCUGUCGUCGAGGGCAAUGAGGAGAGCAACAGAAGAAUUUACACAAGUGUGGGAUGACGGAGUCCAUGACGGUCCGUCGUGACCAUGAUGGUCCGUCGUGACCAUGACGGUCCGUCGUGACCAUGACGGUCCGUCGUGUGAUCCGUUGACCCAGUCAGUUUUUAUCAAAAAUAGUUUUACUACUCGAACUGACUAAACAGGUCGUUACAGAAUUAUUGUUACACGAACAAAGUUGAAUCAAGUAAGAGAAAAUGUGAUUAUUCUAUGUGAGGUAGGGUUAAGUAAAGACUGAAGUAAUGGAUUUUGAUGGACUUGGACUAAGGAUUGUAAUAGUUGAUUUAAAAGUGAAGUGUUUGACUUGAGAAAAUGAUAAAGUUAGACUUAAAUUGAUUGAUAUUUAACAAAAUAUUUAUAUUUUAUUUAUGAAUUAUAUAUAAAUAAUUAUAAAAUUUAUAUUUUGAUUCAAUCAUUUUUACGAUUAAUUUUUUUAGUAAAAUCAAAAUCAAAAUCAAAUAUAUUUUUAAUCGAUUCAAUUCAAAUUAUAAUUUAAUUUAAUUUCUUUUAACAAUAACCAUGAAUAACCCUAGUUAUUAAUGUCUCUAUUUAUUUUAUGGUCCCAUUUUAAGGUGGUUGCUUUAAUUUUUGUUUGAAAAAAAUUGGUUCUUUUUAACAAGUUGUUGGCAUAAGUGGUUCUACUUCUUUCUGUCUUAGCUAAGUUAUUAAUAUGUUGGAAUGUGUGCAAUUAAAGUUGUCACAAUUUAAACCAUUAUUAAUUUAAGAGUCUGGUCGAUAUUAUUGUUGGAGGAUUAAAAAUAUUUAUGUUUUUACAAAAAUAUUUUUGUUAAAAAAUAAAACAUUUGGCAAACUAGUAAAAAUAGUUUUAAAUAAAAGCAAAAACAAUUUUUUUUUCUUGUUAUUGAAAAGAAGCUAAAAACUUCUAUUGUUUUUUUUUAAAAAAAGGCAGAAUCAUAAACAGAAAAUUAGUUCUCUCGAUACGAAAACAUCCUUUUCAUCUAAACAUAUACUUACAAAUAUAUCUUUCUUUUAAUUACUUUGCAUUGGUCAAAUUCAUUUAAGAAUCUUUUUAAAUUAUGCUUAUAUAAUAAAUUUUAUAAUUUAUUUAUGUUUAUAUGUUAUAUAUUAUUAAUGUAUUAUUUGCAUAAUUAGAAAAAAAGUAUUAACAAUAUUUUUGCAAGAUUAGAAAAAUGAAAAAAAUAACAAUUAAAGAUUAAGUCUCUUAAAAAAUCUAUAAUAUUGAUCAAAAAUUUAAAAAUAUUCAUUUCAAUUUAAUAAAAAAAUUGUAAGUAAUCUUUUAGUAAUAGAUUUUUAAAAUAGUUAUUCUCGAUAAAAUAGUUUUAAUAUUAAAAGUACAUUAAUAGUUAUAUUUUUGUAAUUUGACUUUCAAAAGCACUUUUCAAAAAUAUUUGUCAAAGACAGUUUGCUUAUGAAAAGUACUUCUCAAAUAAAUCAGUCAAACAUAAAUUAUUAUUUUUUAAAAGCAUUUUUAAAAAAAAACAUUUUUCAAAAGUACUUCUAAAAUAAGCUAAUUUUAAUUAGACAUGCUCUAAGAAUCUAAGGUUGUUGUGUUGGGCAAAUACAAGUAAUACUAAAUAGAAGGUAUUAGUAAUGCUUGCAUUAAUUAUACAUAAAUUAUUUUUUAUUCAUUAUUUUAUUUGAUGUAUUAAAAUUAACAUGCAUUAUAUAAAAAUAUUUAUUUACAAAGAUGGCCUUCACAAUUGUGGUAGAAAAGAUGUAAAACAGUUUUUGAGGGGCAAUGAGAUUUUUAACAAUGCUAAUGCAUGCAUCAAAUACCUUUGCAUAAGUAAUACCUAGAAAUCUAUGAUUUCAGUAAUACACACCUUAAUACAUUAUAUAGAGUAUAUAAUUAAUCUAUAGAAUUAAAAAGUGUAUCAAAUAAAUUACUAUUAAACACAGAGUUGAUGCAUGCAUUAUUGUUAAUACGCUCUACCAAAAGAUUCCUUAAUAUUUUUUGUAACCUAAAAUCAUUCGAUAUUCAUUUCCUCAAUUAUUUAAUUUGUCAUCAUAUAUAUAAGGUUGAUUAGCAAGAUUUGUUUAAAAGAAUUUUUCUUCUUCUCGAGACUCGUAUUUAAGGCCCCUUAGUAAAGAAGAAUGAAUCCGAUAUGAUUAAUAUUUAAUUUUAUGUCGCGUUAGGCGAUUUAAAAAGGAAACGUUCCUUAUUCAAAAUUUCUCAUUCUCAAAAUUCAUAUUCGGGCAUCUAAUAAUUAAAAAUUGAUGAAUCUUAUCCAUCUUAUCAUAAACGGGGAAAAUUAAAGCUACCUAACCUUCUUAGGCAUUUGGUCCUAAAUAUUGAUGUCGUAUAGUACAAAUACCUAAACCUAUUUGUCCUUUAAUUCGAAAAUUUUAUAUUUAUUUACUUAAUAUUUCUCUAGCCAACUAAAAAUAAUUCCUGAUUUUUAGAAAGUUAAUAUCACAAAAUAAUACUAUAAGCGUACAUUGAGUAAUAAAUGUUUUCAUGAUUUUUUUCAGAAUUAAAUGUCAUAAGCCUAAGUUAAGUGGUUGUUGGAACAAUGAUAUGAAAAUGAAAAGAUUUACCUAAUUUUUUUCUCAAAAAUAACUUCUUUUUUUUAAGAAAAUUAUUUUACAUGGUACCAAAUAUUUUUUUAUAUGAGACUAUAUAGAAAAUACACUAUAUUGAAUUAAGCAGGCAACAAGUUAUUGUAAUUAAUUAAUAUUCAUUGUUAUAAUUAGUUAUGAAUUUAAUAGGUUUUCUGCAAUUUAGAUAUUGGUUCACGUGCUUGCCCAGUAUUUUCUGAUUUUGUAUGUGAUAUCUAUAUCGAAUUAAAUACGUUUAGUUUUCAAUUAAUAUGUGUACUUGUGAGUUGUGAUCAAUGCCCUAAAUUAAAAAAAAAAAAAUAUUGGUUGUCUAAUUAUCAAUGGUUUAUGUAAAUAUAUAAAUUUGUGUUGUUAUCACUCUAUUAAUUAUGAAAUGUCUUGAUCAAAUUACUAGUGAUAUGAUCGAUGUAAGAUCGAUGAUAGUAAAGUUUAAUAUAUAUGUCCUUUAUCAGUUUUACCAAUCAUAUGGUUUCCUUUAUCAUCGAUUAAUACAUGAGUAUGUGUUGUAGAAAUCUCACGUAUAGAAUGAAAAAUCAAUGACUGCGUUAAUGAUUAAAAUUGUUAAGUACAUAAUUUUUGAAUUCGGCUCCUCUCUAUUUCUCUUCUCUCCAUUUUCUCCAAGUUCCUACUUAGAUGUAUGAUACUUGUAUUAUUUAAAUAUCAAUGGUGCAUAUUUUUAAUUAAUCAAAUAUCUUAAUCAGGAUUAGAAGAAUAUAUAUUACCAUUUAAAUCUAUCUAAUUAUUGCUAUAAAAAACAUCUCACAAUUUCUGUUUUAUAUAUUAUAUAUUAGGGAUGUUAAAAAUGAACCCAAACAUAGAUAAUCUGUCCAAAAUUUCAAGGGUUGAGCUCAAAAUAAUUUGAAUUGGGUUCAAUAUAAACUCAUUCAACCCUAACCCGUUUUAGGAGCAUUCUCAAUUGAGUUUAAUUCAAUCUCCAGUUUUAAAAUUCUUUACUAAGUUAUGUUCCUAUAUUAAAUGUAUGAAUUAUUAUAUGUUUAACAUCUUUUAGAAUUUAUCUAUCAAUUUGUUACUUUUUUAUAAAAAAAAAACUUGAGUUGAAAUUCACAUUGUGAUUAUAAAAGUUAAAUAUCAGUUUAUUAAAAUUAUUGAGAUUAAUCGGGUCGAAUUGGAUGGGUCAAGAUCCAACCCGUUUUUAGCCCAUUUGAGCCCAACGUAAACUUGGGCAGAUCAAGACCCAAUCCAAUUUCUAUUUCAACCCAUUUUAAUAAUAAUAGUUUCAACCCAACCCGUCCAUUUGACACCUCAUAUAUUUAUAGAUAUAGAUAUAGAUAGAUAGAUAGAUAGAUAGAUAGAGAGGGAGAGAGAGAGGGAGGGAGAGAGAGAGAGAGAACCAAUUCCCUAAUUAAGUAACUAAAGGGCUAUGACUUUCACAUUGUAGACAUUGAAAUUUUAUAAGACUACACAGUCUACAGAACUUGUUCAAUUUGAAUUGGAACUUUUCAAGGUGUGUUUAAUUUUACUAAGGAUUCUUGGAGGUUAUUCAAUCCUAAACCCUAGUACAUGUCUAUAUAAAAGGUAUUAUCUUCCCUUGAAAGGCAUCUCAAAAAUUCUAUAAAGGGAUCGAAAUCUCAAAAAUUGCACCAUAAAUUCAUGGAAUAUUCAUAAAGAGAUCAAAUCCAAAUCAUCUUAAUUUAAAAAAUACGCUACUAACGGCCCACAAAUUAUGAAAAUCAAGUUAAACCAUGACAAAUUGAGAAAUACACAAUUAACGACCCUCAAAUUAUAAAAAUAAGUCCAAAAUGAUUCAAGUUAGAAAAAUACGUAAUUAACGAUCCUUUUAUGAGAUAAAUUAUAUUUUUUCAUAUUUUAUUUAUGAUUGUAAUUUCUUUUUCUGUCACUCUAUAAAAUUUGUUGCAAAUAAUCAUUGAAAGUAAAUGAAAUAUUAUCUCCAACUAAUUAAUAUUUCGAACCCUAACUAAUUUGAAUUCGACCCAACAAUCCCAUUAAAUAACAGUAAAUUUUGUCGUUCUUUUUGCAGUGGGGCUAUAUAAACUAUUAUACAGUGAAUCUUGCUUUAUCUGGAAAUUUCUGAACAUAAAUAUUAUUACUGUAGAUUUCAGUUUACAUAAUAUUAAUGUUUUUGGUAUAAAUAUGUUAGCAUAUUAUUCCUGAAUCAUAAUCAUUAGCAUAAAAUAAAAUAAAUUAAUGUAUAUCAGCUACAUACUAUUUUAACAUAUUAUACUCCCUCUGUUUAAAAAAAAUAAUCUCAUAUUUUUUAGUAUGUUUUAAAAAGAAUGAUUUUUUUUUGUAACAUUUUAAUUUUAGCUUCGCAAUGACAUGUUUAAGGCCACAAGAUCAAAGGACAAAUUUAUACAUUUGACUUAACUUUAAUUUAGGACCACAAAAUUUAAAAAUCUUCUUUAUACAUUUAAACUCCAUAUCAAGUUAAAUCAGGUUAUUCUUUAUAAAACAGAAAGAGUAAUUAUUUAUGAAUUCAAUAGGUUUUCUGCCAUCUGAGCACUGUUUCUGCAUGCAUGCAAUACUUGAAGAAUUAAUUGAUCAUUUAUUUCAUUUGAUAACCUAUAGUGAUCUCAUGUAUAUUUAUGAUAUCUUUUGUAUCAUGAAAUCUGAUUAAACAUAUUUAAUUAGACGUGCACUUGUUAGCCUUUUGCUUAUGAACAUCAUAAAUUAUUAGUGGUUUAAAAUUGUACAUGUCAAAAAUAAAUAUUGAAUAUCAAAUGAAAAUAUAUAAAAAAAAAUGGAUGAAUAUUGAAUAUCGAAUGAAAAUAUAAAAAAAGGAGGAUAUAAUAACCUCAUUUAGAGAGGUAUAAAAUCAUAUAAUGAGAAUCAAAUAAUUAGUUGAAUUGCAGAAAUCUAUUCAUGAUUCGUAUAGCUAUAUAAGAGUCAGAGCACCUUUUAUAAAAGUCUAGAAGAGAUGGGACAAAAUAUCUGAAUCAUUGUGCAAUAUUUUAAUCAAUAAUUGAUGGCAUCAUUAAAGUCGAUGAGCGUAAAUUAUAUCCUCCACCAGUUUUAUCACUCAUGAAAUUCCUCUAUAAAUAAACAUAUAUUUAUUUCUUAUUUCUCGCUUAAGGGUCGAUAUAUAUAUAUAUUUGUUUUUUAAAUCUCGAUUAAAUUCCAUUCAUUAAGGAGGGAGGGGAGAGGGGGGUGCUUUUUAUAAGUUUUUUUCCUUCUUAGAGCUUGAAUACGAAAUAUCAGGUGAAAAAUCAAAUAAAAACCUUAGCAAAUUGAAAUUGAAUGGUGUGUAUAUAUAUAUAUAUAUAUAUAUAUAUAUAUAUAUAAUCUCCACUUUCUAGGUAGAUCCUAACUUGCUUCAAACUUGAAGGCAGUAAAUUUUUUUGUUCUUUUUUGCAGUGAUACAUCACUUAACAACAUAAAUAUUUUCCUUUUUUGCAUAUGUAAAUAUUAUUUUUUUUACAGUGAAUCUCGCUUUAUCUGGAAAUUUCUGACCAUAAUCAAUACCGUAUAUUUUUUGUUACAUAAUAUUAAUGGUUUUGGUAUAUUCAAUAUGUAACCCAAUAUUCCUGAGUCAUAAUAAUAUAAGCUUACAUUUUCUUGAGGUAUUAAAUCUUGAAAUGUUAAAGAACCUAACAUAAAUUAUCAAUUGUUUGACAUUUUCAAUCAGAGAUUUUGGGUUCGAGUCAGCAUCAUAUCUUAAUAACUUUUAUUUUAUACUUUGUAUAAUUUUUUAUCAAAAAAAUUCAAAUGAAUCCCUUAAUUAAACUCUAGAUCCUUUUCUCGAUUCUGGUUCAAAGAAAGGUCAACACAAAGAUACCUACCCCAACCCCCACACUCACUAUAUCUAUAUAUGCGUCAAAUUAUUGAGUCUUUCAAAAGGGAUCCAUUUAGAAAUUUACAACAAAAGUUCGAUUGACUAAAAGAGAGCUUUAGAGGAAAAAGGAGGGGACAUUUAUAUAUAUCAAUAUACCAUAAAAAUAGUUUUUAACGAUAAUAAUAUGUACAUAAAUAAAUUAGAGGAUUAAAGUUCUUCUCGAUAUUAAUUAAUUGGUAUUAGAUCAAUGUCGCUAUAGGUUAGAGUGUUAUAAUUACCCUUGAAAAUAUAUAUAUGAAAAAAUUACAUAAAUUAAUACAUUUUAAAAAAUAAUUACUGAUUUCAGCAUACUUUUUGUUUAUUACCAUUUAUAGCAAUAUUGUGAUAAAUCUAUAAUAUGUAUUAAAAGUGAAUCAUGUAUGCAAUAUAUUUGAAUUAUAAUUGUUUUUUUAAAUGUAUUAUGUUUGUUUGGUAAAAAAUUAUCGCAUCGUAUUAUAAGUGUAUUAAAAUGUGUGAUAAAUGUAUUAUCCAUCAUUAAAACUUGUAUUAUAUGUGAAUAGUAAAUUGUUCUUUGUAAUAUGUAUUAAACUUGUAUUACAAAUGAAUUAAAAGUGGUCAAGUGAAAAAAAUAUUAUUGCUAUAAAUGGUAAAUAUUUUUUUAUUAUAAUAUAUUUAUGUAAGUUUCCCUCUAUAUAUUUUAGCGGCAAUUAAGUUAUUAUUAUUUAUUAAUUGCUGCUAAGAACUGAUUAUAUUAUCUUUUUUAUUUUUUUCUAAUAAUAUUCUUAUCAUUAAGUAAUUAUUUAAAGUAUGUAAUAGUAGCCAUACUCAAUUUUCAAAAAAGUGAUGUCGAAGUAAAAUAAAGAAAUAAAUGUCAAAAACACAUUUUAACUAUCCAUUUUUUUUAAGUUUCAUACUUAAACUAUUGAAAGUGUGAGUUUCAUACCUAAAUUAUCACUUUUUAGUUUGAAUAACACACCUCGGUGAUGUGUGUAAUGCACUCACUCUUUUAUUUAAAAAAACCUUGACACAAGCAUUCCACAUACAUAAAAUAUUUCAACUUGACAAAAAUUAAAUAAUAAACUAUUGAUAUUGAUUAAAAAUUAAAGAUUAAAGUAUUAUUAUCCGUAUAAAAAAUUAAAUUAUUUUUCUUAUUCCACUUCACCACCUCCUCCACGUAUUCCGUCUCCCCCCCCCCCCCCCCGAAAAAAAUGAUAUUAUUUUAUUUUUUUAAAAAAAUAAAAAUACUACCUCAUCCUAUUUAACCUUCGACUUCUACUUUUUAUUUUCUUAUUUACGCUUUUCUUAUUUUGUGUUAGAUAUGCACCUACAUAUUUUUUAGAAAAAAAUUCUAGUAGUGUAUCGAAUAUAAUACAAAUAACUAAAAAAAAAACUAUAAAAAUUCUGUGGCAGCAAGUAAAAUGUAUAUAUCUAAACAACUUAGAAAAAAAUUUGUAAGUGAAGGGUUAGGUUUAUUUUUAAUUGAAAAUAGUAAAAUAAUAUUUGAAUUAGAAUUUGAGCAGGAGCAGGAGGAUGAGAUGAAGUAAAAAAAAUUAAAUGCUUUUGUAAUUUUAUUUUUUAAAAAAAGUUAUAAAAUGGUGGGAGUGGGGAUAGGGCUGAGAGGAAGUGAUGGCGUAGGCAAAGAAAAAUAUUUUACAUUUUAUUUUAUAAAGAAAUUAUUAUUUUUUUUGAUAAUAAUUUUAAAUUUUAACUAAUAUUAAUAAUUUAUUUAAAUUUUUUCAAGGUUGAAUGUUUUGUCCAUGUGAAGUGUGAUGUUGAAAUUCUUUAAAAUAAAAGAGAGAGUGAAUUACAUACACUAUGAUGUGAAUGGUAUAAAAGAGAAAUUUAUAUUUUUUGAAGUAAAAACUGAUAAUAUAGAUAUGAAACUCAAAAAAUAAAAUAUAAUUUAAGUGUGUUUUUAAUACAGAUAUCUUAAAUAUAAAGAAAGAUGUAAUUAUGUCAAAAUAAUUUAAUUGUCAAAAUCAAAUGAUCCAUCAAGUCAUCUCCAGUAUAAUCUCAGUGGACCUAUGGCUAAUAUAAAAUCUUUGGUGGGAACCACUACUUGAUUUCCAUGUAUGACCAAAAAAAAUAUAGCUGUCUUUAUGUCACGAUCCAAAACAAGCUGUGAGUGGCACCCACACUUAUCCUAUUAUGUGAGCGAACCAACCAAUCUAAACCCAACAUUUCAACCAUAAUAAACAGAAUAUAAUGCGGAAGACUUAAAACUCAUUAACGAAAUCAAUUAAAUAACUUCUAAAGUUUAUCAAUUACUAUCCCCAAAACCUGGAAGUCAUCAUCACAAGAACAUCUAUCCUCAAAUUACUAAAUCUAAGAAUAUCUAAGAAGCUAAAAUAAGUAAAAGAGAUGGUCCAUGUCCGAACUUCAAGACAUCAAGACGUGAAAGAAAGAAUCCAGUCCGAUCUAGGAACAAUAGCUCACCCUGAAAUCUGAUUAUGUUGAAGUCUGGCUAGAGUUGCGGUUGAGUCGAAGUCGAUGGCACGUUUGCUGCACUCCACAAAUAACAAAGAGGGAAAUAUACAAGUAGGGGUCGGUACAAGGCACAAGUACUGAGUAGGUAUCAUCGGCCAACUCAAAAUAGAAAGCAAUAUAUAUCAGAUAAUAACAUAAAAUCAACUACAAUACUCAACAGGUGGCAACAACAAGUACAAGAACCAUUGGCAACAACACCAAGCACACCUAUGAGGACUGAAGCCUCCACACCAUACUCAUUUGGGAAAAAAGGUUCUUUAAGUUUGAGUAUAUUAAGAUAAUUCAAGAUUCAUUCUCUUCAUUCCUCUUGUGUCGGAACGUGACACUCCGAUCCCCUAAUACUACGUGUCGGUUCGUGACACCCGAUCCCCUAAUACUACGUGUCGGUUCGUGACACCCGAUCCUCUAAUACUAUGUGUUGGUUCGUGACACCCGAUCCACUAAUACUAUGUGUCGGUUCGUGACACCCGAUCCCCUAAUACUAUGUGUCGGUUCGUGACACCCGAUCCACUAAUAAUAUGUGUCGGUUUGUGACACCCGAUCCUCUAAUUCUAUGUGUCGGUUCGUGACACCCGAUCCACUAAUACUAUGUGUCGAUUCGUGACACCCGAUCCCCUAAUACUAUGUGUCAGUUCGUGACACCCGAUCCAUUAACCUCAUUCUUUUAGUUCAUCAAGCCUUCUUUUAUACCAAGGCAUCAUCAUUAACAAAGAGGUUUUAAGGUUUAAGAUUCAACAGUCUCAUCAUGCUAAUUCAUCACAAUUACAUAAUCACAUCAUGCAAGCACACAAUUAAGCAUAUAGAAGACUUUACAAUACUACCCAAUACAUAUCAUUCGCUAUUAAGAGUUUACUAUGAAAUAGCAUAAACCAUAACCUACCUCCACCGAAGAAUUCGCGAUCACGCAAGCUACUCCUCAAGGUCUUUGCUUUCCUCUUCGUUCUCUCUUCUCUCGCUCGUUCGUCCCUUCUUUUCUGUUCUUUCUAUUUUCCUUAUUCAAACUCUUUUUCUUUUACCCUAAUUACCAUAUAAUUAAGUAUAAAAGAUGGUAAAAGUAACCCACUAUUUAAUUCAAGGUUAUCUUCUUUAACCCCCAAGUAAUUGAAUUAUUAACAUUAAACCACUAACUUUAUAAUUAUAAGCAGGAAUAGUCCAAAACGCCCCUUAAAACUUUUAACAGAAAUCCAACUCAGUCAAUUUUACGCAGCAGCCUGUGACGACCCGUCGUGCCUGUGACGGUUCGUCCUGCUGCUUCCGUCACAAAGUUCAGAGAGUCGAAUUACAUUCAAGACUCUGUGACGGUCCAUCGUGCCUACGAAGGUCCGUCCUGCCAUGUCGUUGCGAAGUUCAGAGAGUUGUUCUCAGUACCCAAAUUUCCAAAAUCUAAGUGUUUUGGAACGGCACCCCCUCGACGGUCCGUCGUGCCCAUGACGAUCCGUCGUGGGAUCCGUCGACCCAGACAGUUAUUACCAGAAAUAAACUAUUCUGCUCAAAACGACUAACAGGUCGUUACACUUUAUCUAAUGAUAUGAAUAUUUAUAUUUAACAAUAAAAUAAUAUAGCACCAAAUAUAUUUUAGUCAUGUUAAUCUUAGUUUGAAUCCAUUAAAAAAACAUUACUAGAAAAUAUUAAAUUAUGAUUUAAAUUAAAAUUUUGGUGACGUUAAAUGAUACUAGUCUAAUAUUUAGAAAAUAGAGAUAAAAUUUAAAUGAGAGCUUAAAAAUGGAACAAUUUGCGUGAUUAGCAUUUUUUUGUGUUCUCAUUUAAUGUUUCUUUCUUGUUUUAUAAUCAGACUAAUCUAUAUUUAUAUUAUAUAAUUUAAAAGUAAAAUACUUUUGCUGAUAAAAUUUUUAUUCUCAUAACUCAAACGUAAAAUGGAAUAAGUUAAUAUUAAACAAGUCAAUUAGAAAGUUGUGCACACAAUUUAAAUAAAUAAGGACAAAAGGUGCCUAUAUGUGUAAAGGCAAUAAACGUUUUUGUAAUUCAAGUAGACCCAUCCAUUGCAUGCAGCAUUUAAUUUGCUGCUACCUCUAUAAUUUAUAUUGAUGUGUACACUCCAUCAACAUUAAAUUAAAAAAAAUAAAAUUCUAACGAAUUCGAUAUUUGUAUUGAAUUUGAAUUUGAAUUUACAUUAUGACAUUUCAUAUUUUUGCUCGAAGAUGAAAGUCAGAUUAAGAGUAAAAGUAUGUUUAUCAAUAACUCCGUCAUAAUUCUGAUUAGUUAUACAUUAUCAAAUACCAUUUACCUUUUACUCUUCUUUAAGAUUCGAUUUGUCAAAAAAAAAAUUAAUUUACUUAUUUCAUUAUAAUUUAAAGCUUUUUAGUAAAACAUUUGGCUCGACCAUGCAGGCAAAUGGGAGACAUAGAAAUUAAAGAAACAAAAAAUAAUGAAAGUCUUUGGUGUGUCUUAGUAAUCCCAAUUCAUCACAAAAAGGGAAAAUAAUAAAUAUAUCUUCGAAUUGAUGUAAAUGAUAUGCAUAUACCUUUUGUUAUACUUUUGGGAUAAUGGUGAUUGGUGCUUCUGUUAUCAAGAAACGAGAAUAUAUAUGUCCUUCAGUCUAAGGAAAGACUAAAUAGGUACAGGUGACGCAAUCUCAUCAGUCGAUUCGUUGUUUAAUAAAUAUCGGAUAGGUAGAUAAAAUUAUAGCAAAUCCUUUAGUAUAAAAGAUAUAUAUGCUUUGAGGACAGAGACAUCAAUCUCUCAAAAGUAUGAUAAAAUGUAUCUAUAUUUACGAUAUUUUGAGGGUAUAUUUAUCUUUUUUUUCCCGAGAAAGACAAAUUUAAUGGAGGGGAGUUGGAAAUUGAUUAUGUUAUUAUUUCCUUUUUUAUUUAGUACACCUACUAUUGAUUGAUGGUACAAAAGUUCAUUUAUUGGCAAGUGAGAUUUCAUCGAGCGGAAAAAUGAAGAUUCAUAGGUACUUGUAACAUAUUAUUAAAAUUUAGUUUUAUUUAUUUUGUUUAAAAAAUGAAAAAAUAAUUUAUCAUUUUAGAUCUAUUUUUUCGUUAUUAUUAAAUAUUAUUUAUUUUUUAAUAUAUAAUUGGUUCAUAACUAAGAAUCAAAUAUGAACGAAUAAAAAUCAGUGUGCAGAAAAAUAGUGGCUUAACAUAUAAAUGUGUAACAUUGCAUAUAAUUUAUUUUUUUGGUAGAAGCAUAUGCUAUAAAUGUAAAUACAAAUAUGUAUGUAAAAGUAGCUAAUAAAUGGGAUUGUCUAUAUUUUAAUAUUGCAUUUUUAACAAAAUAAAAUAAAGUAUAAAGAACUUACUUAAAUUUAGCAACAUUUACGCAGCCAAAGUAUAUGUAUGAACAAACCUACCAAAAAUUAUCAUUGUAUAUUCAAUUCGAGAUCGUUAUAAUUAGGUAUAAAUUUUGAAUUCCAACUUUUUUUUUUUUUUUUUUUUGCCAUAGAAGCAUAAAUUUGGGAGACAACAUUGCGGGUUGCUUGGUAUAGAGAAAAAUAUUUUUGAUUUUUUUUUAUAUUUGAUUGAAUAAACGCUUUGAAAAAUAUUUUUUAAAUCAACUAAUUUUACUUAAAUUUUUUUAAAAAAAGACUUCUCUUAAAAAGUUGAGGAAAGCAUUUAACAAAACUUACCUCCGGCUUCUAUUUUUUUUAAAAAAUCAAUUUUUUUGUUGAAAUAAAAUAAUUUAAAGCUUUUUCUUACAAAAAUAUUUUCAACUUCCAUUUUUAAUUUUUUUCACCCACCCUCCCAGCCAGUCCCCCCCUACCCACCACAAAAAAAAAUUAAAUUUAUUUUUAAAAAAUAUUUCCAAUUAAUUCAAUUUUUUGUUUCUCAUCCGACCCCAACCCCCCGGUCAACCUCCCUACCAGCCCAUCCCCUCCCUCCAAAAAUAAUUAAAAUUUGUUUUUUAAAAAAAAAAUCAAUUUUCAGUUUUUGUUUUUCCACCCCAUCCCCCACCUUGUCCAAAAAAAAAGUUGCUUUUUCAAAAAUAUUUCAAAUUUUUAUUUUUUCACCCCAUUUCCUAAACCUCCCCUCUCCCGCCCAAUCAGACCCCCGCCCCUCAAAAAUUUUUUUAUCCCAUUUCACCCCUACCCCCUUUUCCCCCUCGUGGGCUCCACCCCCAAAUAAAUUUAAGUUUAUUUGUUAAAAAAAUAUUGUUAGCGUCAAUUCAAAAAUUAUUUUUUACUCUAGUAAAAUUAAAAGAUAUAUUCUCAAAAAUAUUUUCAUUCAUAAAUCAAACACACAAAAAAAAUCGAAAAUUAUUUUUUACUCAUCAACCAAACAUGAGAAAAUAAGUACAAAGUCUACUUAUUUCGAGAAAAACAUUUUCCUUCAUACCAAACACACCCUGCAUGUAAAAUAAUUUUGUAAAAUACCGGUGUGUUUCGUGUUUAAUAUGAAGAAAAAUAUUUUCUAAUUUUUUUAAAAAAAAUUUCUACAUUGAUCAUAUCCUCUUCAUUCCUUUGUACAUUUCAUCUCCGUCAUACCUUGUAACGUUCAUUUCCGCCACCCCCAUCCCCACCCCCCACUUCUACCUUCCAAUUUGUCUUAGGUUAUAUAUAUUACAAAUUUGAAUAGUUGUAUUUCAUAUCUACUGAACUCAAAAAAAUAAGUAAGAAAUUCACUUGUUAAAGAAAAGUCGAUGCAUUUAAGCUACCCUAAGUAUGAGCCCAGGAAGGACGGACCUCAAAGUAUUAUUGGACUCAACCUUAAUGAUCUACAUUCCUACAGAAAAUUAUUUUCAUAACCAUAAUAUUUUAAAUCACAUGAGAAUAACUUUACCGUUUAUAUUCUCUUUAGAAAUUUAUCAUAAAAUAUUUUCCUAAAUACCAAACACACCAAGUAUAGAAUGUGGUAUAGCUAAUAAAUAGCAUGGUGUCCUAUAGAAUAUUAGAUUUCAUAUUAAAAAUAGUAAAAGUAGAAGUAGGUGUGAAUUUAUAACAUUUUAGGUCCAAUAAGUGGGAAAUAUAUACAAGUCACCAUACAAGUAUUAAGCUUGGAAUGUGUGACAUUAAAAUUUGCUUGGCUUCCCAACUGCACAACAUAUAUAUAUAUAUAUAUAUAUAUAUAUAUAUAUAUAUAUAUAUAUAUAAUUUCUUAAUGGUAUUUGUUGAAAAUGACCUAUCUAUAUUGUCAAGUCUAUUGGUUACUUUAGGAGUAUUUAAUAUGGUCUGAAUUUAUUUUUUUCAUCAUGAUUCAUGUGAUUUUCAUAUUUCAUUUGAAAUUUUAUAAUUUGUAGUGAUGAUGAUGUUUUAUUUUAGCAAGCAAAAUAUUUGAUUAACUCGUUGGGAAAUUAAGAAAAAGUAUUUAUCGAUAUCUAAUAUUUACACUGAAUCAACUAAGUGAAUAUAAAGAAUUAUAUACAGUAGUGUGAAUAUAUAAAUAUGCCACUCAAUAAUUAUACUUCCUUCCUCCUUUUCAGUUUAUUUGUCUUGAUUUUUUUUUCAUUUAAAAAAUAAAUAUUAUUUUGUUACAUUCUUGAUUCUAUCUAUUUUUAGUUUAAAAACGACAACAUUCAAAAAUAUCUUUUACUUUCUUAAUCUCUAUAUCAAACUAAAAUUGAACGAUCAGAUUAAAGUAAUUAGUACUAGUAUAUACAUUUUUUAGGUUUAUGAAACUUUAUAAUUCAAAAUUUUGCAUGGUAAAUGACGUUGUUCGAUCAAUUGUUUGGACUAAUAUAUAUAUUAAUUAUUUAUCAUAAAUAAUAAAAGUUGAGUUUGGCCAAAAAAAUAUACACUUUUCUUUUUGAAGUUAAACUUUGAAAAAUAUGCUUGAUCAUGAAAUUGUUUUCAUAUUCUUCACUCUAAGUUAUUCACAAAAAUUCAAAAAAAAACCCUAAUUUGUAUUCAUAACCAAAUCACAACUCCAAUUUUCAAAUAUAUCACUUUUUACUUUGAAAACAAAAACUAUUUUUAAAAAGAAAUUACAAUGAAAUAUGGCUAAACCUCCAAGUUGUGUUUGGGCUGAACAGAAGCUCACAAGUUUGGGCCUUUUUUUUAGGGCAACUUUCACAUAUAGCAAACAAAAAAUUCAUAUUUGUAUGCUAUAGCAAACUUUGCAUAAUUGCGCUUCAUAACAAACAUAAAACUGUAUAAUUCGCUAUACAUAUACAAGUGUAUAAUUUGCUGGCCUAACAAUUGUAUAAUUCACUGCCUAUUUCGCUACAAUAUUAAGUGUAUAGCAAGAAGAUAUAUGUUUUUCUCUCGCUUUAUACAAAAACAGAAACACAAUAUAUACACUUCUGUUGUAUAAAGCUAGAGAAAAUUGUACUUCAUUGCAAUUGUAUAAUCCGCAAUUGUAUAAUUCGUUGACCUUUUUCUCUGCAAUAUUUGAAGUAAAAUGUUUGUAAACUGUAUUAAGUGUAUAACACGAAGAUAUAUAUUUUUGCAUGUGUAUAUACAAUUUCUCUCGCUUUAUACAAAACAGAAACAGAAUUAUACACUUUUGUGUAUAAAGCGAGAGAGGCGAGAGAAAAUGGAGAGUGGCGAGCGAGAUUUCUGGGAGAGAGACGCUGGCAAAUUUUAGCUAACGUUUGCUAUGGAGCACAAUUAAAUCAAACCCUAGCUAUUCCAUUUAUUUUAGGUUAUUAGUUUGCUAUUAUAUACAAUUUACCCUUUUUUUUACUCUUAUGUCCAACCUCAGCCCAAGUCUAAGAGGCCCAAAUCUAGCCCAACAUAUUGAUUCUUUUAAAAUUAUUUAUUAUUAUUAUUAUUAGUUUUUAUUUACUGUAUAGUUAUUUGUAUUGUACUUGAGCCGUUUGAUAGCUGAUUUGGAAAUGAGCUACAGUAGAAAUUAAAUUCUGCACAAAUGAUGUUGUAUUCGUCCAUAUUGAACCAUUCUCCAUUGUAACAAUUAAAAUCAGUAAAUUUUACCAACGGUAAAUCAUAAUAUAAAGAUAGACUCUAAUCAAAUUUGACUUUAAUUGACAAGUAAACAUUCUAAUUUUGAGGGUUCAAAAUAUGAAAAGUACAUAUACAAGAAAAGUUGAAGAGGUUCAAUAUCUACAAUAUAUACAUAAAAAUUAAUUUAAACCGUGUAUAUAUAACGUAAAUUUUCAUCGAAGGGGUAACCUCUGAACCCUUACUAGCUCCGUCCUUAUUUAAGAGUGCACAUCUAGCCACCUCAACUCAUCCCAUACUACGUUUCGUGGAUACCUAAUGCUGACGUUGUUGGGUUUUAUUUGCCCUGAUUUCUUACCAUAAAUAGGUUUUCCUUUUCGGAAAAGGUUUUGGAUUGACUAAUCCUUUUUCUGGUAGGAAAAGGUUAAGAACUCUAUAAAUAGAGUAAUGUUCCUUCUAACUUAAUCAGCAUUCACAAUGUAGUCUUAAAGGGCUUUGAGAGUUUUGGUUAGAGGGAGAAUUUGUGGGUCACAAGCAUGAUACAUUUUCACUUGUGUGAACCUCCCAUGUAUUCCGAGUGAAUUGGUUGAGGUUGUUUCUCUAUGUAUUUUGUACUCUAAUAUUUAUAGUGGAUUGUUCAUCUCCUUUGUGGAUGUAGGUCGAUAGACCGAACCACGUUAAAUCUUUGUGUCUUUUGGUAUAUUUCUCGUUGUCUUCUUACUCGUGAUCUUUCGAGGUUUGCUUUGCUAGCUUCUGCGUUUACACCUGCUUAUUUUCGGUCCUAACAAACGUGAUACAUAAAAUUUAGAUAUUUCUAUAUGACCAUUUUAUAAAUUGGAGUGUUCAAUUGACACUAUAGAUACAAGUUGAGGCAUCUAAAUGUGCAUACGUAAAUAACUAUUAGCAUUAGCACAACUAAAUGAUCCAAACUCCUUACAAGAUCCUUCCUUACAUUACAACUAAAUAAGAAAAAUAUAUAAAACAAAAGAAAAAAAAAGUGAAUAGAAUAAAGGAACAGAAAUUCUAGUAUUUUUUAACCUCUCAAAACACCAAGCUUUUUUUUUUAGUACAAUUAAAUUUUUCACCUUUGUGUUUGAGAUCUCUAGCCCCUCCUAUUAAAUUUCAUCUUCCAUAUUUCUUAAAUCAACAUUUCUAUGUUCCCACCCUCUACAUUUUACUUACUUUCUACCCCUCUUCAACUAUAAUACAUGCAAAAUGUCAUUGUUUUUUUUUUUUGGUGCAUUUUGAACUUGACAUUUUAUUUUUGCUUGCAACACAUUAAACCAUUUCUAGGGGUGUUGGUGUGUGAUUGCCUUCAACAGAUUUAGCCUUGUGUUUAGUUGUUCGCGAAGACCUUAACGUGGAUGGUGAACUCGAUUUUGGAGAGGAAGUUGAUUUAGGCUUCCUCCUUUUUUGUUUCUUAGGAGGACUAGUAACAUCUGAAGUUUUCAUGUCCUUGUGAAUGCUAGUUGUUGUUAGUUGCUUCGUCGUCUCACCACAACCUAUAAUAAAAAGACAUGCAUACGUUGAAAUAUAAUAAAAGUAUACUAUAGAGGCAAGUGGUUCAACUGAAUUCGUUGCUUUUAACUAUGUGUCAUAAGAAUUAUAGUAAAGUGUGUCUUCAUGAAAAGUUUAAUAUAGAUUGAGUUGUAGAGUCUUGUGGGUAUGAAUGUAAUAAGUAGGUAGAGAGGAGGUCAUAAGCGUCUAUAUAAUAAAAUCAAUUUUCAAUAGGAUAAAAAGGGAAAAUGUUCAAAAGAUAAACAUAAAGUAGAAUAAUCUAAUAUUCGAAUGAAUUCAAUUUUUGCUGAGACUUAAUUUUGAACUCGCCUCUAAAGAAGCAAAAGUAGGUAGUUAAUUUGCUCAUCUUUUCCCUCAAUAUCAUAGCUUAGCUUCAAAGUGCAUAUGAAGUUCAAACGUCAAAUAUACAACCCCUUAAACUCGAUAAAAAAAUUCAUUUAGAUAUCUAAGCUAAUUUUAUAAUACACAAACAAUGCCUAUUAAAAUAAUUUUGUGUUAACAUCUCAUGGAGUGAUAUAUAAACACUCACUUUUAAUUAUCUUUCAUAUCAUAUAUUCAAUAACUACAAUUCAGUAGAAAUAUCUAAGUAAAAACUCGAGCAAAUUUAAGGGGUUGCAUAUAUUCGGUCUAAGUUUGUAAAAUUUUUCUGAUUGAAAUUUAUAACAAUAGAAGGCCAUACUAAUUCAUAAAAUGACACCACAGAUAUGUUAUGUCCCUUUCUUGGGUCAUGAGGCAAAAAUCUUUUAAAAAAGAAUUCUUUAGUUUUUAUGAGACAUGCAACAAAACAUAGGACAAGCUUACUAUUUUUUAAUUCUCUUAUGAUGGAAAAUAUACAUGAUCUGAAGUUACAAAUAAUAUGAUAAAAUAAGGCUAGAUUUCUCAAUGUUUACUUAAUUAAUAAUUAUUAUCAUAGAAAUUUACUAUUUUUCUUGAUUUCUCAUUUUUUUCAACAAAAAAAAUUAAUUUUUUCAGAUAAUAACUAUUAGUUGAAUGACCAUCUAAUAAAAUCAAGCUCCACUAAAUAAUAAAGGGGUUUCAAGCAAGCGUUUAGUUUCUAGAGGUACGUUGAAUGAUUUCUUCACAUCAAUCUAAAAUUUUGAUUGACAAAAUUACUCGAUACAUGUAUUGAUGAGAGAUAACAUGUAUUACGUAAAAUAAUCGAGUGGCCUAAAAACUAAUUUUACCACCGUUAUAUAGUAAAAAUGAAAGAUCUCUAUAGAUUUUUGGUGUGCAAAAGGAAAAAGGAUGUUAAGCAAGACUAACCUUGAGAUUUACCACUAGAAGUUACUGAAAAUUCAGGUCCUGCCUUGAAUGAUUUCAUCUUCAAUUCAAAAAUAAAAAAAUGAAAAUGUUAGGCAUGUGGAAAGCCCUUCAUAUAAAAUAAUGAAUUGUUGAGAUUCAAUAAAAGAAAAAUACUUAAUUACAUAUGAUGUUUACACCAAAUUAAACUUUAAAAUUACAAAAAUAAUUAGCUCAAUAGUCGAAGCAUCGCAUGUUCAUGCAGACUCUGAGAAAGGGUUGCAUCCGAGGAGAAUAAUAAUAACUUAUUCUGACACAAGCGUCUGACGACUUUAAGAGUAAAUAAAAACAAAAAAAGGUUUACUCAACACAUAAAACAUCUUGCAUUCAUGAAGAAAUUGGAGAAGGGUCGCAACUCGCACUCAAUAACAUAUGCAGUCUAUCCUGAUACAUGCAUUAGUAAUUAAUUUUAUAAUUAGAUCCAUGACCACACAAGACAACUUUAAGAGCUACAAACUAAGGCAAUAAUAUAUAACAUCUUACAUUUUAAAGUUUUAUGAAAAUAUCGAGUUCGAAUAAAUUUUGGUGAAACUCAAAUAUGUGAACAAAAGAUAACAUACCCAAGUAGGUGCACCUCCAGAGGGACCUUCCCAACCAAUAUGUGCCACAUGUUUAACAUCAGUUGGACCUCCAAUCUCCAACUCCCUCUCCUUAACAACUGUAAAUUUAAAAAAUCAUUUUUUUACACUUUUACCCUCGAAUCAAAUAUAAAGAAAACAUGCAAUUCCCAAAAAAAAAAAAAGGAAAAAAGAUGUUACCAAAAAUAUUUGAGAUAUAUUUGCAAAUCCCCUUCACUUUGAUUGCCAUUGUAUAUAAUGUAAAAGCCCAAAAGGCCAAUAAUACUUUGCUCAGAAAUGAUAGAAGGACCACACCAAUGAGAAAUAUUAAUUUCCUUGCCUAAACCAAAAAGCAAAAAAUUACAAAAUUUAUACCCUUUUCAAUUUCUAAUGUUUUGAGAAAAAUUGAACAUUAAAAAGGUAAACAAAUAGACACAUGAAAAUUAAGAAAAGUCAAUACAAUUCAAUAUACACAUAAAGAAUAAUUUCGACUUUAUAUAUAGAGUGAUGCCUUAUAAUGCCACCUUACUCUGCCCUUGAUUUGGGUAGGGAUAGAGCUAUAUGAUCAGACGUGGUUCAAUUGAAUUCUUUUUUUCAAAAUAUACAAUUUAAAGAAAAGGAUAAAAUAAAAUCCUAUGUAUAUGGAAAUUGUUGAAUUUUUUUGUUACAAGGAAUCUUCUAACGUAACAAAAAAAGUAGUUCAAAAAUUGCUUUAGCUCAUACGUUUAAAUUCCAAUGAUCACAUUUUUUGCAUUUUUUCCCCCCUCAAAUGCAUUGGGAGAACGAGAAUUCUUGAUUGACAACAUUAACAAUACCUCAAUCUCAAACAAAUCAGAAAUAAUAUUGAUUGACAAAAGAAACAAAAUGAAAAUGAAAAGAUGAAAUAGAAUUUGAAUAACAUGAUAAUUAUAUUAAUACCUUUUCAGAUAAAUGCACAAGCCAUGCAGAAAAAAGAAGGAGAAAUAUGAAAAAAGUAAUAAACUUUUUCUAUCUCCUUCUAAUUGUAAUAUUCCCCAUUAAUGUCUCCUUCAACUAUUUUUUUUGUGUAUUUAUAUAUGCAUGCAAAAAAAAUAACAUGCAUAUAUGAAAGAACAAAUAAAUGAGGAAAUCAAGAAAUUAUAUAUGAUAUGAGGGCAAAAAUACCCAAAAGGACCUUUAAUUUGUUUUCUCUUUUUUUUUCUUCUCUCUAUUUGUUGUUUGAAUGUGGAAAUUGUUUUGUUUGGAUAAUAAUCUAUAAAAAAAAUAAAAUUGAAAGAUGAAAAAUUAGAGAGGAAUAGAAAUAGAUUUUUUAAAAAAAGAAGAAAGAAGAAAUAGAAGUAGAGGUGGACAACUACCAAUUAAAAUUGUCUAAAAAGGUAAGCUUGAUACUUGAGAGGUUAGCUUACAAAGAACAUGGACAUUGACACACAAAAUACACAUUAUUUUAUAGUACAAGUUGUAAUUUUUAUUUUAUUUUUUCCAUAAUAAUGGUGGUGUUUGGAGACUAAUUUUGUUGCACUACAAAAAAAAUUUAAUAAUUAUAUAUAUAUAUAUAUAUAUAUAUAUAUAUAUAUAUAUAUAUUCUUUGUGGUUUUGAUAUAUGUUAUUUUCUUUGUUCCAAUUGAUUAGGUAUCAUGCUUUAUAGUACUUCUUACUCAGUUUCUAAAUAUGUAUUUUAUUUUUAAAAACUUAAAAUUUUAAUAUCCAAAAUUUAUGAACAAAAUUAAGACAUUUAUUUCUCAAAAUUUGAUUUGUGGCACAUCAAUUGAGACAACAAAAGUAUUUUACUUAUUUCAUUUUAUAUGACAUCAAUUCUUUUUUUGUUUUUUUCCUUAAAAAAAUUGUCAUUUCUAUAAUUAGAAGCAAUUUAGUUUUAAAAAUUCUAAAAAAAAUAUAUAUAGUGAAAAUUAGAAAGAAAUUACGAAACACUUUUGUUACCUAUUACUCACUUUGUCUCAAUAUAUCUAAAACUCUUUCCUUUUAGUCUCUUUUCAAAAAAUAAAAUAAUAUAUUUUUAUAUUUACUGACAAUUAAAUUUUAAAAUGUUCAUAUUAUCUUAAUAAAAUGAUUUAUAGCAAUAUAAAUAUUUGUGACUUAUUUAAAACAUGAGUUUCAAAAGGAGGUUUUUUCUUAUUAAAAUUUUAUAUCAAAUGAAAUAACAUCGUAUAAAUUGAAACAUAAUUAAAGAGAACUUUUGUCCCUACAAAAUACAAAGGUUGGUGAUACAUAAAUUAAAUACGUAAUUAUUAACUUAUGUUUUGACCUUUAAGGAAAUAAAUAAUUUCGGAUAAUGCAUAAGUACCCCUCAACCUAUGUCCGAAAUCUCAGAGACACACUCAUACUAUACUAAGGUCCUAUUACCUCCUGAACUUAUUUUAUUAAUAAUUUUUUUACCCUUUUUCAGCUUACGUGACACUAUCUUGCGGGCCAACGCUGGUUGACUUUUUUUUCCCCCAAGAUUAUGCAGGAUUAUACACAAAAGAUCCUUUUUUGGCUCUUUCUUUAGCUAAUGCCACGUAAGCCGAAAAGGGAUAGAAAAUUACUUAUAAAAUAAGUCCAAAGGAAUAAUAAAUUCUUAGUAUAAUAUAAGUUUCUCUGAGAUUUCGGGCAUAGGUUGAAAGAUACUUGUGCAUUUUUUUUCAAAUAAUUUUUAUAUAAUAAUUGUCAACCUCAGAAAUUGUUUCUCUUUUGUUUGAAGAACACUUGCACCAUUAAACUUCAAUUAUUAGGAGAUAAUAUUGAGAAAAGUCCACUCUAAUGUUACUUAAAUUAUUAUGGGCAAGUUAUUAUUAUUUGUUGGCUAUUAUUUUGAUGGACUACAUAUCAAAUUAAAGUCAAGUGUAAAGACUAUUUCCAAGUCCAAAAAGUCUUUGUAUACCUAAUUUAAUUACUCUGUUAUUUUAAAUUAGCUGUAUAUUUCUAUGCAAUGUUUCAUUAUCCUAAGAGUGCAGUCAGCUAAGUAUAUGUACAAGUAUUGCAUAUUCAUUAAAUAAUUUACUUGGCAAUUAUUAAAUUUAGUCUCAGCAAUUUUUUUUAUUUUCUCUAAUCUAGUAUUCGACGUUUAGUAUCUGAUUUUUUUGAUAACUUAAUAUGUUUUAAAUUUUUACUUUAAAGGUAAGACACUCUCUAUUAAAUUUGAUUACGUUCCUAACGUUAGUGAUGAUUUUUUAAUCUUUUCCAUUAUGUAAUCAAGUAUCUUUUACAUGAAGAUAAUCAAUCCGAUUAUUGUGUUCGAGUUCUAUAUCAUUUUCUAUCUAUUCCUUCUCUGAGCUCUAAUUAUGAAAGAGGUAAUCGAGAAACCACUAAUUUUAUUACGAGAUAAUUCAUUAUAUUUAUCGAGAAGUAAUCUUUAAAACUAUUGGAUAGUCGAAUAUGGAAUAACAAUACAAACUUAACAUAAAGCACAUAUACCUCCCCCUAUCGGGAGCGUGCUACCUGCUCGACGAAAUGCCUCAGUAAGAUGAAACACCGGUAGCUUGCCCUGUAUGUCUCAAAUAGCUCCCGAUAGUCCCUAUUACAAUCGGCUUUUCAUCUUUGAGCUCUUCUACUAUCAAUGCUCCUAAAAUUGGUCGAUCAAUAAGCCCUACGCAUCUCUCUGAAGGUGAAUUUCCGACUGAACCAACACUGUUUUUAGAAUUUGGCGUAUCGUCUUGAGAACAUUCAACUAACCAGCUUGAGAGACUAGCAUCAUUCUCUCCGCGCUUCAAAUUAGGCUCUUCUUUUGCACGAUUACGCGUGGUACUAAAAUCAAGAAGAUUCAUAUCAAUGUUCUCCUUCUCCUCUUGUUGAUUCAAUAGUGAUGGAGGCGUUGUAAUGCUAGUGUCUUUCAAUAGACAUGGAUUUCGAAUUGGAUUCAGCACUGGUGAUCUAUGUUGCUCAGACUCUUCAAAACUGUUGUCACAUUCGUGUCGAAAAUGCACUACUUCUUGAGGUUCCGAUACUUUUUUGAAACGUCUGAGCAACAUAGGUUUCAAUGGACUGUUGACCUCCUCCUUGUCGCACAUGAUUUCGGGGAUGGGAUUAUUUCCAUUCCGAGUGGAGUUGUCUAUGGAGAGUGAAAACAAUGACUCGUAAGACGACUCUUCACGAUUCGAUUCAUUUCCAUCACCAUUGUUGUUAGCUUCAUCUUCGAGAUCAAUAUCUUCGAAUUCAUCAUUGCUGUUUCUGCAACAAUGAUAUCGAUGAUUCUGAGGAUAAGAUAUAUAGCUUGACACACUUGAAUUUGAAACCUCUUCCACUUCUUCUUCUUCUUCUCCGUUAUGUUUCUGCAAAUUGCUCAGAUACUGCGAGCAAUUUGCAGAAACUUGAUUUGAUAAUAAGCCCUCAUCAUUUUUGCUGUUUUUAUUCGACUCUUCUUCUUCCUCCUCGACCCUGUUUUUCGAAGAAUUUGAGUGAACGAAAACAACAGACAAAAUUGAAUAUUUUUUUUUAAAAAAAAACUUACUUGGAUUCUUCAAACAGGUUAAUGGAGUUCACAAUCUUGUGUCGAGCUUCUUUUUUAGCAUCAAUGGCGUCUACAUAAGCUUCGCCAUUCUCAUCGAACUCGAGCAAAUUCUCUCUGCUAAUUAUAUCCCUGUUUUUUUUUAAAACAGAUUUGAGAUAACCAAAAAAAAAACACAAAAUUGCAUCUUUUUCGUUUUGAAAAAUUAAAUAAAAAAUCGUACUUUGAUUCUUCGAUGAGGUUUAUGGAUUUCACAAUCUUGUCGUGGUGAUUAACUUCUUCUUUCGUACCAUUAAUGGCUACAAUAUCUUCACCUUUUUCGCGAGUCUCGAGCAAAUCCUUUAGAAAAUAACACAAGAAGCUAAUCAAACUCAAAAUUCAAAGUAAAAGGGUCGUUUUAGUUAAAGUCAAAGUGAGCACGCGAGUGUGCGCCUAAGACCUUUCCCUUCGGUCAACUGAAUCUCCUUAUCGGAUUUUUAGUUAUUUACUAGAAGAAUAAUAUGAUUGUGUCUAAGGCCUUCCUCUCGAUCAACUGAAUAAUAAAUAGUGAUUAUUACGACGUACCUGGAGAGCUUGAGGAGAGAUACUAUUGAUCUUGUUACUACAUGACUUUUUUGUGAUGAUUUUCUUGUGAUUGGAAUUAGUACGAAAACAACAUGUAAAACACUUCAUUUUUUUUCUUUAUGAUUGGGUUCUUCAAUGGAAAAAAAUUAUGAAUAUGAUGAUGAUUAAUGGGAAAUUGUGAUAAAAAGAAGAAAAAAACAGGGGAAAAGAUGGAGUAUUUUUGGGGGACACAACGGUUUGAAAAGAAAGUUACCGUUGGUUUUGUCAGUUAGCACUGAGUUUUUGAUAAAUUAUAAGCACACUUGUCUUCUAAUGAUUUUGUGGUUAUCUAGUACUCCCAUACUCAGUCUCAAAAUAAAUGUCAUUUUAACAAUAUAAAAUGUUAUUUUGAUUUUUCAAGUUUUAUGUUUGAAUAAUUAGGUAAAUUAUUGAUUUUUCAAGUUUUAUGUUUGAAUAAUUAGGUAAAUGAGUUUUCUAUUUGAGCUAUUAUUGUUAUUUAUCAAAAUACGUAUUAAAUGUCAAUUGUUCUUUUUUUCUAUUUGAAAUAUCACUAUAUUCAGGUGGUAAAAUAGAACAAUUUAUAGUUGGUGUGUGAUUUGAUAAAUAAUUGGAUAGUUCAGGAAUAAAACUUGAAAAAAGUUAAUUAAGUCAUUUGUGUUUGUAUAAAAUGAGAGAGACAAACCAAAGAAUGACGACCAAGAUUCAAGGGAGAGAGACGAAUGACAAAAAGUUUGUUGUGAAUUAAAAUUAAAUGACCAUAUGUAUUGGAAGUCAAUAAGUCCCCUUCUUUUUUUUAUUCUUUUUUGCUUAAAAACACUUUCUAACAUUCUUCGUCUGUCCAAAUCAGCUUAUAUGUACCUCAACUAAUUUCACGAGAUAAUUACUACCUCGGGCAGUUGGUAACUUGAAAGACUCAGAUUAUGAAUUUGAGCAAUCUUACAAGCCCAUUCAAAGAUUGAAACCACUUCCAGCAUCUAAUACAGUCAUCAUAGAUGUGAAACAACUAAAAGGAUAGCUCAGUGCACAAACCACACGGUUCACCCAGGAUCGCCCAAAAAGGUAGGUGAGGCAGCUUAUCCUGAUGUAAGAAAUUGUGGCUGAUUUCAUAACUCAAACUCGUGGUCACACGGAAACAACUUUGUUGUUGAUCUAGCACAACCCUACCCCCCACCCCAAAUAAUGCGAAUAGAGGGGUAUCAGUUGCAACUCCAGAAGGAAAUCCUGGAGAAAUUGGCAAUCAAAAGCAUACACAGAGGCUGAGAUGUUGCUUUGAGCGUUUUUGACUCACUCAAGAUGGCUGUUAGGAAUAAACUUAAAUAUGCUAAACACAGACCACCAUUCUUCUCUAUCCCUUCCGUCGUCUAGCAGUGGAAGUAACUCAAUUGUUUUGAAAAAUCAUGAAAUGAAUAACUGACUCAAAUGAUCCAAGAGUUUAGCAUGAUCACUGAGAGAGGAUUACAUGUUAGUUACACUCUUUCAGUCCACAUAUUAAAAUUCUCCUCUUUCAAAGACUUGAUUUCACAUCCUAGUUACUAGAAAAAUUACAUCUCUCUCUAAAUCUCUUUCUUAUGCUUGAUACUGUGAAUCUGAAGCUUCGACAAUAUGUUGAAAAGCAGAUGACCAAUAGGAUUGUUUUCCUUCUGUCGGGCAAAAAUUAGAUUCCCAGUCACAUUAUAUCUCACUCUAAAACUCUUUUAACUCUUCAAGUUGUCUAACAAGUGUUUAUCCUCCCCCUUCUAAAGAAAUUUGAUCCUUUGUUCUCCAAAGCUCACCUUGUCUAACCAGUUAAUGCACUACUAUUCACCUUCAUACACAUAAUAGCAGCAGAGUGACAGCGUACUUGAACCUUAUGCACCAAUAUGUUGACCCCCAUGAAGUCUAGAAUCAUUAGCUGCAGUUAUGCAACAUACUAAACCACCAAAAAUCGUACUACCAUCAUGUUCAAGCAGACCAAAUCUUUGGUCUACAGCCAUAUCAAUUGAGUUGGGAUAUCAUAACUUACUUGCAGCUAACAUACAACUCAGAUACAGUAUUAGACAUUGAGUAUUUACUCUCAGUUUAUUGAUGCAUUGUCAAUUUUUCACCAAAUAGAACUCGACUAAUAUCGAAGAUAAUCAUGGUACUAAGAAGUAAUGUGGAUGAGGUAGGUUUUAAGCCAUUACUCCACUAUUUCUAAACCUCCUUAUCAUCGUCGUCAUAGGAAGUGUAUGUGGUCCAACUAUCUCAUCAACAGAAUCUUGAUGAACCUCUUGAGCAACAUUACCUUAAAAGCCAAUUUAAGACUAUAUGGGAUAUUACAAGCGGGAUGUAAUGGCCGGGUUCGACAGAAUUGUGGUUUGACACAAUAACUAACCUCAUCUGACCAUGCUUUUUUGUCCACAAAAGCUCAUAGAAGACGUAAAAGAUGAUCCUAGUGAGUGCUAAUCAGUGAUCAACAGCGUUUCAACUUAUUAACCUAUAAAGCUUUAACUAUUUCACUACUGAGCUAGCUGCUUUUUCAUCCUAUCUUAUAACCAACAAACUGUUGUUUCAGCUUUGAAACUAGUCAAUAAUAGCCCCUUCUCCACUUAAACACAAGACUUGGUCUAUUCGAGCUCAUGAUGUGCGCCUAGCCAUCAAUCACACAUCCCAAACUGUAUUACCUUUGCCAUUGAACUUUGCACCAAAGUUCGGGUAGACUAAUUCCUCAUGAUAUAUAAACAUAGAAAAAUGCAGGAAUUCAAAACUUGACAAACAAAACUGAUAACCAAAACAGAGAGACUGAUACAAAAUACGUGCAAAUGUUAAGUGCAAUUUGUACAUAAUCCCUUUUCAAAGCUUCAAUCAAAACAUAAGUGCUCCAUAUAAAUCACAGAACCUAUCCAUCUCGAAAAAAGCUAAAACUUUUGCGUCAACUACUUAGGUUCGAAAUUAAGCUAGCUGACAAGUAGUGUAAGCUGUUACACAUCUCUUACCUAAUGAUAGAAGCCAUAUCAUUCAACCGGUAAUACUACAUUGCUAUCACUUCCAACUUGAAGGCCAAUAAGCAUGAAUACCGUACCCAGUCUUCCAGUUAUCGAGCUGAAUCACCUUCUUAACAGCCCAGAACGAAACGAACAACGCAAAAAGCAUCACCACCCUCUGCACAGUCCUACUCUUUAGACGAACGAGAACAUUAGUCAUAAAAGCCAACAACAAUCCAACAAUCGUGUACAAAAACCCAACCGCGAAUCCUUCAGCUCCCAAUUGCAUCCCUGAUCCUUGAUAAAAGAAAACCAACUUCCCUGGAUCCUCUCUAUCCAUCAUAAACAUAGGCAUUUUCCUAAUUAUAUUAUGCAUUGCACCUGAAACACUGAAAAAGUAAACGAAUAUUGAUCCCGCCAUCCAUACAUGCUUAUCGUGCAAAAGGGUACCUCCAGCAAGUACCCUUUUCACCAAAAAAGGACUCAAAACCAACCCUGCAGCAAUAAUAACGGCCAUCUGCUUCUUCGAAAUCAUCGGUGGUCGAUGAAUAGGACCUACAGUAAGCUUAGUCUUCGCUUCAACAAAUUCAGCCAUUGAUUCAGCAAGCCUGGCAAGAUCAGACCCAUCCAUUUGAAUCGAAUCUUUUUUCAUAUCAGUAGCUGAAGGUGGGACUAAACGUAAAUGGGGUAAUGAAUUAACCCCAAAUAGCGCAAAUGAAGCUUGUGAGUCACCAAAUUCGAUAGUAAAAUAGAAGAUCUUGUUGUUUCCUGGGUUAUUAGCGAGGAAAGAGGAGGAUAAAAGGGAGAACUCAUUUUUUAGAGUAGGUAGUGAAAGUUCGGGUUUUGAAUGGAGUUGUUUAGCGUCAAAGAAGAUGAGAAAUGAAAAGGAUCGUGGGGAUUUAGCCGAGAGGAUUCGACGGAGAAGAUGAUCGGAGAGAUGGAUAACUCCGGUGGGAGAUUGAGAUCGGAGGUUGAUUAGCUCCGGUAGAAGGUCCUCAUGGGAGGAAGAUGAAAAGGAGUGGUUGAUGGGUACGAGGACUAGGAGAAUGGCGAUAAGGGUUAGGGUUUUGGAGAUCGCCAUUGUAGCCUGCGAAGAUUUAGGAGAUUUGGUUGCAGAGGAAAAAGGGAUAUUUUAUUUUUUAUUUUUUGUAAGAAGGGAGAAGACUCGAGUCCACUGAUGGACUUCGGGUCGGGUCGGAUCUCUAUCUGACUAGGAUGGUUUGUGGUGUCACGGUAACUAAUAGAUUGGUGACACGUAAGAGGGUGGAUCCUGAAACCAUCACAGGAAAGGAAAAAACUAAAUCAAAUAUAUCUUACACGGCACAAAUUUAAAUUAGAUAGGUCAAAUAUGACAAAUAUUUCAUAGAUGAUUUCGUUAAAGUAUCAGAACCGGUAAAUUUUAAAUAUGUAUUUUGGUAUGAAUCAAACUUCCUGUUUGUUAUUUUGACGUAUCAGAAGGUGAUGUGUGAUAGCAGGGGCAGACCCAUGCUAUAUGGAGGGAGUGCAUGCUUUUUCGAGAGAAGGUCCCCUCCUUCAAUAUUAUAAUUGGUUCGACUAGGCCAAAUCAUGAGUAAAUAGAAAAAAAAAAUGUGCACAUGCUUAUUUCUGAAAAAAACAUAUGUAAUAUAUAUAUAUAUAUAUAUAUAUUAUUAUUUUGAAAAAUUGGUAGAAAUUAAAAUAUACUUAACAGUGUAUCCAUAGAACACAUAAAAGUGUGCUUGUGCAAUUGGUAGAAGCUAGAAAUAUCACCCUCUAGACUAGAUUCAGAUCCCACUUUAAGCCUCUUUUUAUUGUUUUUAUUUUAAGUUUAACUUAGACCACAUAUAUAAUUAUGUUUAUAUGGGUGCACCAAAAGUUUUCAAAUCUUGUGUUCGCCUCUGUGUGAUAGUCAAAGUUUAGUUAGAUUCAAUUCAGCGUGGAGAACAUUAGGCAUAGCAUGGGACAUACCCGAUAAGUUUUUUUUUUUUUUUGUCCUUAGGAAAUUUGAAAUAACGUUGUAGGCUCGUCUAGCUCCAAAAUGGCGAGGUUGGGAGCGUGUGUGCGGUCAAUCACAAUUAAAAAAAUAUAUAUAUUCGUAUAAUCAAAUGUAUCAUUUGAUCAUUAUAAAUCUUACGCGACACAAAUUUGAAUUAGAUGGAUCAAUAGUGACAAAUACUACAUAGUCGAUUUCGUAAAAAUAUCAAAACGGUAAUAGAAUAUUAAUAUAUAUCUUAUAUGGAUCGAAAAUCAUGUUUGAUAUUUUGACGUAUCAAAAGGGAAGGUGUGAUAGUAAAAGUCUAAUUUGAUUUGAUUCAACGAGGAGAACAUCAUGCAUAGCCCUAGGUCAUACUCGACAAGUUUUUUUUUUGGUUCUUUGGAGAUUCGAAACAACGUUGUAGACUCAUCUAAAACCAAAAUUUUUGGCGAGGUCGGGAGCGUGUAUGCGACCGAUUGUGCUCUUAUACUUCAAUUUAGAUAUAAAUUGUUAUUCUAAGUCCUUAAUUUAGACGUAAACAAUCUUAAAAAUAUCGCUUAUGUGCAAAUCACCUAAUCUAAUCUAUAGUAGUUGGCCUAACAUAGUGAGCCGCUUGGCUAAAAAUAAUUAUAUUCAUUAAUCAAAUAUACAAAAAUAUAGACUAAUUAUAUAUAAAAAUAUGUAUAUAUUUAUAUACAAAAGUAUACGUUUUCUGAAUAUUAUUUCUUAAUGUUACCUACUUAAGUUAACUCAAUUUCAUACUGCUUUUGAAUUGUUAUAGGUAUCAUCCACCAAAAAAGGCUAAGAAGCCCAAUUCUGAUGUAGAGAUCACAAAAGCUAACAAAGCCCAAAUGAUCCAUGGAUGAAGUAAAAUUGAUCGCUAUUUUACGUAAAUCAUUACUGAAGUGAAUUUAAAGUUUAAAAAUUUCGAGUGUCUUGUUGAUUUGAAAAUUAACGCACGCAACAUUUUGUGUAAAAAAAUUGACAGCUGUGGGAUUUGAACCCACGCCCUUUCGGACCAGAGCCUAAAUCUGGCGCCUUAGACCACUCGGCCAAACUGUCACAUAUUUAUAUUUUUUAUUCUUAUCAAUAUUAACUCAAGUUCCAAAAAGUUCUAAAUUAAUCCACCACAGUUUUUAAUGCUCUUUUAUUUUUUGUUUCCUCAGCUAGUGCCUAGUAUUUAUACUGAUGUUCGAUUAAAUUCAAAUUUGCAAGCAGUAGAUUAUUUAUAGAGUGAACAUUUUUUAUAAGUUCUUUUCUACUUCUAAAAAUUCAAACACAAAACAUCUAAUUAUAAACUAAAAAAUCGCAACUAUAGGCAACUCAAAUAAUAAAGUUGGGAAAAAAGAAAAGUCAAAGUAACAAAAUAAAGUAAUAACUCAACUUAAUUCACAUAACUUGGCAAUUCUUUAGUCAAUGCCAGUAACUUAAUUAUCAUAAUCAAUUGUUAUCAAAAUAUAAAAGUGGCUAAGCAAUUUACAUCUAAGAAAUAGUAAGUGCAUAUGUUUUCCCAGACAAUGCAUUACUGUCUCAAAACUGUACAACUGUUGAACCUCACAUGGGGGCAUUUGCAUAGGAAUGAUUCAUUUUUAUGUCUUUAUAUUGUGUAUCAGUAGCGGAAUCAAAAUUUUUAUAAAAAAAAAUUAAAUAUAAAAAUGUAAACGCACAAUUUUUUUAUUUUUUAAAAAGGGUUAAGCCUUUAUUAUAUAUGUACAUCAAAAUUAAUAUUAACUUUAUAUAUACACGAAUUAUAUAUUAAGUAAUAAAAUCUAGAGAAAAAUAUACACUAAUUAAUCAUAAUUAAAUGAAAAUGUAUACACUAAAAUAACAUGAGUACUGAUUCAUCUGAACUUAUUAACUUUAAGUUCAAAUCUCAUUAAUAUGUUAAAAAAUUAUUCUCAAUUCAACAAAUCAAAUACGUUUACGAUAAAAUUUCAAACAUAACAUAAAUUCGUAAAAUUUAAAUUUUGAAUCAGCGAAAAACACAGGUUGUUGUAACAUAGAGUUAAUGGAAGCAUGAGCAUGUCGGUCAUCUUUAUUCCUAGCAACCAAAAAUUAUAAAAUUUCUCUGCUUUUAAUGAUAAAAUAAAAGAUUUAAAAAACUUAAAAGUAAGUUUGUUCUGUAAUUAUAGAGAUCCAAAGCAGUAAAGUCAAAUGAUUAAUAUAAAUAUCCCGCUUAAUUUAUCUUACUGGCCCCAAUACUUGUUCCACUUGUGUUUUUUUUUCCUUUUACUAAAAACUAAAAUAAAUUGUGGGGUCAAAUAUUAUUUUUUUGGUUUUCCACUAGUGACUUUGAUUAUGUAUGGAGCAAAUGAAUUAAGAAAUUUCAUUUAGUUAGAGUUUAAUUAGUUUGAGAUCGAUAGUCUGUUUAGUCAAAUUUUUUAAAAAAUUAAAAGUUUCUUUUUGAAAAAAAAUAUUUUUUGAGUUAUUUGGUCAAGCUUUUAGAGAAAUAUGAGUUGAAUCGUAUUAGAAAUUGUUUUUUUUCCAGAAAUUAAAAAAAAGAGUUUUUUUCCGAAUCAAUUUUAGAACAUUGACCAAGCAAAAAGUAUUAAUGUACUACUAUUUCAAUAUUUUCAAAAGUAUUUUUGUUUUUUAAAUUGAUUAACUAAACACAAAAUGUUGUUUACCAGAUUUACUUCUUCUAAUAAGAAACACUUUUCAAAAUUAAGAAGAUUUUAAGCAACACAUUACUACACCUCCACUAAACACCUAUAGUAAUGAUAAAUGACUCAUUUCGCUCCGACUUCUUUUUAUAUUUUCGAAAAAACUUAAUUUAACUGUAAUUUGUAUUCGUUAUUUACACUAAAAAUUAUAAUGAGACAAUAAAUAGUUUUAUUUUUAAUUAUAAAUUUCACAUUUGAAUCCUGAAACUGAAUUAUUUUUUAUAAGUUUCGAAAGAAACAUUUUGAUAACAUAAGUAUGAGAUAAAUCAAAUUUCAAAACGAAUAUCGAUCUUCGGUUAGAGCAAAAGGGUUGUAUUGUUAUUAUUGGAGCAACAAACAAAUCAAUUAGUGUAUUAUAGAGGACCAAUCAAAAGAGCAAAAUCCAGUUGUCAAAUUUAACUAGUUUUUUCUAUUAUUUAUAAGACAAAUCAAAUAGAGUCAUGUUCACAUAUGCAGGCAUAUUAGACCCCACUCACAUUUUUCUUUAACAAAAAUUCAGUGAAGUUCAUGGGGGCAUUAUGGUCAUUUCCACCUCACUCAUCUUUCUGUCAAUUGCUUUCUCCAGCUUGUCGGUCGUUUGGAUUAUAUGUAAUCGUGGGAUAAAUCCCUAAAUUGCCCUUCUAAAAAUUUAAACUUAUAUUUGCCUCUUUAUAAUGAACUAUUAACUUUUGUAAAACAGAACAGCUAUGUGUAACGUGUUUUUUGAGACAUCUUCAUUAAAUCACGUAAUAAUAUAUUUUAUAUUGGCUAAAUACUGUAUGAAAACAAGUUUUUUCCGUAGUUGAACGUCAUUUUAAUUUUUCUUUCGUGCCCUUUGCUUUGGUUAUCAAAUUGUUUGUUGUCGCCACUACUUCUUGUUUCAUUAUUUAUAUAUCUGAUUUGAUAUGUUUUACUUAAUUUAGGAUUUAUGAUAAAUAAUCUUUUUAAUGAUAAAAUUAUGUAUAUUUUAUCUUUUUUUAAAUUCUAUUUAUAAAAUUAAAUCAAAUAUAUUAUUGAAAAAACUAUUAUUCUCAAAUAGGUGAACAUAACUUUUUGGACAAACUUCAAUGUCUCCUACUAAAAGGAGAGGAUUUUUUUUAUUUUUUUAUUUAUAUACUAAGGUUAAAGUAGUAUAAACACUAGAAACAAUACAAAAGCAACAAACAUGGAAAAAAAAAAUUCAUUUCCAUUUUUGCCCUUGACAUGACCAAAACUAGUGAUCAAUGAUCUGUACUUCCUUUAUUUUAUUUUAUUUAUUUAUAUUUCUUCUCUAAAAGGAUUCAAACUUAUUAAGAAGCUUCACUUCUCAAGUUCCUCUUGUGACGUUUUUAAUUCCAUUUAUUUUUUUUAAAAUUUUGGGGAGAAAAUGGCUUCUCCUAUAGCUUAUUUUCUUGUACUUAGUGCAAUAAUUGUUGUACUUUUUUCAUCAACACAAGCUGAAGUACAAGGUUCAUUUGAUGACAAUUUUAGUAAAAGUUGUCCAGAAACUCAUUUCAAGACUUCUGAAGAUGGACAGAUCUGGUAUUUAUCAUUGGACAAAAAAGCAGGUAAUUAUAAUUCAAUAAUUUAGUGUUUUUUUUAAUACUACUUUGAUAAAUAAAAAAAUUAAAAAAUUUGAAUCUUUUAUGUUUUGACGAAAAAUGUUCAACUGAUCACCUUUCGAUCUACGUAACAUUGUUGAGUUUCUCUUUAUUUGGGUGAUUGAAAUUCAAGAAUUCAAUGUUUUUUUCAAUAUAUACAAAUUUUCAUUGUUUUUUUUACAUUUGACUCGUUAUGUUAUGAGAAAGGUGUUCAAUUAAUCGCAUCCUUAUAGUGGUGAUUAAAAUUCAAGAAUUUAAUGUUCUAUUUUUAAUAUAUACCAAUUGACAUUUGCAUCUUUUAUUUUACUUAUUUUUGCAAAUAUUGGUUGAUUUUUUAAUUUUUUUUUUUAUGUAGGAUGUGGAUUUAUGACCAAACAGAAAUAUAGAUUUGGGUGGUUUAGCAUGAAGUUGAAAUUGGUGGGAGGUGACUCUGCUGGUGUUGUGACAGCUUACUAUGUAAGUUGCAAUUUUUUUCAUACAUAAUAUUAAAAAUGAUAGAUCGAUGUAUAAAAUAUUUCACGUUCAGAUAUAAUUUUAAAAGUGUAAUGCGUAUAAUUUAUUUCAAAGCAAAUAUUAGUGAUUGAUUUUCAAUGCUCAAAUUUCAUGACUUAUUAGUCACUCAGAAAUUACUUUUUUAAUUGCUUCGACAUCCCUCUAAAAAAAGAAUUUUUACAUUACUAUAGUAAUUACUAAAUUACUUUGUUUUCUAGAUUACUAAUCUCACAUUUUAUAAACAACUUUGAACAUGUAUCAACUCUAGCAAUCCAACACAUAAUGUAAAUAAUUUUUUGAUUUUACUUGUGCGAUUAGUCAUAUUGUAAUAUGUUUAAUGGAAUUUUUAACAGUCUUUCUAUCUUUAUAAGUAGGGGUAAAAAUCUACGUACACAUCACUUUUUCCAUAUUCUAUUUGCAAGAUUACAUUAAGUAUGUUAUCAUAGGCAGUCUAUCUACCUGCACAAGGUAGGAAAAAGUAUGCGUACACACUUUUUGAUCUCCAGAUUGUACUUAUACUGAGUAUAUUAUUAUUGUUAAACUAUAUGGAUUUUUGAAUGAAUUGUAGAUGUGCACAGAAGAUGGAGCAGGACCAACAAGAGAUGAAUUAGAUUUUGAGUUCUUGGGGAAUAGGACAGGUGAACCUUAUCUUAUUCAAACAAAUGUGUACAAGAAUGGAACUGGUAAUCGUGAGAUGAGACAUGUUUUAUGGUUUGACCCCACUGAGGAUUUUCACACCUACUCAGUUCUUUGGAAUACUCACCAAAUUGUGUAAGUACCUAUUAAUUUUCAUUAUAUUAAAUUACGAUGAACGAACGAGAUUCUUUCACGUUUAAUAAGAGUUUGCGUCAAAAAUGUUGUCAAACAUGUACAGGUUUUUCGUGGAUAAGGUACCAAUAAGAGUGUACAAAAACGCGAAUUACACAAACAAUUUCUUCCCAAAUGAGAAGCCAAUGUACUUAUUUUCAAGUAUAUGGAAUGCAGAUGAUUGGGCUACAAGAGGUGGUUUAGAGAAAACAAAUUGGAAAAAUCAACCAUUUGUUUCAUCAUACAAAGAUUUUAGUGUGGAUGGUUGUCAAUGGGAAGAUCCAUAUCCAUCUUGUGUUUCAACAACAACACAAAAUUGGUGGGAUCAAUAUGAUUCAUGGCAUUUAUCAAGUGAUCAAAAAUUGGAUUAUGCUUGGGUACAAAGAAAUCUUGUCAUUUAUGAUUAUUGUCAAGAUACUGAAAGAUUUCCAAAAAAACCUGAGGAGUGUUGGUUAAAUCCAUGGGAAUAAUUAAAUAAUUCAACUUAGGUUAAAAAAAAUAUAUAUUAUGAGAGGGAUUAAGGAGUAUUUUGAUUAUUUUAUUUUUGAUGUUGAGUUAUUACUCGAGUAUAUAUAUAUAUAUAUAUAUAUGCUUGUAUGAUUUGUCAUGCCUAUUGUAUUAUUGAAUUUAUGAAGAAGUUAAGAAACCUCUUGCCAAGCAAAUUGUACAUACUGAUUAUCAAAGCUUCUUCAUCUUCACUGAAUUCAGUUUCAACUUUAGUCAAUAUUUUUCCUGAAAUUUAAACAAACAUUUUAACAUACGUGAAAAUUUAUAUAACUAAUCUCAACUUACUCAUGGAUAAAAUAUACAAAACAAUUAAACAUAGAAAAUAAAAUCAAAUUAAAACAAAGAAUUAGAAGUAAAUAAAUACCUUUAAAAUCAGCACAAAAAUAAUCAGAGGAAGAAUUUUUUUCUGAAGAAUCUGCCAUAUAAAAAAUUGGGGAAAAAAAACUAAAACUACUAGAGAAUGAGAGUACCAUUUAUUUAUAUAGCUAUACUCAACUUUAAAUAAUAAGUUUAGGCUACGUAUAGGAGCAAACCCCUUUGAAAAUGAGUCUUGCAAUACACAAAUUGUAUCUAAUUGUAUCGUACACCCUGGUGGGAAAUUAAAAAAACAUGUCAGACUACGUAUAGUCAUAUUUAAAACUUAUCGCAUUCGUGUUUUUUUUUCGUAUUAUGUAAUUCUUUUUAUUUUUUUACAAUAAAGUUAUUGAAUUUAGUUGAAUCCAUAAACUAUAGUCCAACUCCAACCCUACUUAAAAUAAUUAAGUAAAACAGCACAUUUAUUUAGGAGAAGAAGGCGCUGACUGUUGAAUGGUAGGUGAUGAAGGAGAUUAAGGGGUUGUUAGGUUUCUUUAUUUGGAAAUAAGUAAAAAAUUAAUUCGAAAUUUGAUAGAUAAUAGAUUGACGUUCAACAUUUUUAUUAUCUAAAUAUAAUUUAUUUAUAACAGAGAAAAGACAUGAAUUUCUUCCUAAAUUAGCACUGAAAAGUCAAUUAUACACUUUAACUGUCAUAAUUACUCACCUUAAUUACUUCAAAGUAAAUUUAAUACCAUCUUGAUAUGUGCAAUACCACUCUCAGCGUAUGUUGUGUAUUACACUCGGUGCCACAUUAGCACUACGUCAGUGCCAUAUAAGAAAUUGUAUUAUUUUUUUUACUUUCUUUUCUUUGUUACUUAUUAUUUAUUUUAUUAAUUAAUUCUACACUAAUUAAUUUUUAGUCAAUUAUUAAAAUUCUCUAAUAAUUAUGUCUUCUUCAUGGCAAAAUGGUAAAGAAAAAACUUUUAGCAAUUGUUAUCAACAAAAUUACCCAAAAUCUGGAGUUUAAUCAUGGAGUUGAAGCGUUCUUCUACUCCAAAAUGUACCCACAAGAAGGUUAAUUCAAUUUCUUCCAUUGAUUGGUCAUGAAAAAUGAGCUUCCAUUGUUGUUUGUUGCAGUUUGUUAUUGUAAAUAUUUUUUCAGAUCUGGACAAAUAUUCUUUGUUCUUUUUCCAUGUUUUUCAUGGAGGUUUCUUAAAAAAUCAAGAUUGUAGAAAAUUAAUUUUCUUCUCAUUUUCAAUCUAUCACCCAAAAUUUUACUCCAACAAUUGAAACCUCUCAAAAUUUUACUCCAUUUUGAAGUAAUUUGUUUUUUUUGUUAUUUGUUUAUUUUAAGUUUAACGAGGUGUGAAAAAGAUGAGGAUUGUGGGGAAUGAAGAAGAAGAGAUGUGGGGUGGUUUUUUUACUUUUGUCUCAUUUGAUGCACAUAAUUUUUUUUAAUUAUUAUUAUUUUUUCAUGUCAGCUUUAAAGGGUAAAUAAAUUCACUUUUAAAUAGCAGAGGUGUGUAAUAGGUUGCCAUAAUAGUUUAAGCGUGUAAUUGACUUUUCGAUACAAGUUUAAGGGGGAAUCUAUGCUUUUUUUCCUUUAUGAUAUGAUGUCUAUAUUUUGAUUAAUCAAACAUUGAAAAAGUUAGCAAAUAUUUUCCUCCCCAUCAGACACACCCUAGUUUACCUCACAAGUUUCAAAAGUCGUUUUUUAAAUUACGAUUUAUGUUCCUUCCUUUUCUUCUUUUCUUGCUCGUCAUUCCAACAAAUUUAGGUGUGUUAGGUUUCAAAAAGAAUGUCCCUUUCUUUUUAUGACAGUUUCUUAAUUUUAGUUUUCCACCUGACAUAUUUUAAGAUCAUAAGAUUAAAAACAACCUUCAUUAUUCUCUUGAACUCUAUAUCUUAUGUUGCUCAAACUCUUCAAAAAUAUCAACAAAUGUGUGUCAGAUUCUCCAACUUUUUUGCAAACACCAACAUGACUACAACAUCAGAAGUGAAGAGUCUGCACGGCACAACCAAGUCACAACCAACCAAACAAAUUGAAACGGACGAAAUAGUUAAUACAUUAAGCACCAACAAGAAGCUCAUGAAAUAAGCAAAUGUAUAUUGAUCGUAUAAGUAAACUAUAUACAAAAUGACAAAUACUAUAAUGUUCAUCCAAAAUAGAAUAUAAUGAUCUUGUAAACUUUUGGGCUGAUUCUCCAUCUCCAUUGGGGAUUCACCAUACAACUUUUGAUAUAUACUGAUCAUCAACAAGCUACUAGUAUACCAAGCUUCUGCCAUAUAUAUAUUGAAGAAAAACGUUGCUCGUAGCGCGCUUGAUGUAAUGUAAACAAACAGUGAAUGUUGCAAUCACAAAAUGUGCAUCAAUCCCCUCUCUUUGAUUGUGUUUAGAAACCAUGAAUCUUGAUGUUAUCCUUCUUCACAAUGCCAGCCUAAAAAUCACAAAAAAUACGCGAAAUCAACGUACAUUUUUUAGAUUAUGUAUAUUGGAUUUCGAGGAACAGGUAGAGGAUGUGAAUUAAACCUGUAUGAGAAAGGUUGACACGUUCUUCCGCUGAUCGCCCUGAAGCUGGAUAACCUGCGUGAAAUGAAAACAAUCAGUAGAGAACAAACAAGCUAGAAAUCGUUCAUCCAAGGGCGCGUGUGUAUGUGUUAAGAAAUUCACUUAAUAAGUACAAGUUGUGUUAGAAUCCUAAACUUAUACUCAUAAAGUUCAAAUCCUGAAAUCCUGGUUUCGCCUCUGAGGCUCUUUGGUCAAGUGAAGAACUCGUUUAUAUUUGGUCAUAGGUUUGUCCAAAGAACGAUAGUUGCCUUACACUAAACUUCUUUGUUCCUCAGUAGCUCAGAGACGAAAGAAUAGCAUUCAUUUAUGUGAAAAAAGAAUGACGUCUACCAUAAGUCCUUUGUUCCAAUGAGGAGAAAGAUAGAAUCGAAUAAGGUAUUCACCUGUCCGAGUUCUGGAUCUUGCACAACGGUACCAUUGCAACAGAACUCUUUCUUGAGGUCCUUGAGAAUCUUGUUGUAGCUGAAUUCUUUCUUCAGGCCUUGAACGGUGGUCAGACUUUUCCUUCCAUUUCUCUGCUGAACGCGGAUAUGCACAUACUCCUUCGCACCAGCGCCUGAGUUCUGAGCAUUUGCAUCAGCGAACGGAUCUGUCCACACCAUACAAGCCACAAAGACAGUGUUGUUAUUGCAAUCAGUAAUUAGUCUAAAACAGAGAAAUAAACGGUUUUCGUCUUAGAAUAUUGGAGAAAGGGAGGAUUGUAUAGACUAGCACAACUAAAUUACAUCAGCAACAUAUUACAAUCAAUUUGUCUGUCUUUACUUUUGCUUUUUUUUUAGUCUGUUUCACUCUUUCCCAACUUUUUCAUAUGACAUGUUAAAGAUAACAAGAUUUAAGGACGUAUGUUUUACAUUCACAAGAUUCAAAAGUCUCCUUUUUUUACUACGAUCAAAUCAAAACCAGAAAAACAGAUUGAAACAGAGGGAGUACAACAUAGCUGCAGAAGCAAUGAGCAACAACUGUUGUCUACGAAAGCCACUGAUAACGAAGAAAAGAUACAACGUACCAAAGGUGGUAGGGACUUGGAUAUCGAGCUCAGACAUGAACCUAGCUUUCAGAAGCACGACGAACAAACCUUGAAUGCAAAAUUCCAGCUGAAACGGAAAACAAAUGAAUGUAAUUUCACUUGCAAACUCAUGGAUAUACAAACAGAAUAACAGACUAAUAUUAACGCGAAAAAAAAGACAGAAAAGGUUCAGUUAUUUGAUGAUUGCCUGUUUAGUUCAUCGAUUUCAUUGCUCAUUGCUCAUUCUAAUUAAGCACAUUUAACCUUAAGGAACAAAAGCAUGCAAUUCGACUACAAGAGUUCUCAUAUUCUAGUCCUGGAAAUGAAAAAAAGAAUCUUGUUGGAAGCGCUCUCAUAAAUGGACCCCACAAUGUCCAAGUACGGUUAGUCAGAUUCCAAUGCAGGUAUCAAACACUAAGAGUGAAAGAUUUAAAAAGAAAAAAGUCUAUACAAUAACCAAAAUAGCAAUUCAGGGUCUGCAUGAAACAAAAAAAUAAAAAUGAUCACAAAUAAAAAGAACUAAACUGAGUUUGUUAAUAAUGCUCUUAAAGUAUUACAUUAAAAAAUAGUUUUUCUUUCUCAAUUUUUUUUUUUAAAUUCCCGUCCAAUGUCCGGUAUCCAGAUUGACUAAUCCAAUUUCGUGGCGCAUAGGUUACAUAACAUUAAAGAAUAGCUGAAAAAACACAAUCUUGAUUGAAAAAUUAAAGAGCAUUUUUUUUUUGGCUCUCAUUUUGUGUCCUUUACCUAUAUUGUUCCCGAACUAAUCUGAAUUCGUGCCACAUAGGACCCAUACAAUUAAAGAACAGAUGAAAAAAAGAAGGAAAAAACAUAAUCUUGAUUGAAAAAUAAAAGAAUAUUUUUUUUGAUAUCUGACGACUAAUCUGAAUUCACUCUCAUAACAUUAAAGAAAAAACACAAUCUUAAUUUUAAAAAGUUGGAAAUAGAGAAAAAUUUACCUAACCAAAACAAGAAACAGAGAUAGGGGUGGGUGGUGAAGAGAUGAAACUGGAAAUCUUGAGAAUUUUUAAUUUAUAAUUUUUGUAAAUUGUAUGAAAAUGUAGGGGGAAAAAAAUGAAACGUGAGUAUAUAUAUAGAGAGAAAAUGUUUAUAUAGAAAAAAGAAAAAAAAAAUCAACUUUUGUAUUGAUCCACACAUUUGGACUUUUGUUGGAAUUUCAGGUGCCAAAAUUAUCUUUCAGUUAUUACCAGAUAUUCAUGUUUAUUAGGACCCGAACAUGGUGGCCAACCUAAAAUUUAAUUACCGUAUAAUUAAGAUUCACAUCGCGCAAGAACCGUUUUUUUUUUAGAAAAAUAAUGUCACCACAUAAGUAUUGUCGAAUUAAUAAAAUUUACCUCAGUCACAAGUUAUACCAGGCAACGGUAUAAAUUCAAUAUAAUACAUAAACAUGUCCAUUAAUUUAUAAUACAAAUCAGUCACCAUGUAGGAUGGUAUAUCUCACGUGAAUCGUCAUGUAAGAUAUAUGUAUCAACUUUAUAUAAAUUUAAGUAUCUAUUUGUAUAUCAAUUAACACCAAAAUUAAAUGACACGUUUAUGUACUGUGUCUUUAUCAUGUCCUACCCACCCUCCAACAUCCUUCAUCUUCACCUCCAACCUUCGUAGGGACGUCCCUUCAUCUUCACCUCCAACCUUCGUAGGGACGUCCCUGCGGUUCCAUGAUUUUCAUUAAGGGAGUUCGGAAAAAAAUAGCGUACUGGAUUGAACUUUGAACCCCUAAACCAUUAAGUCAAUCUCUCAUCUUAUAUUCAGGAGGUUCAAGAUCUUUAUAUAAAUAUAAAAAUACCUUAAAUAUACAACGUAAUUCGAGUGAACCCCUCGGCAUACGCUAGAUCUGCCCUUGGCCACAACUCCACCUCCCAUAAUAUUAUUCUGGAUUAUAUAUAAAUAUUUUUUAUGAAAAACAUUUUCCUUCGUACUGAACCACUCAACAUUAUACAUUGCUAAGAAAGUAUACAGAAGCAAAGGAUAAAUGUAGUGCCAACUGAUGAAAAAAUCUAUCAAUUUCUAUGUAAAAGAACAGUUCAUAAAUGGUAUCAACAUUCUAAAGAUUCAUAUGCCUAUGAAUAUACACAGAAACAAGAACUCCAAUUAGAGCCAACUGAUGAAAAAAAUCAUCAAUUUAUAUGGAAAAACCAGCUCAUAAAUGGUUACCAACAUUCUAAAGAUUCAUGCCUACAUAUAUACAGAAUCAAGAACUCUAAUCUAGCUAGUGUCAAUCAUUUAUUAACGUUUCACCUAGCACAUCGAUCCCAUCAUUUGAAACAUCAGGAGCCCUGGUUGGUGUAUAGCUUUACUUAUCUGGGCCAAACUUGUCCAUAUAUGUCUUUCUUGGUAUAUCGACGAUCCCAGGACCAAGGAAUAUCUGCAUUCAACGAUAAAAUGCAUUGAGCUUGAUGUUAUUCAGAGAGCAGUUAACAGUCAAACCUCUUAAUAACAACAUCGUUUGAAGCUGUAACGAAAUGUUGUUUAUACAGAACAUAUAAUAUAAUUGGUUCGAAAGAAAACACCACUGUUGUAAUGAGAUUUUGUUAUAGAGUUAAGACCUUCAAGGGAAUACGGUUUUGGAGGAAGCUCAUAAGCCACUGGUAACUUGAUUACUUCAGAAGAAUCAUCAUUUCCCUUUCCCUGCCAAGCUAGAGUUACCAGCUUUAUUUUUUUCCCUUCGUGUAUGCUAGUUUCGUCCUGUAAAUCCAAAGAAUUAAAAACCAGAUGAUAUAUAUCAAGUUAAUAAAGCAUAAACAUAACCAAAAAAAAAAACCUAGAUGAUUGUUGUACCUCUGAUGGAUAACCAUUAUUUGUACAAGAAAAUCCACAGCCACGUUUAACAGAAGACGGCAAAAAUAGCACCCCUAGCUGCCAAGGACAGAAAUAAGUUACAAUCACAAUGUCAUUUUAGAAGUUAAGUCGAGAUGAAAUUUAAAGGAGAAACAAGAUAUCAAUGUUAAUCCUCUUUUUUUUUUUUUACAACAAUGGUGUCUAGACCAGCUUGCGCGCACCUCCAAUUAUUCUACUGGAUACAUGUCACCUCCCACCAACAAUAGGUACCAAGUAAUUUUGUCCAUCGAGGCGAGGAUAAGACAGAUGGGUAGAAAUCACUCAAGUGUUUUUGUCUCUUCUAAGAAGAUAUCAAUGUUAAUCUAGGAAAACUAAUGCAGGUAAAAGAUUGAUUCAGCUCUUGGGAAAUGUUUAAAGGUGGGUUAUUCUACGUGUCUGCAUACGUGGCAGUGGUCUAUAGCAGGAGUGGUUAAAAUAGACAUGCGGAGGGCUGUUUCCUGUUAUUUAAAAAGGGAAAAAACUUGUCUCAAAUCAUAAUAGCAAGCGUCUUUUUGUUGGCGAAGUGUAACUGGCAAGUGUAUUUCUGUUGGUGAAGUGUAACGUGAGGCGGAAGUAGGAAUAGUUGAUAGUUUAGGUGCAAAUUUGGAUCUUUUCACCAUGUUUCUUAGUCUCUAUGUCAGUUUGGUUCGUGGAUGCUUCUAGUCUCCAGAGAGGAACAAAAAUACCUCAUAGGAACGAAUCAUCAACUGAGAAUUAUUUUUCUGAAGUGCGCCCCAGGCAGCUUUGCUGAGGUUUGAUGACGUAAGCAAGAACCACCUGUUUUACCAGAGAAAUAGAACAAAUAUUAACAAAAACAAUCAUCCAACAUUAGUGGGAAUCAAAUCUUAAGAAAAACAAAGAACAGAGUCUCGGAAGUCUUACGCUAACGAUUGACCGUUGUAACGUAGAAACGUCUUAAUAUGAGGCAUUGCACGGCUGAAGAUUUGAAGAACAAAAGGUAAGUGUCCUUUCUCAAGAAAAUCAAUGAAAAUAGGAGCUAAAAAAGAAGGAAAUCUGAUUUGCAACUAGAUUCAUCAGCAGUAAAAAUUGAUCAGUGUAUAUCAGCAAAGCUCAUGCAAAUUUCAGACUGAAAUUUCUGUCAUCAAGUCAGAAAUGAAGAAAAUUCUUUCUUUGGUCUCAGGAGUUAUCAAAGGCAGAAAGGAUCUUUAAGCGCACAGCGCAAAUAUAGCAUGAGCUUUGAUGAAGAAAGGCACAAAUGGAGGGAAAAAAACAAAUAUGUAUGUGUAAUCCGAGACAAAUCAUUGUAAGCAUGAAUAACAAAAAAAAAAGGAUAGAGAAACUGAAAAAAGAAAACAAAAUAAAGUGAAAUAUUAAUUGUUCACAUGCUCUUCGGCAAGGAAAAGUAUGUCUUAGAGCCUUGACCACAACACUGAUGCACGUCUUAGAGCCUUGACCACAACACUGAAGCACCCGCUAAGCGACGCAAAGCGCUCUACAUGUUCUGAGCCGCGCUUCAUUAGUUUAGCACGCCUUUGACAAAAUUGUCUGUUCCAAUGGGUCAGAAUUGAACAAUUUUUAUGCAGACACAUUAGAGCUUCACUAGAACUACAUAUUGAAUAUAUUUCUUUUAAUGCACUUUGUAGUGGGAAUAGAUAAAAACAGAUCUUUUGAAUUUUAUGCAUGCAAGUAUGCAAGUACAUCUGCAUUUUCACAAGAAGCAGUGAUCGUACAUCAGCUUCACAAUGAUCCUCCUUUGUACAUAGUUAUGCCACUCAGAACAUGGAAUAGUUACCACAUCAUUGUACAAGAAAUAUUUUAUGAGUUUAUAACAGUCACUUAGCAAUUUAUUCAGCAACACAUACAGCCAAACAAGGAUAAAAGUAGCAACUGUAUGCAUUAGCAUUUUUUGAUCAGGCAACAGCAUGCAUAAACUUUGACUCUAACCACUAGAAACCCCCACCAGAGAGAACGCUAGUUACACAGUCUUCCAUUGCCACUAGAGACAAGUUUAUGAAAGGUUAGCGCUACUGUGACUGCCUUUAUUGCCACCACAAGAGAAACACACAAAAGUAUAAGCACUCUUCUCCACUGUCACCAAUUUGCUCCCUAUUUUGUCUCCCUGUAUAGUUUUGGGCAAUCCCACCUCAUGAGCUAGUUUUUGGGGUUGAGCUAGGUCCCAUAUCCAUUUCUUAACUUAGAACCAAGGAUUUGAGUCCCAACUCUUAGAAAUAUUCUCGUCUAGAAGUUCUGUAACCUUCUUUUUUUUUUCCUUCUAAAAAUUUUUCUUUUUUUGAGAAAGUUCUUUCACUUUCUCUAUUCCGAAAUAUUUUAAAAGAAGUUACUUGUUAUUUUAUGUCCCCAUCUUGCACCCCCAUGUUACGUUGUCCACGUUCCAGUUGGCAGGCCUGGGGGAGGGGGGGGGGGUUAGUGUAGCAAAUUGCCACAUUAGUGAAGGGAUGGCUUGUUUUGCUCCUUAUAUGGUUUUGGGCAAUCAAUUUCUUCACAUUUGGCAAGCCCAAAUCUUAGGAAGGCCAUUAAAAGAAAAAGAAGAGAGCUCGUGUGAUAAUUCAAGUAUACAACUAGUUAACAUGACUAUGCCUGAUUUCUAUGAUUCUGAAUUUCUGAUACAUAAGUGCUUACUUCAGUAAUAGUCCACAGUGCUCCAAUCGAAAAACUCUAGAGGUAAAGGCCUUAAGUGAUGCAUCAUUCAUAGAUUUAGGAAUUUGAGAGAGAAAUGCACAAUUCAAAGGAUUCGAUAAUAUUGCAAUGAAAUUAAUAUUUCGGAAAUUCAAAACUUUAUAAGGCUACUAUACCAACGACCAGUGUGGCUAGCUUUCCAUUUAGCCCAAUAUUUCUUCAGAAAUUCUUUCUCCACGUUCUUUGAUGGGCUGGGAAUGGCACUUCCAGCUGCAUAUCCCUAGAAAAUGAAGCAAGAUGCAGUAAAAUUCAUUCAGUAAAUCAAAGGAGUCGUCAGAUUUCACUUAUGAAGAUUAGCAAGCAUCUAUAAUAGCAAGUGAAUGAGACCACUAUAAAUUUCAAUGUAACUUGUGAGGAUUUUCAAUCUCAUCUAUUACAAAUGUCAACUGAAUAAAAAUGAUUUAUUAAAGUAUGGUCUUAAGUCAAUGCCACCAAUAGGCUGCGGAUUAUCCUUAUGUUUGACAUCCAUAGCAGGUUAGUGAUGCCACUAUUAGUCUAAAGAGGACUUGUUCAAUAUUACCUCCAAAGAACAUCUAACAUCUUCUACAUUGGGCCAUACUAUCAUUGGCUCCCCAAUGCCCAGAGGUUUUUUAUCGUCUGUAACUCCAGCUGACAUUGAAGAGGCAAACUCCGUCAUCCAUUUCUCAUCCAAAGAACCUAGGGAGGAAAACUGCAAGAAGCAAUUGAAGGCACAGAUGUCAAUGAUAUUUGAUAAUGCAGGUGUAAUACAGAAACAUCUGGCGAAAGAAACCUUGGAGCUGAAUGAAACUCAAAAAGAUACCGAUACCGAUACCUGGUAUAUAAGAGGAGACUUCUGAAAUUCUUUGCUAAAAGUACAUUCCUGAAGAACAGUACGUAACUUCAUAUGUCCCCACUUCCUCAAACUAGAACCUGAAUGAUAUCCAGGCACAGAUGCAAUUAGCCUGACCUGGAAUUGGAAAAUGACAACUUCAAGGUCAUGUUACCACACUACACCUUAAAUGGUAUCGCAGACAGUUCAGCCCACAUAAUUCUCUAAAAUUCCAAGCAACAAUUUAUACUUCUUAUCACCUCCGCCUCAACAUGGAUACAAGAAUCGUAACCGCAGAAUCAGUCACCAUGAUAAAUAGUGAAAGACGGCAUAAUACCUAGCUAUGUUGCUCGUACACUCCAAAAAUGGUGUUGCACUCGUGUCGGAUCCUCUAAAAAUGUACUACUUUUGGAAGAUCUGACACGCACCCGGGGGUAUUUUUGAAAAGCAAACACGUGCAAGCAAAAAUUUUCACCAAACAAAGACGCGCUAUUUUCAAAAUGUGACAUUGAAAUGCCAUGUUUGCUAGCUCUACUUUACUUUUUAUUCAUCCUUUCUUUUUCUCCUUUUUAGUGGUGAGGGCUUCCUAUGAGCUGUAACUGAAAAGAGCGCGGACAGUAAAGAAAUGAAUAUUUAUGUCCUGGGAGUCUGUAAAACCUCUGGCACCACAUUGUCUGAAUACUGAAUUAUCACGUAAAUUGUGGACAAAAAGGAGAUACAGUUUCAGCUAGGGUCACAAAAGAUUAUUACAGUAAAAGAAAUGAGAAAAUACCGAUGCGCUACUGUAAUCAAAUUUCUUGAAGAAUGAGGAGUUGAUCUUGCAGCUUCCGAAGGCUGGUAUAUUAACAGUAAAUUCUGGCCACUGCAAAAAGAUUUAACAGAAUCAAACAUGUUAAAGGAAAAAGGAAAUACUCCAACAGUGGAGGGUGAUUAAUAAAAAGGGAGAAAGGCUAAACGCCAUCAGAUGCAGACACCAAGGAAGUGCGAAGCUCCUCGGUCCUGAUUUACUGCAUAACAAGGCAAAGUUAGCCCUAAAGUAGCAUGUUGUGCAGCAUCUACAGAUACAUAUAGUCAUAGCUCUCCACAUAGAGUGGAACAAUGUCAAUAUUCUAUAUUGCAAAAACAAAUCAUUGUACUAAUUCUUUGUUUAAGUUCCGGGGUAAGCUAAUUCGCACUUCAAUUUGUAGGUUCCUUGGAAUAAGCUUUAUAAAGGGGUGCAAUUCUUGAUGGAGGAAACCCAGUUAUUGCAAUUUGCACAAAAAGUAGUACAUAUAAAGAUUAAAACUUAUAAAAAAGAGAGUUAAUUCUCACAAAUUCCUCUUUCUAAGCCUAUAGUUUUGGUGAGCAUGAAGAUUGGCAAACAAAUGAAAAGUCAAUAUUAUGUCUUCAUUCUUCAAUGUUAGUUUGCUGCCUGAAGAUGCUUCGUAUCCACAAUAGUGAAAGCAGGUUUGUUUUAUUUUCAUACCUUCCUCUUUUAUGUCUCUAUUUUCAUUAGUAUGAAGAUUGGCAACUAAUGAAAAGCCAAUGAUGUUUCUUCAAUGUUAGUCUUCCAGUCAAGAAGGAAGCCUACAAAUCAAGUGCAGAAACAUAAUGGUUCACGAGGCAGAUGUGAAAGUAAGGAUUGAGACACAAGUCGUCUCUAAGAGAGGAAGUUUCAACUAUCUUAGGUCAAUAAUUCAAGGAUAUGGAGAGAUUGACGAUGAUGUUACACAUCGAAUUGGAGCGGGAUGGAUGAUAUGGAGGCUUGCAUCCGGUGUCUUGUGUAAAAGGAAUGUGCCACCAAGACUUAAAAGGUAAUUCUUAAGAGGUUGUUAGACCUGCUAUGUUGCAUUGGGCAGAGUAUUGGCCAGUCAAGAACUCGCACUUCUAGAAGAUGAAAGUAGCAUAAAGAAGGAUGUUUAGAUGGAUGUGUGGGCAUACUAGGAGAGACAAGAUUAAGAGCGAAGAUAUUCGAGACAAGGUGGUAGUGGCCAACAUUGUGGGCAAGAUGAGGGGGACAAGACUGAGAUGGUUCGGACAUGUUAGAUAUCCUAAGGUAGUGAAGAAGCGUGAGAGGUUGGCUAUGACGGGUAUGAGGAGAGGUACAGGUAGCCCAAAUAAGUAUUGGGGAGAGAUAAUUACACUGGACAUGACACAUGUGCAACUCAUCAACGAAAUGACCCUAGAUAGGAGAUAUGUGAGGAUUAAGGUAGAAGACUGGUAGGUAGUCAAGAGUUGCUUAGUUUCCUUAUCAAGAUCAUUAGUAUUACUCUCAUACUAUCUUAGUCUUUGAACUUAUUAUUACUUACUGCUUCCUAGUCCUUGGAAACAACCUCUCUACCUCUGUGAGGUAGGAGGUAGGGGUAAGGUCUGCGUACAUUCUACCCUCCACAGACCUCACUAUUUGGGAUUUCACCGGGUAUGUUGUUGUGUUGUUGUUCCAAGUCCCAUUAUGUGGUAUUAUUUGUUGUGACUAUUGUUCUUUUCUCAUCAUGACUUCUUCAUCACUAUAUUUUAUUUUCAUAUUGUUUUUGUAAUGCUUUACUUAAACCAAGAGUCCAAUGGAAACAACAAUUCUACCUUCACAAGAUAGGGGUAAGGCUGCAUACAUAUCACCCUCCACAGACCUCACUUGUGGGAUUACACUAGGUAUCUGAUUGUUGUAUCAAGUGUGAGGAAGAUGACUAAAAUAUUUUAGGAGUAUUCAAAUAAAUAAAUUUUAAAACAUUCAAAGUUCUUUUGAUGCGAUGUAAAGUUGUUUUUGAUUUAGGGUUUGAAUUCAUUCAUACCUUUAACGCGCUUAGAUAAUCAACCAAAUCAUUUUCAAAUCCACCAUCCUUGUCCAAAUUGUUUUGAUUCUUCCAGGGAAAAUCUUGCAUCCACAAUCCCUGGCUUUUGUUAUUCCAAUCAAUAGAGAUCAAGUUUGCAGUAUGUAUAAUAACUCUAACUCCUGUUGGAUAGACAAGAAGCAUGGCUUUUGAAUGGUGUGUUCCAUAUGCAAUCGGUAAAGAAGGUUUGUGCAGAAUCCAAUUUGCAAUCUUGCUUCUCUGUAAAGGGAGGAGACAAUGAAGAAGAAAUUUAAUCCAAGAGAAGCUUCAAUAACAUCAGAUUCUCAUAACUUAAAAAAUGUUAACCUUCAUGUAUUCCAUGGUACCAUCACCUUCUCCAUGAAUGACGAGAACAUUAGGAAUCCGUUUUAGAGUUGGACAUGCUGCAUAGAAAGGACCAUGAAAUCAGUCUUCAGGCAGAAAAAAAGAUUAACUUAGUUCAUAAAAGCAAAUAAACUUGUACAUAGUAUCCAACAAACAAUGGCAACCACAAAUAAGUUGGGAAACCGCCUCAUUGGACAAUCCAAGACGUCGAAGAACAAAAUUAAUAGGAGAAACAGUCAAUGUUAACAAAAUAAAAAACAAAAGAUAAGGCAAAAUAACAGAACUAACCAGAAAGUAGCCAAUCCAUAUCCACCAUGUAAUUCGAGAGGAUAGCUACAAGCACAUUCCCCUAUGAUACAUAGGAGCCAAUGUCAAGCAACCAACACAAACGUAGACAUUAUACAACAAUUACAAGUACAUAUAUAGAAGGAUUUAUCAAUUAUCAUAUGGAAAAUGAACCUUGGAUUUAAAUCAACUCCAAAAGCUAGAGUGUGAGGUGAAAAAUUCUCAAAAGACAACAAUAUGAAGAGACAUCAGUACAUUCCCCCAACCAAUGUGAGACUUUCUAAGAGCGUGAAUAAUAUUACAUGAGAAGCAAGAUUGGGUGAACCAAGAAUAGGGAUGGUCUGACCCUAACCAUGUAAGGAAAAUGACCUUGGAUCUAACUCAACCCCAAAAGGCAUGAUGAGGAUUGCCUAAUGGCUAAUACUCCCUUAUUUCAAUUUGUUUGCCUUACUUUCCUAUUUAGUCCGUUUCAAAAAAUGUCUCUUUUCUUUUCUAGCAACUCUUUAAUUCUAACUUUCCACGUGGCGUGUUUAAAACCACGAGAUUGAAGGGAAAUUUGGUACAUUCUACCUAUCUUUAGUUUAAGACCAUAAAAUUCAAAAAGUCUUUUUCACUUUCUUAAAUUCUGUGCAGAAGUCAAAACCAACACAAACAAAUUGAAACAGAGAGAGUAUCAUGUAAGGAGACAACCACCUACUUCCUCAACCAUAGUGGGACAUUUUACCAAGUAAUAACCAUCUAUAGGACACAUCGGAACACAGUGAGCUUUUGGAACCUGUUAAACGACUUAGCUCUAAAGUCUUUGCUGCCAUAUAGCUCCUAUACACUUAAUAUUGUAUAAGAGUAUUGGAUGAAUAUCUACAAGAGUCCUUCAUCAAAAAUAAAUAUAUGCAAGAAUCUAAAGCUCAGAAAAGAAAGGAUAGGAUCACAAGUUCACUAGGGAUGCAUCAGUUCAGGGAAAUCAGAAGCAAACUUGACGUCACGUCUUCUUUUGCCUCUUCACUAAUUCAUGAACAGUAAUGCAUCUAUCUAGGAGGACCAACAUCUCAGCCAAACAGAACCAAUUCCAAAACAGACGCAAUGCAUAACUCUACCUGAAUAACAUCAUUAAUAGAAACAGCUUCUGAAUUUGCCCAUGCUGGCAGCUCACGCACUCUCAUCAAUCUGAACGUGAGGGGCAACUUGUGUUUGGGAACCCUAAACUGACGUAUGGCCUCUGCAGAACUAUUUGUUUCUUGGCCAUUGUUGUGCAACAUAAUCUGUAAGCCAAAGAUUUAACAAGCAAUAAAAGUUGAAGCUUUUUACAUACAUAUUUUUUCCAACAACGUGUUAAUUUAUUCAGAGACAAAAAUGAUGAAACAAGGAAACCCAUACCAAUUCUGAAGCUUCCUCACAAACUUCUCGAGCUUUCUUCUUGCCAUGCAUCUGGCCUUUGUCAGUAAUGCUUUCUUCACUGAAAGGCCUUUUUUGUUUGUUACCUGGUGAAGUUUCAUCCUUACAAGCUGCGCUAACAUACUUAAAUAGGUAAUGCCCAGGUAUCAACUCUAUGAUAUCAUCACUUCCGAGUUUCCACCUCUCUCUAGACAAAAGCUUCUUCCUCUCACCCUUUGAUCUUAUAACAACUGGAUUUGUUCCUUCCUGCAAUACAGUCCCAUGUUUAUUCCAAAGAAAAGACUUCAACGGGAAAUUAAGAAGUAAGGAUACCAGCAUACUUUUACAUAUGUAAAUAAGUUGAAAUGCUAUCACAAGGUGUAGACAGAACUCAUGCACUAUAUGUAUACAUGAAUUUAUGAACAUUUACGAACCAAACUUUCAAAAAUUGACACCAAUCCAUCCAAUCACUUGGUAUACAAGCAUAGGAAACUAAGCAGCAUAUUCAUCACCAAAGCAGACUGAAAAACAAGCAUACUGCUGAGAAUCCUAGUAUCCACAAGUUACAAAAGGAUAAUCAAUAAUAAACACACACACACGUGGGUGUGGGUGUGGGUGUGUACAUCUGUGUAUGUAUGAUAUUAACUAGGACGAAUCAUCCAAAUACUGAAUUCAACCAGAAUAGAGCUCAUAGACAGAGCUGACGCAACUUAUUUGAGACUGAGUCAUCGUUGAAUGAUUGAUUGAUAUGUUUAAACAUUCAAUAAUACGUGAAAAUAUCCAUGAAGAAAGGAAAAAAGUGCAGAAAAGUACCACAACAACAUCAGCAGAGCCAGUGCAGGUAGCAGUGAUAAUAAGAUGCUUGCGGCUCAGCCGCUUAUCAGUAACUGGAAUGCAAUCCCGUCCAACACAAUUAGGACCUUCUGAGAGUGGAAUCUUGGGUAUGGAACUUUUCCCAUCCUCUUCCAAAUUAUCACUUAGAGGCACCAAAAAUCCAACCUUUUUGAAUCAAACACAAACCAAAUCAGCGAAAGAACUAGAAAAAACACACACAAAAAAACUAAACUCAUGCUACUAAUAUAUAUGGUGCCAACCAAGUUGAGACGUGUUUAUUCUGCAGUAUCGCGUAAGUUUCUAAUCAAGAAGAUCACUGGUUAUACACGAUUUCGAAAUUUGUUUGUUAAAAGUAACAAGUGGAAUCUUCGGAAUGGAACUAUUCUCAUCCCUUUACAAAUUAUCACUUAGAGGCACCAAAAAUCCAACCUUACUUGCAACAACAUACCGAAUGUAGCCCCACACAAUGGGGUCCGGGGAGGAUAGUGUGCACGCAGACCUUACAUCUACCUCAGAAAUCCAACCUUAUUUACAAAAACAUACCCUAUGUAGUUCCACAUAUUAGGGUCUGAGGAGGAUGGAGUGUACGCAGACCUCACCUCUACCUCAAAAAUCCAACCUUAUUUAAAAAAAUAUACUGAAUGUAGUCCCACACGGUGAGGACGGUGAGGUCUGGGGAGGGUAGAGUAUACCUCUACCUCAAAAAAUCCAACCUUCUUUGAUCAAACAAAAACUAAAAUCAACACAAGAACUCAAAAAAACACAAAAUACUAAAAUAAACUAAACUCAUGCUUCUGAUAUAUAUCAUACCAAUUUAGAAAAUCUCUAGUUUAAGCCAACUUCAAAUUUAUUUAUUAGACUAAAUUAUGAAAACGGGUCAGAAACAAAUUUGAAAAUGGAUUGAUUAACUAAACAAAAUGCUACUAAUAGAGAGAUGAAACCUUGGAUAUGGAACUAUUCUCAUUCCUCUUCAAAGAUAUUACUCAAUGGCACCAAAAAUUCAACCUUUUCUUAAUCAAACACAAUAAAAUCAAUGCAAAAUCAAAAUUGAAACAAAAUGGAAUCUUGGGUCUGGAAAUUUUCUCAUUUUUUUCAUAAUUAUCACUUAGAUACACCAAAAAAAUCCAAUCUUUUUCCGUCAAACACAAACUAAAACCAAUGCAAGAAGUAGAAAAAAAAAAAGACAAAAUUAUAGUAAAUAAAGAAAGUAGCUGAACCUGAGAAGAGAUGGACAUUGAAUAGGUAUUAUGAAAUGGGGUUUCGAAUUUUGCCAGCUUCCCCUUAUGGAGUUUGCAGAACAGGGCAAGCAGGCACUGGUUUUUGCCGCUUUGUAUAGUUCAUUCUCUGAACUUGUUAUUUUAUAUGUAAAAUCUUAACAUCAAUCCGUUAUCGUCCAGCGGUUAGGAUAUCUGGCUUUCACCCAGGAGACCCGGGUUCGAUUCCCGGUAACGGAACUUUUUGUUUUUCGGAUUUAAGGAUAUUGUUAUUAUAAGGUCAUUUCGUAACUAGUUAGAGUAAUGUAAAGAUAAAUUAUUUUUUUGGGGGCGUCAUGGAUAUUGUUAUUAUAAGGUUAGAGUAAUGUAACGAUAAGUUUUGAAGAAAUCUUCGUACUAGUUAUGCGGGUUUCUAAAUUAUUGUUGUUUCGUAUAUGGUUAAAGUAAUAUAAGGUUUAGUUAUGAGGAAAUCCACGUAGAAUUUAUGGAGAGAUUAGUUAUUCGUGUAUUAAUUAGUUUACCUUUUAUUAUGUAUAAAAUAAUAUAUAGAUUUUCUCAUAAUUUAUACGUGUAUGUAUUAGUUAUGUCUAAAUUAUCAAUAAAUUUUAUAUAUGAAUAACUUGUUGUAUAUCAAACUACCAAAAUCGUAUAGGUUAUAUGAAAAUUAAUGCAUGGAUUAAGAUCGUUCUUAUCCAGCUUGUUUGGUGUGAAGGUGAGUUAUGCUUAUAUUAAAUUCUGCAUAACUAAUAUUGUGUUUAAUUUGUUAUUAAAAGAUCCGCAUAAUUAGUAUGUAAAUAGGUUAUGAGGAAUUGUACAUAUAUUUUUUUAUGUAGGUAUAAGGUAGAAUAAUUAAUACAAGUAUAAUUGAUCUCUCCAUAAUCUUAUACCAAACGACUUUGGGGUUAAUUAUUUUGAUGUGAGAGGUGGUGGAUACACUUAACUCAUGAAAUGAGGUAUUUUAUGAAAUUAGUUGUCCCACCAUAUACAUAGAAUAACUUAUUUCAACAUUAUAAUAAAUAAAAGAGAAAAGACAUAGAGUCAGCACUGAAGUUGUUUCAAAUUUUUAAAAAAACACCUUAACUUUGUAAACGUCUUAUUAUUCCAUUGAACAAUUUUAAAUAAAUAUCAUUGACAUAGAGAGUGGUUGCACACUCUCAAAGAGAGUGAGCAACCUAUAAUAAAUAAUAUAAUUUUGUUUUUUAUAAGUACUUUAUUAAAAAAUAUAAUUUCUUAUUUUUCAUGUUAAUAUAAUUUUAUUUUUUAUAAGUACUUUAUUACAAAAUAUAUUUUCUUAUUUUUCAUGUUAUUUUAACUUUUUUUCCUUUUUAUUUUUUCUUUUCUCUUUCUUCUUUCUUCUUCAAAAAUUCAUUCUCAUCUCCAUCUAUUAAAGCUUCUUAUUUUUAAUGUCAUCAUUCUUAUCACAACUUCAUCUUCCUUUUUUGUUAUUAUUAAUUUUACUCUCUUUAAUUUUAAAAUUUUAUCUACAUUUGAAUAAUUUGAUAAACUCGUUAGAGUUCAAGAUGAUUAAGAAGUAUCAUAUAAUUUUUUUUAUCUGAUUUUCAAUUAAGUUCUUUCAUUUUUUGGGAGAUGAUGUGAAAUUUAAGAUAAAUCAAAAUUAAAAGUCAAAAAGUAAGAGAGAGAAAUAAAGUUUUAAAAAAAAGAUAAAGGAAAAAUUUAAAAUAAAAUAAAAAACACAUUUUAAAUUAAAUUAAUAUGUGUCAUAUAAUGAUUGGUGUGUAAACACAUUUUCUUCUUAUAACUUGGAACUGAUCGAAAAAUGACAUAAUAAUAUAUGUUAAAAUUAUUUAAUGAUAUAAUAAGACAAUUGCAAAGUUAAGGUAUUGUAAGUUUGAGACAACAUCAGUAGUAACUUUAUGUUUUUUCUCUAAAUAAAAUAGUAAAUAAAUAAUCAUGAGACUAAUUAAUAUUCUUAAUCAAACACAAAACAAGAUAAUUAACAUUUUAUCUUUGAAUUAUUGUCUUUUAUUCUUCGUACCAAAUGACCCGUGAAGGUUUAGGAUUUUAAAAUUUAAAAAUCGAUUAUUAAAUUUACAACGAUAUACUUUAUUUGUAAUUCUUUUUGGUGUGUGAUAUAAUUUUAUAUUUACUAUUCAUAUAACGAUAAAAUCUUACUAUUUUCAUAUUUAACUUUAUAUCUAAUCAAAGAUGUUAUAUAAUAUGAAAACCGUUCCUAUGGAUUCUUGAAGUCGAUUUAAGCACAUUAAAAAACAGAUAAUUUAUUAUCAAAUCGACGUAUUUGUAAAUUUUGACCUGAUUAAAAAUUUGGAAAAAAUGAAAUUAAAUAUUAAUAAAGUAAUGACAAUGAGAAUGAAGUCAACAAACCAAGCUGGAGUUUAUCAUUCUUUAACCAAAAAUUAAGGGUAUUACAUGUGUGGUUUAACAACUCAAACUACAAAUUGGAUCAUUGAAACAUAUAAAGUGUGCUUAAAUUAUAUGGCAGUGGAACCUUAUUGGUAUGCAAUAUGUUAAUUACAUGGUAUUUAACAACUUCUGUUGAUAAGAAGGGUAUUUUUGAUUCAAUAGUUUGACAUAAAGAGUAGUUUUGAACCAAAAUAUAGUUUAAGGGUAAAUAUGAGAUAUUUUGAAUAGUUUAAGGGUAUUUUUUUACCCUUUCUAUUUAGUCUACGUGGCAGUAAAAUCCUAUUGGCAUGCAAUGUGGCAUCCACGUGACAUUUAACAACUUCCGUUAAUAAGAAGAGUAUUUUUGACCCAAUAGUAUGACAGGAAGGAUAGUUUUGAGCCAAAAUAAAGUUUAAGGGUAUAUAUGAGCUAUUUCGAAUAGUUUAGGGUAUUUUUGAGCCUUUUUCGUAUAAAGGAGUAUGAAAGGAUACGUUAAUAAUAAAUACUUCCUUCGUUUUAAUAUAUUGAUGUAUCUAUAUUUUUUUCUGUUAUUUUACGUAAUUAUAAAAUAAAAUGACAUAUUUAAAACUAUAAAAUUCAAAAGUCUUUUUAUAUCUUUUUUAGAUAUGAUGUCAAAUUAAAACAAGACAAGCAAGUUAAAACAAGUAAAGUAAUAAAUAUUAUUCUCUCAUUUUUUAAUUUAUUUGACCUAUUUUCCUUAAUAAUUCAUUCAAAAAGUAUAUAUAUUUUCCUUUUUAGCAACUUUUCAAUAUAUUUAAGAACAUAUCACUAAAAAAAAUAUUAGUACAUUAAACGUAUAUUAAAUCGAAUAAGCAAAUUAAAACGGAUGAAUUAAUAAACAAUUGAUUUUUUCAAAAGGGAAAGAUAUCCUAAAGGCAAAGGCAAAGGCCACAUGAGAAAUCUUGAUCCGUGAGCCUAAUUGCGUCGAUGGCGUUUGACUUUGUUUUAUGUAUUCUUCGUUCACUUUUAAUUAUCAUCCGUUUUUUUAAAGUAAAUUUAAUUGAUUUUUAAAAUUAAAUUAUAUUAUACAAAUUUGAUACUUUAAAUAAAAAGUUAGAUAUUUAAAAUUAUACAAAAAAUAUUAUAAAUUAUAAUAUUUUUAACAUAUCAAUAUAAUAAAAUUAUAUUAUAAAAUAUUAAUCAAAAUUUUUAUCGUUUAACUCUAAAAAAUGAAUUCGUGACAACUAAAGGACGCAGGAAGUAAAACCUUAUACGAACACGCAAUUUUCUUGAAUGUUCAUUCAAAAAAUAAUUUUUUAAAAAAUAGAAAUUCUCGUCAAAGACUCAAAAGUUUGAUUAGAAAACUAAACAAUAAUUAAUCUUUGUUCGUUUAGUUUUAAUUUCAAGCCAAAUAAAGUAAUCUUAGGAGUAUAGGGGCCAUUUGGAAAGAGAAUUUAUCUCCUCUUUUUAAAAUAAUCGAUUAUUAAUUGAAUUAAUGUUUUGAUUAGUUUUUGAAAAUGAGUUUCUCAAGUGAAAUAAGAUUUCUAACUCACAAUAUUUAUUUAUUUUAAAUGAAUUGUUUCACUUUUCUACUCACAAAAAUUAUUUAUCUUAAUAUGACAUUGACUUUCAAAUAUCAUCUUUCAACUUUCUUUUUCAAAUACCUACAAUUAUAAUUAAUCUCUGGUGUUAAAGAGUUGGCGGAGGUAUAUUACUUUAACUCAAAUUAUGAAUUUAUGUUUAAACUUUUUUUACCAAAUAUAUAUAGAUAAUUGAUUCAAAAUUUAAUAAACAAAAUAUUUUGGCUUUCAAAUCAAAUAAAGUAAAGUAAUUAAAAGCCUGUUGAGAAUGUUGUGUUUAAAUAAUUCAGAUUCGAAUAUUAUUAAAUUUUAAUACGAAUAUUAAAUAUCGAAAGAAAGAAAAAAUACCAAGAAGAAAGACCAGAUCAAUUAUUCUCCUUUUGUUGCUUUUUUCUUCAUUCCAAUCUGUCUUUUUGUUUGUUUUCUAAUUCAAAGCAUCAAUUAUAAAUUUAUAAUUGAAGAAAAAUAGUGACAUAUAUACCUACUAGUCCUCUAUUAUCUUUCUUCUUCAAAGCCACCACAUUUCAUUGACUUCCCAUUUUCUCUUACCAAAAUACUUCAUUUUUCUUCCUUCUUCUCUUUUUUAUUUUUCUUCAAUUUAUGCUAAUUAAAUUGAAUCAAAAGAAAAAAAAAAGUUGUUAGUUGUGUAAUGAUCAUGGAAGAUUAAUUUCAUUUUUGAUUAUUGGUAAGUAUAUAUUGAGUAAUUCUCUUGUUUUUCCUUUUAAUAAUUCAUAUAGACAUGUUUAUAUACAUUAUAUUCAAAAUUAUGAUUGUUCAUAUACGUAUUGUGUGUUGGAAAAUCUUUUAUUUUUAAUAUGAUUAUUUGUUGUUUCCUUUGAUUCGAUUUUUGUGUUACUUGUGAUGUUGUAAGUAUUUCCUUUUUAUAUUGAUUUUGAUAUUGCAUUACUUUAAUCUAAGUUUAUCUAGAACAAUGUUUUUACGAAGAUAAGUUAAGGAUUAUAUAUGCACCGCCCUCUCAUUUUCUACUUGUAAGAUUACAGUGAAGAUAUUUGUUGUUCUGGUUGAUUCUAUUAAGAAAAUAUUGAAUUCAAUUGAACGCGUUAAAAAUUUGAAUAUACAUGUACUGUUUGUCUAUUUUGUAAUAUUGGAUGUUGAAAAUCUAUAUAGACACAUAUUUUUUUUUUGUAUUAUAUUUCAAUUUUUUCAUCUAUAAAUUGCUAUAUAGAUGAAAUUUUGGGUUUUAAUUUCGCAGGAAAAUUCAAAGUAAUUAAAGAUAUAGAAAAUGAACGGUGGUGAUCGAGUUCUAAGACGACGAAAGAGUCUAACUGAACGGCUAGGAUUAAAGAGAAUCGGAUGUUGCGGGUCCACUUGGGGUAUCAUGCCAGCAACAACGUUUGAUGUUGUUGACGAUGAAGACGAAAACGACAACGUAGAAGUGAUGAGUCAUCAUAUCCACACACCGCCACAAACACCGUGUCUGGCGGUGGCCGGAGGAGGAAGUUCCGGAAUGAAUUUGGCGGCUGCAUUGGCCGCCGAACGCCACUUCAGAGCGGAUAAUAAUGAAUUCAAUACCCUUUCGGGUUCAAGGCCCGGCCCAAACUCAAACUCGGGCCCAUUGAGACCCGAUGAAAGCAGCCCAACGAAUGUACCAACUUAUGACGACAAUGAAGUCAACAUUCAUUCGGGCCGACGGCUUAGGCCCGGCCCGAACUCAGUUUCGGGCCUACCGAGGACCGAUGGAGGUGUCUCGGGAAAUAUUCCGGGGACGCCAACGAGAAUGUCGUUGAUGAGGUUGUUAGAGGAAACAGAAGUGUAUGAAGGAGAAUUAUUGAUUGAGAAAGGAGAAGAGGGGGUGGGGAGUGAUAGUGUGUGUUGUGUGUGUAUGAGAAGAAAAAAAGGAGCAGCAUUUAUACCAUGUGGUCACACAUUUUGUAGAGUGUGUUCAAGAGAGCUUUGGGUAAAUCGAGGUUGUUGUCCACUUUGUAAUAGAUCCAUUCUUGAAAUUCUCGACAUUUACUAAGAAGAAUCCAAUGUUUUGGUUAUGCUGAUUUCAGAUUUGUCAUAUAAUAUAUACUUGUAUGUACAAUGUAAAUAGUACUAUUUUCAUGAAUGUUAGGGAAAUGGAAUUACUAUCGUCGAAAAAUUUAGUGACUAAGUGAUAAGUACUUCAUUUUUAUUCUUAAUUAGACAUUUUAAGUUUGAGCCCUAGGUAUAGAUGGCGUAUAAUUAUAUUAUGUAGCUAGUGUGAAAAUAUUUCUUUUUUAUGUAUGUACAUAUAUUACAUAUUGACACUCCUUGACUUUUAUACGAUUUUAUUUCUUUAUAUUUUGACAUUCCUUAAACAAAAUUCUAGCUCCAUCGCUGCUAGGUAUGCUAUAGUAUUACUCGAUAUAAAAUUUUGUUACGAGACUUUAAAUUUAAUCGUGUUUCAAUAGGAUACGAAAAGAAGAUUAGGGUGAAGCGGGAGGAAAAUUUGAUUUGAAGAAUGUGAAAUGUAGUGAAAGUUAGAAGUUUCUAGUGAUUAUCACAAAGACGUAACAUCUUUUUAUCUUUUCUUUUAGUUUGGCUUGUAAUUUGUUUUGGAGGGAAAAAAAAAAGAAAGAUGAAAGAAAAAAAAAAUUUAAAGUAAAAAGUUGUUUUCAAUUUAUUAUUAAUAUAAGAAUCUUCUGAACUCUAAAAGUAAUAGUAGAACAAUAAUAGAAAUGACUAGUUUCAUUUGUUUAUGGUGUAAAAUAAGAAUGAAAAGAAAAGGCAUGGUCUAUCCUAACUAUAAUUUAGAUUCAUCAAGACAGAGAAAUUCAGUUUUAUGCUGGUGUUAAAUGGACGAAUAUAUCAAUUAAGAAAUUUAUUUAAAAAAAUUUAUGAAUUGUGUAGAGAAAAAUAUAUCAAAGCUAGGCGAAAGAUUCUUUGCCCAAAAAUAGUGAAAGGUGUAUGGGUUCAUUUCAAAACCAAAUUUUAAUCUUAACGAUCGAAAAAUAUCAAUCAAACAGAUUUAUAAAAAAGAAAAACAUCAAAAUCGUGGACGGCAGGAUUCGAACCUGCGCGGGCAGAGCCCACAUGAUUUCUAGUCAUGCCCGAUAACCACUCCGGCACGUCCACUUGUGUUAAUCUUAGAGGCUAGCUUUGUAACAAAAAUUGUUUUUUCACUGUACUUCGGUUUGUUACAGUCACUUCUGCAUUCCUCGUUAAAAUUUAUAAUUAUUAACUUUUACGUAACGCUUUAUAUUUCAAUUCGAUACAGUUAUAUAUAUAUGUAUAUUAAUUUUAAUUGACAUAUAAUUUAUGUUCUGAAUAAUCUACUAGCUUGCAAUUACUUGCAUGUGGUGCUAACGUAGCUAAAAUUUAAUAGUUUCGUCUUAAAUUUUGUAUUUGUUUUUGAUACGAAGAAACUCGGGGUCGAGUUACGAAGCAUUCAGCUUUGUCCCAGCCCAGUAUUGAACAACUGACAACUUUUCAAGUUCAAAAAUGAAAGCCAAUGCUAUUGUCCUUCACUCCAAACACUAAUAGUAGACGUAGCCAUCCCGCAUAGUAGUGAAAUGAAUAAAAUUUCGUCACUCAUGAUUAGAUGUUUUGAAUUUAAAUUUUACGUAUAAAAAGUUUAUUAAGAAAGUAUCUUAUUAGGAACGGAAAAAGGAUCAAAAAAUUCCCUUAAACUAUCUGAAAUAGCUCAGAUAUACACUUAAACUAUAUUUUCACUCAAAACUAUCCUUCCCGUCAAACUAUUGGAUCAAAAGUGACUUUAUUAUUGGCGGAAAUUGUUAAAUGUCACAUGUGUCACAUUGACUAAAUCCCUAAAUCUUAAAUACUCAUUUCAUUAUUUCUCGGAAAUGAUUUUACCCCUUCUCCCUCAUUUCGUGGCUAAGGUUUCACAGUUUUCUUCGUCACUAGGUUUCAAAGUUGAUAUUCGUGGUUAUAGGUUAGUAAAUUUUUUUCUUAUUUUAUUUUGUUAACAACCACGAAAAUCCACUUUGAACUCAGCUCUGAAGAAAGUUAUGGAACCUUGGCCGCGAAAUGACGGGAAAGUUGUGAAAUUCUAACUAUCAUACUUUGAAAUCGUAAACGUAAUAAAAUAAGAAAAAAUAUUUACUAACCCAUAACCAUGAAUAUCCACUUUGAAACUCAGCCCCGAAGAAAGCUACGAUGUCUUAGCUGUGAAAUUAGGGGAAAUUUGUGAAAUCCUAACUAUUAUACUUUGAAAUUGUAAACAUAAUAAAAUAAGAAAAAAUAUUUACUAGCCUACAAGCAUGAAUAUCCACUUUGAAACCCAGCCACGAAAAGAAAAUAUGAAACCCUAGCCGCGAAAUGAGGGAGAACAGGUGAAUAUAUCAUUUCUGAAAUAAUGAAAUGAGGGGGGAAGUAAUUAGGAUUUAGGGAUUUAAUCUAUGUGGUAGUGGAACCUUAUUAGCAUGCAAUGUGGCAUCCACACGACAUUUAAUAAUUUUUGUUGAUAAGAAGGGUACUUUUGAUUCAAUAGUUUGACGGGAAGGGUAGUUUUGAGCCGAAAUAUAGUUUAAGGGUAAAUAUGAGCUAUUUCGAAUAGUUUAAGGGUAUUUUUGAUCUUUUCUAUUUAAUCUACGUGACAGUGGAAUCCUAUUGGCAUGCAAUGUGACAUCCAUAUGGCAUCCACGUGACAUUUAAUAACUUCCGUUAAUUAGAAGGGUAAUUUUGACCCAAUAGUAUGACGGGAAGGGUAGUUAUGAGCCGAAAUAAAGUUUAAGAAUAUAUAUGAUCUAUUUCGAUUAGUUUAGAGAUAUUUUUGAGUCUUUUCCGUAUUAGGAAUAAAUUUCAUCACUUUUAAUUAGAUGCUUCGUAUUUAUGCUCUACCAAUGAAAAAAAAAGGAUCAUACUGUGAAAUAUUUAUCCUUUAAAAGGAGUCUUUAAGUGACGAUUUCAAUUUAUGUCGGUAUCAAUAAAAAUAUCCAAUAUCAAAAUAAAAAGGGAUAAUGCCUAAGUACCCCUUCAACCUAUGCCCGAAAUCUCAGAGACACACUUAUACUAUACUAAGAUCCUAUUAUCCCCUGAAAUUAUUUUAUUAAUAAUUUUUUACCCCUUUUUAGCUUACGUGGCACUAUCUUGUGGGCCCAACGAUGGUCGACUUUUUUUCGAACUAGUGCCACGUAGGCUAAAAAGGGGUAGAAAAUUACAUAUAAAAUAAGUUCAGGGAUAAUAGGACCUUAUUAUAGUAUAAGUAUGUCUCUGGGAUUUCGGGCAUAAGUUGAGGAGUACUUGGGUAUUUCCCAAAUAAAAACAAAAAAAACUAUUAUAAUUAUAUAUUUCGAAUUCAAUUCCUGAGUAAAAAAUAAUCUACUCAAAUGAAUUUUAAAAAAUACGAAUUUAAAUUAAUCAGUUAUAUUUUAAAAGAAAAACUAUAGUAGUAUCAAUGGAGAAGUAAUAAAAUUUCCCAAAUUCCCAAAAUUCUCAGUACUAUCGAAAAUGUUGCUACAAUUAUUACUAACACUCACACUGUGUAGCACAUUCUCACUAGCUCACUCCCACUACAAUUGGUCACCGUCUUCCUCCUCCACCGUCGCCGCCGCCGCCGCUCACCCAUCGGAGUGGCGCCCGGGACGGGCAACCUACUAUGCUCCAGCAGAUCCACGGGAUGUAGUAGGUGGCGCGUGUGGGUACGGUGAUUUAGAGAGAAGUGGUUAUGGUAAAUCAACAGCUGGAUUAAGCACUGUGCUAUUCGAAAAGGGUCAGAUUUGCGGAGCUUGCUUUGAAGUUCGAUGUGUUGAGGAACUCCGAUGGUGUAUUCCGGGUACUUCGAUUAUUGUUACUGCAACGAAUUUUUGUGCUCCGAAUUAUGGAUUUGAACCUGAUGGCGGUGGACAUUGUAACCCUCCAAAUGCACAUUUUGUUCUGCCGAUUGAAGCUUUUGAGAAAAUUGCUAUUUGGAAAGCUUCGAAUAUGCCUGUUCAGUAUCGAAGGUAGUAUAGUUUCUUGUCCUUUAAUUUCUGUUAUUAUUUGAUGUUUCUUAUAUUUCGAUUAUCAUAUUAUUUUGUCAUAGUUAUUGUUCUGCUACUAUCUGCUAUUUUGCUAUUUCUUAUGUUGAUGAUCUAUCGGAAACAACCUUGGAAGUAAGAUUUGCCUACACUCUACCCUCUUGGGAUUCCAUUUUGUGGGACAUUGGGUAUUGUUGUUGUUGUUUUUAGAUGCUUUACUGGGAGAAUUCAUUACUCCAUUUGUUUCACGAAUAAUUCUGAUCUGAUUAAAGGAGAAAAAUGGUCAUCGAGGAUUCAUAUAGCCAAUCUCAGCUUAUUUGGGAUCAAAGGUGUAGUUGUUGUUAUAAGAAGAGCAUUAGAUGGUUCAAAGGUUGGAAAUUUUAGUAAUUUUGGUCAAAUUUCUUAGGAAAAUUUUAGAAUUUUGGGGUCCGUAACAAUUUAAAUGUCUCGUAAAGGGCUCUCAUGAAACUAUUCACAUAAUUUCAUUUGUGAUUCUCUAAUUCAAUGUUGUUCAUGGAGGAUUAAACUAUUUUCCCUUCAUAGUAAUGUGCAUCAUACUCCCCUAAGGAUAGCGUGGUGGUUGAAGGGUUGGAAUGACAACCAAGGGUAUCAAGGCUCGGAUUCUAGUAGAGAGCGAGCAGAUGAACUCUUCCCAUCUGCCUAAACCUUGGUUCAUAUAGGGUCGUCUAUUUGUGGCAAAGCUGAACAUAAUUCCAAUCUUGAACUAAUGAAUCAACUAUGCCUCAAAUCGAAACUAGUUGUGGUCAACCAUGUGAACCUUCUAUAUCGAUAAUCACCAGAGUUACAGUAUUUUACGUUGAUUUUCAUCAUAGUAUGUAUUAAAGCUUACAGAGCAGCUGCUUCCUUAUUCCUCCCUGCCCUUCACCACCAUAUCUUCAAGCACAGCUCCUUUAGUGUGCUUGGCAUUACCUUGCUCAUAUAAAAUAGAUCAAGCCUCAAAAUCUGUGGAUUUCCCGGGCACCAACAUUUUAUAAGGGAAGUCCUUCUGUUUCCCUUCUAAUAAAACCAUUCACCGAUCUACACUGAAUUUAGUAUUCAUUGCUUUCACCACCUUCAGGUGUCACUAUGUUGCACUUGAACAUUCACCUACUAUUCACCUUCUUUGUAAGUCUUGCAAAAGUUCCUUUGAAAUCCAGAUACAAUAUAUGGUGCAUCUCCAGUUCACCGAGGACAUGACCCUUCAUAGAGGAUGUAGAGGUCGAGGAUUAGAAUUUGUUUCCUUUCCCAGAGAUCAGUAUAAUUCUUUUCUUUCUGUUAUUGAUAGAUUUCUAUCACUAGGGGUUGUUUCAAUAUCUUAUUAUCUUCUUGUUCUUUUUAUUUGUUACUAUUGUGUCUUUUUCAUUGUUUGCUCAGUGAGGGUCUUUCGAAAACAGCUUCUCUAGUUGGUGUGUUGUUGUCUUCUUCAUGAGCCUUGCAAAAGUCCCUCUGAACUCCAGAUACAGUAUAGUUUUGUAUCUUGAUUAUUAGCAAGUACAUGUAUAGUAUUUAUCUAAAUAUUCAAGUUUUUGUUAGCUCUUCUGUUCUGAAUCUACAGUUGAUGGAGAAUUUACAGUGUGCCUUUUUUUCACAAUUUCCAACAGAAUUAAGUGCAGAAAGGAAGGAGGAGUUCGAUUCACGAUCAAUGGUGCUGGAAUAUUCUUGUCUGUUUUAAUCAGUAACGUUGCAGGCGCGGGUGAUAUAGUGGCAGCAAAAGUUAAGGGUUCAAGAACAGGAUGGCUUCCCAUGGGUAGGAUUUGGGGCCAAAACUGGCAUAUAAGUGCGGAUUUGAAGAAUCAACCACUUUCUUUCGAGAUAACAAGCAGUGAUGGAGUCACCUUAACAUCUUACAAUGUUGCUCCGAAGAUCUGGAAUUUUGGACAGACUUUUCAAGGUAAGCAGUUCGAAUCGUAGGCUGUUCUGGACCUUCCUUGAGGUAUUCAUCAAGAUUGAGUUGUGCUUGUUUCUGAUGGGGAACUACCAGAUGUAGAUUUUGGAGUGCAAAGUUGUAAGAUCACUUGAAUGUAUUAGUAUGUUUCAUUGUUUAUACAUGUGUUGUGUAUUGUAUUGUGUUGGUUGCUAUAUGAAGAAUAAUGUUGCACAUACAGCCGGUGUCACUGUAGAUAAUUUUCACUCCAGCAGAUGAAUUCCAUGUUCAGGCGAUAAACGCCUAAAGAUCCGAAUCAGGAGGCAUGAUUACACUAAGUAAGUAUGUCGUUGUUUCUACAAGAAUUAUGGUCCAUUCUCCAUUUAUAAGGGCUGAAAAAGGUAAAUCUCUAGCACCUUAGAGAGUGAACAAAUAACCUAUGUUGCUCGAAUUCACACGUGCAUUUUGGAGGAUGUACAACAAACAUUUUCAGAGAGUGCGAGCAACAUAACAAAUAACUAUAUAUCUAAAUAAGAUCAAAAAUGCAAUUAAAGCCAAACUUCAUCUACAGUUAUAGCAAAAAUUCCAGUGGUUGGAGAGGGAAGAAGAGGUAAAUUUCCUCACCUUGCAACAUUACAACACAAUCAGAAAAUCAUCUUGAUAUGGCUAGAAAGCCAUGAUGCUCGAACCCUCCAAAAGUGUUGCCACACACCAGUGUUGGGUCCUCAAAAAUGCAUUACUUUUGGAGGAUCCAACAUGUACCCAACGGAGCUUCAAACAUACAAGGAGAGUUAAGAAGCUUUUUGGAGACGAAGUUCUAAUUCCAAUGCAAGAGCAUCAAACAUACAAAAGAGUCAUAUAUGAACUCAAGUUAGACCUUAAAACUACCAAGAAACACACAAAACAGCAAGCAUUCAAUUCAUCAACCUUUGAAAUUUAACUAGAGAAGCAGGAAAAGACAAGGUCUAUUAUGGUAUCAAAUCUAAGUAGGUUCAAGAGAGAUAUCGUCAACUUGACAUAAAAGCAAGUAGAAUACCAUAUAGAGAUGCAAUCAUGUAACUGGAUACUCAAAAUAUUGUACAUAUUUCAGAAACGUCGAUUGUUCUACAUAUGAGAUAUGAGGAGUUUCUCCUGCUCUAGAAUACAAUUCGUGUAAGUAUCAGUAAUCAUACAAAUGAACAAGGGGGAAAAGAAUAUGAACUACCAUCAAAGAAUUCUUGCUAAACAUAUCAGUUGCCAAAUGAAUACUUGGAAAAAAAAUAUUCACCGACGUUAUUGAAGUAUGAGUUCAAGCAAUUACCAAAGUGAUUCUAUUUCCCUUUCCCAUUGCGGAAGGGUGUCAUAUCGUUAACCAUAAUCGCUCCAUCAUAGCUUCUGGUUAGAUUCUAUCAGCAAUCCAUUUAACAUGAUAUGUACAGCAGCUUCAUAGACAGCCCCCUCAUAAUGCAUCCCAUCGGACGUACAAUCAGCUCCACAUUUAUUACUCAACGAAUGCACGUCCAGCAAAAACAAUGGUCCACCAGAUUGUUGAAGAAGCUUACUUCUGUAAAGUUCAUCAUUAUAAGCUUCCCACAUUACAUCAUUCAUCUUCUCCCUCUUCUCAUCUGUUUUCAACAUUGAGCUUAUCAACUUAGGCAUCCCCAACCAAAACAAGUUGGGCGACCGAACUGGAACCACAAUAUUUGUCCCAGAACCAUCACUGUUAGCAAACGCUGAAGAAACUGGUAACAACAACACUACUGAAUCCUUCAAAGACUUUAACGAAACACCAUAGUCCGAAGCGUUAUUUACAUGUAACAUAUCCCAUAACCCUGCCCCCAUCACAAAUACAUCAGGAUAACUCUUUUUUUCUUUGAACCUCAUUAUCAAAUCAGUCAAAUUACUCAUAUAAGGUGCCCAUAUAAAGUCCAGCUUCAUCCCAAUCUCAUCAACAAAUAUGUUAUAAUCACUAUGCCUCAAGAAAAGAUCCUUCUUUAUCAACUCCAUCUUACUAUCUCCCAAUAACAACUCCAAAAGUGAAACCACCAUUAACCUAGCUUGUGAAUCUCCAGCAACAACAACCCAUGACCCAUUUAACAAAUCUGAAGCAUCAUUCAUAGUCAACUUCUGGAAAUCACAAUCUACAACAUUUUCAGACUCGACCCAUUUCCAAGAACCCCUUUUACUAUUAUUACUCAAUUCUUGAAAAUCAAAUGCUACUUGGUGAAGUAAAGAAAAACAAGAAUCACGAUUUACAAUAACAGAUGAUAAAGAAUCUGAACCUGAUGAAAGAAAAGAUGUAACAGAAGGGAAAUAUGGAACAAGAUGAACACCAACAGCAAGAGUGAUGAAAAGGGCACAACUGAAAAAGAGCAUCUUGUUACGGCUCAAAUGCCAACCUGCCAUACCCAUAGGGACAAAAAGUACAACCCCUGCUGCAAAAAGUCCUAAUUGGACAGCACCCAACAUGAUUUCUUGAUCUUAAAUCACACCCAUAGAGGUGUGGAAUCUGAAAAUUUGAAAAUUUUGACUUGAAAUGAUGAUUUUUUUGGUGGGAUCUUCAACAAAUUGAUGAUUUUUUGGAACUUAAGGAAAAAGAUUCGAUCUUUUUGUUUUUUGUUGUUGUGGGGAAGUGUAAAAGGGGUAGUUGAGAUUGUGAAGAUUAUGAAUGAAGCAAAAUUUGUAAAAGAGGUGAUGGCUAUGGAGCAACUGUGAGAAAGAGAGAAGGAGAACAAUGUCGAAAUUCUGAAUCGGGUCAAGGAUGAACGAACCUUGUGAUAUUGGGCCAAAUUGGGCCUAGAACAUUUCCAUGAGUUAUGACUCAUGGGUAUGCGUUCGAUAUGAAAAAAAAUAUUUUUUUUGAAAAAGUUAAUCUGCGUAAGUAAGAGAAGUGGGCUAUUGAUGGUUUCAAAAAAGGUAGAGAUAGGUCGAAAAAAUAUUGAAAAGGACUUAUUAGAUAAGACGUGAUAUGAUUUCUGGUUACUAAAAAUAUGAUUUUAGAUAAGAGGUUAGGGAGGAUAUGAAUUUAGAUAGGAUGGUUAAUUCGACAGUUGAUCGUCGUUUCGCUUUGAAUUUAUAUACACUUUUGAUUAUUGUUUUAUCUUGUUUUAAGUAUUGUUUAGGAUGAAAUCUACACUAAUUCUUCUAUUAUGUUACUUCUUUCCCUAUAUCACUUUGGUUGUAUUUUUCUUGGAUCUGUUGGAAAUAGCAUUUAUAUUUUUAAGAUAAUGGUUUUUGCAUACACUUUACGUUUCUAAAGCUUCAUUAGUAUAAUUAUACUAAGUAUACUGUACUCCCUCCGCUCAAUAAGAGUUGUUCACUAUACUAAAAAUAGAUGUCCAACAACAUUUGUUCACUUUAUAAUUCAUGGAUGAUUUUACAGGUAAUUUCCAUUUUACCCUUAUCAUUAAUAUAUAGUCUUUUUUUUUCUAUAACAUUUUUCAGCAUAUUAUAUUUAUUACAUUCAAAGGGUGAUAUAAUAAAAUUAUCCUUUUAUUUAUAGUUUCUAAAUAGGUGUUUCAAGUCAAUAAUAAACAAUUAUUGUUGAAUAGAAGAAGCACUUGUUUAUAAGAUUACACAUAAAUAACAUAUCAAUGAAAUAUCAUAAAUAAGGUCCGAAAAAAGUAAAAUGUACGCAAACUUUAUCACUAUAUCAUAGAGAUAGAUAGAUCGUUUUCAUAAAAACCUAGCUGAAGUAUGGCAAUUUUUAUGUACAAAGACAAGGAAAUAUUGAAAAAUAAAUAAAUAUAAUAUGUAAUAAGAAGACAAUGCAAAAUUUACCAUAAGACAACAAAAUACUAAAAUAUAUUAUUAAAAGCAAAAACUACAAUACAACAUCUAAUAUAAUAUUAUCAUAUAUAUCAAAAUAGGACGUGAAAUAUAUUAUCCUAAUUUUUUUUGCAGCAAAUGUGAUUCUAUUUCAAUAUUUCAUAUGAAAUGAGUAUUAAUAAAAUUCAGAAUAUAUAUAAUAUUUUAUAAGUUGUUUUAUCAAAAAAUUAUUUUCGAAAAGAGUUUGUUUUAUUUUAGACUUUUUAGGAGUCGCCACUUAAUUUUUAAGGAAAAUAAAGAAAACUUUAAUUUUCAAAACACUUACCAAAAAAAUCAAUUGAAAAUAUUAAAGGGGUUCGGGAUUCCUAUUAGCAUCUUAGGAAGGUGUUUAAGGCACCUAAGACUCUCCGCUAACUACGGUUUUCCAACGAUUAACAAUAUUUGACUAUUUUUGUUUUCAAAUUUUUACAAAGCCUUAAGUUGAACUUUCAAAACAUUCCCUUAGGCAAAUUUUCAAGUUUUGAAUAUUUAUUAUUUUAAGACUUAGUUUUAACUUGAUAAAAUAGAACGGCGUUUCGAAAGGGGCUUUGGAGUUUUCUAAUCCUAAGCUAACGGCACUCAAAACGAAACACAAAAGCAACUAAAGGAGAGAUAGAGAGAGAGAUUUUGGGUCCAAAUUCGGGUUCUGUUCGCCUUGACCGAAUUUUGGACCCACCUGUCGUUGGGUUUUUAACCUAUUUUGUACCUGUCCUAAUCUAAGCAUACAAGAUAAAAUAGAAAUAAACAAAGAAAACGAGGAAAACAACUAGGGCUUAUGCCCAUUAAAAAAUGCAAAAAUAAAUAAAAAGGGUCUUCUAAUCCCGUGCUCCCUCGGCUUUCGAUCUUCGUAGAACUCGAAAUUUAACUUCAUACGCCGGUUUUCACGAAUUGACUCGAUGAAAGACAUUUAGAGCCUUUAUGGCUCCCUCGGAAUAAAGAGGACAAGAGUUUAAUAAACUCGGACGGUUUUACAUGCAUAAAGAUGGAAACCAUGAUUAGAACCUCACAUGAUCGAAACUGAAAUAAAUACAAGGUAAGUCAAGACAAUAUCCCAAAUAAUUAUAACACAAAUAACUUAAGACAUGGACAAUUAAUAUAGGGAGACAAAUUCUAAAGAAACUUAAUAAUUCAAAUCACGCCAUUUACCACAUGAUAAUCUACUUAAGCAAGGGGACAAAAUGGCAAAUACAGAAUCACAAUACUAAGUGAAAAUAAGCAGCUAAGUUGUUCAAUCCAUACUUCAGUUGAUAUACGACAUAAACACAUUUGUAUCUGGGGGUUCUGUUUUUUUUUCUCUGGGUUCUCGGAAUGGUGUAGGGGAAGGGGGAAGGAGAAAGAGGGGAGAUGGGUCGGGUUUUUUCAGGUAUUGGGUUGGAAAGGAAGUGGGCUGCUGAUGGGUAAUUGGGCCUGGGGAUGUUGGGGCCUGGAUUUAACUUAGUGUGUAUUGGGUCGCCUGAGAAUAAAUGGGUUGGGAUUUUAAGAUGGGCUGCUGAAUAUUUGGGUUUGGAAAGGGAAACUUGGGCCUGGGAAUUAGGAAUAAGGUGAGGGGCCCAAAUUUGGCUCUUCCAAAUUAAAUGGAAAAAGAGUUCAAUUUAAAUAAUAGUCAAUCGAUUCAAAAACGAAUUAGGUAUAAAUUUAUUAACGAGCCUAUUUGUUUAGUAACAUUAUUAUUUAAAUUAUAAAAUAAUGAUUCAAAAUAUAAUUGUGAUUUAAAGUAAACUAGUUUAAUAGAAUACUUUCUAAACUUAAGAUAUACAUGUAUAUAGAUAUUUUAAUUUUCGCAAGCUUUAUAAAACUAGUUAACUUAAAUAAUUUGAAAAACUCACGAAGCUCGAUAAUUAAGUUAUACCAAUGUGGGUCAAAAAUUGGGUGUCAACAUAAGUGUUCAAGGAGAUUCUAAAUUUCUAAUCGUUACCCAAGUGGGCAACAAAGUCAAAGUGAGUUUCAUUUGUACUUUAUUAUUAAGUUUUUUUUAAUACAAAUUUCGUAGAUAUUAUUAAAAUAAUUCUCAAUACAAAUAUUAUAAUUAUGUAAAAUUAGUGAUUUCUCCAUUUAUAAUGAAUUUUAUAUAAUAUUUAGGUAAAAGUUUUUACAAUUCUUUGAAUAGAGAAUAUAAUUAUGUGACUUUAGUCUAUGAUAAAUCAUAAUCAUGUGAUGGAAAAUUAAUUAACCUAUGAAGAUGGAAUCAAAAUGAGAAUAUUAGGAUAAAGAAUUGGACUUUCUAAUAUAAUAAAACAAAAAUGUGACAAUCACAUGAACUUUUUCGAAAAUGAUAUAAAGGGGAUGUCGAUGACAAAAAAAAGACCAGCAAAACAAUGCAAAACUUCAUUCCUUGUGGUUAACAUUGGAGCCAAGUAAGACCAAGAGGUCUUUGACAAAACAUUAUAUCGUAAAUUUAAUUUUAUUUAUUUAAUAUGUAUUGAACUUUUUAUAUUUAAAUUUGUUAAAUAAAGAAUUUGGUCCCAUUACUAUUAUUGUGUAGUGUGCCAAUAAUUUUUGUUACGUUAAAAAAGAAAAGAAUGGACUAGAAAGAGAUGGUCAUUUUUGUUUUUGCUUUUUAUUCAUUGUUAAAUAUCUAAAUUAAAAUUGAUUAAAUCUAAUUUUUUUACAAAAAAUUUCAUUUGAUAUCUAUAUUAAAAUUGAUUAUCGAGAAAUUUCAUCAUAAGAGGAAAGAUACGUAAUACUUUGUCUUUUUAGAAUGAUGACAAAAAAAAUGUGUGCGGUUCAUAGUAUAUCGACGAGAAACAUGUUGCUUUAACCAAGUGUGGAUUAUUCAAUGUAUUAAUAUCGAAUUUAUCUGGAUUUAAUCAUAAACUUUAAUUUAUACGUAAAAGUUUAUAAAAAUCGUAAUAAAAUACUAUUCUUUUUGUUCUAAAUUUUUAUCGAUAGUUCUUUAAUUUCAAUUUUUUUUUCAUAUUAUAUGUUUAAGAUUAUAAGAUGAAAUGACGUUUUAAUACAUUCUACGUAUUUUUUACUUUAAAUAUUGAACUAAUAAAAUUUAAAUUCGAAGUCUGCUUUCUAACAUUCCAUCUUCAUCAUACGAUCAAUCGUAAUCUAAACUAAUACAUCAUAACAUGCAAAUAUAAUGCAAUAUAAAACAUCCAAAGAGACACACAACUUUAUAAAAUAUGGUACAUUUUCAAUCAUAAAAGGAAUUAUCUUUUUGUUUUAGGCCAAAUAUGUGGGCGUUGGCCCUGAAAGUUUGUUUUAAUUGUCAUUUUAACAUUAAACACACAAGUGGACAACUAUUUAAAUUAAUUUUUCAAAAAGUUAAAGGUCCUAAUUAAAUAUCCAAUAUAUGGUAAUCUUUAAUUUUGUUACGUGAAGGAAAGAAAAAGGUGUAAAGUAGUGAGAAAUGGAUUUUAUACCUAACUUGCAGUUUGAAAAAUAUAAAUCAUCGAUGAUUUGGUGGUGAUAACUAUAAAAAGAUAUAGCUGAAACUUUAAAAAUAUGAGAGUUAUAUUUAAAUUGUAUAAAUACAAACGAUAAUUAUAAUACAAUUCAAAUUCAAUAUUAAGAAUUGCUAUAAAUUUGAUGGUUAUUAUUCUACAAACAAAUAUAAUACAUGUCUGUAAACUAAUUUAAAUAGUAUAUAUCGAAAUGUUUGGAAUUCAUACAUAAUACUUAUUAUAUAAUAUAUUGGUUUUAAAAAUGUUUUAUUUAUUUAUGUAAAAUGAUGACCGAAAUAAUAUAUUCUACUUUUUAUAACCGAUUAAACUAAACUUUUUAUAAAUUGUUUUGGAGCAACCUUAUUUUGUACUUUAAAAAAUUCAUUUUUUUUAUUUUUUCGACUUUAAAGCCAAAAUUAUCCUUUAUUUAUGAAAGUGGAUGUAUUUUUAUCCCUUUAAUAUAAGGUUGAGUUUUCUUUAAGUUUGUAAUGUUAAGUGGGGCACUUUAUAUUAGUCCAAUUAACAGAAUUGACUUAGAAAUUGAUGGCGAUUACUUGAAAAAAUCGCUACAAAAAACAUAAUAAAAAUAAAAUUUCAUUUGAUUUUUAAACCAAAAGAAAAGUGACAUGACUAACGAUUUGAUCCCAUCUUCUUUUUUUUUUUAAGAAAAAAAUUAAAAGAAAAAUUUAUUAAACUGGAUGAUUAAUUUUAACAUAAAAAUUAAAAAAAUAAAAAUCAAUCGAGCUCACUAUUUGAUAUUAUUAUUUUCAUCUUGAUAUUGUUACUUCAUAUCACUGAAUUAUAAAAUGCGUUAACGGCAAUUAUCAUAGACGCAGACUGAAAGCAUAAAAUUACAACUAUUCCAUUUUUGUUUUUUUUUUUGCCAACCCAAAAAAAAAACUAAUAAUUUAUUUACAUAAUUAUAGAAAAUUGGAAUUUAUUCAUGUUUUUGGACCAUUCAGAUAACCCCACAAUAAAAAAAAAGUGCACAAAAGUGCAAAGUGCUACGUGUCCUAAUUAUAGCCAUACUACAUUUGUGCAUAAAAUUAGCCACCAUUAUUUUUAAGAUUAUUCUUUUUCUUGUUUUAAUUUAUAUGCCACACUUUCUUAUUAAUCCAUCUUAAACAGAAUGACACACUUUUUAUUUGACAAAUAUUUAAUGACAUUAUUAACAUUUUAUCCUCGUUAGAUUUCACUUAUUUGGUUAAAGGUGGUGUACUUUUCUAAUCUAAAAUCAUUAAUUUUAGGUAUAAUUUUAGAACAUUGCAAAGCCUUUUCAUAUAUUUAAACAAUGUACAUAAUUAUGUAAUUAUGUUAUGUUAUAUAAAUUGAGACGAAAAAAAUAUUAUUUAUCAGGUACGAGUGUCACUUUACACUAGAGGUGUUUACGGACAGAGACGAAUCCAAGAUUUGAACUUCAUGGUGUCAAGUAUACACAUUGCUUAGAUUAUUAAAUCAACUUUAGGUUUCAAUUCCGCACAAAAUCUAUAAAACAUAACCUUUUUAAAAAUAAUUUUACUAAUAUUAUAAACAUAUAUUAUUCAUUUAUAAUAGUUCUCGACGAGUUUACAUAUUUUCAAAACUGUCAAUUAGAACAUCAUUACUUAUAUUUGUAAAUGUAUCACUUACUACGUAACAAACUAAACAAAUCAUUUGAAUAUCACUCAUCACUCUUAUUUAUAUUUUAUUUUUUUAUCUACUUCACCAAAGAAAAUGAUAAUUUCACAAUUGCGAUUGCUACCAGAAAAAUAUUUACUUAAUCAAUUUUAAAAAGAUUAAGUAAUAGAAAUAUUUUUUAUUUUAUUAAGAAAAGAGGAUUUUAUCAUAUCUAAAUAUAAAUUAAAGAUGAAGUUACUAUGAUAUUAUUUAAAAAGUAAAUGACAUUAUUCUAUUUAAAUUACAAAAUGAGAUUAAGAAAAGUAUAACUAUUUCCAUUUUUUUAGCUAAAAGGAUUUCAAAAAAAAAAAAGUAACAAGAAAGAGAUUUUUUAAAAAUAAUAAUUUUAUUAGAAAUAUAUAUAAAAAAUUAAUAAUAUUCGUUAGAAAAAGUGAAUUUUCAAAAUAAUAAAGUAAUAACACGAAUACUUUUAGGGUCAAACAAUUAAUAGUGGAGAAUGGAGAUAUUUUUAGUACAAAUUAUUUAUACAAAAUAUCUUUAUUCAAUGUGACAUAAUUUUAAGCUAUUUUUAACACUUUUCCAUCAAAUAAAUAAUUAAUAACAAAUUAUUAAAAAAUCAAAGAUUAAUAAAUUAAAUUAAUGAACUAUAAUUAGUUAUUAAAACCAAGCCAACUAGAAUUAAAUAGAAAAAAGGAAAUAUAAUCUUCAAAAUAUGCUUUGUUGAAGUAUAAUUCCUCGUCUAUUUAAAGCUUCGGAGAUUUAAAUUGGCAAGCGAAUUACACAAAGCAAAUGAAACUACACCUUUUGGUUCUGUGGGUGUCAUUUGCUUAUUUAUAAACAUUGUACAUAUAUACACCUAUAUGUAUAUCACGUUUCGAUCGAAGCUCGUGGGUGGCGUGGCACCCAUAAAUCGUAGUAGAUUCGCCCCUGUUUACGGAUCGAUUUAGGUCGGUUAUAGAUCAAAAUCAAAUCAAUUUAAUUAAUUUUACCAAUCAAACCAAAUCAAAUAUACUAUACAUUUAUUGGUUUGGUUGUUCGAAUUUCGAUUUGAUUUGAUUCAAUUAUUCGAUUAUCAAUCAUACAGAAAUAAAAGAAACAAUUCAUUUUAAAGAGGAACAAAAGAGGCAAGAACUCAUUCAAAAUGAAAAAUACUUAAAAUAGCCGAAUUUAUAAAACUUUUUAUUACUAAAUUUACUGUGAAUAAAACUUUUAAAUUCACCAUUUUAGCCUAGAAGUAAGAGAGAAAAACAUUUCCACCAAGAAUUGUCAAGAAUACUCAUAUACAUGAAACCAAUAUGAUAAAUGUUCUCUUCAGGACGGUUCAUAAAUAAAUUAUGAUAAACAUAUAUAAGAUAUUUAAAAUAAAAUAAAAUAUAUAUAUAUAAAAUUUAUCGGUUCGAUUAUUUCUUCAACUUUUUAAAUAAAAUCAAAGACUAUCAAUUCUUAAGAAUCUUAGAACAAACUAAACCAAAUAAAAUUAAACGAUUUAAUCAACUUAAUUUAAUUUUUCAAUGUGGGUCAAUUUUUAUCCAAAUACUUUUACACCCACUUUUCACCAUCACAAGGGGUAAGAACUAGCAAAUUAUUUUGCCUUAACAAAAACUUACUAUUGGUGUAGAGAAAAUUGGUUGAUUUUCUUAUCAAUAUAUAUAAUUUAGUACCCAAUUUUCCCAAAACUAAAUAAAAUAUAGAAUAUCCACUAAGGUGGUUACACGUGUACACUCAACCAAUGACGGCACUUCAAAUUCUUGAUAACGGUAUCUUCCCACCUUCAUAUAUUUCAACAUUUUAUUGUUAAAAUAAAAUCGCACGCUCUAUUUUAUCUAAAUUUUAUUUAUAGAAUUAUAUUAAGUAUGUUAUUAUUAAUUUUUACGUAUAAAUAUAUUUCAUAUUAAAAUCAUAUAAGUUGACAUCACUAAGUUCGUUGGAUUUGCAUGUAGACCCAAUUAUUCAGAUACUCAACAUGACUCAUUUAAUAUUGGAUUAUUGAAAUAUUUGUAAUACAUUAAGAAUAUAAUUGUUAACUAUUUUAAUUUUUAAUUAUACGUAAAUAUCAAACAAAAAUAUUAAUAUGAUCGCUAUAUUAGAUGAUAACUAUAAGGAGCCUACACAAUUAACACUAUUUAACUCUAUUCUUUGCAUUUAUAAAAAGUUACUUUAGUCUUAGGUUCACAAUGUCAAAAUCUAAACAACUAAAAACGACGAGGAGUAAGGUUUGCAACGACGAUAACAAGGAUUAGGCAACAAUUAGAGUUGUGAAUUGUGAGUAUUAACUAUACUUUUACUAUAUUAGGCAGAAUUUUUGCACUCAAUGAGUAACUUGAUUUAUUUAUUUUUUAUUUCGCCCUAAAUUAUUGGACAAGUCAUAUAUUUGUUUUGAAAACAUUCUUUUAUUGGCUAAAUCGAAAAUUGAAUCGUUAAAGAUCAAAAAUCAAUAACAAAUAUCUUAUUGGUUUAACAUAUUUAAAAAUAAAAAACCAAUAAAUCUAACUAAUAAUAUUUAAUACGAAAACGAAAUGGACUGACACACAUUCCUAAAUUUUUGGUCAAAAUUUUUUCAUAAUUUCCCUAAAAUCUAAAAUAUUAAAUAUUUGACGGAAACAAAAAAUUCACUUUUAAUAAAUUAUUUGAAGGACUAAAACAGUGGAAGAAUAUAUUUAAGAAGCUAAUUUGAACCUAGUGCCAAAUAUAAAGGGACCAUUUUUGUCAUUUUUCAACUUGAAAAUCUACGUGUCUUAAUAUAACACCAAAGAAUUAAUAUUUACUGAAAAAAUGUAAAAAUGAGGAUAUGGAUUCUGAAUCACUCAAUUCCAAUCAGCAAAAAUAAAAUAAAAUAAAAUAAAAUAAAAUUUAAAAAAUAAUAAUAAAUGCUAUAAAAUGACCAAAAUGUGUGGAGCAAAAAGUGCAGAAAAAACCAACAAAUUGCAUUCUCCAUUCUUGGAAGUGGCCAUUCUUGAUUUCUUGAAACAAAGGUUUGUUUCCCUUCACUUCUUGAUAUGUAAAGUUGCAAUCUUUAUAACUUUCUAUUGCUUUGCUAGUGUUUUUGUUAUAUACAGGGGGUGGAGUUAGAGGGUAAGUUACGCAUUUAGUCGUAACUUUAGUCAAACUUCGUAAUAAUUUAGUAAGUUAAAAUAUAUUAGAAAUUUUCAGAAUUCAUAAACUUUAAAUUUUAAAUUUUGACUUCGCUUUGUGUGACUAUACAAUUACAGAAAUUCAGAGUGGCCAUUGUUGAAAGAGAGGGUGGAAUUUGUGUAAGUUUUGUUUCCUUUCAGUUCUUGAUAUAUAAAGUUGCAAUCUUUAACAUUCUUUGUUCACUUUCUAUAGGUUUGCUAGGUUCGGUUAAAUUCAGUAGCUUUAGUUUAAACCCUAUGCGGAAUAGAGAAUGUGUAAACUUUAAACUUCAAAUUUUGGCUCCGCAUACGACUAGCGACUAUAUAAUAAUAGGAAUUGAGCACUUGGCUUUUGUAUAUAGCUUCUAUGUGUACCAAAAUUAGAAAAUCAGGCGAUUAUUAUAAUCUUGUUGACUAAAUAUAGAAUGCAUCCAUUACCCCCAAAAAGUGUGAUUCCACUGUCAUAGGAGGUUUUUUUUAUUUCAUUUUAUUUGUGCUUUCAAUAAUGUAGAGUAGUUUUACAAAGAUCCUUUCUUUGUGACACAUGGUAGGUAAUAUUGCUGAUUUUGUUGUAGUUUUGGGGUUAUAAAGUUUCAAAUUAUUUAUACUGGAGGGUAGGGGUGGGGGUUGUCUAUAAUGCAGGUUAUGGUUUUACGUGAACUCAAUAAUUAUUGUAGAUACUAAGAAAUCCACUCAGUGUUCUUGCGGUGUCUUGCUUUUGAUUUCAGCAUCACUUGUAGUUGAUUGUGUUUAGAUUAUCACAUUAUUCUGUGGCUGUAACUGUAUCCUUGUUAGUUGCUUUGUUUCUACACUGUUGUUUUCCCUCUUUUAUACCUAUUUUGAUAUGUUGUACUCGAACGAGGGUCAUCGGGGAACAACCUCUUUACCUCCGUGAGGUAGAGCUAUGGUCUGUGUCCACUCUACCCUCCCCAGAUCCCUCUUGUAGGAUUUCACUAUAUUGUAAUAUUAACUUGAGGUCACUAUAGGAGCUCAAAAACUUCUAAUUUUGAAUCAAUGUCUGGUUAUACUUUUUUUGUCAUAACUGUAUCUCAAAUGUGGUGUUUGGUUUAUCUCAUUUUGCAGAAGUCAAGAAACAGGUUACUCCUGUUUGAGUGAGGAAAAGUUGGUUUGCCUGUCUGUGGUCUUUUUAUAAUCUUUUUCUACAGAAGAGAAAGUGGGUAAUUUUGUUUGAGAGUGGAAAUAUUCUCUAGUGGGAAUCUACUAGGAGUAAUUUAUUUUCUAUAAACUAAGUAAAGUUUGGAAGGUGACAAAAAGAAAGACAAAAAUCUUGGAAUUGUUUUAGACAACCAAGGUUUUCUUGCUCAGAAUGUCUGUUGCCUUGUUAUGGGUUGUUUCUCCUUGUGACGUCUCAAAUGGGACAAGUUUCAUGGAAUCAGUCCGGGAGGGAAACCGUUUUUUUGAUUCAUCGAGGCAUAGGAAUUUGGUGUCCAAUGAGAGAAUCAAUAGAGGUGGUGGAAAGCAAACUAAUAAUGGACGGAAAUUUUCUGUACGGUCUGCUAUUUUGGCUACUCCAUCUGGAGAACGGACGAUGACAUCGGAACAGAUGGUCUAUGAUGUGGUUUUGAGGCAGGCAGCCUUGGUGAAGAGGCAACUGAGAUCUACCAAUGAGUUAGAAGUGAAGCCGGAUAUACCUAUUCCGGGGAAUUUGGGCUUGUUGAGUGAAGCAUAUGAUAGGUGUGGUGAAGUAUGUGCAGAGUAUGCAAAGACGUUUAACUUAGGUUAGCUUCUUCAAUCUAUUCAUUCGUUUACCAAAUAUUAUUUGGUAAGCACUAAUUAUGAAUAUAUAUAUGUUCAUGUUAUUGAUGAAGACAAAAUUUGAUCUUUGUUUGUUUAUUCAGGAACUAUGCUAAUGACUCCCGAGAGAAGAAGGGCUAUCUGGGCAAUAUAUGGUGAGGUUUCUAGCCAUUUAAUAACAGUUACGCGCACAAACACAUAUGAUUAAUCGGGGACGAGAAAAAAAGAAAUGAAGUUUGAGUUUUGAGGGUCAUAUGUAAUAGGUAAAUCCGAGCUUGACUAGCUUGAGAUGUUUAUUGUCAUAUCAUGCUCAAUACUAACCAAAACACUGAAAAAGAACUUGAUUAUAUUUACAUACUAAUAUUUUCAUUUGCGUUGCUGUUCACAUUUUUACCUAUGGAACUGGUUUUUGUGAUUUGUUAUACUUCAUAUUCGAUGUUAAUAAAAUAUAUCAUUCCUCCCUUUUUCUCCACUUCAAGCUUUACUGUAGUGUUGAAAGGGGAAACUCCUUUUAAUGAUUGCAUAUAUAAACGAACUUCUUGAGUUGAAUAGUUUCUCAUUAUGAUCUGUUUAAACAGUAUGGUGCAGAAGAACAGAUGAACUUGUUGAUGGCCCAAACGCAUCAUAUAUUACCCCGGCAGCCUUAGAUAGGUGGGAAAAUAGGCUAGAAGAUGUUUUCAAUGGGCGGCCAUUUGACAUGCUCGAUGGUGCUUUGUCCGAUACAGUUUCUAACUUUCCAGUUGAUAUUCAGGUUAGUCUACCAAUUCUAUGGUCUUUAUAUUUGUUCAAUUUGCGUUUGAUGUCACUUUUGCUGAGGGCUUUUCUAAUAGCUUACUUCAGCCUAGCGGAAAUGUUUGUAGUUGAAUCUCUAGUUCUGUCUCCUAUAUCUGUUUCUCUCGUCCUAGAUACUACACAUACUUCAUUUCUGUUUUAACAUUUUAUUCGUCUUUUGGUGUUGUUUUGUAUGUGAAUCAUAUAUUUGGAACAGAAUCAUUAUUAGUUCACAUGAUUUCAUUUGCUUUCUUCAAUAGCGUAAUUGUCUAACCUUCCAAUAUAUGUUGCAGCCAUUCAGAGAUAUGAUUGAAGGAAUGCGUAUGGACUUGAGAAAAUCGAGAUACAAAAACUUCGACGAACUAUACCUUUAUUGUUAUUAUGUUGCUGGUACGGUUGGGUUGAUGAGUGUUCCAAUUAUGGGUAUCGCCCCUGAAUCAAAGGCAACAACAGAGAGCGUAUAUAAUGCUGCUUUGGCUCUGGGGAUCGCAAAUCAAUUAACUAACAUACUCAGAGAUGUUGGAGAAGAGUAAGUACAAAGCUGUGUUUUACGCACAUAAUUUUUUUUGCUAAUAUUUACAUAUCAAAAUAUAGGAAAAUGAGCUCUUCGGUUAUCCGGUUUAUAUUUUUUUUAUGUCAACAUAAUAGUAUAAAGUAAUUAGUAUCAGUCGUUCUGGGAAUAAAAUUGCAGAACUCAAUUUAGCCGUGUUGUGAAAUCCUGCUUGUUUUGAGAGCUUAAAGCUCAUUAGUUAGUCGUUAGAGACGAAGAAAUUCUUCGUUGUCCAUCUUUAUUCCACCUUAAAGUUGUGAUAUUUUCAUUAUUGGUACAUUUGGCAAAAACACCUGAACAAAUUUAUGACGGAUGCCUUUUGAAAGUCACUAUACCUGUCUAGUCGGCGUUUAUCACAUUUCUUUGACAUAUUGAACUUUGAAACAUGAUAUCAGCUCUAGACAGUGACGAGCCAUGAUCAAUUUCUUUCCUUUAUUCUUUCUUUGGAAGUGCCGUAUUUAGGCUUCCGUUGUUCUUAUAUAUUGCUUUCCCUGCAGUGCCAGAAGAGGAAGAGUCUACUUGCCUCAAGAUGAAUUAGCACAGGCAGGUCUAUCCGAUGAAGAUAUAUUUGCUGGAAGGGUGACCGAUAAAUGGAGAAUCUUUAUGAAGAAACAAAUACAUAGGGCAAGAAAGUUCUUUGAUGAGGCAGAGAAAGGCGUGACAGAAUUGAGCUCAGCUAGUAGAUUCCCUGUAAGCAUUCGUAAACUCUUUAGUUUUAUGAAAUGAUUCUUUUUUCGCGUUAUUAGAUGAAUAUGGUUGCUUGUGUUGAGUAUUUCUAGGUCGAUGAAGUUGAGACAAGGGUUUUUAAGUUUUAACGACUUUUACGGGGUGCCAUGUUAUCUGCUACCUAAUCUUAGGUAGUUGACCGGAAGGGCUAGAAUUUUAACCUCAUGUUCACCCUACCAACCAAGAAAUGAACCUCGCAUAGAGCUCGUAGUUAUGAAUAUUUGCUUUGGCAUGACAUUGUGCGGAUCAUGAAAUGUCUUAGAUUAUAUGGAAAAAUCAUUCUAUUACAUCGAAUAGAUACAUUAGAUCUAAGAAGCACGCCGUGUUGUAAAUGAGAAAUUCUAUAGCUCAGAUCUUUAGUUUUCUCUGAACGACCUACAAACCAACGGAUAACCUUGUAUUGAGCUUGUCGUUCUCAGUAUUUGCACUAACAUUACGUCGUGUGGAUCCUGAAAUGGCUUGGAUUGCUAUUAUUCUGGAUAUGGCAAAACCAUUUUAUUAGUACUAGAUAUCGAAUAACUACAUUUGACCCUACAAGUACCCUGGGUUGGAGUUACAAUAUCCCAUACCUCGUAUCUUUAGUGUUCUCUUAUUUAUCACCUUUGUCUACUAUUCUGGCAAAAUAACCUCACUCGUUACUCGGUGUUUUCCAGGUAUGGGCAUCUUUGGUCUUGUACCGCAAAAUACUAGAUGAGAUUGAAGCCAAUGACUACAACAACUUCACAAAGAGAGCAUAUGUGAGCAAAUCAAAGAAGUUGAUUGCAUUACCUAUUGCAUAUGCAAAAUCUCUUGUGCCUCCUACAAAAACUGCCUCUCUUCAAAGAUAAAGCAUGAAAUGAAGAUAUAUAUAUAUAUAUAUAUAGCAAUAUACAUUAGAAGAAAAAAAGGAAGAAGAAAUGUUGUUGUAUUGAUAUAAAUGUAUAUCAUAAAUAUUAGGUUGUAGUAACAUUCAAUAUAAUUAUCUCUUGUAGUUGUUGUAUCUUCACUUUAUCUCAACUCCUUUGAGAGAACUUUCCGUAGUUAUCUGCUUUGCACUUGGUUACUCAGAAUUUUACUGUGGGCAUGAUAAUUGAUAUACCAAAUUCAGUUUUGAUUCUAUCGAAAAAUUUGUUAUUACAUUUUUUUGGGGGGAAAGGAAUUAUCUCAGAUAUGACGAUUUUACAUUUCAAUUUUCUAAAGUUGUUAUCCAAAUUCGAUUCAAUCCAUACACCAAUAUCCAACAAGAGAGUUAAGAGACACAUUGGUCUAGCCAUCUAUACGCAGAUUAUUGAGUAGUAUUUUUUAACAGUGCAAACAUAAUUCGGUUUUUUUGUCGAUUCGGUUUGUAGAAGGGAAAAAUCACAAUAUUUUAUAGUUGAAUUUGUAAUCUAAAUUCGAGUUGUAUGAUACAAGUUGCUUCGAAUCGAUCUUGAUACAUAUUUCUACCUAUCUUAAUAGUCUUUUCACCUUUUUAAAACUUUAUAUCAACAAAAUUAGACAUAUAAAUUGUAACGCAACAUACUUUAUUAAGUAUUGGUGGUUUGGGCCAAAACAAACAAGAUCAUUUAAGGUAUGAGCAACUCUAUCUUGUAUAUUUAUUUACGGAUUAUGAUUUUAUUUUAAGAAAACUUAAUAAAAAUAUUAUUCAAUUACUUUUUUUUAUAUAUGUAUACACACACCUGGGCAUCAAGGAGGAACGUAACAUACAAUAUUUCAAUGAAAAUACUGGUCGAAUAUUGUUUCAUAUUAUCAUAUUGUAUAAAUAUCAAUAGAAGAUAUAAUAUUAUUCAGAUGUGGUAUCAAGGAUAAAGAAGUAGUGAUUCAAUGAAUAGAUCAAAAGGACAACAGUAAAACAAAUAGUUUGGGCCGUAGGCUCAAUCAAAACAAAUAAAUUAAGUUAAGUUCAAUUUGAAUAAAUACUUUACGUAAUAAAUCUAAUUUAUAUAAGUUUUAAAAAAUAAUCUCAUAAAAUAUUUCGUGAUUAUUAUUCUUAUCCACGAACCCAAAAAAACCCUAACCAAUGGAUGAGUCGAUGGGGGCCAAGUAUGUUUGCUAGUCCACCAACAUAGGACUUACUUCAUUAGGUGUGAAACCGACAUUAAUUUGACCAAAAACUAGGUGGGAAAGUUUUUUUUUUCUUAUUUAUUUAUGGUAAGAAAAAUAAAAGGGAAAGUUACCUUUCACAUCGAAAAUAUGUGCUCUAUAUUUAUUUGAAAUAAUGAUUUUUUUUAAAAAAAAUACAUUUUAUCUAUGGCACUCUAUUUUAUUCAAAAUUGUAUUGAUUCGCUUUUCCUAAAAUUUCAUAAAAAUAGUAAAUGUGUAUAAUAUAUUGGUUCUAUGGAUUUUUGUAAGGGUUUUGUCUGAUUUUCUUGUUUAUUUUUUUAAGAAAGAAAAAUAAAAUAUUAUCAUAAAUGUUUUGAUUUUUUUUAAAAUAAAGUAUUUUUUUAUUUCAUAUUUGAUUUAUUCCUUUCUUAGAGGAAAUAUUUGAAAUUUUAUAAAUUGUAGACCUAUCUUCUCAUGCCAAAAAAUACAAUAAUAACCGUUUAUUAAAGAGUUUUGUUUAUGAGAGAUUAUUCUCCCAAUAUUUUAUGCUAUUUAUAUUAGUUUUCACAUGACGUCAUGAUUACUUUUGUAGCCAACAUGUUGUUCGAUUCGAAAGUGAUUAGGGCGUCACGGGAAAGUUUACCAUUGCAAAGCAUAUGGUUGUUGACAAUAAAAAUAUGUACGAAAAUAUAUUAUUAAUAUGAUUUUGUCAAGAGACUUACAUAAUAUUUAAAAUCAUAAACUCUAUUGGAAGAAUAAUCUCCUCAUAAAUAAAAUUUUGAACGUCUACCCCGUGGAUGCUAUUAUAUAAUUCUAUGAAAAUACAAAAUAUUCCGACUUUUCUCUAUAGAAAAAAUAACCAAAAUGUGAAAGUGAUUUAUUUUUUUCUUUCCGAAAAAAGUAAAAUAAAUUAUAGUAAUGCUUUAACUUUUCUAUAAAGAAAAAAUAAUAAAAAUAUGAAAAGAAAAUCGUGUAAAAUGCUAACAAAGUAUGAUCCAUAAUAUUUGGGUGGUUAAAAUUUAAAGAAUAUUGAGAGCAUAAGUAAAAGUCAAGUCAAAUGGUGAAGAAAAACAAAAAAAAUCCCAAAAAGGUAGUCUUCGAAAUGACUGAAAUGGCUGCUGUCUUUUUUUAAAAAAAAUUUAUCGCGAUAUAUCUAUAUAUAAAGAAAAUAAUGAUGAUAUAACUAUUUUAUCAUACUUUUUACAUUAGAUUUUAAAAAUAAUUUGGCGAAUAAGUAAUUAAUGAAUGAUAAAAUAGCAACUAGCAAAUCAAUAGAACAAGGGUUCGCUCCACCGUAGAUCUACAAAUAAAAUAAGUAGAUCCAUUACCAGUCGACUCCUGAUCGAAAAGACCUAACGAACUAAUUCCUUAUUUAGAAUCAUAGAUGCUAAUGGGGCAGGAAAUAAAUAUAAAAAAUAAUAUUAAUUAUAUCUUCUUGAUAUGUUAAAAAUAACAAAUAAAACUAAAAAUCUAUGUUUAAAUAAUGAAUAGGUAAAAUUGAAUACAAAAAUAUUAAUUAAAAUUUAUAUAUAGUAUCAAAUAAAUCGAAAAAAAGCAUAACUUUCAAAAAUUCUAUAUCGAAUCAAAGCGUAAAUAAUAGUGGAUGAAAUGUAGAAUUUCGUGAAAAACUAUAUUUUAUAUUCGACGAUAAAAUUACUUUAAUGUAUAUAUAGAGUAUAUAUUAAAUUCCUUUAACUUCUUCAUAUUUUAAAUUUUGUUAAUGAAAAUUUUGACUAUGCUAUCAUACGUGGAUCGAAAUAUAGGCACAAGCACACUUCUCACAUUAUACACGUAUAUAUGGUCAUCGAUUUGUUCUAAUUUAAUUUGGUAUAAGCUGAAAAAUUUACAACAAUUUUUUCUCCCUUCUUAGAAAAGUUUUAGUAAUGCAUUUUAUCAAAAAUAAAUUAGCAUGUGAUUGUGAUAAAUAUUAUUUCAACGUGUUUUACGUUACUUGAACAUGCUUUUUUCUCAAUUUAUAUAAAAAAGAAAGACCGUUGAAAGAAAAAAAAAAUUAGUUUUUGGGGAUUUCUAAUUUGGUCAAAAAGAAAAACGUGAAAUAUGAAAAUUUAUCGGCUUGAGUUAUAGUAAAUUAACUUCCAAUAUAUAUAUAUAUAUAUAUAUAUAUAUAUAUAUAUAUAUAUAUAUAUAUAUGGCUUAACUACCAAAUGAAGAAAAAAAAAUUUAUGUUCUUCGAGAAAAUGUUUGGAUGUUGAUAAUACAGACGUAUAAGAAAAGAUUUUGACUCUAGGUAUGCUUGUAAAAAAGAAUUAUUCGAUUAUCGAUUUGAUUUUGAUAUUUAAUGUUAGACUACUAGGUAGAUCGAUAAUUGAUUAAAUUGAUAGUAGUGUACUACUUUAUCCCUAUAUAAAUCUUAAAUAUUAACUUCAGAACUUUACCAGUUACUAUCAUUUUUUUUACGGUUCAAUUCAUACUUUAUAAUAAUUUUGAAUUCACAAUUUUAUACCAUACAACAUGUCAAAAUCAAAAGUAAGAGCAUCAUUCCUCUUAAGUUUUCUUUGUCUUGUACUUUAUAGUGUUUUCAUCCUAGUUGUCAUUGUUUUCAUUUGACGAGCGAUCUGUAGAGUUACAUUAUUGUCUUAUCGCGUCAAAUUAUUGGAGAAGUCAUAUAUUUGAAUUAUAAGUAUUUUCUUAUUGAUUAAACCGAAAACGAAUUAAAAGUCAAAUUCAAUAAAUCAAAAAUCGAUAAAGUGUUUUAUUAAUUUAACAUAUUUAAAAAUAAAAAAUCGAUAAAUCAUAUUAAUAAUAUACAAAACCGAGCCGAAAUGACCUACAUACGCCCUAUGUUUGAAUAUUUAUGUACACAAACAAAUAAAAAAUUUUACGAUAAAUUAUUAGCAACAUCGCUAUAUUAUAUUUAGCAGCAAAUAAACAUAAAUAUUUAUAACCAACACUUCAUAUAAAUAAUAUUAAAUUUUCUUUCCAAUAAAAUUCAAUUAUAUUAACUCAAUUACCGCUAAAAAUUUAAAUUUAAUUCAGCGAGGGAGAGUUUGGUUAGGGCAGCCCAGGAUGAAGUGGUAAGGUCAAAGCAGCCAAAAGUUAUUAAUAAUUAAUAAUUAAUAAUUCAAUUAAUUAUUACUCUCCAUUUUCAAGGGUCAGUGGUCUUAUUAGUUGGAAUUGAACUGUGAAAUAUGGUGGAAUUUACUAUUAUUAUUUCUUCCGUUUUAUUUUACAUGACACAUUAUUAUGAGAAUCAAUUAAAUUCUUUUUAUUACUCUUUUUAUAUAUAUCAUUUACCUAUUUAAAAUUGUUAACUAUUAUAAUUUACCAUCAAAAUUUAAAAAUUUAUAUCUCAAAAUUUAAUUAUGCCAUGUAAAUUACGACAUGACUAUACAUAGUCAUUGCAACUUCACUAUGAUUUCCACCUAAACAACCAUUUAGGGACCCAUAAUGGGCCACAUUAGUCUUGACUCCACACUUAGUUUUUUCACUAUAAAUUUUCCAUCUUAGUUUGCAUCUUUUGCAUACAAAUUCUAAGUUACCUCACUAUAUUUUCCUCUCCAACAAAUUUUAAUACCUUAUACUUCUUUUUAAAAAAAACACAACUUUUUACUUUAAUAAUCCUAUGGAUAAUUUACCAAAAUGUGGAGCAAAUUAUGUGUCUUUAACUCCUCUUACCUUCUUAACAAGAGCCUCAAAAUGUUAUGCCAAUAGGACCUCUAUCAUCUAUGGCAAUGUACGUUUCACAUGGAGCCAAACCUACGAGCGUUGUUGUCGCGUUGCUUCCUCUCUUCGAUCCCUUAACAUUGUCAAGAACGACGUUGUAAGUACAAAAUAUCAAUCAGUUAUAAUUUAAACGCGAUGAAUUUAUGUUAUGUAUAUGUUAAAUGUGUAAAAGACCAAACACUAUAUCGAUAUGUAGUUUAACAAUAUGUUAUGUCACAUUAGUUAGUUACAAAUACUUGUUAUAGAGAUUUACUUGUAAUAUAAAAAAAUGUCAUUCUUUUUACCGUAGACUAAUUAUAAAAAAAAUAUCAUGUUAGCUAAGAGCUAUUAUAUUUGACGAUAGAUUAACGACGUGUCUUUUUUGUAGGUUUCAGUGUUGGCACCAAAUGUUCCAGCAAUAUAUGAGAUGCAUUUUGCUGUGCCAAUGGCAGGGGCUGUAUUGAAUACAAUAAAUACAAGGCUAGAUGCUAAGAAUAUUGCAAUUAUUCUUAAACACUCUGAAGCCAAAGUAUUUUUUGUUGAUUAUGAGUACCUUGAAAUUGCUAAAAAGUCCCUUGAACUACUAUCAACAUCCAAAAUGACAAGAAUACCCCUCGUCGUUGUCAUCGAUGACAUCGACUCCCCUACCGGAAUCCAACUAGGUGAGCUCGAGUACGAGCAACUCGUACACCAAGGAAAUCCUAGUUACGUCCCCGAAGAAAUCACCGAUGAAUGGGAUCCUAUCAGCUUGAAUUAUACAUCAGGUAAUGUUGAAAACGUCUGAUCAUCUCAUCUAAGAAAUUUAAUUUAUUUAUAAAAUUGGUAAACCCCCCUCUAAUCUCAAUUUAUUAGCCUAUCCUAAAAAGAAUGACAACUUUUAUAUUUCAUAGAAUUUAGCUUAAAAUAUCCUAUUUUACCCUUAAUGAUUUAUGACCACAAAUAUAACUAACAUAAGUUUCAAAAGUGGUUCUUUUAUCCUUGGGGAAUACCGAAUACCAUCACAUGAGUUGAGACGAAAAGAAUAUAUAUUUUUAUUUAUUUAAUUAUGUUUUCAACAGGUACAACUUCGGAGCCUAAGGGGGUUGUGUAUAGUCAUAGAGGGGCAUUUUUGAGUACUUUGAGCCUAUUAUUAGGUUGGGAAAUGGGUACUGAGCCAGUGUACUUAUGGUCUUUACCAAUGUUUCAUUGCAAUGGAUGGACAUUCACAUGGGGUGUAGCAGCACGUGGUGGUACAAAUAUUUGUAUUAGAAACACAACUGCCAAAGAAAUGUACACAAACAUUGUGUUACAUAAUGUUACACACAUGUGUUGUGCACCUAUUGUUUUCAACAUCUUACUUGAAGCCAACUCACAUGAGUACUCCAAACCCUUAACCACACGUGUCCAAAUCCUCACGGGCGGCGCACCGCCGGCCGCACCUCUUCUUGAGAAAAUCGAGAAGCUCGGAUUCCACGUGGUCCAUGCUUACGGGCUCACAGAGGCAACCGGCCCGGCCCUCUUGUGCGAAUGGCAAGAUAAAUGGAACGAAUUACCUAGUGAAAAUCAAGCUAAGUUGAAAUCGAGACAAGGGGUUAGUAUACUAACCCUAGCCGAUGUCGACGUGAAAAAUAUCGAUAACAUGGUUAGCAUGCCACGUGACGGAAAAUCAAUCGGAGAAGUGUGCUUGCGUGGGAGCAGUAUUAUGAAAGGGUAUUAUAAGAACGAUAAAGCGAAUUACGAGGUCUUUAAAGAUGGUUGGUUUUUUACCGGUGAUGUUGGUGUAAUUCACCAAGAUGGAUAUUUGGAAAUUAAAGAUAGGAGUAAAGAUGUUAUAAUUUCUGGUGGAGAAAAUAUUAGUAGUAUUGAAGUUGAAAAUGUUAUAAUGAAACAUAAAAAUGUUGUAGAGGCAUCUGUUGUGGCUAUGCCACAUCCAAAAUGGGGUGAAAGUCCAUGUGCAUUUGUGAUUUUGACUAAAAACUCACAAAUUAAAGAAAUGGAUAUUAUUGGACAUUGUAGAUUAAAUUUACCAGGAUUUAUGGUACCAAAAAAGGUGAAAUUUGUUGAAGAAUUACCCAAGACUGGAACAGGAAAAGUGCAAAAAAAUCAUUUGAGAACAAUUGCUAAAACAUUUGUUGUUGUCACAGAGAAGUCAAAUCAUCAAAAAAGCAAAAAUAUUACAAGUCAAGUCAACAAAGAAAAGCCAAGAUAUUAUGAGCAAAUUCUUGCUUUGUCUCGUUUAUAAGAGCAACAACACAUUUAAUGUAAUUUCACAAAAUGAAAACUAAAGAGGAUCUCUAUCUUAAAGAUAGAUGAGAUAUUUCCGAACCGUAAGGGUUUAUUAUUAUAAAAAUCAAGUGUUUAAAUAGUAUUGUUGUACUUUUUUUUUGCUGCUGUGUUUUUUUUUUGUGUGUGUGUGUUUUACCAAAAAGUAAUUAAUUAAUCAUGUAACUUUUGGGGACAUCUUUAAUUGGAAUACUAGUGAUGAUUGUCUUGCUUACAUUAUCAAAUAUAUAUUUCAAUAAUUUUUUCAAUCUAAAUUUAUGUGACAAUUUAUACUUUUCGAUUAUUAAGAUUGAAAUCAGCCUAUGUUUAAUUAAUAUAAAAAGAGUAAAGAAUUAUUCAAUUCUAUUUUUGUAUUCCAAAAAUUACUAAACUUUCUUUAAAAGUGGGAUAACUUUUAACAAAAAUUAUAUAUUAUUAUAAGUGGGAAGCUCUAAAAGUGAAAACUUGAAUUACCAUUUUGACCUUAUACUAAAUUGAAAUUUGAUUAGUUAAUUUAAAUAUUAAAUUGUCUCAUUUUAAUAAUAAAAAUAUUAAUAACUUUUGCACUUCCUUAGAUUAAUUUCUAAUUAAAAUAUCUAAUUUAAUAAUACUUAUCAUUUAUUAUAUAUAUGUAUAUUUAAUUUAAUCUCCAUCAUAUCAUAUAAUCAUAAUAAUAAUAAAAAAUAAUAAUAAUAUACUAAACGUGGAAGGAAUAUUAGGCAAAAAUUAGAUUACAUUUUGUCCCUAUAUCAUAUAUAAAUAUUAAUCGUCUAAUAAAUUGCUAACUGAAUAUUAAAUAGUAAAUUUUAAUUACUACAAGGGAGGAUUACACAUUAAGCAAUAUCAAAUUUAUCAAAUUCUUCCGGUUACAAUUUAUUUAUGUUGAUGGUUAAUUAAUAUUAAAUUGUUAGAAACAAUUAUUAUCAAGAAGACAAAAAGACUUCUAAUGAUAUUGUUCAAUGAAUUAAAGGUAAAGACUAAAGGUUACAAAAUUAAUUAGGAAACUCAUAGGUCUCUUUUAUUUUUUUCCUUUCAUCUCCCUUCACCUAAAAUUUUCCUAUUUAAAGUCACCUAGAAAUGAAAAUUAACUUAUAAAUCUCAUCUGAUCUUCUGACUAAAGUAUGUUAAUAUGUCAAUUCUCUCUUAUAAAUUAAGAUCCAUUUUUUCAUUUUUGAUAUAUCAUCUCUUUUUUCCUUUUUAAUUUCCUUUCUGAUCAUAGUCAUAUACUGAUGAAGAAAAGUUGUCAUCAAUUGUUAAGGGCAAUAACAUUAUUGUUGUAUUCGGAUCGAAGAUAUUAUGAUUAAUUGAUUGAUUAAUUAUAAAGAAUGUUUAAAAGAAAAUAAUAUUUCUUUAUCACGUUAUAUGAAUUAUAACAAAAUAAUGAAUGUUUGUACUAUAUUAUGUAAAGUGAUUAUAGCUAUGACCAUUUGUAAGUUAUUUUCAUAAUUGUUUUAAAUGUUCUUUUAUAAUGUUUCUCUUCUUAUUCAUUUUAAGUUAAAUAUGUUCUCUAUUUAUAUAAAGAAGUUUAUGUUUAAAUAAUUAAAUAGAUGUUACUUAUUUAGACUUUAUAUAAUUAUUGGUGUAGAACAUGUACAAUACUAUAUUUCUUAUUUCCAAAUCAAAUUUAAAAUUGUCUCAAUGAUAUAUUAGAUAUUUUAUUAUAUGUCAAAUUAUUUGUGUUUUAAAUAGAUAAUUUGAAAUAUUUGACAAAUAUGUUGACUGAAUAUGCAUGCAUUUAUAAUUACUUCAUUAUCUCAUAAAUUAGUAUCUGUUUCAUGUACUUCUUAUCCCCCCUCUUUUCUUACUUUUAAAUACUCAUUUACAAUUCAAUAUAUGUAUCGAUUCGAAAGAUUUACUAACAUUAGCUUAUGAAUUACAUGAUGUUUACUUUUUUAUGUAUAUUUUAUUUUUGUAAGUUAUGACAUAUAGCAAAUCCAACAAUAUAUGUACUAUUUACAAAUUAUUGAUUGUAGUAUAAAAUUUAUAUUAAAUAGUUUAAAAUAAACGUGCAACGCACGUUCUGAAGACUAGAAUGAAGAAAAAGCGAUGGUCCAAUUUAGACAAGUCCAUCUGGCAUUUGAUGGGCUUGGGCAGCACCGGUCCGUAAUCCUUCCACUGCAAAGAGCGGGAGGUAAUCGUUGCUCUGUGAAGCCAGCCUGAUGCAGUCCCCUCCACUCUAGAAUCCAUGAAACCUAGGCCUUCGCCUAGGUCACAUGGGCCAACUCCUCGCUUGGAGAGGGCGGUCCAAUAUAAUAUUGGCCUAAACCCUACCAUUUGGACUAAUCCAAUGUUCCAUCACUUUAAAGCCCCCACUCAGGUUAUAAGUUCACGUUACUGAACUCGGCAUGCAAUCCUUAAACUCUCAACUUAAUAAAUUGCAUAUAUUUCUUUUCUUCAAGCGAUGUGGGAAUUAAUUAGAAUGAUUUUAUUAGUUCCUCAUAAUUAAAAUGACUUUACAACAAACAUUAUCUAAAAUUGAUCCGUGUAGGAUGUUUAAUUUUCUCUUUCUUAUUUAUAUGAUCUAAUUAAUUUUUGAAAUCACUAAAUUUUUUUUUAAAAAUAAAUUUAAUCAAAUUAUGAUUUUUCGUUAUUGGUUAAUCUCAUGUCUGAAGUUAGCUGACUUUCAAAUACGAAUAAGUAAUUUCAUUCCUGAUCUAUAAUUAUGUGAAAUCUUAUUUAAAAUAUGUAUAAAUUACAUGUCCAUGCUAUUGGUACAAUAUUAAAGACAUCAAAUACUGAUCACGUAUCCUUAUUUAAUUGAUACUUCUCCAAUCAAUACAUGUCCACCGUUAUGAACUUCAUGAUAUUGAAUCCAAGGUAAACAUAAAUAGCCAUCCACUCAACUGCUUAAACUUAAAAUAGUUGUUUAAGGUAUACGAUUCACGUAUAAUAUGUGUAUAACCUGUAUAUUGACUAAGAAAAUUAAACAAUUAAUCCGGCCAAAAUUUUGUAUAAUGAUCCAUAAAAUAUAUAAAAAGCAUGAGGUAUUGAGAUAUUUUUAAGCGAAUACAAGAUUAUACAUGAAUUUAGGUCACAAACUAAAUGACAAUUUGAGGCAUAUAGGAAUAAGCAUAUACAAAACAUUAAACACUAUAUAUAUAAAUACUACAAGAUCAAAAUCAUAAUAAACAAAAUAGUGGAAUACAUCGACAACCCCUUUAAAUUUGACACUAAACAAAGGUAGAUAUAGGAUUUUGAUAAAUUAUACAUACAUAUCAAGUAAAAAGAAGAAAAAAAACCAUCUUGGUGUAUUAAGCUCUUGCUAUAUGCAGAUUUUUGGAAAUGGAACGCAUCACAAAGGUCUAAUAUACACAACCUUACUCUGCAUUUCUGCAACAAGUUGUUUCCAUGAUUUAAUACCCCAACAUUCUGAGAUAUGAUAACAACUUUAUCAAUGACGCCAAGGCUCCCCUUCUAUACACUUAUUAAGUGGACCUCUUAAAUAUAAUUACGGGAUUCAAACCAAAUACAAGAUUCGUACAAAAAUUAAUGGUCAAGUACACUUCUCAACUAUUAGUUUUUCUCUUUUCCUAUCUGAACUAUCACUAAUCACCAUCUAUGUAUUAAAACAUACCUCAAAACUAACUAGGUCAACUAUCAGUUGUUAUCUUUCCUUAUCUGAACUAUAACCAUCUACUCAACAUCUUUAUGUUUUAAUUUUAAUACAUAGAUACUAACAGUUGAUCUAUGAAACUAUUAGUAUCUAUGUAAUAAAUUAUAAGUAUUUAAUUAUGAAUCUAGUUAUUAUUAAUAUAUUAGUCCAAUUGAUCAGUAAAAAUUUAUAAAUUUUAAAAUCUAAAUCUCACCGAGCAAAUUAAAGACCAAUAAAUAGUGGAUCUUGCCUUUGGGAAAUGUGCUUGAUGCAACUCCAAUUUUGGUAAGAUCCCAUGGAGUUACUAAUAAUAUAGAAUUUUGAUUGUAAUUGUAAGUGAUCAGCCAAUUCUUCAAUAUCACAUGCUUCACUCCUUUGGGUUCUUUUAUGGUUUGGGUCACUUUCCCCAUAUCCAGCUCUAUCAUAUUGAACUAAAUAUAUCCCCAUUAUUUUCAACAUUUCCUAAUCACAAUUUCAACAAACAAAUUAAAACAUUCUUAAAAUCCAUUAUAAUAUAAAAUGAGGGAAUACAAAUACAUAAACUUAUCAAACAUAAUUUUAUAUUAUACUAAGGUCCUAUUACUCCCUAAACUUAUUUUAUAAGUAAUUUUCUACCCCGUUUUGGCCUACGUGACACUAGCUUGAAAAAAUAAAGUCAACCAAGGUUGGUCCCGCAAGAUAGUGCCACGUAGGCCUAAAAAAGGUAGAAAAUUAUUAAUAAAAUAAGUUCAGAAGGUAAUAGGACCUUUGUAUAGUAUAAGCGUGUCUCUAAAAUUCGAACAUAAAUACUUGUGCAUUAUCCCAUAUAACUAAGAUGGAGGACUUAGUAUAAAUACUUGAACUAAAUAUAUCCCCAUUUUUUUCAACAUUUCCUGUUCACAAUUUCAACGAACAAAUUAAAACAUUCUUAAAAUCCAUUAUAAUAUAAAACCUUUAACGUUUUUAAUAGUAAGCUCGUAUAUUUUUAACGUUAUUGAGUUUAGAUGUACUCGAUAAAAUAAAGUCAUAUCCCCUUCCCCCGGUUCCAACGUGCAUACUAAUUAUUGUAAUGUUAGUGAAUUUGUACACAUGUUUAUACUCCACGUCGAAAGAUUAAAAUGAACCUGAUGUUAUAAGGCUGUUGUCAAAAAAAUAUUUUUCGCUCUGCGCACUACACGCUAUAAAGUAUAGUAUGGAGGAGAUAUAGCAACCUGGGGUGCAAGAAAAUCAAUAUCUUUGGAGCCAUGAACAAAGAUUAUUCUAUAAUUGGAUUUCUCCUUAGUAACACCUCUCUCUUUGUCUCAAUUUUUAACAUAUAAUAUUAAAUUAAUCCCCUUGUCCUAAUUGAGUAAAGUAGUUCAUUUUCUGAUACAGAAAAACAUUUUGUUUACAUAAGAUCGACUACUUUCGUUGACUUCUUCAUAGAUUAAUGGCUUAAUAAUGUGAAAAAUGCAUAACUAUCUCCUCAAUUGAAAAAAUUAAAUUAAAGAAUUACCAAAACAUGUUCAAUGAAUUUCUUAAUGAAAAUACAUAAUAAGCUGGACUAAAGUUACUACUUCAGAUGAAUCUGUAAAAUAUACACUUUGAAAGAAAUUAGCAGCAUUGGACAGACAUUAAUUGUGUAACAGUAAAAGACUUCCAAGGAAAUAAUCCAAACAAACAAACAUACUUCUCAUUGAAAUCAACAAUGGCAGCCUGAUGCUACAACUUCAUUCAUAUCAUUACAGAAAUUCAAUCGAAUGACGAUGAAUCAGAGCACAUUACUUGUUAAGCAAGGGGAAAAAAGGGAAACUAAACAACGUUCAAGAUGAAUCGGAGCACAUUACCUGUUAAGCAGAGGGGAAAAAAAGGGAAACUAAACCUAGUUAUGAUUUUGUUGGAAGAUGAUCGAUCACAUCCUGGAAAUCUUGAGAGGAACAAUGGAUUUGAGAAUUUCUUCCCUGGAGGAAACAAGUUGAACACUUCCAAGUCUCUUAAUGAGAUGCUGGCAGCAAUCUUCAGCAGCUAUGAUUCCAGCUGAAUAUGCACCGUGCACAGACCCUUGAUGGUCAUCCAUACACACAGCUUCGCCACCAAAGAAUAGAUUACCUAAAGGUGCUCGAAGCUUAUCAUAUAUAUCUGUUGGCUUUCCAACCAGAUCAUAUGAAUAGCAUCCUAGGGAAUCCGGAUCUGUUCCCCAGCGUGAUACGAGAUACUGAACCUGCAAAUAGUAUCAACAUAUAUAGCUAUCAGCUCAAUGGUUAUUACACAUGCUUUCCUUAUUUCACUUCCAAAUAAUCUAUUAGUUACUAACAAUAUAUGUUGAUCAGACUCUUUAAAGAUGUCGUAGUGCAUUUGUGGCGAAUCCGACAUGUGUGUUGCGACACAUUGGGUGAGUCCAAGCAGCAUAGUUAAAUAAUGCAUGCAUCAGUAAUAACUGUAAUAGAAUUAUGUAGGACCAGGUAUUACUCACAGGUUCAGGUGCAUCAGGAAACAUUUUUUUCAGCUGACGCAUAACAAAAUUAGCCGCCUCUUUGUCUGAUAAUUUCUCUACGUCAUAAGCAAGUCUUCCGGCAGCCAUAUAGACAAGGACUUGAUGCCCUGUUGCCUUGUGGAGGUUAAGAAAAUACCCACAAGCAUAAGAGGUAGGUGCAACAAUGCCUAACAAUUCAACGUUUGGCCAAAAUACAGUAUCAAAUCGUAAUGCAAUCUUGUUUUCGUUGCCCACACCAAGAUCUGCUAUUGCAGAAAGCUUCCAAUCUGGCAAUUCGGGUUUGAACUCAAUUAAGUUGGCUUUGAGGACCCCAAUAGGUACAGUUAUUAUAGCAGCAUCCGCAACAAAAUUCCUCCCAUCCUCAAGUGUAACCAUCACUUUGUUAUACCCAUCCGUAAUCGCCUUCACUCUAGUAAUUCAGAUCGAUGGAAAAUUAGAAUUGCAGACAAGCAUGGAGGCUAAAGUAUAGGUAAAUCAAGAUAAGAAAUUACUUGGAAAAAAUUCAACUCUGAUGCAGACAGGUAAUCCAUCAUAGAUUAUGAAGUGAUUGAAAUGAAGGUAAAAUACAAAUAAGAAAGCAUUAUUUCCAGCAGAUGAAACCCUUCUGGGGCAUUUUCUCCCAUUAUUUCAGUGGCCUGCCCUUUUUCAGGCAUGGGGAUUAGGAGAGAGGAGAGAUGUCUAUGCCUGGAAGUGGUGUGACUUAAAAAGAAAAUGGAAUCACUGUGGAGGAAAUGAAUUGCAUUUUGUUUCUUAACUUUCCUAUAGAAAAUCUUGUGACAAGAAGAUUCAAUCGAAGUCCACAAGUUGGUCCGUCUAUCGUAAGUGCAGCAUUAGUUUUCAGAUCCUAAAGUGAAAAAGCCAACAGCGUAACAAGCUAAAGAAACAACAAACAAGAUGUCAAACUUCACAUUUCACAGAAAACCCCAAACAUACCUGUGAUUCAAACGAAUAUCAAUAUCUUUUGACAAUGCCUCAAUCACCGGGUGAUAACCCUGCACCAUUAGUCCAUGGCCACCCGUAAGAACUUGCUCCUGCACACAAAGUAAACAACAUUAAUAUUACAUAUUUAGGAAACUACUCAUUAAACAUAUCCUAAUGGCGAUAAUUUAAAGCAUCUAAUGUAAAAUGGAACGCCAAAAUUUCCUAUCUGGAAGUAUGUAGAUAUCUGAAAAUGAUAGCUAUAAUAACACGAAUUGUGCCUUUAACUUCUGACAUACUUGAUAGUUUUCUUACUUAUAGCAUUACUGAACCAGGCAGUUAGAGCCUUGCCAUUCGGAUGAGGAAUAUUGUCUUUGGGGAUUGGGAAUAGUAAUAAAAUCUUUUAAAUGCACAUACUUUUUAAAGAGAUGCACAUAAAAUUACUCUUUUAGAAAAAACUUAGAAUAACAAGUAAAAGAACUUGCCUGAUCCCAAGUUUUCAAGGAGAUCGUGUCUGCAUCGGCAGAAAACCAUGCCUCCAUUCUGCAUAUGUACCACUGCAGUACUUCAUGAGAGACUCCUUCUUGCCUGCCGCAACAUGUAAGAUCAGUGGAUGUAACUAGAUUACACAUUUAAAAGAAACAAACAUAAGUUGGUUAUAAGAGAAGAACUUUUUCGCAUACCUCAGCUCAGGAUGCCUGUCCAGUACAAUAGAUAUUGCUUGAAGAACCGAUAUGUCAUUACUAUUCUCAUUUCUCACUUUCUCAGUCUGCAUUUGCCAAUACACAUAAUUAUUCACUUGCGUCUUUAUAAAACCUCAAAAGGUAUGGCACUUGGUGUUAAAUAAAUACAGAGCAAAGCCAACCUCAUCGAGGAUUUUCUUGAAUACAUCUCCUACUUCAGCAACUAUUUUAUGAGGAACUUGAUGGCCAUCCAUGUCAAACAGCAUGCAGCUUUAAAAAGAAAGAAAACAUAAGCAAGAUCCUGAAUGAUGAAAUAACAUCUCUAGUUAAUUUACACAAAACAAAAAGAAUAUGAGCUAAAAUCUAGCAGAUACAGCAUGCUUCAAUAUGAGCGCACUGAGAAAACAAAAAGAACAGAGGCAACAAUUCUUGACGAACUAUAAGUGUGCUUUAUUUUUCAUUAUGAAUCAGAUUACAAUACACUGCAAGAUACUUUCCUGCAGAAAAACUACUGAGACAACUUAAGAACAAGCUAGCAGAUUUUUGCCCCGAAUUUUCGGUGGCUACAUCAGAAUGGAAACAGACCAUGACUUAGAAAUCUGAAACCAAAAAUCUGAAGUGUAACUAAGAUAGCCACCCCCUCCAUUUAGACAGAUAGAGAGCGAGACAGGGUGUUUUAACAAAAGGAAGCAUGUCCAGUAAACAUGAUAAAAUCAUUUUGAAAUUAAAUGUGAAAAACCCAAUUUACCUUUCCAAAUCAUGGUCAUACAGAACUGAGUCAUCACCACUAGUUCGAUACAGUGUGAGCCCCAGCCGACGUAUCAAUGGAGCUAAAGGAUUUUCAUUGCACACUCCAUGGAGCCUGAGAUGCAAUUUGAAGAACAUGAAUAAGCAUCCAGUUCUGGAUGAAUUAGAAAGGAAAAGGUUAGUGUUACUCACCAUGAAGCUCCCAUAUCAACUGGACAACCAAACGAGUUGUCAGUGUGUAUGCGACCACCAAGUCUAUCUCGUGACUCCAGUAAGAGCACCUGGAUAAAAAUAGACCAGCUUAUUAGCAAGAAAAAAAUAGCAUAAAAGUCACUACAUGUGAAAGGGGUUUAAAGUCAUGAGUGACCUCACCUUGAAAUAAGCAUUGUGAAGGAAACAUGCAGCAGCUACCCCUGAGAUACCUCCACCAAUUACAAUGACCGACGGAGAUGAACCAUGUCGCCUCCCUAAGCAAGGUAGUAAAGUGCCUAGUUAACCAAUAGUUUCAUGGCCAUAAUAUAUAUGUGUGUGUGUGUGUGAAUAACAUAUUUCUGUUAUUUCCAAGAAUUCAUAGAUGCAAUAUGUUUCCAAUAAAGCAUGUCAAAACCAAUGGCACAACUUGUAAACAAAUAAUUCGUAGAACAGGUGCUAAGCUUAUAACAUUUUUUUGAUAUCAGACAAAGUCCCCUGUUUGGUUAACUGGUCAACCAUAGUUGGGUAUAAGUUGAAACUCAGAAUAUAAACACACCAUUCUACUCCUCUCCCCUUAAACACCAAGAUUUUUUCAUCGUCAGGGCUCACACUACUAAUGUUUGCCUUCCACAUUACCUAUGUUCUAGGGGUAUCGAAAGCUUAUAAUAUAAGAGAGUAUUGUUCCUAAAAAGACAAAUCACUUGAUUCCCCUCAAUUAUUCAUAUUAUUAAAUGAUAUGAGCACGUAAAUGAACUAUGAAAGGAUCCUUCGCUUAUUCAAUCCACAUUUUGCCCAAUCAUAAAAAUCAUAGCUCUGAGUUAAACAAAUAUAAGCCCACACACAUAACCCAAGCUAACAACCUUACCGCUUUUCAUCUAUUAUUUCAGUAAAAUCAUAGCAAUCCCAGUAAUCAGUCACAGUUAAACGGAUAGAGUAAUUUCCCAAAACACAAACACAUUACUCCAUCCAUCCCAAUUUAUGUAGCACUUAACAAUUUUGACUCAUCUUUGAAACUAAAUUGGACUAAUAAGUAACAAUUCUUUUCAUGGACAGAUGCAGACCCAAGAUUCGAAAACAACAAGAUCACCACCAAAGGCAAAUGCACGUUAGAAAAAGGAACCAUCUCGUUGAUAUUCUAAUGUCUAAAUAUAAAUUAAAUCAUCUAGUUGAAUGAAGCUCGCAUUGUCAACCAUUUGUUUCAACACCACUUUACAAUCACAAGUUUGAUCUGCACCAUAUUUGCAUAUAAAUCAUAAACACUUUACUCAAGGUUGAUAACACAUUAUACAUAACAAGGAUGUAUUUCCAUAAUAAUCAAGAGAAAAGUACAUGAACAAGAAUUCGAUACAAUUAACAAACUAACCAGAAUCAUUCCCUUUGAGCUCCAUGAUUCAACAAUGGUUCGUAAGAAAUCAAUCAAGAAUAGAAAAGGGUGUGUGGAGAAUGUUGUUAAGGGUGUAUAGGAAGCAAGAAAUUGGAAAGAAUGAUAAAGCAUGAAGAGAAGAAGGCCAGCAAUGAUGCGGCUUAAAUUGUAACAACACUGUAACUGAUCAAAUCCACUCAUAAUCAUAAAAUCCUCUAAUAAACAAAUCGUUCGAUCACAAAUUUCGUUUUUUCUUUUCUUUGAGGCAAUUCGUCGAACAGUUGUUAGGCAACGGCAAAUGAGUGUUUUCAUAUAUAAUGAAUGAAGAAUAAUAACAGUUUUAACAAGAAGCUAAAGCCAACCGUUUUUUCAUGAUAUUGUGUUUGGUCAGGGUUAUUUUUGUCAUUUUUUUUUAUUUUUGGUGGUACCAUCUCAUAUUUUAUAUUCUCCAAUUCAUAUUAGUUGUUCAUUAUUUUUAGGUAAAAUAUAUAAACGUGUAACUUUGAUAUUUAUGUCAUUCAACUUUCGACGUGUACAAACCGAGAAAAGGAUUAAAAUAGUCCAUCUUCUUUAGGUUAAAGCUUAAAGUGAUCCUUCAGUUUUCAAAUGGAGUACAAAUAGUCUCUUAUGUUUGCAAUAUUAGCAUUGAUUUUAUUCAUAACCUAUGUAUGGGGUGUGCAAUCGUCAUUUUUUAUAUUAGUAGAAAUAAAAACUUCAUAUGAAAGAAUGUUAAGAAGAAAAAGACUUUGUUUUGUUUAGUAGAAAUCGUAUUGCAGGUAAAGUCGAGAGGUUCAUUACGAUAAUUUCACGUGCAAUAGUACAAUUUUUUCUUUUCCUGCAAAGUCAUAUGUUAAGAUGUUCUUAAUUUAGCUGCAGUAAUAUUUCUAGUAAAUAGAACAAAGUAUUUUUCUUAUCACCUUUUCCCAAACAGAGUUUUUUUAUUUCUACUAAAUAUAUAAAAAGACGAUUGAACCUUCCUUAUAUAAAAUUCUGGACAAAAUUAACGUUAAAAAAUAGGCAAAAUUUUAAGUUAGGACCAAAAGUGCACCAAAAAUACAAACAUGAGGAAUUAUUAGAACUCCAUGUGAAAACUUAGGAAUCACUUUGAGUCUUAACGUAAAGAUGAGAGACUAUUUUGAGUCUUUUCUCUGUACAAACCUAUAUAAAGUUGGAUAAGUAGAAACAUAAAUCCUACGUAGUAUCACACAAGACAGUUCACGUCUUAUAUGAUAUUAUAUGUGUAUUAGAUCACUAAAAUAGGAAAAUCUACUUAUUUAAUUUUAUAUAAAUUUAAAUUUCUGAUCCAAAAUUCAUUAUGUUGUGUUUCAUUGUUAUUAUAAAUAGUUACUAAAGUUUAUUUUUAAAAAUCACAAAAAAAUGUCAUAAUGCUUACAACUAAUUGUCAUAUAAGUUGGUUCACCUAAAUAGAGUAGCAUCAAAUAUUCAAAAAUACAUUUCUUCUUUUUUUUAGUCAUGGCGCAAGUAUUGAUGAUAUCCUAAACUAACAACCUCACAAUUUCCACUAAAUGCACUUUGCGUGUACGUGUAAAUCGAGAUAUUUUAGAUUUUUGAAAUUUAUUAUUAAUAAUUAUAAAUUAUUUAAUUGAUAAAUUGUUAUUAUAUUAUUUAAUUAGAGUUGUUUACUUACGUACUUAUAAUUUUAUUAGUAUAUAUUUAUGCUCAAAUUUAUGAAAUUUUUCAUGUUUCAGAUUUAUUUAUGAAUUAUGAUCAAUGGAGUUCGAUAUGCAAAAUUAUUUAUUAUAUUUUUUUAAUAGAAAGUGAAAAGAAGCUUAAAGGAAAAGUUGGACUCAAAAGGAAACGAAGAGAAAGUGUGUUUAGCACUACUUUUAAAUCCUAGUAUUUUGCUAGAAUCGUGGCUCAUAUCAUAUUUUUUCUUAAAUAAGAAUAAAAUAAAUAUUUAAAGCACAAGUUAAUUAUAUAUUCAUAUGAUAAAAAGUUAAAAACUAUAUUAAAAACUUUGUGAAAACAAAAUUGCAAAAUUGCAAAAUCCAUUUUUUAUUAUUUGAUAUGAUUUUGAAAUUUAAGAAUUCGACACAAAUAGAAGUAGAAAUUAAGUUUUAUACUUAAAAUAGGCAAUAAUACAUGUAUUGAACUCUAAACUUGACUUCAAAUUUUAACUUCGACCUCCAACAUUCAUAAUGCACAAACAGACAUUUUAACUAUCCAACUUUUAAAUAAAUAAACACAUGAGUUCUACAUGACCACAAUACACGUUGGAUACCACAUAUGACAAAAAAUGUGUCUAUUUGUUCAACUUGAUAUAAGUUUAAGUGUAUAUCUGUGCACAUCCAAAGUUAAAGAGCAUAAAUAUGAUUUAAAAUCAAGUUAAAGGACAUAUUUAUGUAUUAUGUCUUUAUAAUAUCCAAACCAGACCAAUUCAAACAUGUGUAUGCCCCUAAAUGAAGUUCAAUCAUAUAUAUAUUAAUAUUCUGACAUUUUUAAUGACUUCAACCAUUUUUAAUACGAAGCUCAUACCCAUACCAUUUAUUUCCAACUCUCAAAUUUCACGCCUUUAUUUUUUUUAAUAGAAAAAAAUCAUCAUCAUCAUAAUUAUAAUAAUAAUAAUAAUAAUAGAUUUAGUCAUCUUUUGAUAACCAAACCAAUUUCAAAUACCAUAAAAAGAUUCAAUUAAUGUAUCAAAACUUUGAACACACAAUAUACUUAAUGAAGUCUCACAUGAUGAAAUCGAGAGAGGACAAAAGUAUGCCUCUACCCGACUCAAGUAACACAUAUAAAAGAACAUAAAAAAUAAAUAUAACAAGUACUACAAAAAGUAUCACAUAGCAUUCUAAAAAAAGAAACAGUAACAACAACGAAGUAAAUACAUUUAGUAAAUCCUUUUGAUAUAGAACCAUCAAGCAAACAAAGGGGUUUGAGUUGUAAAACUAGUUGCACUAGUUGAUGUAUGUGGAGGAACAGGAGGUCUACUAUUAUUAUUCCCAAGAAAGCUUCCAUUUCUCUUUGCUCUUAAUGAUGAACAUGAGCCUCUCUUUGAGCUUAAUCUUGAAGAACUAUUGCUUCUAAUAGGAGGAUUCAAGUUAUUUGAUUUGAAACCUUCUAAGAAAACUCCAUAACUCUUGCAUGAUUUUAGCUUCUUGUUGUAUGGAUUUUCUGGCUUAGCCAUGUCCUCUAAGCUCCUCACAUUUGAUAGAGAGGUGAAUGAUUGUGAUUUCCCAUUGUAAUGUUUUGACAAACCUCUCCUAUUAACCCCCCAAAAAAAAGGACAAUUAAUUAGCAUCAUAAUGAAAUAAUAUGAAAAAUUGUUGAAGAAAGAUUUAGAGGGUGUUUAGAUAAAAACAAAUAAAAAGAUAUGGAUCUCAAAUCUUAUUUAAUCUCAAAAGCUAGAUUAGGGUGUGAAAGUAUUUCUGAGAACGUAUAAAGAGUCACCAUAGUUUAAUCUGAUGUGGAACUCUUCAAUACCUAUCUUACGUCUAAUGCUGGACAUUUAUGAAGUAGUAUAAACAAAUUAAUAUGAAAAGAAACAAGAAUUGAGAUGAAUCCUAUCCUAAUAAUUACUUAAAAUCGAGUGUUUUUAAGUUAAAACCAAAUCAAAAGACAUCUCUCUAACUUUUGCUUAUUAUCAACUUUAGUAAUUCGAUCCAAACGAGCAAUUACUUAUUUUUAAUACAAUUGACAAGUGAUUUUUAUGGUUUGAACUUACUUGCGCGUAAUCUAACUAUUUUUAAGUACAAUACAUAUAUCGAAUAAAUCUUAUUCAACAAUGCUCGAAUAUGGAAGCAAAAUAAUAUAGUAAGUAUUCUUUAAACGCCUUGUAACAAUUGAUAUCAAAGGCCUGUUUAGACCUACUUUCGAUUCAAGUAUAAGCCAAACAAAUUUUAAACUUGUAUAUAAUCACCAAAAAGAAAUUACCUUGUUGAUCUUUCAAAGUAGUUGUAUCAAACUUCUAGCCUUAUUUCAAGUAUUUUUAAAUUACCAACUCCCUUAGUGUUGGUAUGUUUAGUCGGGCGGCGGCCGUUAGGUCACCUAUUUUGAGUUAUGGACACACGAGGUCAAAACAUGUGUGCCGGGCGCGCGACCCAUCAAAUAUUUCACACUUACAAUCUCUUAAGUGACCUUAUAGUCGAUAAAUGACGAAUAUUUACUCAGUUUUAAUCAGAAUUAAAAUCUCUUCAAGUCAUGAGCGAUUUCAUUCGGACAAAGCUAGGUAGAGUUUGGAAAUCUAGACAAAUCCACUAACUUUUUCGUAGAUCAUAUAUUUCUAUUAAAACUUUUUUAUAUAUAUUAACUAAUAAAUCCCCAACAAAAUUAAUUAACUGCAGUAAAAAAGAAGCCAUGAAAAUGUUAAUCACACUGGUAUUGUAGAUUCACAACCACCAUUAUUCUUCUAUUCUAAAAUUUAAAAUUCUCUAAAAACUCUUAAUUCUGAUUUCGUCACUUGAUAAAUGUCUCUUUCAAAUCACACGUAAAGGGUCUUCUGUCCAAAUAAGCUACCUAAACCAUUUUCAAAAGUUAAUUUCUCAAAUCAUUACUCAACUAAUAAUUAUUAUCUCCCUAAAUUAUAUUUUUCUUAUUUCUUGAGAUUCGAACAACAACUAAAGCUUCUAUGUCACAUAUGAAAUUAGAAACUUUUCGUCAAUUCAAAUUUAAUCCAACUUUAAUAUAAACACAUAACAUUAAAAAAAAAACAUAAAGAAAACAGAGGAAAAGUAGUUGUUACUUGAAGGGAAGUUCUUGUAGAAGAGUGGACAUAUUUUGCAAAGCUCCUUUUGUGUGUUCAUCAUGACUUAUUGAAUCACUACAAGAAGAAUUCGGAGAAGUUGGAUCCGAAGAAUCCCCUUCUCCUCCUCCUUCUUCGUCAAACAACUCCGAAUCAGAUGAAGAGAAAUUACUCAAUAUUUCAGAAGAAUCAGAAUCAUGAUUAAUAUCCUCAUCCAUGAUCCCAUGGUUGUUUUGUUGGUCCAAAGAAACUAAUCUCAUUUUCACAUUCAUAAUCUAAAUAAACAAAAUCCACCAUACAGCUCUUACAAAAAAAAAAUGUAAUUUUUUCGAUUGAAUGAAUAGGUGUAACAAGAUAAGGAAAAAAGGUGUAUAAAUAUAAAUAUUUAUACUAUAGUUUUUUAAAUUUUUAAUAUUAAUGUUAUGUGAUAUCAAAAUAUUUUUAAAAGAUUCGGCGUUAUCCAUUUUCUAUCUUAGUGCCAACCCAACCAAAUUGACCCCACUUGUCCCAAACAGUACUAUAAAUGGAAAGAAAAAGUGUUUGAACCAAACUGCAUUCAUCCUUUGGCGCAUGCACACCACUUUCGUGUUAUUUAUUUAUUCCAUCUUCUAUCCUUAACUCGAUAAAAUUAAAUUUAGUAAAAAAGAAAAGUUGAAUCACGUAAAUACGAAGAAAAGUUUAUAGCAAGUUGAGGAGAAUGAGAGAGACUAUCCUUCGGUUUAUUACUAAGAGUUUUGAAUAUCUGCUCGUAUAAAUUUGAUUGUUAUAUAGUUAUAAAUACUCAUAACAAUUUACAAUAAUUUGAGUUACGUGACAUAUUUCACCUUCUCUAAUUAGCUUUGAAUGAAGCGUCAAAACAUAUUAACAUGCCGUAAGAUAGUUCUUUUACCAUGGCACCGUUUUAUAUGAAAUAAAUAUUCAGAUUUUAUGAUUUAUAAAAAGACGUUCAUUAGAAAAUUUGAAGAACCUUUAUGAUAUUCUUUUACUCUCUAUCUUUAUCAUUUCCCCACCCAAACACACACAUCGAGAAGAUCGUAUAGAUACAUGAUAUAAAUGUUAUUUUCGAUCUUUGUAAACUCACUAAUCUGUUUCACAAAAUCUAUUGUUAAUAAGAAUAAUGAUUUUUUUUGAUAAAUAUAUUUCUUAUUCAAUGUAUAUGAAAUGGGGCUCACAUAUAUUUAAAUUUCUCAAAUUCAGAUUAAUCGAGCUCUGAUAUCUACAUUAAAUUUUUAAUUUUUAUUUUUGUGUGUGUUAUGCACCUUAGAUGUGGGCGAGUUGAGUGUUUGAAAAUGUGGAAUAAUGGAUAAGGCUCUCCACUCCAACUUAUUACUUUACCGCUACUUGUUUAUUUUCUCUUUUUUCCCUUUUUGUUUUCCUACGGCGCUCCUUGUUUUUAUUUUUUUUCUUAUUAUUAUUCAUUAUUAAUUUCCACCGUCCCUAAAAUUAAAAAAUAAAAAAUAAAAACUAAUAUCUAUGCUCUUUUUGCUUUUUCCAAAAGAGAUAUUUACUUGAAACUUUUGACGUGGAUUUAUUUUUAUUUUCUUAUUGUUUUAAAUAUAAUUACAUUUUUUGAGGACAUUGAAAUAUUAUUCACGGAUUCCCAAUAAUAUUAUCCAUUAUUAUUUCUUCUCAUAACUUGUUUACAAAGUAUUUAAGAAAAAUCAUAAUAUUUAAGUAAUUUUUCUAAAUUUAUUUGUCAAUAAAAAAGAUUAUUGGUUCACUAAUAAAUUUUAAAAAUAUUUUGAGCAACCAUUAGUAUUUAAAUUUGUAUUUUAAAAAAAUGCUUUUAGAAAAAACAAAUUAAUAUUUGAAAAUCAACUUAUGCUGCUUAAAAUACUUAUUUCCCCUUUAAAACUUUAUCAAAUACCGUACAUUCUAGAAUAAUUAUUUAAAAAAAAAUUAUGAUGACUUUUAAUUAUUCAAAAAAAAUUUAUUAGAUGUGAAGUAUUGUGGACCUAAAUUCCGUUUGGCCAUGGAGUUGGGGACAGUUGGAAUUUGGUAAAUCAUAUCGUUUUCGUUUUAAUUUGUUUAUUCUAUUUUAAUUUGACAUAAAAUAUAAAAAAUAAUAAUUUGUAUUUAUAAUUAUAAAUUAAAAAUAAAUUAAAAUAUUUGUAGAUUCAUAAUACCAAAUAUUUAAAGGGAAAACUAAAAUUAUAAAGCUAUAAUAAAUUAUUAUUUUUUAAUAAUACGUAAGACAAACAAAUUAAUAUGGUAACUAAUUACAAAAUUAGGAGGUAAUCACUACCUUACUUAAUUCAUUAAUUAAACUUGUACCCAAGUCUUUAUCCUCCACCACUUCUCUCUUCCAAUAGUUAUCCAUCCACAUAAGAGGACACGUUUAUUCAUAUAUAUAUAUUUUAAUAUUUAAAAUAUGAUAUUUGAUAAAUUCAAUUUAAAAGUUAUAUUUUCAAAUAUAAAAAUGGUACUAUGUUGAAACUUUAAUCCAAGGCCAUACAAUGUUAAAUUAUUCAAUUUUCAACUAUCAAGUGAAAUAUUCUACUGUUUGAAUUAGUUUGAUUGAUUUGAAAUAUAUUAUUCAAACUAAAUAAUGUUUGAUAUAAAUUUAAUAUAUUUAGUUUAUUUGAAAUAGAUUUUAUAGAUUAUAUAAAAAAAAUUAUUAGAAGUCAACUAUAGUUAACGAUUUAAAAUAUUUAAAAAGUGUUGAAAAAUUAUAAUUUUAAAAAGUAUAUUUUUUUAUUGUUCAACUAUUUUCUCCGUGGCUCCGUCUCGAUUUAUUUGUUAUAUAUUUCUCUUUUAGAAUACAUAAUUAAUUUUUUUUUUACCACUUCUCUAUCAUUAGUGUCUUAACAAUAUAAUUUUUUCUUUCUAAAAUUAUUACGCUACUGAAGUGCUUGUAAUUAGUGAGAACAAUUAUUCUAAAGGAUAAAAUAAUAAAUAUUAAUUGAUUUGAGAUAAAUAUUUUGAGAAAUUACUUAAUUAAGAGCAAAUAACAUGGAAUUAGCUUUCACCAAGUGGACGUGCCGGAGUGGUUAUCGGGCAUGACUAGAAAUCAUGUGGGCUUUGCCCGCGCAGGUUCGAAUCCUGCCGUCCACGUUUUGUUGUUUUAUUAUUUCGUUUCCUGAACAAAUAAUUUGUUUUUAUUAAGAUUAGAACGUUUAAAUUUGAUUGCACACUUAAAUAUUAAGAUGUGUAUUAAGAUCUGAAUAAAUAAGCCCCUUUUAUUUUUGUUUCACGAACAAAUGAUUUGUUUUCGUUAAGAUUAAUACGUUUAUAUUUUAAUGAACAUUUAAAUAUGGAAAAAAUGUAUAUAAUAGCAAACUAAUAACCUAAAAUAAAUGGAGUAGCUAAGGUUUGAUUUAAUUGUGCUCCAUAGCAAACGUUUGCAAAAGAUUGUCAGGCGCCUCUCUCCCAAAUAUCUCGCUCGCUUCCUCACUUUUUUAUACAAAUACAAGUGUAUAAAAAUUGUUUCUAAUUGUAUAAAGCAGAUAAAAUUGUAUAAAUACAUAUAUUUUUGUUCCCCUCUCUCCCCUCUUCUAGAUCUCGCUUGCCACUCUCCCAAAUCUCGCUUGCCACCCUCGCCUUUCUCACUUAUACAAACAGAAGCGAAAUGUAUAAAUUGCGUUUCUGUUUGUAUAAAGCGUGAGAAAACUGUAUAUUCACAUGCAAAUACAUAUUUUCGUCCUAUACACUUAUAAUUAUACAAUAAAAAUACUCCUCUGCCCAGUUUCUUUUGUCUUUCUCUCUUUCUCGUUUUAUACAAUUCGAUUCAAUUGUAUAUUCCUUGUCAAGUCUCUUUUGUUUUUCUCUCUUUUCUCAUUUUAUACAAAUUCAAAUUGUAUAUAAUUGUUUUAUACACUUCGUUUUUAUACAGUUCUCUGCCCAAGUGUCUUUCUCUUUCUUGUUUUAUACACUUCGUUUUUAUACAGUUCUCUGCCCAAGUGUCUUUCUCUUUCUUGUUUUAUACACUUCGUUUUAUACAAUUUGCUUUAACUAUAUAUGUAUAGCGAAAUAUACAGUUUCUGUGUUUGCUAUGGAGCAAAAUUAUGCAAACUUUGCUAUAACAUACAAAUAUAAAUUUUUUAUGUGCUACAUGUGAAAGUUGCCCUUUAAAUAUUAAGAUCUAAAUAUUUGAAUAAGUAAGCCCCAAAUAGAUGGUGCACAAUGACUUUAGACGAUUCAACUUAUCUAUUUGCUACUCUUCCGUCUCAUUUUAUAUGUCUCUUUUUUAUUUUGCACCUGAACUAAGAAAUGAUGUAACUUUACCCUUCUACCCUUAUUUAAAGUUUUCUUAAGUCAACUUUAUUAAUAAAUGACAAGAUUAAUGAACUAUUCUAUCAAGGGUAUAAUAGGUAAAAUAUGAUAACUUAUGCAUAAAUUUUAUAAAACGAAAAAUUAUCGAAAAUAACCUUAAACUAUCUGAAAUAGCUCAUAUUUACCCUUUAACUAUAUAUUUCGACUCAAAGCUAUUCUUUUUGUUAGACUAUUGGGUUAACAAUGUCCUCCUUAUUAACGAAAGUUGUUAAAUGACAUGUAAAUGUCACAUUACACGCUAAUAGGGUUCCACUAACACAUAUACUUUCACAUAUAACAAACAUAAAAAUCAUAUUUGUAUAUUAUAACUAUAAUUUGUAUAAUUAUACUUCAUAACAAAUUUUAUAUUUACUAUGGAACUUUUGAUUUUGUAUAAAUCGUUGAAAACAUUUAAUUUUAUACGAAUAGUAGAAUUACACAUCAUUCAUCGCCAGAGUAAAUAACUCAAGCCUUAUUACACGCGUGUACAAUCAUACAAAUACUUAAAGAUAUAUAUAAAUUUUUUUUUAUCAUAAUACAUUUUGAUAAUUAAGGAUGGAUUGAUUAAAUUAAUCUUUAAUUCCAGUACAAAUUAAUGAUCCAUCAGUUUUAAACAAUUUACAACCUUCAUCUGCUGUGCAACAAUUGACACAAACUUGACUAAUUUGUUCAUCUCCUGAAGAAGGACAAGUCAUGUAGGCCACUUCAUCAUCACAAUAUUGAAGACAUGACUUGGCAUUUGUAUAUUCCACUUGAAUUACCAACAAAAAUAUACCUACAAAAAAAAUUACAUAUUUAGUUUGAAAGUUUGAUAUGUGUGCAAACACAUCGAAAUUACUAAACUUAAAGAUUAGCUCAUGAAAAUAUAUAUGACUGGCGUGAUUCCUUAGCUUAUCUAAUUUGACUAAACAUGUAGAUUAAAUCGACUCGUAAGAAAUUCUAUUGAAAUAUCUUCAAAAAACUUAUUUACCAGUUGAACGGAUCAAUAAUUAUCCAUUUGUUUAGCUUAUCUUGACUCAAUCUAUCUUGAUUUAUGGAACGGUCUAUUUAAUAACACAACCCAUUAGACUCUCCAAAGAUCAACACAAUCUAUAUAUUGGUCUGCUCAUUUACUAACUCAACUCAUUAUGAUUCAACAAAUUUGUUCAUCAAAAAGUUUAAUCGAUUUAACAAAACAUAACUUGAAUUGUACUAUGAGAAUUUCAUCAAAAUAUUCUUAAUCUUUUUUUUUUUCAAAAAAAAGUUGAUCUGUUAUAUAUCAACAUAAUAAUAAUAAUAAAAAAUAAAAUUAUGUGCUAAAUAAAUUAUGAAAAUAUAAACAAAUUAAAGAAAUUGAAACUUGAUAAGAGUUUGACAGAUUAGCCAUCAACCCAUUAUUUAAUCCAUCUGAGCUUAUAUAACUUUUUCUCGGUCAUUAAUCCGUCCAUUUAUUAAUUAAUUCUACUUUCAUAACUUUUUAAAAUCAAUAUAACCUGAAUAUAUAUAUAUAUAUAUUAUUUUUGUUCUAGCUACACAAUGUAUAUUAACUUCUAUGCGAUUUUAUUUUUUUAGAUUUUGAUAUUCCUUAAAUAAAACUCUAACUCUACUACCGUACAUAUAUAUCAAAAAAGCUUUACCAGACAAUAGAAGGAGAAAAAGGAUACCAACUUUGUAAAAGGCCAUUGUAUUUUUUUUUUCUUUUGCUACUUAUUUGAGGAUAAUAUCAUCUCUUAAUAUAAGCUAUUUAUAGAGCAAAUACAAAUAAGAAUUAAUAUAUAACUUUUCUCAUAAAUACACCAAAUUUGGAUUAACUUAAGCAGUUGUCAAAGUGGACCAAUUGUAAAUUAAUCAAAGCUAACUCAAUGCAGCCUUCACAUUGGAUUGCAUGACCUUAUUGUUUUUAAUUUUUGGUAUAUGAUCAAUCACUCAAUAACGAUGUCAUUUUUUAAGAUUAUUUUUUAGUUAUUAUAAUAAAUAUUUGUUUUAUUUUAGAAAAUACUACUAACUAUUUUAUUUUUUUUAAAAUGGAAAAUAUUGACUAGGUUUCGAAAAAUCAAUUAAUUUAAUUAUUUAAGAAAAAUCGACUUUUCGAAUUACGGAGUCGCCACUUGAUUUUGAUAAAAUCAAGAAAAAAUUUCAAAAGAUUUAAAAACAGAUAAAAUCGAUUGAAAAGGUUCGAAGUUCAAUGUACAUCCCGAGAAGGUAUUAGGCCCUCGGGAUGCCCGCUAACUUGCGGUUGACCGGCAAUUUGACUAAAUGACUUUUUUAAGUAAAAAGAAAAUUUAUUUUAAUAUUUAUUAUUUUAUUUUUUUUAAUUAUUAUUAUUAUUACUAUUUUUUAUUUCUAAAGGAGCUAUUUAAAGGGAUUUAAUUUAAGGAAAAACUAAUUUGUGACAAAAGUAAAUAAAAUAAAAUAGUAAAGUUUAAAAUAAUGAAAAAUGGCUACCCUUUAGGAGAUUAUUAAAAUCCUACCACACAUUAAUUAAUUCAAGCAAAUAAUAAGUAAAGAGGAGAACAAAAUUGAACUUGGGCCCUUUCAACAAACUAAAAAUCCUGCAAAAAAAACAUUUAGGCCCCGUGGGCCUGUUAGAAAAAUUGUUGAAGGGCCCUGGGCCAUUCCUGAAAAAAGGAUCCUGAAGGAUAUACAUAAAUGUAUACAUACUGUAUACAGUAUAUAUUUGACCCUUUUGAACCUCUUGAGUCCUCCACCUGUUUAAAUACAUAUUUUCGUUACUUUUCCCUGCAUUGCCUUGCGUAUUUGUACCUGUAUUAUUUUUUUAAAACUUACUUAACAAGUGUAUAUCGUCGCCCGAUAAUGUAUACUAAUGUAUAUGGGCUGCACCCUACGUCCGCAUUGUUUGCCUAAUUCUGAAUUUUAAUUAAAAUAAGAGUACCCGUACGUUAACCUGCAAUUCACAUUUUUACACAUAUUUAGUAUAGCGUCUAUGUAUAUCAGUGUAUACAGGCUGUAUAUCAGCCUGAUUUUCAACUUUCGAAAGUUGAAACUCCUUUUCCGAAGCGUAUCCUCACUGCCACAAACCCAGAUUUCGAGUUCGGAUUUCCUGUGCAUUUUUGACAUGUAUACCAGUGUAUAUCAGAUGUAUAUAGCUGGUUUACAGCUUCAAAAAAAACAUGCAGUCAAAUUCUGCAAACUGCCACUUCCAGUAGCUCUCCAAUGCCGGAUUUCGACCUGUAAAUGGGUCUUAAGACCUCCUAGACUUGAGAUGGGCCGACUCAAAGAUCUUUUAACUCGGAGGAAUGCGGGAGUGGAGUCCGAAAUGGACUCGAAUCGAUGUCACAUGUAAUGAAAAAACAAAAGAAAAGGAUUAACAAUAGCCAUAAAUAUUAUCAUUAAAACAAGAUCCUCAACAAGCAUUAGGCAAGAACGAGUUCUUUAGACUUUCAGACAUACAUAAGUAUGAAACCUUCGGCAAAUUCGAAGAUAGCAAUAGACAACAACACAUAAACUAUUGUAACUAAAGUAUGCUUUGAAACAAAGGGAAGUCAUGCUUUCAUUAAGAUGUAGAAGUCAAAAGAAGAAGAGUUGUCCACAUGAAACCAACAUAUCAUCCCAAGCCUAAGAAAAGAAAAGCAAAUAACAGUGCCUUGGCUUAUUGAAACAAACCUCAAAACCCCCUAACCAAUUUUUUUUUUUUGAGUUCGAAUGACAAGCUCAAGCAACGUAAGAAACUUAUUAAAGAGAACCAACCAAGAGAGACAAACAUUGGACACCAACAACCCCAAACAACGCAUUAAUUAACCUCACAAAUACGAACUCGUGCCGAGGCCUAUAACGACCAAUGUAUAACGUUACAACAACCUCCAUCAUCACAUGAAUCACGCUUAAUGCUUAGAGUACACAUAGAAUCAACAUUUGACGAAAGAACUCUUAAAACAGGGCAUGUCAAGCAACUCCAAAGGGACAACACAUUAAGCAAUGGUAAGAGAACUUUUCAGGGGACACAAAGAAAACUUAAAGUGAAGACAGAAAGGGAGAUAAGCUAAACUGAAAAUGCACUGUCCGAACAGUCGAAUUCACAUUGAUGAACACCAGGUGCAGCUAUACAUGUUAACUCAUGAGAGAAAAAUCAUGACACUGCACAUUAUUCAUACCAAGCUGAAAACACCAAGAAACCAAGAGAACAUGGGGAACAAACGCCAUAAUUAACACUUACUAACAAACCUAAGACAAGGGGAAUGAAAAAGAAAGGAGCAUCAUGAAAUAUACAAAGCAUAAACAACUUAAGGAACACUCAGCGAAUAGACUCUAUAAGAAAACUAACAAGUCAGUUAUAACAUACAUCCGUAUUCAAAUUUCAUAAUCGUCAUCACCACCCGAGUCGUCAAAACAUCAGAAGAAGCCAUUUCGAAACGAAAGAAACAAGAAAGUUGUACGAAGCAGGGGAUUACCUCUUCGGAAGCGGCAAACUGGAACAGCAAGGAGCCUAAUAACUUCACCACCUUACGAAGACUCGAACCCCUGGCGAAGAAACGAAGUCUAGUCGAGAACUUAGAUUCAAACACGAGACACUAGCAACUCUUCCGUCUCAGUCGUUUUCAAAGUAUUUGCGAUGUUUUUCUCAAGUUUUCUUGAUAUUUCAAAGAUAAACAGAAAGAAAUUUACUCCGGCAAACUCUUACAACGAAAUUUCAACUAAAAAUUUUCAACCCCUAUUCCGAAAACGGAGGGAGUUUAUAUAGAGGGAGAAUUUUUAGGGUUCUUGGGGUAGGAGGGCGGGGGAAUUUCGGGAAAGGAUUGGGGCAAAUUCGAGACUUCACCCUCCAUUUUGAAAUUCAAACCCAUGAAGAUAAGGUUGAAGCUGCCACUAGUACGAUCCUUGUACCCAUGGACAAAGUUUGUAGCCUAUCUUGUUGUUAGGCCGGCGCGAGCGUACGAAUUUCAGAAGGAAACGGCUCUAAAGCUGUUGCACAGCUCGCGUGAGAGAGGAGGAGAGAGGGGGGAGAGAUUCAUGGGAAGGGAUUUGGGCUUGAGGGGAAUUAAUUUGGGUUAAUAGGAACAAAGGAAAGGGGGCCCAAAUCUGAUAUUGGGAGUAGAUUAAAGGAAAAAGAGGUGGAUUUAAAAAUUGGCCAACUUUAAAAAUAAAAUGGCUAUAUCUUAAAUAAAAAAUGAAUUUGUAUUAAUUAAUCAACGAGCUUUUAUUUAAUAAAAUAUUUAUUAAAAAUCGUAAAAAUUGAUUAAAGUAAUUAUAAUUUAGAUUAAGCUAGUUUAUUAAACACUUAGGUGUAUAUUUUGAUGUUUCGAAUAAUCAUAAGAUAUACUACUUAUAUACAUAAUUAUGUAAAUAUGUAUAUUACCUAAAAUUAUGACAAGAGGUAUUCGAGGUAACAUAAUAUUCAUGUAUUAUAUUAUUUAAUUUUUACAAAAUUUAUAAAAUUAAUUAAUUAAAAUUAUCCGGAAAAUUUAGGAAGCUCGAUUAUUAAUUUAUACUGCGCAGGUCAAAAAUUGGGUGUCAACAAUAUUUCUUUUAUUUCAAAUUAAUUGAAUUGUUGAGAUAUCUUUCAUUUUUUAAAUUCACUUAAUUGUUCAGUUUUCAAAAUUACUUUUAGAACAUUCUUUCAAUUUUACCUUUCAUAAGUUAGUAUUGAAAUUACUUAUUAAUUAAUUUUAGUUAUUUUAAUUAUAAUUUUGACAUUAGUUAAUAAAGAUAAAAAUGAAAAGUUAUGCCUAAUUUAUGAAACACCUCAAAAAUUUAAUUAAUCUGAAAUGGAGGGAGUAUAUUAUUAUAGAAACUGAACUUUUACAGUAAAAUGUUACUUUAUCUCAAUUUAUAUAACACAAUUAAAAUUUCAAGAAUAAAUCAAAUUUUUCUUUGAUCAGUUUCUUUUUCAUGUCUUUUAGAUAUUUUAACUUGUUAACUAUGUAAUGUAUAGUACUUUUUUUAUUUUUUAAAAAGUAAUUUCAAUUUUUUAUGUCCAAAUUUAGGAAUACCGUACUUUAACGUAAAUUUUGGUUUCUCAAGCCAUUAGAUUAAUACACAAAAAAAGAACAAAAAAUUAACAAAUCAUAGUUUUGCACAAGUUCAUCUUCAACUAAUUAAAAUAAUAAAAGAGAUGACAAGAGAACACAAACUUAUCAUGUACACAAUGAACAACUUAAUUUAGAUCUCUAUUUAAUAAUAAAUUAUUAUUCCCUCCAUUUUUAUUUAUGUGUCAAUCAUUUUAAAUUUCACAUUUUUUACGAAAUUUGAUAAAUUUAAUGAUCUUUUGAACUCAAAUUUUCUAUAGAUGAACACAAAUUAAUUUAAUUUAGUUUUGCUUUUUAUCACAACAAAUCCCAAAAAUAAACUAAUGUUGUAGUAGUUGAGUUUGUUUUUUUUAAAAAAAAUUCGAUGUUCAAUAUCUAAAUAAAUUGAGUUACUAUUAUGUUUUGAUAUAAUUGUAUUUGAUGUCAAAGCUAAUACUAUCAUAACUUUGAUAUUACCACAUAAUUAACAUCUCAAUUAAGAGUGAAGGACAAACUAGUCGUCUUGAACUAUCACAAGUAUUGAAGGACAACAUUUUUAAUUAUGUAAGAAAAUCUUUUUUUUUUUUACCAAAAAAGCUUUAAUUUUUACUGGUUCAUUUCGAUUUUGAAAUUUAUCGAUUUAAUUUAUUAGUUAUCGAUAUGCUAAAUCGUUGUAAAACCAUUAAGAUAAUUUACUUAUCGAUUAUUAAUUUAUCAAUUGUUAAUUUAUGUAAAUUUCAUUAUGAUAGUGUGUGUUAAUACAUACAUAAUGAUAGUUCAGAAAUAUUUUGAAGAAGAUUUGUAGGUGAACUUAAAUGGAUCAUCUAAAAAAUAAUUCAUUAUGUAUAGGUAUUGUAGUACAUUAAACAAUAAUGUGAAGUGAUAUAUUAUUUUUUUUUAAAAAAAACUAGUCGUUUCCUUUUCUUCAUUGGAAAUUAAACAGAAAAGAAAAAGUUGGUAUUUAAUAUAUUUUGUUUCAUUAUCUUUUCUCAUUUUUUCCUUGGCUGGAAUGCGAAAAUAAUGACUCACUAAAAGCAUAUAGUAUUUUAUUUUUAACAUGUUCAUUAUUGAUUUGACAUAUUUUUUUCAAAAAAUAGAACAACAAUUUCACUAUAUUAAUAUAAUAAAUUAAAUGUUAUGAAAAUGUGUUGAAAAAUAACUAUAAUAAAUAAUAAGGAAAAAUUAAGACCUAAAUGAGAAAUUAUCUCUAGUAAAAAACUUAAAUAUAGUUUUUAAUAAGACGAUAAAUUAUUCUCGUAAUUAGAUGUGCAUCCAGAUUUAAAUCUUUAACAAUCAAAAUCGUAGACUAUUUCACUAUAUUAAUAUAAUAAAUUAAAUGUUAUGAAAAUGUGUUGAAAAAUAACUAUAAUAAAUAAUAAGGAAAAAUUAAGACCUAAAUGAGAAAUUAUCUCUAGUAAAAAACUUAAAUAUAGUUUUUAAUAAGACGAUAAAUUAUUCUCGUAAUUAGAUGUGCAUCCAGAUUUAAAUCUUUAACAAUCAAAAUCGUAGACGGCAGGAUUCGAACCUGCGCGGGCAGAGCCCACAUGAUUUCUAGUCAUGCCCGAUAACCACUCCGGCACGUCCACGUUGAUGUAAAUGAAAUACAUAAUACAUUAAAUUAAAAGUGGAGCUAGGAUUUUGAGUCUAUUGUUCAAGAUUUUAUAAAAACACACCUUAUUUGGUUUUAAAUUAUUUAUAGGAUAUAUUAAAUUAAUGUUUAAACACAUAGAGAAAAUUUGAGGAAAAAUUAUUGAGUUCUACCGAACUCGUAAAAUAUGGUAGAAAUAGACUAUGUUGAGGCACAAAAUGUGCCUAUUCUGGUUCUUAAUACCAUUUUGUUGAGUCAUGUUCAUAUUGCGAUGAAGUUAUGUUAUAUGUAUCGAUAGUAUAAAAGUAAUUACACAAAUAAAAUAUUACUCUAAAGGUAAUUGCAAAUAACUUCAUGUAAAUGGCAUUGAUAGUUAACCUAUAACAGAUUGUUACGAAUUUUUUAUUACAACGUGUUACUUAUUAUCUAUGUAUAUAACUGAAAUUCAUUAAGGGAAUAUAUAUACGCAUUACAAUUCGAAUAAGCAUGUCCUAAUUUAUAAAUCUAUAUGAAUAUAGGACAACAUGGAGAUCACAAUGAAGGCAAAAUUGAAUAUUAAGAUCUUAGAGUUGUAUAUAUAUAUAUAUGUGGAUCCAAGCUACAUAGUAAAUUAACAUGAUGGUGAUACAAAAUUCAACGUUAAGAAAUGUUGUAGCUAGUCAAACUAAGACAGUUAAACUAAAAACGUUAAGAAGUAGUAGUAGAUGUGACAUUAUAUUUAGUAUCACUGUUUACUGUCUUGAAGAUCCUGGUUCAUCCCUCAAACUCAUUGCUUCCAAUUGACGUAGCAAGUUGUCAUUUCGAUCUCUAUUAGCUGAGCUUCUUGUUGAGAUAACACUUCCAUCAAUUAGCCAAGUCAUUGGAAAUGCAAUGUUUCUGCAGAAAAAUGAACUCUGGUGUAAGUUAGCUGUAAAGUCAACGACUUAAUAACACGUUGAGACGACUCGACAUGUUCAUGGAGUACUAUAUUAUUAUUAGGUAAUCGGAGAUUCUUUUACUCUGUCAGUGUAUAAAAGCUAAAUCGAGGGACAAAAUGAGAUCAAAAGACAUGUAUGUACCGUUCCACACGUUUGUAUUUGCAACGAUUCAUCAUAUCAACUGUAUAUUGACCAAAAUGGAUGUCAAGAUCCUUUGCCAACUUUGGUAUAUAAUAUCCUGGUAAAAUGUCCCAUAUCUUUAGCACUUGAAGAUAUCUCGAGUUGUCUUUCACAAUAUCGAUUGUCCAAAUCAACUUUAGGUGCUUUACAUUGUAGACCUCCAACAGUACAGAAGAAUUUCCUCUCUUGUUGUUGAACCUGUUGUUCUUUUCUGAGUUACGCCAACCACUCGAAAGCUUCUCUACAAGAGUAUUCACUUCUUUACUUAUCUCAGCAUCCUUGAUUCUGGCAAUGGAUUUAGUGAAAUUCUCACUAAAUAUAACCUGUUGAGUUAAAACAGCAAAGAACGUGUUAUAUCUACGUUAUGUAGAAUGUGUUCUAUUUUGGUCUUAAACAUGUCACGUGGAAGAGUGAAAGAGAAGUGAAAUAUUCAUCAUACCUUCCAUUUAAUGUUCUGAUUUGGUCUCAUAUCAUUCAACGAUUCAUUAGUCGCGUUCAAAGUUCCUUGAUUCAAUCGUUUAUCAUCAGUAACAUCAAAGUAACAACCACGAGUCUUGGCGUCAAUGACCAAAUUCUUCCAUAUGGAACCACUAUUAACCAAAGUUGUUCCAUUUCCCAAUAUCCAAAGACAGUACCUUGCUCGUGUCAAUGCUACGUUUGCUCUCUGAAGAUUAGAAAGAAAACCAACCGAUCCAUUGCCAUUCCAACGAACAGUAGAGAUAAUUAUAACAUCCUCUUCACCGCCUUGAAAACCAUCAACAGAACGUACAUUCACAGAGAAGUCACUCUUUACAUCUGUACUAUAUUUCUUUCCAAGAAUUUGUUGAAUAGCAAAAACUUGAGCCUUGUAAGGAGAUAUACAACCAACA
rnacentral:lncRNA from 1 species